CAUGCUAGUAAUUAAUUCUUGCAGGUAAAAUGGCUGCAACUAUUUAUCUUCUAUCCUUGUUUAAAUGGUUGGAUUAAAUCAACAAACACGAGAUGCCUGGAUGAUGUUUGUUCUUGAUGUUUGCAUUAGGUUGGUUGGUUACCUAUGUGAUGAUCAAAUCGACAUUGGUGGGAAGUAAUUCCAGCUGUUUCAUUAGCUACAACAAUUUGUCUUAUUUCAUGUGUUUGUUGUGUGAACUUCCAGAAAUAAGGGUAAUGUUACGUGUUUAGUAAUUUAUUGUGCGAAUCUCCAGAAAUAAGGGCGUAUGUUUGUUUUCCCAUUUGUGUUUCUUUUUCAAGUGUCUGAACCUUAAAAAGCGAGGGCAUAAUGUUUACUCAUUUGUGUGCUUAUGGUUUAAUGUGGGGAUUCUCAUUCUCCUCAUUUUGAUGUUCUAUUUCUAUUACGAUUCUUUAUGUGGUUAAUUUGUUAUUGUGCGUACCGUAUAGUAAUACGGUUUCUACAUGAAUAUAUAUAAAUACAUGUGAAUGAGUAUAUAUAUAAAAAAAUCAAUUUAUAAAUUUAUUGAUAGAAUAUGAAAUUCCAAGGUGUAAGUAAAAGGAUAAAUCCUCUAGCUUUGAAAAGAAUUAGUGUUUGCCUUUGAGAUUGUAAUAUAUUUUUUUUCAGGUCUAUUCAAUUUAAUAUUUUUAAUAAUACAAAUGAAAAUAAACAGCAAAUUUAAUUUAUAAAUGUAACUAUCUCAAAACAAUGUAGAGAAGGAAGAAAGAUUAGUAGAAUAAAAAUAAAAUAAAUAGACUUUUAAAAAGCAAAGAGUUUUAAAUGUUAAAUUUUUUUUUUAUUUAAUAGACCCAAUUUUGUGUUUUUUUUUUUUUUUUAUAAAGAUAACUCUAUUUUAAUUCUGAUUUUUUAGCAGCACAAUUUUUCAUUCAUCAUAACACACACAUAAUAUUUUUUUUAAAUAGUUAACAUGUCAUAUUAACAUAACGGUAAGAUUAUAUUAUAAUGAUGAACAAGAAUGAAGAAUUAUACUAAAUAUAAAAUAAUAAAUCAAAAGCAUCAAUGAAAAAGAAAUCACCUUUCUAUUUAUUUAGGCUGUCUAAAGCUAAAACUUACUAGAUUAAUUUUAUCACACACAACAAUUAAUUAGUCAUUAAAUUUGGACUAUUGUUGAAAAAACAUGCUAAAUACAACAUCAUAAGCCCGAUGGGGAUAUGAACUUAAGCAACUUCUACCCAAAAAAGUGAGGAACAAGUGCCUCAUGGGGAUUAACCUCCUAAGGGACAGAGUUAGCACAAUGAGAUUUUAUCACAUAUUAUUUGUUUAAGAUUUACCAGACUUGUAUCUAAUGAGAUUCUCGUUAUAAAAUAUAUGUGUGUGAGGAGAGUAGUUCAUGAAACUUGAUCAAAGAAAUUCUUUUUUGUAAUUUCACAGAGGCUCGUCUGAUGCAAAAAGGGUUGGAAUCUGAUAAUUGUUGUGUUCAUUGUGGAGCUGUUGGGGAGUCUCGUGAACAUGUACUGGUCCAUUGUUCUUAUAUGAAUGUUAUUGUAAAAUACUAUAUAUGUACGAAUGUGAAUGAGUAAAGGAUAAAUCCUCCAGCCUUGAAAAAAUUAGUGUUGAAAAAAUUAGUAAAGGAUAUGUACUGAUAAUUGUUGAUUUCAUAUUCCCUUUAAGAGCUUGUACGUAGUUGAUUGUAAUUUUUUUUCUCAAAUUUAUUAAAUAUUUUAUUUUUGAUAACACAACAACAACUAACUUUAUAAACGUAACUCUUUCAAAAUAACGAUGAGAAGGAACAAAAAAUUUAAUAAAAACAAAGAGUUAAUGUUAAAAACUUUUUGAAAUUGUCUAUUUUUUAUAGUUAAUUUAGAAUUAUUUUAAUUAAAAAAAUAAACCGUUAUUUAACAUAUACAUCUAUAUAUUUAAACAAAACAUAACUCUAUUUUAAAAUCAAUUUUUUAGCAAACACAUUUUUUUAGCAAACACAAUUUUUCAUUCAAUGUAACAUGUAAUUUUUUUAAGAAUCGUUAACGUGUCAAUAUUAACAUACCAGUAUGAUGCUAUUAUAAUGAUCAACAAGAAUGAAGAAUUACAACGAAUAUAAAAUAAUUAGUAUAAUUGUUUAUGUUUUGCAAUGGAUUAAUAAUAAUUUUUUAAAAAUAUAUAAAAAAAUAUUAAAAAUAUAAAGAAUAUUUUAAGUGUUUUGAGUCAGACGAAUAUACCAGACUCGAGAGUUUUGGAUCUGACAACCCUUACAUAACCUAAGUAAACAACAAACAAAUAGAAAAUAAAUAUGUAUUUUAAUUGUCAAGAGAGAGAAAAAAAAAAGCACAAAUAGUCAAAGAAAUAUUUAACAAAAAGAUAAGAUGAGAAAUUAAAAAUAAAACUAGUAUUAUAAUUUAUAAUUAAAUAUUUUUUGAUCUACAGUAAUUUUCAUAUACUUGUUAUAAUAAAUCAAAAGCAUCAAUGAAAAAUAAACUUCUAUUCUAUUUGGGCUGUGUAAACCUAAACCAACUAGAUUAAGCCCAGAAUGCAUUUUUUAUCACACUGCAACAGGUAGUCCAGUAAAUUUGGAUUAUUGCUGAAAAAACAAGCUAAAUCCAACAUCAUCAGCCAGGCCCACAAUUAAACCAAAAUAGAAACCCAAAGCAAGAGGCCUAUAACAGGAUGUAUCUACUGAAGCCACUUCUCCCUAAAAAAUGGAAGGAAAAAAAAAAAAAAAACUAGGCAACUUGUGAGCCAUCAUGCAUAGCAAAGAGGAAGUGAGGAACAAGUGCCUCAUGGGGAUUCAGCUCCUAAGGGGCUUUAUCCUUCUGGAGACAUGUCUUAUAAGCUAUGAAAAUAGGACGAGAAGGAAUAAUUAUUCCUUACCUGUUCGUUUAUCAUAUUCCAAAUAAUUCGUUGUAUUAUUCCGUUGAUUGAUAGCUUCUAAGACAUGUCUCCAGAAGGAUAAAGCUGUUCAAGCAGGUCUGAACUUUCUCUCUAGCUGGUCUGCUUCUCGGUUUACACCAGCACAUACAGCAAUUCAUCCUAAUUUGCUUAAAUGGGAGAAACCUCCUCCUGGUUUUAUCAAAUGCAAUAUAGAUGCAGCAGUUGACAAUAAUCAAGAGGCUGUGGGAGCAGUGUUUGUCUUGCAUGAUGAGGAGGUGGCUUUGAUAAUGCGUGGCUGCUGGCAUGCUAAUGAUGUUUUUUUCCCAAAGUUAGCAGAGGUAUUAGUUUUGAAAGGGUUUUCUUUCAUCAUAUAUAUAUAUAUAUUGGUAUCACCCUUGAAUAUUAACCAAAUAUAACCUAAAUAACCUAAUUUUUUUUUCAUUUAAUUUCUGAUUUUCUGAAAGCAUUUGAUUAUUACAACAUAAAAUAGGAUAAAAGUUGAAAAACAAAAAGCACCCACACCUACAUAAUAAAAUGGGCUAAUUGUAUGGUCACAAUCACAUUAGCAUUAGCAGAUGUCGGCUAUAAAUUACAAAAUCAAAAUAACCUUAACCAAAAUUGAUUACCCCAAAUUAAUUUUAAAAUUAGAUUUAUUUAACUUAUAUCUAAAAUUUAUUAAUCUGAAUUUCUCCCUAUAAAAAUAUAUGGAACCUGAUAAAAAAACAAUUUCUUCUUCAAUUUUUUUAAUCAUGAUUUGUAAAUCUUGAUAUAAAGAAAAUGAGGAAUGAAUUUCUCAUGACUCCAACAAAGUAUAUGUUCAAGCCUCAUUCUCAAUGUGGAGGGGCGAGAGUAUUAAACUUCAGGAUUAAAAUAUUAUUUGGUUAUUAUUUUGAGAUAAAAAAAUAUAAAGAUAAUGGAAAUAUAAAAGAUAUGUCUUUAUAUAUUUUUUAUUUUAAAAAUAUAAAAAAAAAUUAAAAAAAUUAUUCCCAAAAAAAAUUAUUUUAUGUAGCUAUUUUCAUCUUCACCAUCAAACACAUUUUCAUCACUCCUGUAUUUAUUUAUUUUGUUUUAAAAUAUUAACUAAAUACAGCUUAAUUUUUAAAUCUGAGUUUAUAAAAAAAAUAUGAAUAUCACAACAUAGGAUAAAAGUUUUAAGAAGAAACACUCACAACAACAACAAUAAUAAUAAUAAAAUCUUUACAAAUUUAUGCUAUAAAUGACAAAAUAAAAAUAACCUCAACAAAUCUAGUCCUAAUUUUACAUUAAUCCACAAGCAAGUUGUUAAUUGGUGGCUCAUUCCAGACUGUCAAGUCAAGCAUUGAACCUUGAACUUUUCAAAUUGCAUUUUCGUUUUCAAUAUUUUGUUCCAAAUUGCAUUUUCCCUUUCAUUUUUUUGUACAUUGAUUGAAUGGUACAGUCCUCAUUUUCAUUUACUUUUGGAAAUAAACAAAAAAUUCCUUUCAAGUUUCAAGUUACUAAACGACGUGCAGCUCAAUCAAUGCCUUCAUUGCCUACGGCCUUUAAAAAAUCAACUCAUUAGUUAGUUUCGUCCUUGGCUCGCUUAGAACGACAUCCACCCGAAUGUUUGACAUGUGGCACUUGAAGAUCAGAUUAAGAGAAUGUUAGAUGUUCAAUUAAUCUUUUAAUUAUAGAAAUUUAAAAUUUGUUUUAGAUAAAAUGAUUGGUAGGAGAUAUCUAGUAAGUUAAAAUGACUGAUGUCUAAACUGCUAUGAUGAUAAGUAGUUGUUACUUGCAAAUUUGAUGUGAGUAUUCUUACAUGUUUAAGAAAGAAUUCAUAUAAAAAGAAAAAAUAUAAUAAUAUUUUAAAGAGAUAGACUCUAAAAUUAUUAAAAAUAAAGAUAUUAUUAACCUUAAACUUUGAAGAUUCAUUUAGUAUUUAUAACUCACAAAUCUUGUCUUUUAUGAAGAGAAGAAGUUGAAAAAUAAUUUUAUCCUUGUGGUAUUUUGAGUUUUAUUUCACUCAAAAUAAAAUAUUGUAAAACUCGUAUGGGAUCUUGAAAAAAUUAAUUUGAUUGUGGUAUUUUGAGUUAUAUUUUACUUAAAAUAAUAGUAUUGAAUCAAUAUAAAAUAUUGAGACAUUUAUGUGGGAUCUUGAAAAUAUUAAUUUUAUUUUUAUGAUAUUUUAAAUUAUAUUUUACUCAAAAUAAUAUAUAUUAAUUUAAUAUAAAAUAUUAAAAAACCUGUGUGGGAUCUUAAAAAAAUUUGAACGGAGAGGUAGUUCCGACGAGUUACUUAAGUUUGUUACAAGUGAAAAAUAGAUCAACACGUGCUACAUAUCCACACGUAUUGUCUAAACCCACACAUAUUGGAUUCAAAAUAUACGCUAAAGCCCAUAAAGAAGCUGGGAUGUAUGCGGAAAGGUAUAUGGGUCAAGGCAGCGUCUGGAUUCAAGGGCAGUUAAGCUUUGGGAGGUUUUUUUAUCCCAUUAAAUUUUGGUCUAAAGCAGAUAGAAAGUUAUUGUUUUGUUGAUAGUUAGUCCUUUUCUUUUAUUGACUUGGUUUCUUUGGGUGUUGACUAGUUAUUUAUGGUGAAGUGAUAAUCUCUUUUUUUGUUCUGCAUAUGGUAAUGUGGUGUGAAAUGUUUUUAUAAAAAUAUUUUUUAAUUAAAAAUGUAUUAAAAUAAUUUUUUUCCAUUAAAAACAAACUUUAAAAUCAUUAAAAAAAAUACUUAAAAAAUUAAAUUAACAACAUUAAUUUAAUAUUUUUUAAAAUUAAAUAAAAUUUCAAAAGUAAUUAAUUUAAAUCACCUAUUAAAGCAGAAGGAACAUUUGUGCUUGAAUCCUGAGAUAAUUAAGUAGGAAAAUUUUGCAUUUUAUGAAGUUGUUUUUUUCUUAGUUAUGAUGAUUUAUUUUCUUGGAGGUCCCUAAAGUGGAAUAUUAAUGGUCCCAAAAUUUACAAAGUUUUCCUGCAAUCAAACAGUGCCCUUUUGAAAUUGCUCAAUUAUUAAUCGCUUGGUGUUUUCUUGACAACACAUUACUUUAAUUUUGUGGUUGAUUAGAGCUCUAUCUUCAAAAGUUUAAUCUUCAAAUCUUCUUCUAAAUUCUUUAAUUUUGCUCUCAUAUUGAAUUUAUGAAAAUGUUAUCUUUUUUUAUAUAUUGUUAAAAUGAUGUCAAGUCUUAAAGACUGUUAGCCAUGUGUUCCUAAUUAACUUCUGAUAUUUUGUAUUAUACCUCAUACAUAAUUGCUGGAAGAUAAAAUAAUUUAUUUUUUAUUCAUGUUUAUUAGCUUUCUAUCUAUUAUACAUGCAAAAGUUUAUCUUAUAAUACUUUUAACCAAACGUAUUUUUAAAAAAAACCCAACUAAAAGUGUUUUUGUUAAACCUAUUUUUUUAAAUCGCAACUAUAAAUGCUAUCGUUAUUGUAUGUUUGGUAAUGUGGUGUAGAAUGCUUUUACAAAAAUAUUUUUCAAUUGAAAAUGCAUUAAAAUAAUUUUUUUCAAUUAAAAAAACACUUCAAAAUCAUUAAAAAUACUUCAAAAAUUAAAUUAAUAACAUUAAUUUAAUAUUUUUUUAAAAAAUCAAAUACAAUUUAAAAGGUAAUUAAUUUAAAUCAAAAAAUUAAAUUAACGAGUUUUUCCUUUAUUUGAAAGGGAAGGGCUAAACGAUAUUUGUGUAUUUUCUUUGCACAAUGUGAUUAUUUAAUUACCCUUGGAAAACAAAGAAAAUCACUUGGGUCUAGGGGCUUAUUAGUCUUUGACUUGAUUUUUCAACAAGUAUGUUACUUCAUUGUCCUUAAAAAUUUAAAACAAUUAUAUGACUCUGAGGCUCUUUUAUCAUUUAGAUGUGGUCAUUUAGUAGUUAUUAGGUGUCAUUGGAGACAAUAAGAUAAUUUAGUAAAUAAGAAAAUUAAAUUAAAAAAAUAGAAUCAAGUGAACAAUGUUUGCCACCUCCGAAUGAUGUGUGCGGCAUCAUCCAAUACCCAAAAUGGUGAUUCCAGGGAGGCUUCUGAAGGAUCUCAAUGUCCCCCUACAAAUCAACGACGCGUGUAGCACUAUAGCGGUUGGUGGGACGUGUGUGGCCUUCUGUUUUUUUUCUUUUCCCGUCUCUCCUACUCGAUUUUCGUGUUGGGAUUAAAAAAUCAAAUCAGUCCCUAAAGUUUAUUGUACUUAUGAUUUCAUCCCUUUUCUCUUUAUUAUAAUUUUUUAAAUUUAGAAUACUUUAUGAAAUUAUGUGGUUUUUUCAAUUUCAUAAUUGUUCUCUUUGUUGCCUUUUUUUUUUUAGAAUAGUCUACUAAAUUAAGAAAUGUUUUUAAUUUUAGAUGGUUUUCACAAUAUUUUUUUUACCUUGCAAGAUUUUUUUAUUAUGUCAUCCUCCAACAUUUAAAUAGCCUGGUCUUUAGCUUUUUAGUUGAGUCCGGGUCUAAAAUUUAACGGUUUGUUGGUUUAAGAAAUUGACCCCGGUUUCUUUGUUUUUUUUCCAUCCUCCAACAUUUUGUUAUUUUUUAGUCUUUUUUAAAAUAAUGCAGGUUGCCUUGGUUUUUUUUUUUUUUUUUGUCUUUGUUGAAUUUAGUUUUAUGAAGGAAUUUUAUUUUUAAAUUGAAUUAAAUUGAUUGAUUUCAUCUUCUAACAUUUAUUUUUUUAGGUGUUAAGCUCCUACAUUGAGCCUGAGUCAAAAAUUUAAUGGAUUACGGGUUUAAGAGUUUAACCCGAGUUUAUAGGAUUCACGCUCAAGCUUCUUUGGUGUUUUAUUUCUUUUUUAAGCUGUUUUCUUUUUUCAUAUUUCAAUCUCUAACAUUCUUUUUAUGUUUUUUUUUAUUGGUAUCUCCCUUGAAUAUUAAAAAAAUAUAACCUAAAUAACCUAAUUUUUUUCAUUUAAUUUCUGAUUCUCUUAAAGCAUUUGAUUAUUACAAGGAUAAAAGUUAAAAAAACAAAAGGCACCCACACACCUACAUGAUAAAUCGGCUAUAAAUUACAAAAUCAAAAUAACCUCAGCCAACAUUGAUUACUCCAAAUUAAUUUUAAAAUUAGAUUUAUUUGACAUAUAUCUAAAAAAAAUUAAUCUGAAUUUCUUCCUAUAAAAAAUAUGUGAGCAGAGUAUUUCAUGAAACCUAAUAAAAAUAAGAUUCUUCUUCAAUUUUAUUUUUUUAUCAUCAUUUGUAAAUCUUGAUAGAAAAAAUGAGGAAUGUAUUUCUCAUGCCUCCAAACCUCAUCACUCCUAUAUUUGUUUAUUAUCUCCUAAAUACUAACUAAGCACAACCUAAUUUUUAAAUCUGAAUUUUUUAAAAGCAUUUAAUUAUCAUAACAUGUGAAUAAAAAUUUGUGCUCCAAAUGACAAAAUAAAAAUAACCUCAACAAACAUGAUUAGUACUAAUUAAUUUUUACAUUAAUCCACAAGCAAUUUUUAUUAUUGUUCGUGUUAUUUUUGACCUGUCAAGUUAAUCGAGUCAUAUUGUGUCAACUUUCAUGUUUUUAUUUGUAUUUAAAAUUUGAAUGAAAUAAUUCCAGGUUAAUUUAUUUUUAAAUUUAAAUUUAAAUUAUAUUUAUUAAAUUAUAUAUAUAACCCCAAAAAAACAUGCCAAAAUACCCCAAUAAAAAUCAAUGCAGAGCCUUAAUAUACGUACGGGACUUGUUAUAGAUUUCUUUAAAUUGCUUGAAAACGACUCCGAAGUCCAUGCCAUGUACGCGAAGAAAAAGUGACUCUAGAGACAAGGCCAUCUAAUUAAUUAGGAAACAUUUAUUAUCUUUUACGGCAUUAAAAAUGAGCAGAAGGAGGACUCACUGUAACCCUUCUUAUAAUUUUUUUAUCCACCGUAAUAAUUAUUUUGUUAUUCUUAUAAAAUAUAAAGAUAUUUGUUGUUAAUUGUAAAUUUGGUUGAGAGUAGUUACUGUUAUCUAUUUUUUUUAAUUUUCUAAACUAAAUAAAAAAAUAAACACCAUAAACAAAAAUAAUUUUCUAAAUUAAAUAAAAAUAACUAAAAAAUAAAUAAUUUCCCCUAACAAUCCUCGUGUACUUAUCCUGAGUUAUUUAAUUGUUUGUCUCUAGCUACUGGGGAGCACCGCCAUGAAAAGUUGUGUGAGUGCCUUUGCGCUUCAUGGAUUUCUAACAUAUAAUCAUCCGACUCAGAUAAAAUAUGCCAAGAAUCAGUCCCACUCUCCACUACCAAAUCAUUCUUUAUUGAUGAUGUUUGGACAGUACUGCGGAAGAAGAUGAAGUUCUAGAAUCUAAAUUAUAUUUCUAUCGCAAAACCAUAUAUCAAAUCGAUGUAUGGACAAGUGAAUUCGCAUCAGAAUCCCAUGCAACUUUUCAAACGAGCAGCUAACUCUUUAGAAAUAUUAUAUUGAUAAUUGGCAUAUUCAAAAGUGUACGAGGAUCGAUGACCAAUCUUCAGGUUACUUUGAAAUUCAACAGUUAUAGAAAACAAUAUAGCCCUGAAGUCCAGCUUUAGGUGCAUGUUUUCUGCCUUCUGCACAUAUUUAAAACAAUCGCAUUAUCAGUAUGAACAAAAAGUCGCAUUAUCUUCGCUCUUUUCUCCAAAUAUUUGACACACGGGAAAAAUAAACCUAGUUGUUAAUCUAUAGCAUACCUAAAACCAUCUUCUUUGCGUAAAAAUACAUCAGUCAUGCUAAAACGUCCUGAUACUUUAUCAAAUAGAUAAUAAAUUUAUAUUUUACCAAGUAUAAGAUAUCAGUAAGCCACCUUUUAUUCAUAAAAAAAGUCUACCAGCCACCUUAGUGUUGGUAAAGGCGAAUCGAGAGUCAACAUUCAACACUACAAAGUACAAACUACUCAAUUUAAUGGAAAGAAAAAACAAAUAAAAAGUACACAUAUAAGAUUUAAUGUGGGUCAUUAAGCAAAAUUCUAUCUACUCGGCAGACCUAGAGUAACCAUUCUUUACUUGAGAGGAAAUAUAAGAAUAUCAACGUGAUUUUUAUACUUGAAUAUAAAUUCCAAAACUUCUUUGGUAAACCUACUCACUCACUCAAAAGAAAAAAAUUUGAUGAACAAGAAAGAAAACAGCUUGGUGACUAUUCUCAUAGGCAAAGCCAUGAUGAUUCGUAGAUAAGGGGGAUACAAAUAAAAAUACUAUCCCUUCACACAAAUUUAUGUAUAACUUUUUUAUACAUUUCUAAGAAUUAUCUUUAUAAUUAAUUGCUUAUUAUUAUUUUUAUUUAAAAUAGUUUUAAAAAUAAAAGAAAAUUGAAACUUAAGAAACAUGUUUAAUAAAAAUAAAAAAGGUUAACGGACGCAUGUUAUGUGAUUCGAAGAGUUAUUAUUCUGUCUUAUAUAACAAUGCUAUAACAAAAGGCUGAUAUUAAAUAUAUUACCAUCGAUAGUAGUUUAAGAUUUACCAGACUUGAAUCUAAUGAGAUUCUCGUUAUAAAAUAUAUGUUCUUAUUCAUAGAGUUUAUAAAGGUUAUUACCCUUUUUUAUAUUGUUGAAAUGAUGUCAAAGUCUUAAAGACUGUUAGCCAUGUGUUACUAAUUAACUUCUGAUUUUUUGCAUUGUACGUCGUACAUAAUUGCUGGAAGAUAAAACAAUUUAUUUUUUAUUCGUUUUUUUUUUAUCUAUUUUACAUGCAAAAGUUAUCUUAGAAUACUUUUAACCAGAUAUAUUUUAAAAAAAAACCGCAACUAAAAGUGUUUUUGUUACAUUUAUUUUUUCAAAUCAUAACUAUAAAAGCUAUCAUUAUUGUAUGUUUGGUAAUGUGAUGUAGAAUGAUUUUACAAAAAUAUUUUUCAAUUAAAAAUAUAUUAAAAUAAUUUUUUUCAAUUUAAAAAACACUUCAAAAUCAUUAAAAAAUACUUAAAAAUUAAUUAACAACAUUAAUUUAAUAUUUUUUAAAAUUAAAUACAGUUUCCAAAGUUAUUAAUUUAAAUCAAAAAAUUAAAUGAACAAGUUUUUCCUUUAUAUUAUACUAUAUACUAAAAGAUAGCAGCCUUUCAUUGUGGAUUCGUAUAGUGAAAGACUAAAGGCUGAUUUUAUCCUUUAGUGAGCAAAGUAGCAUGCCUUGAAUUUAGAGAUAUAAUGGUUUUUUUCAUGGGAUACAUUGGUCAUUGUUUCAAAGGGAAGGGCUAAAUGAUAUUCUUGCAUUUUCUUUGCACAAUGUGAUGAUUUAAUUACCCUUGUAAAAAAAUCUUGGGUCUAGGGGGCUUAUUAAUCCUUGACUUGAUUUUUCAACAAGUAUGUUACUUCUUUGCCCUUGAAAAUUUAAAACAAUUAUCUUUGACUCUAACGCUUUUUUGUCAUUUAGAUGUGGUCAUUUAGUAGUUAUUGGGUGUCGUUGGAGAUAAUAAAAUAAUUUGGUAAAUUAAAAAAAAAACAGAAUCAUGUGAACAAUGUUUGCCACCUCCGAACGGUGUGUGUAGCGUCAUUCAAUAGCCAAAAUGGUGAUUCCAGGGAGGCUUCUGAAGAAUCUCAACCCCCCCCCCCCAAUGAAUCAAUGACGCGUGUAGCACUAUAGUGGUUGGUGUGACGCGUGUGACCUUUUGUUUUUUUCCCCUCUCUCCUACUCGAUUUUCAUGUUGGGAUUAGAAAAUCAAAUUAGUCCCUAAAGUUUAUUGUACUUAUGAUUUCAUCCCUAUUCUCUUUAUUAUAAUUUUUAAAUUUAGAAUACUUUAUGAAAUUAUGUGAAAUUAUGUGGUUUUUUCAAUUUCAUCUUUAUUCUCUUUGUUGCAUUUUUUUAAUUUAGAAUAGUCUACUAAAUUAAUAAUUGUUUUCAAUUUCAGAUGGUUUUCACAAUUGUUUUUUUUUUUCAAUUUCAUUAUUUUUUAGUUUUUUUCCUAUUAAAUCUAAUCUUUUUUUAUUAUUGUAUUUUUUUUGACCUUGCAAGAUUUUUUUAGAUUGAUUUUUUUUUAUUAUGUCAUCCUCCAACAUUUAAUUAGCCGAGUCUUUAGCUUCUUAGUGGAGUCUGAGUCUAAAAUUUAAUGGUUUAUUGGUUUAAGAGAUUGACCCCAGUUUCUUUGUUUUUUUUUUCCUUUUUUUUUCCAUCCUCUAGCAUUUUGUUAUUUUUUAAUUCACUUUAUAUUGUAUUUUUUAGUCUUUUUAAAAAUAACGCAGAUUGCCUUGGUUUUUUUUUUUUUUUGUCUUUGUUGAAUUUAGUUUUUAUGAAGGAAUUUUAUUUUUAAAUUGAAUUAAAUUGAUUGAUUUUAUCUUUCAACUUUUAAUUUUUUAGGUGUUGAGCUCUUGCGUUGAGCUUGGGUCAAGAAUUUAAUGGAUUGCGGGUUUGAGAGUUUAACCCGAGUUUAUAGGGUUCACUCGGGCUUCUUUGGUGUUUUGUUUCUUUUUUUAAUCUCUUUUCUUUUUCAUAUUUCAACCUAUAACAUUCUUUUUUUACUCUCUUUUUAUAGGAUUUAUCUUUCUUUUUUAAAAUAACAAGGGUUGCCUCAAAGUUUUUUCUUUCAAUCUUUGUUAAAUUUUGCUUCUUUAAAAGGAUUUUUUAAUUAAAUUAAUUUUUUUAAUUUCAUCCUCGUGUAUUUAAAUUGAGGCAAUACAUGAGAGAAUUUUUUUUUAAUUAAGUUUUUUGAAAAUUGGUAUUUGUUUUUCCAUUUUUUUCUAUAAAGUUAUCCUGAUAUUAUGUCUCAAGUCAUCGAUUCAAUAGAUUUACCAAGUUUGACUUAGGUAUUUUUUUCAUUUCUUUUUAUUUGUUUUAUCUUGAGUCAAUGAUCAAAAUCUUAAUUUUUUUUAAAAAAAAUGCAUCGUCAUAGUGUUUUUUUUACUUGGUUUUUUUUUUCUAAAUCUAUAUUUCUUUCUCUAUUUUCAUACUUCAACAUUUAGUUUAUUAGAGACCGGGUUUAAUAAUUUAUUGUAGUUUGCUUUAUAUAUGGUUAGUUCAGUUUCUUUAUACGCUAUAAACUAAAAGAGGUGGUGAAUUUACUAUUUACCGCCUCACAAAACACUAUUCAUUCCAAUAAUAUUUUUUUAAUUUUGUUUUUUGUUUUCUAAAUCUAUAUAUUAUUUCUCUAAUUUCAUAUUUCAACAUUUAGUUUAUUGGAGACUGAGCUUACUAAUUUAUAAUAGUUUGCUUUAUAUAUGGUUAGCUAAGUCUAAUAACUCGUAUUACGGGUUUGACGAGUUAGCUCAAUUUUUUUUUUUGUCUUUUUAUAAUUGGUAUUUUUUAAUUUUAUCAUUCAAUAUUGGGUUAAUUAUGAAUUAAGCUUCAUGAUUUAUUUUGAUUUGUUUUUUAUGAGGUUAUCCUGGUUUUAUGACUCAGGUCACGUGUUUUACGAAUUAAGUCGUGUAGACUCAGGUCUUUUAUUAUAUAAUAUUUUUAGAUUGAUUUUUUUUUUCAAUUUCAACCUUAAACAAUAAGUUUAUUGAAAAUUAAGAUUUAUAAUUUGUUUUGAUUUACUUUUUAUAAAGUUAUCACAAUCUCAUGACCUUGGUUGCGGGUUUGGCAAGUUAAUCUAGGUUGAGACUCACGCUAUUUUUUUUGUUUACUUUCUAUGAAAAAUUAAAAUAGUUUAGUAAUAAAAUUAAUAUAAAAAAUAAAUUGGGUGCAAAAUUGAUAACACCCAUGUAGUUUAAUGGUAUAUUUUUUUUUUAAACAAAAGGCUAUCAUUUUGAAAGUUUUAUUAAAAAGUCAUGUUUUUAACAAUCAUUAAGAUUGUAUUUUGAUCCAUAAAAUCAAUUAAUUUAAUUUAAGUUAAAUUUUACAUGAUUUAAUUAAAAACUUGAGUUAGAUAAAAAAAAACUAAAUUAUAAAAUUAACUUAUUAAAUCAAUAAUAUAAUUAAAAGAUCUUCAUGCUUUUAAUAUUUUUUUACAUUUAAAAAAAAUUAUCCAAUGAAUAACAGUUCAAUAAACUAGUAGAAGUUAGAUCAUGAGACACUCACAUCAGCUGAACUACUUCAUGAUUGAUAUGUUUUAAAUUAGCAAUUAAAAUAUCAAAGGAUUUCUGGGACACUCCCAAUGAUAUUAAUUUGUAAAAUACUUAAUUUUUUUAGGUAAUUGUAACAUAAAUCCUUAAUUGAAAAAUAAAAAUAGUUUACUAAUAAAAUUAAUAUAAAAAAUAAAUUGGGUGCAAAAUUGAUAACACCCAUGUAGUUUAAUGGUAUUUUUUUUUAAAAAAAGCUAUCAUUUUAAAAGUUUUAUUAAAAAUUAAGUCAUGUUUUUAUCAGUUAUUAAAAUUAUAUUUUAAUCCAUAAAAUCAAUCAAUUUAAUUUAAGCUAACUUUUACAUGAUUUAAUUAGAAAGUUAGAUAAAAAAAACUAAAUUGCAUGAUUUUAUAAUUAACUUAUUAAACCAGAUUUAAUAAUAUAAUUAAAAGAUUCUUCAUGAUUCUUCAAAAUUUACAUGAUUUAAUUAGAAAGUUAGAUAGAAACUAGAUCAUAAGACACUAACGUCAGAUGAACUACUUCAUGAUUGAUAUGCUUUAAAUGAGCAAUUAAAAUAUCAAAGGAUUUCUAGGAUACUCCCAAGAUGUUUAAUUAUUAGAGGGUUAAUUUUAGUUCCCUGAUAUCUUCUGAUUGUUGCUGGUUGUAGAUUUCCUCCUUCUUCCAUCUUGAUGACUGCUACUCAUAUCAAAGGAUUUGCAAACUAAAUUCAUGUUUUUUUUUUUUUUUUUUUUUUUUUUUUUUUUAAGUUGAAAAUUCAGUUGAAUCAACCAGAUCAGAUCAGAUCAGAUCAGAUCUAGAUUUAAUCAACUUAAUUUUAUUUGAAAAUGACAGGGAAUUGACAUUCUUAACUUUAUUUGUUUGUCAUUAUCUUUAUAUUAUGCUUUUUAUCUUAAUUAUUUCAUAAAAUUGCAUUUUUAUGGGAAUUGCUGCUUUAAACUCAUAAGUGUAAACUAUUUUGUUUCAAUGUAUUCGUUAGAUCGGUGGUAUGCUAUCUUUCACUAAUGAAAUUCUGUUUAUUGGUUUUGAGAAGAAAAAAAAAAGUAUUUCUAUCUUUGUUUUAUGGAAAAAGCACAUAGAUCCAAGAACUAGAUAUAACAAAAGAUAUUCGAGGAAAUGAGUGUUUAAAAUUAGAUAAAGCUGUUGUGUAAAUAAGCGUAUGAUGCAGAGAUAGUCAUUACAGAUUUUAGUUGGCUAAGAUUGAUCCUUUGUUGAGUUCGUUCCAUUAAUUAUACUUCCUUGCAAGUCUUUUUUGUCUCCUUAUUCAUAACUUUUUUUUUUAAAAAAAAACAUUGACCUAUCAUAGCUUUAGAUUGAUUAGAUGAGUUGUUGGAAGCGAUGAGCAGCUCGUAUCAUUCGUGCAGGUGUCAAAGUGAUCAUCAUCAACCUUCCAUACAGAGAGACUGGUGGAAAAUGGCUAUCGAAAGUGUUGGUGGGUCCGUUGUAUCUAAGAUAGCAGAGCUCUUGGUGGAACCAGCAAUCAAGCAGUUCCGUUACAUGUUCUGUUUCAACAAUUUUGUUCAAGAAUUCGAUGAACAAAUGAUGAACCUGGCUUUGGCAUUUUAUCGUCUGCAAGAUGCUGUCAACGUAGCUGAAAGGAAUGCUGAAGAAAUUGAGAUUGAUGUCAACACAUGGCUGGAAAAUGCAAAAAACGAAAUUGAAGGUGUGAAUCGUUUGCAAAAUGAAAAAGGAAAAAUCAUCAAAUGCUUUACUUGGUGUCCAAAUUCGAUGCGACAAUUCAAGUUAAGCAAGGCACUGGCAAAGAAGACGGAGACUUUGAGAAAACUUGAAGAAAAUAGCAGAAAGUUUCCAAAAGUGUCCCACAAAGCACCUCUUCAAGAGAUAAAAUUUCUUCCAUCAAAGGAAUUCACACUCUCAGGAUCGUCAAAAGAAGCUUUCAAACAGAUUAUGAAAGCUCUCAAAGAUGACAAGGUCAAUAUGAUCGGACUGUACGGCAUGGGAGGGGUGGGUAAAACCACCCUGGUGAAAGAAGUAGGCAGGAGAGCCAAAGAGUUGCACCUUUUUGAUGAAGUUUUGAUAGCUACGGUGUCCCAGAAUCCAAAUGCCACAGGCAUCCAGGAUCAAAUGGCAGAUAGUUUAGAUCUGCAAUUUGACAAGAAGAGUAAAGAAGGGAGAGCAAAAGAACUAUGGCAGAGACUGCAGGGAAAGAAGAUGCUUAUAGUCCUGGAUGAUGUUUGGAAAGAUAUUGACUUCCAAGAGAUAGGGAUCCCAUUUGGUGAUGAUCACAGGGGUUGUAAAAUUCUUCUAACAACACGUCUUGAAGACAUGUGUUCUUAUAUGAAGUGCAAGGAAAAAGUUUUUUUAUGUCUCUUUUCUAAAGAGGAAGCAUGGGCUUUAUUCAGAAUCAAUGCAGCUUUACGUGACGAGGACUCUACCUUGAACAGGGUGGCAAAGAAGGUUGCGAGAGAAUGUAAUGGAUUGCCUGUAGCACUUGUGACAGUGGGAAGGGCUCUAAGAGAUAAAUCUGUUGUUGAGUGGGAAGUAGCGUCUGAAGAGCUCAAAAACUCUCAAUUUCGGCAUUUGGAACAAAUUGACGGACAAAAAAAUGCAUAUGCAUGUCUUAAGUUGAGCUAUGAUUAUUUGACGUCCGAUGAAACCAAGUCAUGUUUCUUGCUAUGCUGUUUAUUUCCAGAAGAUUACGACAUUCCGAUUGAGGACUUGACGAGAUACGCAGUUGGCUAUGGGUUACAUAAAGAUGCGGAGUCCAUUGAAGAUGCAAGGAAACGAGUUUAUGUGGCAAUCAAAAACCUCAAAGCUUGUUGUAUGCUGUUAGGAACUUUUAGUGAAGAAUAUGUCAAAAUGCAUGACUUGGUUCGUGAUGUUGCUAUUCGGAUAGCAUCAUCAGAAAAAUACGGAUUCAUGGUAAAGGCUGGCAUUGGGUUGCUAGAGUGGCCAACGAGCAAUAAAAGCUUUGAAGGUUGUACAACAAUUUCGUUAAUGGGCAAUAAACUAGCAGAACUUCCUGAAGGAUUGGUGUGUCCACAGCUCAAAGUUCUAUUGUUAGGACUGGAUCGUGGUUUGAAUGUUCCAGAGAGGUUUUUUGAAGGGAUGAAAGCAAUAGAAGUUUUGUCUCUAAAGGGAGGGUGUUUGUCAUUGCAAUCACUUCAAUUCUCAACGAACCUUCAAUCGUUGCUGUUGAUCGAGUGUGAAUGCAAGGACCUCAUUUGGUUGAGAAAGCUGCAAAGACUUAAUAUUCUUGUUUUCAGGCGGUGCGGCUCCAUUGAAGAAUUACCUGAUGAAAUUGGGGAGCUCAAGGAGUUGAGGUUGUUGGAUUUGACAGGUUGUGAAAAUCUAAGAAGGAUUCCUGUGAAUUUGAUAGGAAGGUUGAAGAAGUUAGAAGAACUGCUGAUCGGGGAUCGGAGCUUCAAGGGAUGGGAUGUUGUUGGAUGUGACAGCACAGAAGGAAUGAAUGCAAGCCUAACAGAACUAAACUCGUUGUCUCAUUUAGCUGUAUUAUCAUUGAAGAUACCGAAGGUUGAAUGCAUUCCCAGAGAUUUUGUUUUUCCCAGGUUGCUCAAAUAUGAUAUAGUGUUAGGGGAUUGGUAUUCAGGACCCCAUAAAGAAUACCCAACCUCGACAAGAUUAUAUUUGGGUGAUAUAAGCGCCACAUCCUUAAAUGCAAAGACAUUUGAGCAGUUGUUUCCUACCGUGUCUCAUAUUUGGUUUUGGAGAGUGGAGGGUUUAAGAAAUAUAGUAUUGUCCUCUGAUCAGAUGACCUCCCAUGGCCAUGGGUCGCAAAAGGACUUCUUUCAAAGAUUAGAAUAUGUAGCAGUGAGAGAAUGUGAUGAUAUUCGCACUCUGUUUCCAGCAAAAUGGCGGCAAGCUUUGAAAAAUCUAAGGAGAGUGGAAAUUGAAGACUGCCAAUCAUUGGAUGAAGGAAUUAACGAGGAGAAGGAGCUGCCAUUUUUAACGGAGUUACAGCUGUCCUGGUUACCUGAGCUCAAAUGUAUAUGGAAGGGGCCCACUAGACAUGUCAGCCUCCAAAGUCUUACUCGUCUGGAGCUCAGAUGUCUUAACAAACUGACAUUUAUCUUUACUCCGUCCCUCGCUCAAAGUUUUAUUCAUCUGGAAACGCUACGGAUAGAAAAUUGCCAUGGAUUGAAGCGUCUUAUCAGAGAACAGGAUGACGAAAUCAGGACAGAGUCUCUUGGCUUCCCAAAAUUAAAAAAUCUCUCUAUAAUAUUCUGUGAUAAACUUGAAUAUGUCUUCCCUGUCUCCGUGUCUCCAAGUCUUCAGAACCUGGAAGAGAUGCAGAUUGUUUUUGCUGACAAUUUAAAGUCUCUUGUAUUUUACAGUGGAGAAGGAGAUGACAUCAUCGUCAAGUCUAAAAUUAAAGAUGGCAUCAUCGACUUCCCUCAGCUAAGAGAAUUGUCUCUUUCAAAGUGCAGCUUUUUUGGUCCAAAGGAUUUUGCUGCCCUAUUGCCUUCUUUGCAAUGUCUAAGGAUCUCUGGCCUUGAAGAAUGGGGUAAUUUGUUGGCACAGCUUCGAGUACGUCCUUUAAAUUGUCAACUUCAAUACAUUGUGAUAAUUUGUUCUAUCUUCCUCCAAAUUUCUAAAACUAAACUAAACUAAACUUCCACUGAAUUUAAUUGAUGAUUUAAAUUGGCUUAGGAAGUUAGACAUCAAUUACUGUAAUAUAAUUUCUUAUCUCAUCCUUCAGAUUCUAAAACUAAAGUAGUGGAUAAAUCCUUUAGCCAUCCACUGAAUUUAAAAGGAGUGAAAUUGAGGCUCUUCCGCCAAUUAAUGGAAAGUAUUUGGACAGAACGAUAAAGCUCCGUCUGAGAAUAUUGAGUUUUUUGUUUCAGUGCUGCAACUUAUGAUGUCAUGGUUCAAAAAAUUAAUAAAAAUUGGUUUUUUUAUCCAAUUUUUUAAGCAAUUAGAUUCAAAAAGCAAAAAUUGAAACUUUCUUUUUAAAUGCAAUAUUUUUCUCAUUCAAAGAACUUCAAAAGCACCAAAUUUGUAUUGAGUUCCAAAAACAUAUUUUUUUAAUAUUUUUUUCAUUUUUUUUACGAUUUGUUUUCACUUUUUUUUAUGAAAAAAAUAAUUUAAAUGAUCAAUAAUCAAGCAUUUUUAUUAAAAAAAUUUACUAAUAUGUAAAAUUCAAAUUAUUUUCUUUUAUAUUUUUAUUUUUGAAAAAUGUCAUAAUUGUUUUUUUUUAUUAUAAAUCGAAUAUAAAAAAAUAAUUUUUUUGAGUUUAAGUAUAAUUUUUCAUGAUUGCUUUUAAUUUAACUACUAUAAAAUAAUAGUUUGUAUUCAGAUUAUCAUAAAUAUGAAAAAAUAUGAUUUUAUAUUCCCAUGACCCGUUGCCUUGUCUAUCUAUAUCUUCUUGUUGAUAAGUAUUUCGGUAUUGGGAAUAAUUGGUUCAUCUAUUUAACAAAAUUAUAUAAUAGUUUCAAAGUGCACAAAAAUUACUAGGAAUUAUAUCUAAUAAAUUGGUACCCUUAUUUUCUUUUGAUGCAGGGGUUUACAAGUUUGGAAACAUUGAAGUUGUCCUCCCUGCUUGUGCCUGACUUGAGGUGUAUAUGGAAGGGUCUCGUGCCAUGCAAUUUGACUACUUUGGAGGUGAAAGAGUGUAAGAGGCUGACACAUGUAUUCACAGACAGCAUGAUUGCUAGUCUUGUUCAACUGAAAGUUCUAGAGAUAUCAAAUUGUGAGGAAUUGGAGCAAAUCAUUGCUAAGGAUAAUGAUGAUGAAAAGGAUCAGAUAUUUUCAGGAAGUGAUCUCCAAUCUGCAUGCUUUCCUAAUUUGUGUCGACUUGAGAUUAGAGGAUGCAACAAGUUGAAGAAGUUGGAGGUGGAUGGAUGCCCAAAGCUGACCAUAGAAUCUGCUACUACAUCAAAUGACUCAAUGAGUGGUCAAUCAGAGGUGCUGCUGAUUUGACUUGAUUUCUUGCCUCUCAUUUAGUUUUAAAAGUGCGCAAUAAUUACUAUGAAUUACAUCUAACAACUUGGUACCCUUGUUUUCUUUUGAUGCAGGGGUUUAUGAAUUUGAAAGAAAUAUCUAUUGGAAACUUGGAAGGAGUACAAGAUUUAAUGCAAUUUGAACGUUUGGUAACUAAUAGAAGAGGUGGGCAUGAACUUUCACUCGUGAGUUUGGAAACAUUACAGUUGAACUUAUUGCCUGACUUGAGGUGUAUAUGGAAGGGCCUAGUGCCGAGCAAUUUGACUACUUUGAAGGUGAAAAGGUGUAACAGACUGACACAUGUAUUCACAGACAGCAUGAUUGCUAGUCUAGUUCAACUGAAAGUUCUAGAGAUAUCAAACUGUGAGGAAUUGGAGCAAAUCAUUGCUAAGGAUAAUGAUGAUGAAAAGGAUCAGAUAUUUUCAGGAAGUGAUCUCCAAUCUGCAUGCUUUCCUAAUUUGUGUCGACUUGAGAUCAGAGGAUGCAACAAGUUGAAGAGUCUCUUCCCAGAAGCCAUGGCUUCAGGUCUCAAAAAGCUCCAAAUACUUAAAGUAAGAGAAUCCUCUCAAUUAUUGGGAGUAUUUGGGCAGGAUGAUCAUGCUUCACCUGUCAAUGUUGAGAAGGAGAUGAUGCUCCCUGAUCUGCAGGAGUUGUUGCUUGUACAAUUACCAAGUAUUUCCUGCUUUAGUCUCGGAUGUUAUGAUUUCUUGUUCCCUCAUUUGAAGAAGUUGGAGGUGGAUGGAUGCCCAAAGCUGACCACAGAAUCUGCUACUACAUCAAAUGACUCAAUGAGUGCUCAAUCAGAGGUGCUGCUGAUUUGACUUGAUUUCGUGCCUCUUAUUUAGUUUUAAAAGUGCGCAAUAAUUACUAUGAAUUACAUCUAACAAAUUGGUACCCUUGUUUUCUUUUGAUGCAGGGGUUUAUGAAUUUGAAAGAAAUAUCUAUUGGAAACUUGGAAGGAGUACAAGAUUUAAUGCAAGUUGGACGUUUGGUAACUAAUAGAAGAGGUGGGCGUGAACUUUCACUCGUUAGUUUGGAAACAUUACGCUUGAACUUAUUGCCAGACUUGAGGUGUAUAUGGAAGGGUAUCCUGCCGAGCAAUUUGACUACUUUGAAGGUGAACGACUGUAAGAGACUGACACAUGUAUUCACAGACAGCAUGAUUGCUAGUCUAGUUCAACUGAAAGUUCUAGAGAUAUCAGCUUGUGAGGAAUUGGAGCAAAUCGUUGCUAAGGAUAAUGAUGAUGAAAAGGAUCAGAUAUUUUCAGGAAGUGAUCUCCAAUCUGCAUGCUUUCCUAAUUUGUGUCGACUUGAGAUUAGAGGAUGCAACAAGUUGAAGAAGUUGGAGGUGGAUGGAUGCCCAAAGCUGACCAUAGAAUCUGCUACUACAUCAAAUGACUCAAUGAGUGGUCAAUCAGAGGUGCUGCUGAUUUGACUUGAUUUCUUGCCUCUCAUUUAGUUUUAAAAGUGCGCAAUAAUUACUAUGAAUUACAUCUAACAACUUGGUACCCUUGUUUUCUUUUGAUGCAGGGGUUUAUGAAUUUGAAAGAAAUAUCUAUUGGAAACUUGGAAGGAGUACAAGAUGUUAGCGUGAGCUGUACAGUUUAGGAAUUAAUGUUGGCGUGAGCUGUAGAAUCCAAUAUAGGAAUUAUAUUUUUAAUAUUCUGUAAUUGUAUAUAUCCCAAUAUAUAUGGGAUUAAUGUUACUUACCUAGAUAGUUAUCUUGGGAAGGGUUUCUCUAUAUAAGAGAACCACUCUGUAACGUUUGAAGAAUAAGAAAAAGAAGGGAAUACACAGGGCGGCUGCUCUCUGAUUUAUCAUGGUAUCAGAGCUACGUUCCAUUAUUUGUUUCUUGAAGAUCUAGCAAACAACCUAAGGAAAAUAAAGCAUGGCCACACCAAUUGACUUGAUUGAACAAGAACAACCGAAUACAGCUACAACUCUUGAUGAUCUCACGACGAGAAUGGCUCAAAUUGUAACCCAAAACCAGACCCAGACCCCAUCAGUAAUCUAUGAUACUGUUGCUGUACCGAUUGGUAUCAAACUUGAUGGUACCAACUAUGCUUUAUGGUCCCAAAUUGUGGAGAUGUAUAUCUCAGGAAAAGACAAGUUGGGAUACAUAAAUGGUGACCUUCCACAACCAGAACCGAAUGAUCCCCACUUCAGGAGAUGGAGAACAGAAAACUCUAUUGUUAAGGGAUGGCUUAUUAACUCAAUGGAGCCGUCUCUCAUAGGAAACUUUAUCCGAUUUUCCACGGCCAAACAGGUAUGGGACUCGAUCGCCACUACUUACUUUGAUGGAUCCGAUACUUCUCAGGUGUAUGAUUUGAAGCGACGAGUAACACGAAUGAAACAAUCAGGAGAGUCCAUUGAAACAUACUACAAUUGCCUCCAAGGCUUAUGGAGGGAAAUUGAUUUCCGUAGACCAAAUCCUAUGGAAUGUGCUGUUGAUAUUCAAAAGUAUAAUGCUUUGCUUCAAGAGGAUCGAGUGUAUACUUUUUUGGAUGGACUAGAUGAUAGGCUGGACAAUAUACGUAGUGAUGUGCUCCAACUGAAACCUUUCCCAACGGUUGAACAAGCUUAUGCCUAUGUUCGAAGGGAAGCUAUUAGACAGACGGUUAUGCUCACUAAUAAUGGAAAUUCUCCUGCUGCAGCAAUGGUUUCUAGGGGAGGGAAAGCCUACUUACCUCGACAGCAAGCACUCCAAAUAACCAGAUCAGGGACGUCUUCAUCAAGAGGGCGUAACAAUUAUCACCUAGCAAAGACUAAAGGACAGGUGGAGAGUGAAAGCAGUGGCUGUUCUCAUUGUGGAAACAUGAAGCAUACACGGGACACUUGCUUCAAACUGCAUGGCUAUCCAGAAUGGUGGAAUGAAUUAAAAACACGGAAGCAGAGGGUUGUUGCUGGGGACACAGGACAAGCAUCUUUGGCAGACACUAAGCCACAAUUAUCGUUAGCUCCACUUGUAGAAUCUGGAGACGAUGCCAUAAUUCUGCCUAAGGAUCAAGGUAAUACAGGAACUAAAACCGACUGGAUAGUGGACUCUGGUGCAACGGAUCACAUGACUUUUUGUUCAGGAGACUUUGCUAAUACUACAGAACCAAGGCGAACUGGUAUAACCAAUGCCAAUGGGGUUGUCUACCCUGUCACAGGAGCUGGAACAGUGCACAUAUCACCCUCCAUAUCAUUAACCAAUACUUUAUUAGUGCCUUCUCUAUCAAAUAAAUUGUUAUCUGUGAGCCAAGUUACCGAAGACCUAAACUGUGUAGCACUAAUGUAUCCAAAAUUUUGCCUUUUUCAGGAUAUUCUCACGGAGGAGAUCAUUGGGCGUCGUACUAAGAGAGAGGGGUUAUACUACAUGGAUGACUUUAAUUCCGGCAGAGUCAACACCGUGAGUCGAUCUUUACUGACAAAAGAAAACCAGAUUUGGCUAUGGCAUUAUCGGUUGGGACAUCCAUCUUUUAGCUACAUGAAGUAUUUAUUUCCGAAAUUGUUUUUGAAUUUGAAUUAUUCAGACUUUAAAUGUGAAACUUGCAUCCUUGCCAAGAGUCAUCGUGUAUCCUUUCCGAUUAGCUUGAAUAAAAGUGAUACUCCUUUUGCCUUGGUUCACUCUGAUGUUUGGGGACCAUCUCCCAUUACCACUGUCUCUGGCAUACGUUGGUUUGUUACCUUCGUGGAUGAUUGUACUAGGAUGACAUGGCUCUAUUUACUGAAGCGCAAAAAUGAAGUUUUUGAUGUGUUUCGUAUGUUUCACGCUAUGGUUCAUAAUCAAUUUUCAGCAAACAUACGGAUUUUUCGAUCGGAUAAUGGGGGAGAAUAUGUGAAUAAUAACUUUUCAGCAUUUUUUCACAGGAACGGUAUUCUCCAUGAAUUAUCCUGUAGUCAAACUCCACAACAAAAUGGAGUGGCAGAACGGAAAAACCGACAUAUUCUAGAAACUGCACGGGCAUUAUUAUUUGGAGCACAGGUGCCUAGUAGACAUUGGGAUGAUAGUGUUACUACUGCUGUCUAUUUAUUGAAUCGAAUGCCUUCAAAAACCUUGGACUUCAAGACUCCUCUACAGGUUUUGUCACGACAUGUUACUCUACCAUCUAUACUGUUACUUCCACCGCGUGUGUUCGGCUGCGUGACAUUUGUUCAUAUACAUAAACAUCAACGAACAAAACUUGAACCGUGUGCUGUUCGUUGUAUGUUUCUUGGGUAUGGCUCGAAUAAGAAGGGAUUCCGCUGCUAUGAUCCUAAAACCAAACGACUCUAUACUACAAUGGAUGUUACUUUCCUAGAGUCAGAAUAUUUUUACUCAUCCACGACAUCAACUUCUCCUCUCUAGGGGGAGACGUGGGAUGAAGAGAAGAAGUGGUGGAACACUGAAGCUGCUGAGAAUAUGGUAACGGUUUCAACCCCAGCUGAGACUGAAGCUGCUGAGAGUAUAUCCACGGGUCCAACUGAGGCUGCUGAUAUAGCCACGGUUCCAAACAUGGUAGCUGAAGGUGUUGCAGAGACAGAGUGCAUUAAUAACAGUAAGACAGUUGAUGAGGAGGACCAACAAACUGCACCCGACAGAAUGAGUAAAACCCCCUCUCUUGAAGUACCCGACAAUGAAACUCCUUUGCAUGAGGAUAUUCCUGAGGUAAUUUCUCCUACACCAUCCACCAGUAAUAUUUUGAAUUCUUCUGCUAGCUAUCACUUACCUUUCAGGCAGAACAGAGGCAAGCCUCCAGCCCGGUACUCACCAGAUAUGGCAGGAAAGAAAUCAAAGUACCCCGUCUCCAAUUAUGUAUCCACACAAAGACUGCCUAUGCUUCUCAAGGCCUUUGCAUACAAGUUGUCCUCCUGCCAUAUCCCUUAUGGAAUUCAUGAAGCAUUAGCAGAUCCCAAAUGGUCCCAAGCAAUCCAAGAAGAAAUGGCAGCCCUAGAAAAGAACAAAACAUGGGACAUUGUCACAUUACCACAAGGGAAGAAAACCGUUGGGUGUAAGUGGGUAUUCUCCACCAAAUAUAAAGCAGAUGGAUCCAUUGAGCGACACAAGGCAAGAUUGGUAGCGAAGGGGUAGACACAGACUUAUGGGAUAGAUUAUCAGGAGACGUUUUCUCCAGUAGCAAAACUGAACACAGUCAGAGUUUUGUUAUCCUUGACUGCAAAUUUAGAUUGGCCACUACACCAAUUUGAUGUGAAAAAUGCCUUCCUUCAUGGAGACCAUGAGGAGGAAGUGUAUAUGGAUAUCCCACCAGGAUAUACUUCAACCAAACCCGGAACUGUCUGCAGAUUACAACGAGCUUUAUAUGGAUUAAAGCAGUCACCACGCGCAUGGUUUGGUCGAUUUAGCAUGGCUAUGAGAAAGUAUGGUUUUCAACAGAGCAACUCAGAUCAUACCCUCUUCCUGAAGAAGCAACAAGGAAAGGUAAUUGUCCUGAUAAUUUAUGUAGAUGAUAUGAUCAUUACAGGAGAUGAUGAAGAAGAAAUUAAAAGAUUGCAAGAGCAGCUAUUUACCGAAUUUGAAAUGAAGAACUUAGGUGGACUUAAGUACUUCUUAGGGAUUGAAGUGGCUAGAUCAAAGCGGGGAAUUUUUCUCUCACAAAGAAAGUAUGUAUUGGACCUACUGACUGAAGUAGGAAUGCUUGACUGCAAACCGGCAGACACUCCAACCGUUCAGAAUCAAAAACUUGGAUUGUAUCCUGAUCAGGAACCAGCUGAUAAAGACAGGUAUCAACGAUUGGUAGGUAAACUGAUUUACUUAUCUCAUACUCGUCCAGAUAUUUCUUACGCUGCCAGCCUAGUUAGUCAAUUCAUGCAUUGUCCUAGCAAGGAUCACAUGGAUGCAGUUGGUCGAAUACUUCAGUACCUAAAAUCCGCUCCAGGAAGAGGACUUAUGUUCUUGAAGAAUGGUCAUUUGGAUAUUGAAGGUUACACGGAUGCUGACUGGGCAGGAAAUUUGUUUGAUAGAAAAUCUACAUCUGGCUACUUCACUUUCGUCGGUGGUAACUUGGUUACAUGGAGGAGUAAAAAACAGAAAGUGGUAGCUUUGUCGAGUGCCGAGGCUGAGUUCAGAGGAAUGGCUAAAGGCCUUUGCGAACUUCUUUGGAUUAGAAGACUACUCUCUGAAAUUGGUUUCACUCCUAAGUCAGGAAUGAACCUGUACUGCGAUAAUAAAGCUGCAAUUGCAAUUUCUCAAAAUCCAAUUCAGCAUGACCGGACGAAACAUAUCGAGAUAGACCGACAUUUCAUUAAACAGAAUCUUGAAGAAGGAGUGAUUUGCUUUCCUUUUGUUAGAUCAGAAGACCAACUUGCUGAUAUGCUCACAAAGGCUGUCUCCAACAAAAACUUUCGUGACUCACUUAACAAGUUGGGCAUAGAAGAUAUCUUUGCACCAACUUGAGGGGGAGUGUUAGCGUGAGCUGUACAGUUUAGGAAUUAAUGUUGGUGUGAGCUGUAGAAUCCAAUAUAGGAAUUAUAUUUUUAAUAUUCUGUAAUUGUAUAUAUCCCAAUAUAUAUGGGAUUAAUGUUACUUACCUAGAUAGUUAUCUUGGGAAGGGUUUCUCUAUAUAAGAGAACCACUCUGUAACGUUUGAAGAAUAAGAAAAAGAAGGGAAUACACAGGGCGGCUGCUCUCUGAUUUAUCACAAGAUUUAAUGCAAUUUGAACGUUUGGUAACUAAUAGAAGAGGUGGGCAUGAACUUUCACUCGUGAGUUUGGAAACAUUACAGUUGAACUUAUUGCCUGACUUGAGGUGUAUAUGGAAGGGCCUAGUGCCGAGCAAUUUGACUACUUUGAAGGUGAAAAGGUGUAACAGACUGACACAUGUAUUCACAGACAGCAUGAUUGCUAGUCUAGUUCAACUGAAAUUUCUAGAGAUAUCAAAUUGUGAGGAAUUGGAGCAAAUCAUUGCUAAGGAUAAUGAUGAUGAAAAGAAUCAGAUAUUUUCAGGAAGUGACCUCCAAUCUCCAUGCUUCCCUAAUUUGUGUCGACUUGAGAUCACAGGAUGCAACAAGUUGAAGAGUCUCUUCCCGGUAGCCAUGGCUUCAGGUCUCAAAAAGCUCCAGAUACUUAAAGUAAGAGAAUCCUCUCAAUUAUUGGGAGUAUUUGGGCAGGGUGAUCAUGCUUCACCUGUCAAUGUUGAGAAGGAGGUGGUGCUCCCUCAUCUGUUGCAGCUGAUUCUAGAAGAAUUACCAAGCAUUGUCUACUUCAGUCAUGGAUGUUAUGAUUUCAUAUUCCCUCGUUUGUGGAACUUGGAGGUGCGUCAAUGUCCAAAGCUGACCACAAGAUUUGCUACUACAUCAAAUGGUUCAAUGAGUGCUCAAUCAGAGGUGUUGCAUAUUUGACAUGAUUUCUUGCCUCUCUUUAAGUGUUUUUAUUUCUUGUUUCCCUCAAUAAUAAGACUUACAAGUUAGAAUAUGUAUGCCAUGCUUGAAUUGGCUUUGCAGGUAUCUCAAGUAGCUGAGGGUUCCAGCACUGGUUGCUCCGUGCCAACCAGCAGUUGUAGAACGUGGACCUCAUAUAAUGGGUGGGAAGAGGAAAAAGAGGAAGAGGAUGGAGUCAGAUGAUUAGUUUGGCAUUGGAAUUUGAAAAGCAUGCUAGUAAUUCAUUCUUGCAGGUAAAAUGGCUGCAACUAUUUAUCUUGUAUCCUUGUUUAAAUGGUUGGAUUAAAUCAACAAAUACGAGAUGCCUGGAUGAUCUUUGUUCUUGAUGUUUGCAUUAGGUUGGGUUGGUUGGUUACCUAUGUGAUGAUCAACUCGACAUUGGUGGGAAGUAAUUCCAGCUGUUUCAUUAGCUACAACAAUUUGUCUUAUUUCAUGUGUUUGUUGUGUGAACUUCCAGAAAUAUUGUGUGUUUAAUAAUUUAUUGUGCGAACCUUCAAAAAAGGGCUUUUGUUUGUUUGCCCAUUUGUGUUUCUUUUUCAAGUGUCUGAACCUUUGGAAGUUUCCACAGUUCCUGACAGCUUAGGUUAAGGCUACAAUAGGGAGUAGUGUUGUAAUCUUUCAACACCUACUAUGAGACAGAUUGUACUUUAUAACAAAACUCUGUGAAGACAUGGAAGGGGGUCCUGUCAAUUAAUGAAUAAAACUUUGUCAAAAUGAUUGCCAACUUUGCUUUCACGGCAGAUACAAUUAAUUAAUACUUUGAUGGGUAAUGUCAUGUGUUUUUAUACAAUAUUUAUUUUAAUUAAAAAUAUAUUAAAAUAAUAUUUUUUAAAUAUUGAUAUAUUAAAAUUAUUAAAAAAACAUAUAAAAACAUUGAUUUAAUGUUUUUUUUUAAAUUAAAUCAAUUUUAAAAACAUUUUAAGAAAAUAAAUUGAAUAGUAAAAACAAUUGAGAUUGUGGUAAUUAUUGUUUUUCAAGUGUUUUUUAUUAAAAAAUAAAUCAAGAUAAUAUAUUAAUUUAAUUUUUUUAAAAAUUCAUCUACUUUGCCUUCACCAAAAUACAAUUCUUUUGUAUUCUUGUGUCAUUAAACAUUUCAUAGUGAUAGUGCAAUGGAAUCUCGAGAUUUUAAUUUUUUUUUCAUCUUAUUUCUAAAUUUGGAACAAUUACUCAACAUUCUUGCUCUUAUUUUUGAACAAAAUAGACGUGCUAUUUUUAAUAGUUGAUACUAUAUGUCAUAUCAAAUUGAUUAUAUAUAUAUAUAUAUAAUCAAUUUACAAAUUUAUUGACAGAAUAUGAAAUUCCAAUAUAUAAGUAAAAGGAUAAAUCCUCUAGCUUUGAAAAGAAUUAGUGUUUGCCUUUGAGAUUGUAAUAUUUUUUUUCAGCGUAUAUUCAAUUUAAUAUUUUUAAUAAUACAAAUGAAAAUAAACAGCAAAUUUAAUUUAUAAAUGUAACUAUCUCAAAACAAUGUUGAGAAGGAAGAAAGAUUAGUAGAAUAAAAAUAAAAUUAAUAGACUUUUAAAAAGCAAAGAGUUUUUAAUGUUAAAAAUAAUUUUUUUAUUUAAUAGACCCAAUUUUGUAUUUUUUUUUUAAAAGAUAACUCUAUUUUAAUUCUGAUUCUUUAGCAACACAGUUUUUCAUUCACCAUAACACACAUUUUUUUUUUUAAAUAGUUAACAUGUCAUAUUAAUGAGGAGAGGUAUUUGAAUUGGGUGAGGCUGAUGAAGGAACUAACGAGGAGAAGGAGCUGCCGCUGCUGUCAUCUUUAACAGAGUUACGGCUGUACUGGUUACCUGAGCUCAAAUAUAUAUGGAAGGGGCCCACUAGAUAUGCUGAAAUUGUGGUAUCUUACCAAACUGACAUUUAUCUUCACACCGUCCUUGGCUUAGAGUCUUAUUAUUCAUCUGGAAACACUACAGAUAGAACAUUGCGGUGGAUUGAAGCGUCUUAUCAGAGUCUCUUGGAUUUCCAGGAUUAAAAAAUCUCUAUACAAGAGGCUGUGUUAAACUGGAACAUGUCUUCCCUGUCUCCGUGUCUCCAAGUCUUCUGAACAGAUAACGAUUAAAUUUGCUGACAAUUUAAAGCAAAUAUUUUACAGUGGAGAAGGAGAUGCACUCACCAGAGAUGGCAUCAUCAACUUCCCUCGGCUAAGACAAUUGAUUCUUUCAAAGUGCAGCUUUUUUGGCCCAAAGAAUUUUGCUGCCCAAUUGCCUUCUUUGCAAGUGUUAGCCAUUGAAGGCCACGAACAAUUGGGUAAUUUGCGGGCACAGCUACAAGUACGUCUUUUAUAUUUCUCCCCUGAUUUUUUACUUUUAAAUUUAAAUUGUCAAAUUCAAUACAUUGUGAUAAUUUCUUAUUUCUUCCUUCAGAUUUCUAAAACUAAAGUAAUGGAUAAAUGGUAGCAAAUCCUUUAGCCAUCCACUGAAUUUAAAAGGAGUGAAAUUGAGGCCUUUCCGCCAAUUAAUAAAAAAUGGUUUUUUUUAUCCAAUUUUCUAAACAAUUAGAGUCAAAAAGUAAAAAUUGAAACUUUCUUUUUAAAUACAAUAUUUUCACAUUAAAAGACCUUCAAAAGCAACAAAUUUGUAAUUAAACAAAUAUAUUUUUGUCUCUUAUGUAUUUGUUUAUUCUAACUUUAAAUACUAAUUAAACACAGUCUAAUUUUUUUUAAUUUGAUUUAUGAUUUUAAAAAAAAAAACAUUUGAUUAUCACAACAUAGAAUAAAAGUUUAAAAAAGAAACAUUCACGGGCCUACACAAUACAUGAGCUGAUUAAAUGGCGACAAUCCCAUUAGCAAAUUUGUGCUACAAAUGACAAAAUAAAAAUAAACUCAGCAAACAAGAUCAGUCCUAAUUAAUUUUGUCAACUAUUGGCAUAUUCCAAACUAUCAAGCAUUGAACCUUUCCAAAUUAAUUGUUUUUUUUUUUUUCAAUUUGUUUUGGUCUAAUUGCAUUGAUUGGUUGGUUGAUUGAAUGAAUGGUGCAGUCCCCAUUUUCAUUUACUUUUGGCAUUACACAAAAACAUCCCUUUCAAGUUACAAAACGACGUGCAGCUCAGUCAAUGCCUUCAUUGCCUAGCGCCUUCAAAAAAUCAACUGCUUAGUUAGAUUCGUCCUUGGCUUGCUUAGAGCGACAGCCACAUUAAAUGACAGCCACCGAAAUGUUUGACAUGUGGCCUACAAUGUGAAUUAUGUGUUAACAAUUAGCUAAUUUUUUAAUUCUCUUAAUUUAAUUAAUUUAAUUAGUUACGGGGGUGGCUGAUAGGUAGUAUCUAAUAAGUAAAAAAUGCUUAAAUAUUUAUGUAGUGAGAGAAAGUAUAAUGAUACAGAGAUAAAUUUUAAAAAUACAUAUUUUAAAAAUGUUAAAAAUAAAAAAAUUAUAUAUUUAUAACUUAUAAGUCUUGUUUUUUUUUUUAAAGAAGAGAGAUUAAAAAGUAAUUUUAUUUUGUGAUAUUUUAAGUUAUAUUUUAUUUAAAAUAAUAUGGGUUUGAUUAAUAUAAAAUAUUAAAAGAUUUGUACAUGAUAUUAAAAAAAAUUUAAACAAAAUAUUGGGCCUAAGCCUAGUAGAAGUAAAAAAUAAACUUACGAACAAGGUAUAUGGAUCCAGGCAGUGCUUGUAAAAACCUAGAGCAGUUAGGCUUUUGGGAGUUUUUUUAAGCCAAUUAAAUUUUGGUCUAAAGCAAAUAGAAGUGAUAAUCUCUUAUUUUCUUCCUGAAAUUCUUGACGUUUAGGCUGGGAAUAAAUUUAGCCUAGAAAAUUGAGGGAAAGUAGCUGAAAUAAUUUAAAACCAUUUAAGAUUUUUGUCAGUUUAGCUAGUUUAGUCGUUCCCUUUUGACUUAUUAAAGCCAGUUAUUGUGCUCAAUUAAAGCUCGAUCUUCAAAAGCUCGAUCUUCGAAUCUUCUUCUAAAAUCUUUAAUUUUGCUCUGAUAUUUAUGAAAAUGUAAUUCAUUAUUAAACCCUAAAAACUUCUAUAACUCCAUUCUCAAUCCCAAAAUUUUGACUUGAUUUUGUCAUAAGUUUUGAUUUAAAUCAAAAGUUAAUUCUAGUCAAAACUCUUACCAAAUAUAAUUUAAAUUUUGACUUAAAUCAAGAUUUGUUAUAAAAUUGAGUCAAAGCUUUACUUUAAUAAAAAAAUAAAAUUUUAAAAUUUUAACUUAUGAUAUAUUUUUUUCUUGAGUAAAAAGUAAAAAAAAAACAACUUAAAUUAAUUUACAAAACUGAACCAUAUACAAUCAAAAUUUGGACUUAUAUCGAAAGUUUGUUAUUUCACAGUUAAUAAUCGAAAGUUACUUUAAAUUAUGACUUGAAGUCAGAAGUUACUUUUCAUAAAUGAUGCCUAGAGAAAAGGGGGGAAAUAAUGCAAUCUGGGUCAUUGUGGAUCGACUAACUAAGUCUGCCCUUUUCCUACCAGUAAAGAUGAUAGAUCCAGUUGAUAAGUUGGCUAAGAUUUAUGUGAACAAAGUUGUAAGGUUUCAUGGAGUCCCAACAUCAAUUGUUUCAAACCGAGACCCAAGAUUUACUUCACGUCUCUGGCCGAGCAUACAACAUGCCUUGGGAACAAAUUUGAGUAUCAGUACUGCCUUUCAUCCGUAGACUGAUGGCCAAUCUGAGAGAGUUAUUCAGAUCUUAGAAGAUUUACUAAGGGCAUGUGCUUUGGAAUUUGGUGGAAACUAGGAGGAGCACCUGUCACUAGUAGAAUUCACGUAUAACAACAGUUAUUAGACAACAAUUGAAAUGGCCCCAUUUGAAGCUCUUUAUGGCAGAAAGUGUAGGACACCCUUGUGUUGGGAAGAAGUUGGGGACAAAAAGCUGUAUAGGGCAGAAUUAGUACAAAUCACUACUAAAAAAGUGAGGAUUAUUAAGGAUCGAAUAAAGGCGGCUCAGGAUAGACAGAAGAAGUAUGCAGAUAUUCGAAGAAGACCACUUGAAUUUUGUCCUGGAGAUAAAGUAUUUCUGAAGGUAGGUCCAUGGAAGCACAUGCUGAGAUUCGGCAUGAAGGGAAAGUUAGCCCCGAGGUUCAUUGGACCAUUUGAAAUCCGAAAAUGUAUCGGACCUGUAGCAUAUGAAAUAAACUUGCCCUCACAGUUGGCCAAGGUUCACAAUGUAUUCCAUGUUUCUUUGCUGCGAAAAGCCGAUGUAGACCCUUCGAGAGUGUUACCUCAAGUGCCAGUGGAGGUAAAAGAAGACUUAACACUUGAGGUAAGACCGAUAAAGAUACUCGAUUGGGGCGAGAAAGAACUUCGUAAUAAGAAAGUUCCCAUCAUCAUAGUCUUAUGGCGAAGCUCACAAAUCGAGGAAGAAACAUGGGAGAGAGAAUCAGAAAUGAGACUAAAAUUCCCCGACUUGUUUAUAAAUUCAAGUACAUCACUCAAAUUUCGAGGACAAAAUUUCUAUUAGGAGGGGAGAAUGUAAACCCCAAGAAAAAUAAAUAAAUAAAAGUGAAGAAAUUCAUGUAUAUGGUUAAAUAAAAAACAGGAAUUCAAAAAAAUUUUAAUAUGAAUUUCCGGGUGAAAUAAUUCGAGAUAUUAUAAUGAACCCGGUACUGCUAAGGGUUGGAUUUAAUUGAAGAGAAAAAAAAAUACACUUAAAGGAAAAAGGGGGCCUAAAUGCAAAUAAGGGAAAAUAUAGAGUAUAAAUACUCUCUCCUCACCAAAACAAAAUCUGUAUAAACCAUAAGGAGAGAAGAUAAGGAGUUUUAUACCCAUUCUUGAGAAAUCAAGAGAGAAACACUAACAUUUCAAGAACCCAUCCAAGAUUUAGAGCUUAUAGAUGGAAUAAACACUUGAGAGCGAAUGAUUACCAAGAAAUUGAACAAGAAGAAAAGAAAGGAGGGAGUUGAAAAUCUUCAACUGGUUGAAGAUCAAGAUCUUAAUUUGUAGCAGGUAAGGUAUUCUAAACAUGAGCUUAAAAAAAAUUCAUUUUUAAAUUCGAUAAAGAAUUGAUGCCUUGAUAUUGAAUCAUAGGUUAGGGUUCUUAGACAUAAAUUGGGGAAAAAGUACUUAUUGUUGAGAUUAAGUUAAUUUAUGUGUGUGGUAUGUAGUUUAUGAAAGUAUUGUGUGAAGGGGAGGGGGAGACAACUCUGGACAGACUUGUCUCCUGACUUUCGGUGAGAUUUUUGGAUAGGAGGAUGAGGGAAUUAGGAUUGGAUUCCUCAUAGAAAUUAUAGAUUUGAAUGUUAGCUAACUAAGGAAACUAGUCUUGCUCAAUUUGAAGAUGUAGAACUCCAGUUAUGGGUUACCAACCGAAACUGAGUCGUGACUGAUUAUGUAGGGCAGUAGGACUGAUUAGUUGAUGAGCAAUUUUGACUAUCUUGGAGGCAGAACUAGGUUAUCCUUCAUUAGAGAACUGAUAGCCUUGUGUCUUAGCUUUCUAACGAGAUCAAUCUCACUUAAAAUGGAGUUUUAGAACUUUAGAUAUAGUUAAAAAUCUGAUGAGUGUUCAGAUAGUAACAGUUCAAAGUCAGACAAUAACGGUUCAAAGUCAGACAGUAACAGUUGGAAUUGGACAGUAACAGUUGGAAUUGGACAGUAACAGUUCAAAGUCAGACAGUAAUGGUUCAAAGUCAGACAGUAACAGUUGGAAAAUUGGACAGUAACAGUAGACUUUCACGUGAAUACUAUAAAUAAGAAUAUUAAAGAAUUGAGUCAUAUGAACGCUUACACAUUGAGAUACUAACUCUGAUAAUAUAUAUGAUAUAUGUAUGUAUGUUAUUAUGAGGAAAUGAACAUGCAUAGAAAGUAACAUAUGAGUAAUGGAUGAAUAUGAAUUCUCUAUAAUAUCGGCUUGAAGGAAUCAUAACCAAAAAACUUCCUUGUGAUUCAGGAGGAGCAACCAAGAUUGGAUCUUCUGUUAGGGGAGGUCGUGAGACAGGCGAAGCAGGUGCGUGAUUUUCCUCCUAUUUGCACUUAUAUAAUUUAAAAUUCGUCUGGUGAAUGCAAUUACAAUAAGUGUCGUGUUCAAUGUAAAUAAAAUCUAGCGUAAAUACAAGAUUAGCUUCGGCUAAUGGCAUCCAUGAUAGGAUUGCCGGGAUAUGAAUUACAAGAUUAGCUUCGGCUAAUGGCAUCCACGAAAGGAUUGUCGGGAGAUGAUUUACACAAUUAGCUUAGGCUAAUGGCAUCCAUGAUAGGAACGCCGGGAAAUGGAUUAUAGGAUUAGACCUUGCAAGGUCACCCAGUUCAUGCAAGUAAAUAAGAUUAUUCAAUUAAGAAUAUACAAAUGAGUGUUAAUUGGGUUGUAAAGAUUUACAAGCAAAAUAUAAGUUCUCUGUUAGAAUUCUUAUGGUUCGAUAAAAAGUUAAUACUUCAUUCGUAUUUAUUACAUGAUCAUACAUAUAUUCUUUAUCAACAUAAUGAUAUAUUUAUUUAUGUAACAGGUCCAUCAAACAUCUAGGAAGAUCAUUAGUUUAGGACUCUACUUUGUGAAACUUAUGUAAAUAUUUAACUUAAACAAAAGGAAAUUAACGUGUUUAUGUAGUAUAUUUUUGUGUAAACCUUGAUGUAUUUAUAAAAUUUCAGCUUAGCAUUUAGUAUUUUAGUUAUCUUGUAAUUAACCCUUUUGAAAUAGUUAGGAACACUUAUUAUGUUGUAAAUACUUUCUUUGCAUGUUAGUAUUCCUUUUCUCUUAAAUUUUAUGAUAUGAUGUUUGGACUAUGUUCAUAUUGAUCUUACUCGUAGGAUAUAUAUAUAUAUAUAUAUUGUGUGGAAUUAUGAGGUUUGAUAUAAGGUCCGGAAUUAUGGGACCUUGUGAUGAUGGGUUGAUUGAGUAAAUUGACAGUAGUCGAUAACUUGGGAUGUCCUAAAUGCAAAAGAAACUCUGCCGAAUUUUUGAGAAAAAAAAAUCCACACUCAAAUAAAAAGGAUAUGUUGUGAUCUUUUAACAUUGAUUGAGUCGUACAGUCGGACUGUUACAUAUAUAAUCUAUGUUCUCAUGAAAAAAGUUAUGUUUUUUCAAUGUGGGAUUUGAAACCCAUUAGUAUAUAUACUCUACGUUCCUAAGAAAAAAAUCAUGUUUUUUCAAUGUGGGAUAAAAAUCUUUUUGGUUUAAAUACUUCAACUUAAAAGGAUAACAUAUUAUCUUUUCAAUGUGGUAUUUGAAGCCCUUUCAUAUAUAUACUCUAUAUUCCCAUGAAAAAAGUUAUGUUCUUUCAAUGUGGGAUUUGAAACUCAUUAGUAUAUAUACUCUAUGUUUCCAAGAAAAAAAUCAUGUUUUUUCAAUAUGGGAUAAAAAAACCUUUUGGUUUAAAUACUUCAACUUAAAGGAUAAUUAUUUUUUUAAAUAUUAUUUUAAACUUCAUUGUUUACAAUAUGUAUAACCUAUAUUUACAUGGAUUUUUUUCAUAUGAAAUAUUAAAAUUUUAAUUUUUUUUAAAAUUUUUCCGGGUUGAUCCAAGUUGACCCGGGUUGACCCAUAAAACUCGGGACCCGGUCCCUUGGCCGGGUCAACUCUCAGGCCGGGUUUAAUAACUAUGGUUCAAAUACUAUGAGAUAUUUAGUUGUUGCAAAUUCGUAAACUAAGGUUCUAUUUGGUAUGACAUUUACAAAUUAAUUUAAGUUGUUUUUUAAUUAAAAAAAUUCAUAAGUAUAUAUUUGCAAGAAAUAAGAAUAUGUUUGGCAUAUUUUUUCAAUUAUGAGUUUUGACUUUCAAAUAUAUUUCAAAAGUUAUUUUUUCAUAGAUAAUUACUGUUGUUACCCAUUUUUGGGUUCACAUAAAAAUGAGAAAAUACAAAAACAAUAUAUCAAAAGAAAUCCAAAAAAUAAUAGGAGCGAGAAAAGGAUUGCUGGAAUGCUGAAAAAAUGCCAAAAUUGGUUGAGAUUCAAAAAUGCAAAAGGUUGAAAUUUGACAGUGAGAGCCCUGUUGAUGAGGAAAAUUCAAUUUGAGGAAGAAAAGUCCAAAAUCAGAUGUUUAUGGACUCAAUUAAAUUUUAUCCAAGGUUUAAUUGAAUUUAUAGAGCGUUUGAUUGCAAGAAAAUUGAUUUUUGUAAGUCAAUUUAGGCUUUUAUCGGAAGAAAUUAAAGUUCUGGGGUCCAAUUGUAAUUUUAAAGAGUUAAUUUGGUCAAAUCAGGGGCUUAAUUGCAUAAUAAGGGUUUAAAAUAUAAAAAAGACUGCAAGUCUACAAGAGCUGACAAUAAGAGCAAGGCUGCUACAAAGGAUUUACAAUGGAAUUAGAAAUAAAAUUUAAGUCCACAUUGGCAUUGGCUUAAUCUACAAAAAUAUAGAAAAUCUACACUUGUUGACCUGCUUGCCCAUCCUUUUUUUCUACUUCUUCCUGACCUCCUAUUUGACUCUCAUUCUCACUCAUACAGUACUUCUUGAAGAAAUAACCAAAACACCUCAUCACAAAAGGCACUGAAGCUGCAAUCAAAAGAUAGCGAAAACGCACAGAUUCAUUAGGAGUAACAGCAAAAACCGCAGAUGCAUAGGUUAUCAUAAUUGAAGCUGUAGCAGCCCAUAUUUCAAGAUGGAAAGGGAACCUGUAAGUGAGAGAUGUAAUGACAAGUAUACAAGUGGAGAGAGCCAAAGUGUUUGAUAUCAAGAAAACAUAGAAAGCACGCUUUUGAGAUGCAUAAAUUGCUCUUCCUACACGAUCUCCUUCUUGCCAGACCCCUCCAGGAGGGUUCACCCCGGCCUGGAAAGUCACUGCUGCAAUCAAGGCCACAACUACUAGCAAAACAUUUCUAGCAUCGCUUGGUGAGUCUCUCACUUCAUCAUACUGAAAUUUCUUGAACCCGCUAGCACUUCUUUUAGUAUUGUUUUUUUUAGGCUGAGACAUUUUUACUUGGGCAAAGAUAUGUGGGAGAUACCAGCACUCUGGCUCUCAAGAAGUUACUUAUAUAGAGCCUCCGUUCUAAAGGAUGGGGCCCGCCCUAAUUAUCACAUGUUUCUUGUUGUAACCCAUUUUUAACUCCCAUAUAAAAAAGAAAAAAAUACAAAGAAAAAAAAGUCAGAAGAAAAAUAAAAAAAUAGUAGUAGUGAAAAGAAGAUGUCGGAGCGCCCAAAAAAUAGCUAAAAAAAAUGGUUAAGAAGGUUCAAAAAUACAAAGAUUAAAAUUUGACAGUAGUUUAUUGACUGAUGAGAGCCCUGUUGACUGAUGAGAGCCCUGUUGACAAAGAAAAUUCAAUUUAAGGAAAAAGUCUAAAAUCAGAUAUUUAUGGACUCAAUUAUAUUUUAUUGAAGGUUUAAUUGAAUUUAUAAAGGGUUUGAUUGCAAGAAAAAUUGAUUUUGAAGUCAAUUUGGGCUUUAAUUGAAAGAAAUUAAAAUUCUGGGGUCAAAUUAUAAUUUUUGAGAGUUAAUUUGAUCAAAUCAGGGGCUUGAUUGCAUAAAUAUUGAAGUUUGAAGGCCAAUUAGAGAUUUAAUUGAAGAAAUCCAAAACCAAGAACCAAACUAGAAAUCUCAGUGUUGAUUUUUAAGUUUAUAUAAAAUAUUUCAUUCUCAUCUAAAAAUAUUAAAAAGUAAGAAAGAAAAUCCAAAUUAAUAAAUAUAAAAACCUAAAAUAUGACAAAAUUUGAGAUAAUUAAUUUUUCUAAAAAUCCUAAAAUUCUGUCCACUUAAAUUCCCAUACAUUAACAAUAUCGUAUAUUCAAAGAAGUGAUCAGUGGUGUUAAGAAAAAGAAAUACUUAUCAUGUUUCUUUUAAGGUAAAAAAUACUUAAUGAGCUUUCAUCAUCAAAUAAAGACAUUUGAUAUAAAUAUCAUCCAUUUUGAUGGUCUCAAUCGAUAUCAAUAACACUUUUCUCUCUCUACCGCUUGAAUUUAUUGACCUCUAUCUCCCUUCUCUUAAUUAGGGAUUAAAAAAUAACAAAAAUAAACUUUUGAAUCAAAAUUUAAUUCGAAAAAUGUUGAGGUACUAAAAUUAUAUGAUUUAUGUGAUUUUCAAAUUUUAAGAACCAAAAUACAUCAUUUGCGAAACUUAUGGCAUGAGAUCCAUGUUUGGUGUCUUUUUCAUUUCGGUCCCUCUUCAUUCAAUCCUAUCUUUUCAUAAUAAAUCAAAAUUAAUUGGUCUUUAAUUAGAACUAAAUUAUCAAAAACAAAUUGAGGAACAAAUUAAAAAAAAAACUAUAGUUUUAAGAGCGUGCGAGAAAUAUCACUAGUUUUAACUAUUCCUAAUUUGUGACAAUAUUAUAGGUAAAACUAUACACAAAGUGAAGAGUGGGAGAUUCUCAAUUUUUUGAAAUGCUAAUAUUGUACUAUUUAUCUUGGAAAUCCCUUGAAUUUAUUCACACCAAAUUUAAAAUUCAGAGAAAUUAAAUCUAUGGUUUGUUUAUAAAUAAAUUUUAUUGUUAAUAUUUUUAUUAUUCCAUAGUUACUUUAUGUAAACCUUACAUUUAUUAGAGAAAUCAAAGUAAACAAAUUUAAUGGACAAAUACUAGUUUAUCAAGUACUUAACUUGAAUAAAAGAAGAUACAAAAAUAUAAAUAUUUUUUAUAUAUCUUUAUUGUUUAGAAAUUAAAAAUAAAAUAAAAUAAAUCCAAACUCAUCUAAAAAAAAAGUUAAUUUUGAUGUCAUCAUUCUAAUAAUAGAACUAAUGAAGAUAUUUUAUUAAUAAGAUUUUGUGAAAAUAAGUAUUCAAAUUGAAAAAAAAAAAUUGUUCAUGUUUUUUGCACUGAUGUCUCCAUCCAUUUACAGCCGGAAUGAAGAACGUCACCUAUUUUUAUGGUCUCUUCUUACUUGGAAGAUAAGAUAUAUGAAUAUUCAGAGUUAUUUGAGUCCACUCAUUUUAGUAGAUUUUUAUUUUUUUAUAUUAGUAUUCCAACUUUUCUUUAUUAUAUCAAUUAAAGAGACCAGUUCAAAAGAACAAUAGUGAAUAAGUUUUUUAAAAUAAAGAACAAUAGUGAAUAAUUUUUUUGUAUUUUUUAUGUGUUAUGUCAAAAUAUUUUUUUUAAAUAAAAAAUAUUAUUUUAAUAUAUUUUAAAAUAAAAAUAUUUUUAAAAAUAAUCAUUAUCGAACUUUAAAUAUCAUUAAGAUGAGGCAACCCUCCUUUUGACUCGGCUAGCCUACUGUUCUGUGGGUAUAUUUUAUUGCUGCAUUAUUUUCACUAUAAUUUUCAUUAUAGUGAAAAUUCAGAAUUAUUUUAAUGGAUUCAAAUUCAACAUGGUGAUUUUUUACAGUGGAUUCAAAUUCAACAACAAGGGCUAUUUCCUGCAGCAAGGAGAGUUUCUGAAUUUUCAUUACUCAUACAUCGCGAAAAAUAGUAAAGUUUCUGAGAAUUUUCAAAUCAAACUUGAGUUCAGCUUGUCGUUGCUAACUAUUUUAUUUUCACUAUAAUUAAUUGCUUUAUCACGUUGACGCCAGCAGUCAACAACUAUCUUAUAUUCUCUUGAGUCUUGGCAUCGAAUUCCAUGCCUUUGCAAAAUAUCAAAGGCUCCAGUGCCUCUCUAGCAAUAAUUAAUUUUAUUUUCCCCCAAAUAUUUAUCGAAAUAAUUAAUUUAACCACAAAAAAAAACAAAUAGAUCCAACUACCAUACCAUUCCACAAUUAAAUGUUUUUUGAAUAAAUAACUUUUUUUUUUAGUUUAACGUUGGUGUUCGGGCUAGCUUGCGCGCACCUCGACUAAUCCCACGGGCCCUGAAGUUAACGACCAUGUAAGCCUCCAGUGGCCAUCAUAUGAGCAAUCACAGGGCUCGAACCUAAGACCACAGAGAAAGCAAACCUCUUAAUUCCAAACUCUUACCACUGAACCACCAUCUAGAUAGUUUGAAUAAAUAACUUUUAAAUCAUAAAAAAAGUGAAGAAAGUGAAGAAUAAUCAAAGUGGUGGAUACGAAUGUAAUCAACCACAUUUAGCGAAAUAAUUAAUUUAAUCACAUCCUUUCUAGCUAAUCUAGAUUUUAGUAACUGGUUGGUGCUGCGUUCCAAAUAAAAAUAGAAUAAAAUUUGAUUUUUUUAUUUAAAAUUAUUUUUUUAUUUUUUAAUGUGAUAAUAUUAAAAAUAAUUUUAUAUUAAAAUUAAUUUUAAUAAAAUUUAUUGAAUCCACAAUUAAAGAAGUAAGAUGGAUAGGAAUGUGCAGUUUGAGAUGGAUCCGUGAGACCAUUGCUAUCAAGAGUUUUUUCUACGGGAUAAGAUGAGUCCGUGAGACCCGUAAGCUUUAGAAGAGAUAAUAUGUUUUAAUUUCAAAAAAUAAAUCUCAAUUCAGUGUGUUAGAAUGCAACCACCGACUAAUUAAUGGACAAUGGACCUUAGAUUAAUAUACUAUCAUUUUUUAUUGUAUUUUUUUUUCUAGUCAUAUUUAAUUUUUCAUCAAGUGAUUAAUAUGUAUAAUUCAAUGGAUAUAAUUCUUAACGUUAAAUGCUAUGUAUUUAGAAUUUUGUUGGAUUGAGAAAUGGAAGAUAGAAAGAGAGACAGAGCAGCUCAAAAGAAAAAGAAAAAGAAAAAGAUGGAACAAAAGUGGAACAGUUUUUAUUAACUAAAUAAACUUAUUUUAGGAAGCUAUAAUUAUUAAUAUUAAAUUUAAAAUUCAUAUUGCAAAUCCUGAAACAUAUCAUGUGGUUUAAUAGAAAUUAUUUUUAUAAACAUAUGUGGCUUAACAUCAUUAAUCAAAAGCUUAUAAUUUCUUUCAUUUUAUAUAUAUUAAAAGUAAAUAUUAAAACCUAUUAUAUUAUUAAUUCAGAUGUGAAUUAUAAUUCUAAAAUGUUUUUUAAAAAUUCUCUAUAUACUACAACUAGCUGAAGAAAGUCGUCUUCAUCGGACCAUCCAGUACCCAAAAAAUAAAAAAAAGAAUUGCAUGAAAGUAAUUAACCGGAACUUAUAAUCCUUCUUCAAACGUUGACCCGGAGUCAAAGUCUUAUUUUAAGGGAAAAAAAACAUGAAUAAAAUGUUAAUGUUAUGAGCUCACUUUCCAUGAUGAUGAUGAAUAUAAAGACUUGCAACUGUUUUUUUUUUUUUUUGUUUAUUAUUAUUCAAAUUGCGUGUGGAAAAUUAUGCCUUUUGAAUUUGAUGGAAAUUACAUGUGAAAAAUCACGCCUUUCGAGAUAAUUUAAAUUACGGUAGUUAUUAUUUUUGUUGUUAUAAUUAUAUAAAAAGAAAAGGAUAGCUUAAUUAUUCUUUUUUUAAUCAAAAACAGUUCACUUCAAGCAAUAUUUAUUAGCAUUCUAAUCAUUUAUUAUUGUUGCCAUACCCCUUUAAAUAUUCUAUUUGCUCAUUGUUACUGAAAUGCUCACGUAGGAGUUAACUUUGUUAAUGUGCCAAUGUUAUUAUUAUUUCAAUUUUGAAAAAGAAUAAUGACUUUGUAAUAAGCUUUGAUUUAAAUCAAAAGUUAAUUCUAGUCAAAACUCGUACCAAUUAUAAUUUAAAUUUUGACUUAAAUCAAGAUUUGUUAUAAAAUUGAGUAAAAACUUUACUUUAAUAAAAAAUAAAAUUUUAACUUAUGAUAUAAUUUUUUCUUGAGUAAAAAGUAAAAAAAAAACAACUUAAAUUAAUUUGCAAAACUAAACCAAAUACAAUCAAAAUUUGGACUUAAAUCAAAAGUUUGUUAUUACACAGUUAAUAAUCGAAAGUUAUUUUAAAUCCUCUAGCUUUGAAAAGAAUUAGUGUUUGCCUUUGAGAUUGUAAUUUUUUUUCAGCGUAUAUUCAAUUUAAUAUUUUUAAUAAUACAAAUGAAAAUAAACAGCAAAUUUAAUUUAUAAAUGUAACUAUCUCAAAACAAUGUUGAGAAGGAAGAAAGAUUAGUAGAAUAAAAAUAAAAUUAAUAGACUUUUAAAAAUCAAAGAGUUUUUAAUGUUAAAAAUAUUUUUUUUAUUUAAUAUAUAGACCCAAUUUUGUAUUUCUUUUUAAAAAAGAUAACUCUAUUUUAAUUCUGAUUCUUUAGCAACACAGUUUUUCAUUCACUAUAACACACACAAAUUGUAAUAUUAAUGAGGAGAGGUAUUUGAAUUGGGUGAGGCUGACGAAGGAACUAACGAGGAGAAGGAGCUGCCGCUGCUGUCAUCUUUAACAGAGUUACGGCUGUACUGGUUACCUGAGCUCAAAUAUAUAUGGAAGGGGCCCACUAGAUAUGCUGAACUUGUGGUAUCUUGACAAACUAACAUUUACAAAACGACGUGCAGCUCAGUCAAUGCCUUCAUUGCCUAGCGCCUUCAAAAAAUCAACUGCUUAGUUAGAUUCGUCCUUGGCUUGCUUAGAGCGACAGCCACAUUAAAUGACAGCCACCGAAAUGUUUGACAUGUGGCCUACAAUGUGAAUUAUGUGUUAACAAUUAGCUAAUUUUUUAAUUCUCUUAAAUUUGAUUAAUUUAAUUAGUUACGGUGGCUGUUAGGUAGUAUUUAAUAAGUUAAGUUGCUUGAUGUUUGAUAAUUAAAGGUGACUAUUAAAUGAUAUCUAUAAAAAAAUUUAUUUAAUAAAUAUGAGAAUUUUUAAAUGUUUAAAUCAUUUAAGAUUUUUGUUGAUUUAGUUUAUUCGUUUGCUUUCCCAUAAUUUCUCAGAUACCAAACACUUUGUUAUGUGUUGAAUAAAUAAUUAACCACCAAUUAAAAGCAGAAGGAACAAUAUUUGUGUUUGAAUCCUGAGAAAAUUGAGUAGGAAAAUAAAGGGAAAUUUUUGCAUUUUAUGAAGUUUAUUUUUCUUAGUUAUGAUGAUUUAUUGUUUUGGAGGUCCCUAAAAGUAGAAUAAUGGUCCCCAAAUUUACAAUGUUUUCCUGCAAUCAAACAGUGCCUUUUUUGAAACUGCUCAAUUAUUAAUCGCUUGGUGUCUACUUGUCCAUUCCAUUGACCUCUUACAACCACAUGAUGAGCUUGUUAUUGUGAUUGAUCUUCAAAAGCUCUAUCUUCGAAUCUUCUUCUAAAAUUAUUUUAAAAACAGAUUUAUUUUACGUAACUAUCUUCAUUUCCUUCAACAAAUAUAUUUUUGUCUCUUAUGUAUUUGUUUAUUCUAACUUAAAAUACUAAUUAAACACAGUCUAAUUUUUUUAAUUUGAUUUAUAAUUUUUUUAAAAAAUAUUUGAUUAUCACAACAUAAAAUAAAAGUUUAAAAAAGAAACACUCACAGGCCUACACAACACAUGUUGGCCUAUUCCAAACUAUCAAGUCAAGCAUUGAACCUUUCCAAAUUGCAUUUUUUUUUUUGGUCUAAUUACAGUCCCCAUUUUCAUUUACCGUUGGCCUUACACAAAAACAUCCCUUUCAAGUUACAAAACGACGUGCAGCUCAAUCAAUGCCUUCAUUGCCUACAGCCUUCAAAAAAUCAACUCAUUAGUUAGUUUCGUCCUUGGCUCGCGUAGAACGACAUCCACUUUAAAUGACAGCCACCGUGAUGUUUGACUUGUGGUUUAGAAUAAGAAUUAUGUGUCCUUAAUUUUUUAAUUUUAGUAAUUGAAUUUUUUUUUAAUUAUAGUGGUUGAUUGGUAGUGGUAAUUGGUGUUUCAUAAACAAAGAUAAUAAAUAGCUGGUACUUAUAAAAAAUCGUAUACCAAUUUGAUCCAAAAUCUCUUAUUGAAUUAAAAGACCUUUACUUUUAGUCGGGGGAUAAAGCAAUUAUUUUUUUUGUUUUUUUUGAAGAAGUUUUUUCUUAAAAACAAUAAAGAUAUAUAUCUAUUUACUAUUUAUGUUUGUUGUUUGCGAAGAUGACGUUUCCAUCUUUUUUUUUAUAUCUAUACCGGCUAAAAUCAUGGGUGAGGACUUUUAAAUCCUUAAGAAUUUAUGUAAGGAGAGAAAAUAUAAUGAAAUUUUGAAGAAAUAAAGUUUAAAAAUAUACAUGCUAUAAAAGUUAAAAAUAAAAAGAUUAUAAAUCUUGAACUUUGAGGAUUGAUGUGGUAUUUAUAUCUUACAUGUUUUGUACUUUUGAAGAGAUGAAGGAUUGAAAAGUAAUUUUAUUAUGUAGUAUUUUAAGUUAUAUUUCACUCAAAAUAAUAUAUAUUAAAUUAAUAUAUAAUAUUGAGAAAUCUGUGUGAGAUCUUGAAAUUUUUUUUGAAUGGAAUGUUGGGUUAAAACCCACUAAAAGUAAAACAUAAAUUCACGUAUAUUGUCUAGAUCCAAUCACAUUAGACUUGAGACGCACCCUCGAGCCCAUUAAAAGUAUAUGGUUCAAGGCAGUGCUUGGACUCAGAGCAGUUAGGCUUUUGGGAGUAUAUUUUAGCCAAUUAAAUUUUGGUCAAAAGCAAAUAGAAAGCUAUUGUUCUGUUGAUUGAUUUCUAUUCAUUAGUCUUUUUCUUUCAUUGACUCGGUUUCUCUGGGUGCUGACAAGUUAUUCAUGGUGAAGUGAUAAUCUCUUCUUUUCUUCUACUAAAAUUCUUGAUGUUUAGGCCGGGAAUAAAUUUAGCUCCUCUUGUUUACCUAGAAAAUUGAGGGAAAGCUGUAGCUGAAAUAAUUUAAAACCAUUUAAGAUUUUUGUCAGUUUAGUUUAUUCGUUCACUUUCUGUAGUUUCUCCGAUGCCAAACACUUUGUUAUGUGUUGAAUAAAUAAUUAACCACCAAUUAAAGCAGAAGGAACAAUAUUUGUGUUAGAAAAUUGAGUGGGGAAAUAAAGGGAAAGUUUUGCGUUUUACGAAGUUUUUUUUUCUUAGUUAUGAUGAUUUAUUUUCUUGGAGGUCCCUAAAAGUGGAAUAAGGGUCCCAAAAUUUACAAAGUUUUCCUGCAAUCAAACAGUGCCUUUUUGAAACUGCUCACUUACUUGUUGUCUGCUUGUCCAUUCAAUUGACUCCCUGCAACCACAUGCUGUAUUGGAGGUUUCUCUACCAGUGAAGAUAGCAUCAAAUGAUGAGCUUGUUAUUGUUCAAAAGUUCAAUCUUCAAAUCUUCUUCUAAAAUCUUUAAUUUUACUCUCAUAUUGAAUUUAUGAAAAUGUUAUUAUUCAUAGAGUUCAUAAAGAAAGAUGAUUACCCUUUUUUAAAUAGUUUUAAAAACUGUUAGCCAUGUGUUACUAAAUAACUUCUGUAUUUUGUAUUAUACUUUAUAUAUAAUUGCUAGAAGAUAAAAUAAUCUGUUUUUUAUUUAUGUAUAUCACAAUACUUUUAUCCUAACAUUAUUUUUUAAAAACCAUAACUAAAAGUAUUUUUUUUAAUUUAUUUUUUAAAAUCGUAAUCACAAAAGCUACCUUAGUGUAUGUUUGGUAAUGUGGUGUAGGAUACUUUUACAAAGUAUUUUUAAAUUGAAAAUGUAUUAAAAUAAUUUUUUUUAAUUUAAAAAAAAAGCACUUUAAAAUCAUCAAAAAAUAAUUAAAAAAUUAAAUUAAUAUUUUUUUAAAAUCAAAUACAUUUUAAAAGUAAUUUGAAAUGGACACCCUUAGCAUUCAUUUGUUGCAGGAAAAUGCUACACAGAGAUUUAUUUAUUUUUCACGUUGUUUUGUUGGAUGUAAAGCUGUUUCUAUUUUCUUAGAGCAGCGCCAACCUCCUCUUGCUGAUCUCUCUUCAUGCUAUUGGCUUUUUUGUAAGCAUUUUGUUCUGUGUCGGAAAUUAAAAGUCUGUUUGGUAAGUUUUUAAAUUAUGAUUUUUUUUUUGUUUUAUGUCAUAAUCCAAAAAUUAUUUUUCAUAAAUAACUUACGAAAAAAAAUAAAUAACUUCAAGUUAUAAAGAUGUUUGGUAAAAAUGAUUUAAAUUAACUUUUUUUAAUGAAAAAUGUAACAUGAGUUAUAGCUCAUAGGUUAAAAGUUAAAAAAUAUUAACUUUUUUUAUUCAAAUUUGGAAUAAACUUCUGAUUUAUUUAAGUCAAAAAUUGAAAAAUAACUUAAAUCAAAUUAUAAAAGUAAUACCCAAUAUAACUUAAAUUUAACUUAUAGUAUGCUUCAUAAAAUUGGCAAUUUCCUGUACAGCAUAAGCUUCUUAUUAAUAAACACAAAUGAUCCAACAACUGUGUAUAUGUUAUUAAAUGAAUUGAAACUCCUUUUGAUAUUUAGACAACAAAGAAUUCGGACCUAUACUUGAUUAGGAUUUAGAUUAUGUCAUUGAUACUCAAACAGGUGUAUUCAUAAAUAAAAAAAUUCAUACAAUUUUUUUUAUUUUAAUCCCAAAUUGAUAUAGUAAAAAAAAAUAAUCUCCUGAGUCGAUGAGUUAUCUAAUUGACCCAUCAAGCCAUGUCAUAUUUUAUAAUACUGCUAUUUAUUUAUAUAUAAAAAAUAUUUUUAUUGAUAUUAUCAUCAAUCUUCCUAUGAUAGAAUAGAAAUAUCUAAAACUCUAUACGGUAAUAUAGAAAAUUGAAGGCUUUAUGGCAUUACAUGCCUUGAAUUGGUUUUGUACAUGCAGCAGUAAUGUUUUCGCGUACACCCAUGAAACCAUUGGCCUGCCUGCAACCGAAAAAAAAUUGAAAUGAGAAAGGAAUGCCUUUGGCUUUCUUCAUAAGUAAACCAAACAUGAAGCAAGGAAUGCCUUUUCUAUUCUUUAUAUAUAUAUAUAUAUGUGGGCAAAUCAUAUUCCUUGAGUGGGAUUAGGGACAAUCAUAUAGCUCGAGUUUCAUUCUUGGAAGUGGCAGAGAGUAUUCCUUAUUUAAUUAAUUAUUGUCUUCUUUUCAGGUCCUUUCGUUUUUUUUACCCCAAUCAUCAUAAUUAUAGGAACACUACAUCCAUUAAGGAUUAUAUUUGUGGUUGCAAUCUAUUGAUAGAGAGGCUGUGGGUGUCUAAGUGAUCGUGAACCUUUCAUUCGUUCCGGUCUCUGCUAUAUAAGGUGUGUGUAUUUUAACUAAUUCUUGUAUUAUUAAUUUGUUUUUGUCUUUAUAUUAUAUUGUUAUGCAUAUAUUAUGUGUUCAUACAUGUUUGCAAGUAUGAUCCAUGAAGAAAGAAAGUGAAAUACUUGUUCAAUUUAAUCCUUAUUCUCUCCUACUAGACUCAAUCAAUCUCUAUAUAUACAAGUUUAUAUGGAAGUCUAUAUAUCUCGUUGUAGGGUUGAAUAAUUGUAAAUACAGAUCAAACACCCAUUAUUAAAAAGAUUAUGGUGUUUUAAUUUAUUAGUCAAUUAGAAAACUAAUUAGUUUUAAAAUCUUCUUAAUAAUACAUAUAUAAAAUUAAAUUAAGACUUUAAUCUUGAUAGCUAACAUUUUGAACUUUUACCUUAAAUUUGAUAUGGAUGUAAAAUCUACAAAUUCACAAGACUAAUAAAAUUUCUCUGUGUUUGGUGAAUUAAAGUAGGGUAAUGGUCUAAAUAAUAUUACUCUUGUAAAAGUUGGAUCUCCUUCAAUUUUCAACCUCAUCUUUCUAUUAUAGUGAAAAUAAAAAUGAUGAACAUUCUAACUAACUAUAAUGUUUGGAUUUAAUAGUGCAUGGCUAGCUUUCACCACCAUAAUUUGAUCUUGACACCAUCAUUCGUUUUUUUUUUUUUUUUUUAUUAUAUCACUCAUUUUGUUUUAUAUUGGAAAGCCCAAAAAUCCACGAAGUAAGAGCAGACCUUCCCAUUACUUAAUAAUUGAGGAAAUUAGAUUCAUUUUAAUCAAAUCAUCUUCAAUAGAUAAAGCUAUCAUGUAAUUAUUUGCUAGGCUAAGCAUAUUUGUAUAUUCACAGUCCCUCUUAAACUCUAAAUACUAUAAAUCUACAAGGAUUUGUAUGAUGUUAAGAGAAAUAUAUAUCCCCUUUUAGCCAACACUAGAUACUUUUCUACGCUACCAUAUGAGGUGAAUCAAUUUUUUUAAAGUAAAAAAGAAUAUAUAAGUGUACUUAACAUGUUUUGUAGCAGGAAAAAAUAAUCUAUGGAGGGGUUGAGCAAAGUGAUUUAAUCAACUUUAUAGGUUCAAAAACAACCCAAACGAGUGGUUAGCAUAUAGUUUGACUAAAAAAAUCAAGAUAAUAUAUUUUUUAAAAAUAAUAUUAAGACGACAACAUAUUAGAUUGACUUGGAUUUACUAGAAUCAACUUAGGUUAACCUAUCAAGUUCCUGACCUGAGUUAUAAGACCUUAAUAACCUUACAAAAGAUAACUAAGAAAAAAUAUUAAGCCUAAUUUCUAAGCAACACAAUAUUGCAAAAUAAAAUUGAAAAAAAAUUAAUUAAAAAAAUGACAUAAAAAACCAUCAUAAUCAACCCAAGUUAACCAACCAAACUCGUAACCUAUGUCAUGAGGUUAGGAUAAUCUCAAAGAAAACAAAAUGAAAUAAAUUAUGAAGCCUAAUAAUGAACUCCACAUUGAAAAAAAAUUGAAAAAAAAAAUAUUCAAUUAAAAAAGGAUAAAAAAAAACUAAGACAACUAGGCUAACCUGCGAUAGAAUCAUGAGACUGUGAUAUGCCCAUAGAAAGUAAAUAAAAAAAAUUAUGAAAUUCAAUUCUUAAUUAAUACAAUAUUGAAUGAAUAAAUUAAAUAAAAUCAAUUAAAAAAUAUCUCAGGUCAACUCGGAUUAACCUGUCAAACUCGGGUCUUAAUACCAAAAUAUAUCUAUAAAACAAAAAACAAUUAUAAAGUGAAAGUCUUGAUAGCUAACAUUUUGAACUUUCACCUUAAAUUGAAGUUUUAUAUGUGAAUUUCUCAUUUGUUUAUCUCUUUACUAUCAAGUUCUUAUACAGAUUCUUAAAUCAUGGUUGGUUGAUGUUUAACUAAGAGAAAUGCACAUAUCAAACUACAUUCUUAUUAUGAGAGAUUCACUAAAUUGAGAACUAUUAUGGUCUUAUGCCUCUACCUAGUACUUUUUAUGAAUAUCUACAAAAUCUAUCCAUACUUUUGUUUAAAGCGACACCCCUCCUUAUGUUCUUAUAGAUGAAUGGCUAAGUUUCAUAAAAAAACAUGAACAUAAUCAAAAUGGAUUAUUCCCUAUACUCUUUUUAUUUAUUUAUACAAAAAAUCAAGAUAAGGUUUUUAGUAACCAUACUUUUUUUGGUCUAAAUCAAAUGACCUAUAUCUUUACAAUAAUUUCAUUUAUGGUUAGGGUCAUAGGAUUGUUUGGCUUUAACAGAGUAAUUUUUCCAAUACUUUUGGUUCCUUUUAAGUUGAUAAACUUAACAUCUUUUGUUAAAAACACAUCUUUGGCUUCAAAGCACAUUUUCUAAUUCUUAGAGCCUUUUGUAAAUUUAGCUAGUAUUGUAUUCAACUUGUCAAACUUUUCUUGUAAGGAUUUAUUUUCUUCUUCAAGUUGAUUUACCUUUUUAUUUUCAUCAAUCACAAUGCAAUCUUUAUUUUCUAGAGUUUCUUUUUCUAGCAAACAAGCAUGCAUAAUUCUCUUUCAAUAAACUAUAUUUUAAACCUAAAUUUUUAAAUGUAUCAUAUAAAUAUUCAAGAGCAUCAUGCAACUCAUCAGAGGUAGGGUCAGAUUCAUCAUCCAAAUAUUGUAUCUCAUUUUCACUUUUGAUAGAAAACUUCUUAAUCACCUUGUAAUUAAGGCAAUGUCUUCUUCAAUGCUUUCUUGAUCAUCAUCAUCAUCCUCAAUGUGGUGAACGGCUUCAAAUGCCAAAGAGUGUACAUUUUCAUUCCCUCACUAAUAUCAUGAGUUUUUACUUAACUCUCGUAGGUUCACAAGUAUGGUUUUGUUUACAACAAACUCUUUCAUAGAGUGGAUGAUAUGAAUGAAGUUCUAGUAUCUCCAUAACUCACUAAAUAGUACUUAUAGGAUUUAAAAGUGUUUAAGUAUAGUGAUAAUGAAAAUGUAUACUCUUUGUUCUAGAAUAUAAAGGUUUAAACCCACUACUUAGAGUAUAAUCAAUAAUAUUUUAUUGUUAUUUUGAUCUUAGAGUAUGUUGUUCAUCAUAUUUGUUCAGAAUCCCUUGCUAAUUUUACAAUUAGACAAGCUAUAUAAUUGUUUCUAAGAAAAACUAGUCGUUGGAACCCCACUAAUGACUAAAACGAUCGAUUGGUUCAAAUUGAUCAAACCAAUCAAUCAACCGAUUCCUGCAAAAUUCCCAAGUGUUUAUCACUGAUAAACAAGUGAUCGUCUGAUUCAUACAUAAUUCUCAAAUGUUUUCAUCAUUGAUGAACAAAUGGUGGUUCAUUUCAUGUAGAAUUCUAUAUUUAACAGUUUUAAUCUAGGUGAAUUCUUAGAGCCAUCUAUCUUAGAUCAUCUUUUAUAUCAAUCCUAAAUGUAUAUAGAGUAAUGUGUGUGAGUUUAAUUUAAUUAUACCAUCAAGUAAGAUGUAAAGAUUUAUAAAUUAAACACUAAAAUGAAUGCUUGAACUUUUUGAUUAAUUUUUUAUGAAAUCCUUCAUGUUUAUUAAUGUGAUCUUAAUAUGAAACAUGUUUAAAGCUUAUUCUCAACCAGACAUAUUAUUAGUCUAUGUUUUUUUUUUUGUUAUAAUCAAAAUAUAAAAAAAUAUGAAUGUCUGACUCUAAAGGUCAAUAAAAUCAUCACCAUUUAGAGUAAAAAUAUAUCUAGACUAGGAUUUGCUAUCAUUAAUAUCUAAUUUAAAUCUAGCAUUUGAAUAUCCAUAACUACUGGUUUAUCUCAUUUAUAGAUCAUAAAGAAAUUCUUAUUUCUUUUUAACUACUUCUUAGACUCAAAACCUUUAGGUAGUGUAAUAUACAUAUCUUUAUGAAUUUUCCUAUAUAGAAAAGCAUUUUUUACAUCUAUUUGCUAAAAUUCAUAAUAUUAGCAUGUAGCUAUAGCAAGAAGGUUUUUACAUAACUAUUAGCAAGAAGGUUUCAUCAAAGUCAAUUCUUUGCUUGUAACCAUUUUCAACUAUUCUGGCAUUGUACAUCUAUACGUUGCCAUUAAUAUUAAUUUGUUUCUUAAAGAUCUAUUUACAUUUAGUGAGUUUUACCCUUUAGGUUGAUAGCCAAGUUAUAUUUUUCUUACACAUGAAUUUUACAUCCUUGAUUCAUUUUAUGGAAUCAAUAUUAAAUAUUGCUUUCAUGUAAUUGGUAGGCUUAUUAAGUAUAAGCAACUCAUCAUUUUUAGCUUAUAUAAAAAAUCCAUAUCUCAUUAGUGUGUGACAUCUUCUAUUAGAUCUAUGAAGUUAUUGUGUUUCUUGAGCUUUAAGUUGAGCAUCCAAUGUUAUAUAUUCUAGCUCAUGUUUUAAUUAGAUGUCAGUUUAUGGUUCUUGAAUUUCUUCAAAUUUUAUUUUUCUUUCACUACUCCUUUCAAGAAUAAAUUCUUUUUAAAAAUAUAGCAUGUUUGGAGACAAAUAACUUUUGCUCAAUGGAAUGGUAGAAAUAUUAUCCAAUAGUUUUUUUUCAAGAUAUCCUAUAAACUUAAAUUUAUUUGAUUUAGCUCCUAACUUUCAUAUAUGAUAUGCUUUACAUAAAUAUCACAUCCCCAAAUCUUCAAGUAUAAUAAGUUAAGUCUCCUACCUUUUCAUAUCUUAUCUGAAGUCAUAUUACUAGAUUUUGUUGGAACUUUAUUUUAAAACUAAGCAACAAUUUUUUAGGCUAUAUACCUAAAAAAAAAUAAAAGAUUUGUAUAGCUCAUAAUAGAUCAUCCCAUACCCAAUAGGGUACGAUUUGUCCAAUUUGGAAACUUUAUUAUAUUAUGGUAAAUGUCAUAAUUAUUGAUUCUUUGGAUGAGAUUCGAAACUCAUCUUACACAUGAAUUUUAUAAUUAAUACUAUUUAAAAAUAAAUAAAAUAUUUUUUUUCUAAAUUCACCUAUAAUGAUGAUACAUUUCUUAAUCAUAUAGGUUCUAUUAUACCCAAUAUAUAUCCACUUAUUACUUUUGAUUAAAGCAACAUAUUGUUAGGAUUGAAACAUAACAGUUACAAUAUGAACCAACUAUUUCAACUACUAUCUCCUUCUCACCACCACUAUUAACAUCUUCUCUUUAUCCACCACAAUCACCUCACCACCAUCUCUUCUUUUAUCACCAUUACCACCACUACUGUCAUCAUUUCACUACCACUAUCACUACCACUUCACCACAAUCUCUUUCACCACCAUUGUCAUCUCACCACCAUCACCAUCUCAUCACCACCUCUUUCAUAAUCAUUGUCAUCUCACCACCUUCAUCACCAACAUUAUUAAAAAACAUUUUACAUGUAAAACAUUGAAUGGUAAAGUAUUUUUCAAGCCAAACAUUAAAUUUAAAAUAAACUAUUUUUUAUUUGCAAAACAAACAUACUCUUAACAUAUAAUUUUAUCUCUUCUAGAAAAUUCAAUAAAAAAAUUCAUUUUUUCAUGUUUACCUAAGGUUAGCCUUCACAAUUAUAAUUCCGUUCUCUAUCUCUUUUGGGAUAUUUUCAGUUAGAAAUAAUUUCCAUUCUAUAAUUCUCUUUUAGGAUAUCUCAUUUAGGAUGUUAAUUUUUAUAGUGUUACAUAUUUUUUUAAAAACUUUCUUUGUAUUGAACCGUUAUUGCUUUAAAUUCCCUCAUGUAUACAUAACAUGAUUAAUGAGCUGUACCAAAUUUUUAUUUUGAGCUUCUAAGAACAUUCCAAAAGUGUCAUUUGAAAAUGAAUUUAAUCAAACUUCUAUACAUUUUAUCCUUGUUGAAUAUGUCAUCUUUUUCUUCAUCUUUUAAAUAUUUUUUAUUUUAUUUUGAAAUCAUCCUCACCAUGUUAUUUCAUACAUUUUCUAUUUUUCUUAUAUAAUCUUUUUAAUUUGAAGUUGUCUUUAAUUUUUUUAUUCUCUACUUAGUAACAAUAUAAUCUUCAUCGUCUUCAAUUCUGUAAAAAAAAUUAAAAAUUGUUAUAGAAAUCUGUCUUUCUUAUAUAGCUGGGAAAGUUAAAUUUUAUUCUAAUAAAUGAAUUUUAAUGCAAUUGUAUAUAAGAAAAUACACUCUUAGAAAUGUAUAAAGAUAUCAAAGGAAGAAAAAAUCUUAAAGAACUAAGAAGGGAAAGAUAUUAAUAAUCUAUAUCUUUUUUUUUUUAUUAACGUGGGUGUCCGGGUCAGCUUGUGCGCACCUCGACUAAUCCCAAAGGCCCUCAAGUUAACGACAAUAUAAGCCUCCAAUGACCCUGAGGUUUGUGAGACUCAAACUGGUGACUUUUAGAAAGCAAACCUAAAGUAUGACCAGUUGAGCUACGCUUCUUGUGGUUCUAUAUCUUAAAUUUUAAUGUAUAGAGUUUUUUUAUUAACAAUACAACCAUAUCAAUAUUCUAUAUUUUAUUAACAACACUGUGACAAUUUAAAAUUAAUAACAAAUUAAUUUAAAGAUAUUAUAGUCUUCAACAAAAGAUAACACCCUAACUUUUGUAGAUGGCACAGAUAGAUAUAGAUAAGGGGACAAGGAAUUAAUUGUUCAUUGGUAUACUUAUACCUUGCCUUGUUGCUUUUGAAGCUUGAAAAGGCCUUCUCGUUUUGUUCCUCGCUGAGCAAUCAACACCAGUGCUUUUCGCGCAUAUUUUCACAAAUUAAGGUAAUAAAAUUCCUAUUCUCAUUCUCUCAAUGCCUAUUUUACUUGUAGUGAACUCCUCUCACAGUCGGCAUCCUUAUUUCUCUGAUUUUCAGACUGGUGGAAAAUGGCUAUCGAAAGUGUUGGUGGAUCCAUUUUAUCUAAGAUAGCAGAACUCUUGGUGGAACCAACAAUAAGGCAGUUCCGUUACAUGUUCUGUUUCAACAAUUUUGUUCAAGAAUUCAAUGAACAAAAGAAGAACCUGGCUUUGACUCUUGAUCGUUUGCAAAACGCUGUCGAAGUUGCUGAAAGAAAUGCUGAAGAAAUUGAGAAGGAUGUCAACAAAUGGUUGGAAGAUGCAAAAAACGAAAUUGAAGGUGUUAAUCGUUUGGAAAAUGAAAAGGGAAAAAAUAGCAAAUGCUUUAAUUGGUGUCCAAAUUGGAUACCACAAUUCAAGUUAAGCAAGGCCCUGGCAAAAAAGAUAGAGACUUUGAAAAAACUUGAAGAAAAUAGACCAUAGAUAUAGUUACAUGCAUAACUUAUUAGAUUAAUUAUAUUUGUGUCAUUUAUGUAGGUGUUUAACUAAUCAUCAUGAAUUUCUCCUUCGUUUAUCACUACAACAUUUAACAGUUUUAUUGACGGACCAAAUCUGUCGGUGUAAGAUUGCCACUUCAUCAUUAAAUUUUUUACCGACUAAAUUCCCGACGGAAAGCGUCCAUCGACAUAGCAUUCGUCAGUAAUUCGACAUUCUGUCGGUAAAAAAAAAUACAGAUGGUUUUACAGACGGAAAAUGCGUGCCAAAAAAAAAUUCCCACUAAACAUAUACCGACAUAAAUAUUCCAUCGAUGAUCGCGGCAUAUGCAGUAAAUAUUUUUCAACUCUCUGUAAAAUACCGGCGGAAAAAUUCCGUCUGGAAAUCCGUCGGUGGUGUUUUUUUAAAAUUAAAAAAAAAACUCAUUUAUAAUAAAUAAUAUAAAAUUAUAUAAAUUAAUAGUAAAAAAACCAAUUAUGCAAAUAAAAUUGUAUUAAACAUCAAAAAUAGAAAAAUAAAGUUAAAUAAUACUCAUCCAAAUAUUCAUUACAAAUUUAAUGUGUUUCCAAAAAAAUAAAUUAAACUAGAACAAUGGUGGAGCUGGAGGGUGAGGAGGAGGUGGUGGAGGCUGGUCAUUUCCGGGACCAAACAACAAAUAUGUAUCACCCAUAUGUGAUCUAAUGUUCAUGACCAUUUGGCGGAGUUGUUCAUAAUUCACCGACGGUUGCUUGUAUUUUUCGAUGAGAUGAGUCGUGUGUUGCUGCAAGGCCACGAACUCCUUAGAUUGGGUGCUCGAUAUUGAUUAGGAGCUCCCAACGGUUGAGACAUUACGGGUCGCCUGCAAGUUCUCGGCCAUAGUAUUGGAGAGCCCGUACACCCGAUUUUUAUCGAGUCCACCAGACAAUCCUACCUUCAUCCACAAAUCCAGAUCGAAAUUCGGAUGGGACGAAGAAUCGUCCCCAUAUAUCUCCCUCAACCGGCUAUUAUAGGUCUCUUGAAAAUGAAAAUAGAAAUCAUCAUAUUCAAUUCAAGAAAAAUAAUAACUUACGAAAUAAAAUGGUUGAACGAACAUACCACGAAGUGUUGAACGCGGUUGUCAACGAACUGUUGCACCCCUUUUUGGUGGUUUUCACUCUGUACGUGCGUCUCUACAAACAGCUCCAUUGGACUCGGCUCACGUCCAAGAGACGUAGCCUAUAAGAAGAAAAAUUAAUUAAGUAACAACAAAUUUAUUAACGAUAUAUUUCAUUUAAAUUAAUCUUACCAUCCGUUUCGCAUGUGUAGCAAACGGAACGAAGCUAUCGGUGUGCGUGGUCACCGAACCAUGAAUUUGCCGGUUCCGAUUGUCAGCACCAGACUGUGAGCGUCGUGUGAAUUGUUCAAACAUCACGUGCUCAAUAUAUUGCAGCCAUAUAUCCCCCGGGAUGUAUUGCGGUUUGAAAUCCCUCCAAACCACCACGCAUUCCAACCUUGUAGACCGUUAUUUUCUGGCGUAUUUUUUUGCUUUUUUUUGUUCCCUCCAAACCGCCACGUCAUUCCAACCUUGUAGACCGUUAUUUUCUCGCGUAUUUUUUUGCUUUUUUUGGUGCUUCAUACUAAAAAUCACACAACCUACUUCUAUAGUGACAAAUUAGAUUUUAAAACAUAAUUUUUUUUAAAAAAAUAUUGUAUUGUUUUCGAUGUUACCUAGUUGCCACGUGAUUUUCGUACACCCUCCUCGCAACAUUGUCAUGCGCACUAUCCCACUUGAAUUUGUGUUGUGUAUAAAUAAUUUAUUUAAAAUAAAAAUAAUAAUUUAUUUAUAAUUAUAAUAAUAAUUUAUUAAAGAUAAGCUGGAAAUUAGAAAUUAACACCAAUUUGAAAUCUUCGAAAUCAUGCAUCGAUAUAAGGUCUCCAUUCAGGAUGUCUGGAAACCUGACUCCAUUGAAAUAAUAGAAUCUCCAUCGACGAUUUAAACACCAAUGAUAUUAAUCGGGCGACCUCAAAGUUUCUGACCCUGAAAAUAAAUUAAAAAAAUAAAAAUUUGAUUAGUUGUUCAUAAAUUAUGUUAUAAUUAAAAAAAAACUAAAACCAAAAAAAACUUAGAAAUUGUAGAUUUGAAUGUUAACUAACCAAGGAAACUGGUCUUGCUCAAUUUGGAAAUGUAGAACUCCAGUUAUGGGUUACCAACUGAGACUGAGUCGUGAUUGAUUAUGUAGGGCAGUAGGACUAAUUAGUAAAUGAACAAUUUUGACUAUCUUGGAGGCAAAACUGGGUUCUCCUCCCUCAAAGAACUAGUAGCCUCGUGUCUUAACUUUCUAACGAGAUCAAUCUCCGUUAAAAUGGAGUUUUAGAACUUUAGAUAUAGUUAAAAAUCUGAUGAGUGUUCAGACAGUAACAGUUGGAAAUUGGACAGUAACAGAUCAAAGUCAAACAGUAAUAGUUCAAAGUCAGACAGUAACGGUUGGAAAAGUCAAACAGUAACAGUUCAAAGUCAGACAGUAACCGUUGGAAAUUGGACAGUAACAGUUUAAAGUUAGACAGUAACAGUUGGAAAUUAGACAGUAACAGUUGGAAAUUAGACAGUAACAAUAGACUUUCAUGUGAAUACUAUAAAUAAAAAUAUAAAAGAAUUGAGUCAUACGAACACUUAUAUAUUGAGAUAUUAACUCUGAAAAUAUACAUGAUAUAUGUAUGUAUGUUAUUAUGAGGAAAUGAACAUGCAUAGAAAGUAACAUAUGAGUAAUGGAUGAAUAUGAAUUCUCUAUAAUAUCGGCUUGAAAGAAUCAUAACAAAAAAAAAGAAAACUUCCUUGUGAUUCAGGAGGAGCAACCAGGAUUGGAUCUUCUGUUAGGGGAGGUCGUGAGACAGGCGAAGCAGGUGCGUGAUUUUCCCUCCUAUUUACACUUAUACAAUUUAGAAUCCUUCUGGUGAAUGCAAUUAUAAUAAAUAUCGUGUUCAAUAUAAAUAAAUCCUAGUGUAUUUACAAGAUUAGCUUCGGCUAAUGGCAUCCGUGAUAGGAUUGCCAGGAAAAUUUACAUGAUUAGCUUCGGCUAAUGGCAUCCGUGAUAGGAUUGCCGGGAAAAUGAUUCACACGAUUAGCUUCAGCUAAUGGCAUUCGUGAUAGGAUUGCCGAGAUAUGAUUGAUAUGAUUAGCUUCGGCUAAUGGCAUCCGUGAUAGGACUGCCGGGAAAUGAUUUACACAAUUAGCUUCGGCUAAUGGCAUCCGUGAUAGGAUUGCCGGGAAAUGAAUUACAGGAUUAAACCUUACAAGGUCACCCAGUUUAUGCAAGUAAAUAAGAUUAUUCAAUUAAGAAUAUACAAAUGAGUGUUAAUUGGGUUUAAAAGAUUUACAAGCAAAAUAUAAGUUCUUUGUUAGAAUUCUCAUGGAUUUGAUAAAAAGUUAAUACUUCAUUCGUAUUCAUUACAUGAGCAUACAUAUAUUCUUUAUCGACAUAAUGGUAUGUUUAUUUAGGUAACAGGUCCAUCAAACAUUCAGGAAGAUCAUUAGUUAGGACUCAACUUUGUGAAGCUUAUGUAAAUAUUUAACUUAAAACAAAAGGGAAUUAACGUGUUUAUGUAGUAUACUUUUGUGCAAACCUUGAUGUAUUUAUAAAGGUUUAGCUUAGCAUGUAGUAUUUUUAGUUAUCUAGUAAUUAACCAUCUUGAAAUAUUUAAGAACACUUCUUAUAUUGUAAAUACUUUCUUUGCAUGUUAGUAUUCCUUUUCCUUUAAAUUUUAUGAUAUGAUGUGUUGGACUAUGUUCAUAUUGAACUUACUUAUAGGAUAUAUAUAUAUAUUGUGUGGAUUGUAUGAGGUGUGGAAUUAUGAGGUUUGAUAUAAGGUCCGGAAUUAAGGGACUUUGUGAUGAUGGGUUGAUUGAGUAAACUGAUAGUAGUCGAUAACUUGGGAUGUCCUAACUGCAAACGAAACUCUGCCGAUUUUUGGAAAAAAAAAAAUUACCCUCAAAUAAAGAGGAUAUGUUGGAAUCUUUUAACAUUGAUCGAGUCAUACAGUCGGACUAUUACAGAGGAGGUCAUUGCAGACCCCCCUAUUUGUUUGGAUUUUCCGGCGGCGACAUGUUAACCCACUCGCCGCUAGUGGCGUGGCGCGUGGAGGAGACGCGCCGCCACUGUUCCAGCGCCCAGAAACCUUCCGCCACUGUUCCGGCGGAUCUUAGAGGAUGUUCCCAGCAAUUCCUGGAGUUUUGGGGUUUUAUUGUGUAAUUUUUGAAUUGUAUUUGAUUUAUUAUGAGUUUUGUUUUUUUUACAUGUAAAAGAUGGUGUAUGAGAAAAUCAUAAUAAAAAGAGAUGUGUGUGUGUGUUUGUAUUUUUAUUUAUGUUAUUGAAUUGUAAAAAUAAAAAAGAUUAAAAGAAUUAAGUGUUUAAUUUGAUUAUAGUUAAAUAUCUCAAGGACAAAUAAAAUCAUGUUAUAUUUUCCAUGAAAGUGUAAGAACAUGUUUCUACACAUAUUCGAGGAUUUAAUAACUGAUUUAUUAAAACCUUAGAAUUUAAUGAGUAUUUUAAAUUUUCAAAUCACAUCAAAUCGCAAAGCAACUUACCUCAGGUAGGGUGCGCUAGGGGUGCUAAUACCUUCCCUAGCCACAAUCAGUCCCUUACCCUAGAAUUUCUGACAACGACUAGUAAAUCUGGGUUUCCUAGUAACCUUCAAUGAAAUACUAGGUGGCGACUCCAAAGAACCAAUCAAGCAAACAUAACGAAAAAUCGUCGAAUCGUCGCGCGGGGGACGUGCGACAAUCCUAACACCAUUAGUGAAACCUUUUCUCCUUGACAUAAUAAACUUAGCUAAACAUAAUGAAGAAGAGAAACAUAAAUAAACAAGAGAAGAACAUGAUUAUAUAAGUAUAGUAAAGGAAAUGAAAGGUAUAAACAAGAUAUUAAUGAAAGCAAAACUUAAGCAUUUCAAAAAUAUAAAGAAAGAGAGCAAGAACAUGAUCUUGAUCUUGAUUUGAAAACUAAGAUGCCUAAAUACAUGGCAAAUGCCUCCUUUUACAGGCCAAAAUUUAGAAUUAUUGAUUUGAUAACUAAUUGUUAAGUGGGUGGCCACCUCUUGACUUUGUGACAAUUCUUAUCUUCUUGUCUGCCAAAAACGUUAUUGCUAACAUCAGAAUUUGAAUAAAUAGUCUUCAUGAAAGUUUUGGGAAAUUGUCUUAUUUUUCCAACAAAAUAAAAUUGAGGUCAUUUAGACUUCUAGAACUCGAGAUAUGGGCUGAACACUGAAUAGUGUCUAGGCUGCAGGACAGAUUCAGACUUCUCUUUUGAUGCUAAGAUUUGGACUUCCAAACGGCAGAAUAGAGUCUUGGACUCCGCAUGAAUGUUUUAGGCCUAUGUCUUAGCUUUCUAGCCAUAUAAACCAAACUGAAAUCCAAGAUCUACAGCUCCAGAUAUGACCUAAUGACUGAAUAGUGUUCCAGUUUGAAUUAAAUCACCAUCUCUUUUCUAAGCUUAGCCUUUUCUUUAUCCUUUCACUUUCAAUAGUUAAUCACAUCAAUCAAUCAUUUGAAUUGUGAGAUAUGUCUGCAUUUAAAUGAGCAUUUACCAUAAAUUAAAGCUAUCUUAUAGUAUUAGAUAUGUUAUUAUAAAACAUGCUCUAGUUAAGGAGUUAUUGAUACUUCAAGUGCAAAAUGAUGAUAUAAAACCUUGAUAAAAAUGCAGUUUUAAGUACUAAUCACUCCAUGAGUCGAAUAGAAUGGUCAAAUAAGGAAAGCCGUAAAAAGGUGAGAUUGGAUUUGAGCCUUAGUUUGUAAAAACUUGUGUCUUUUGGUUUUAUUAAUAGCAUGUUAUUUUGUUUUGUUAUUUCUUAUAUUUGUUUAAGUGUGUUUCAGGUUUGUCAUUGUUCUUUAUUUCAAGUGAUGUCUUCUAUAUUUUAUCUUUUUACCUUAGGAUAUUAAGGACAAUGUCUCGUUUUGGUUGAGAAGAGAUGGUAGUAGUUGAUAUUAAAAAAAAAUUAACUAUGUUUUCUAUUUCAUAAACCAUUUGCAAACCUGUUGUUACUAGGAUGACAGAGUAAAGAAGUUCUUUUGUUAAAGUGACUAUUGAGACGCAUCUUAGUAAACAUUCUUAAUAAGGUCUAUCAGAAUACUUCUUGAAAUAUUCAGGUUUACAAACUCUCGCAUUGUUGUCACUUGAUUCUGCUCAUAUACUCGUUUACAAGUAUUUUUAAACCUUGAUUUUUACACACACACUUUAACAUUUGAUUGUAGGUUGCAUAUUUGAUUAUUACAUUAUUUAUGUUCUUUUGUUAAAGGUAACAACUAAGGGAAAGAGAUAGUAUAUAAUUUGCAAAAAACAAAAAACCAAAAAAAAACCAAAAAACUAAAAACUAAAAGAAAUUAAUUAUAUUGAUGAUAAUAAAAACGUAGAUAAGUUUGGUUUCGUAGCCUCCCUAACCUAAGCAAUUAAGCCCGAAGGGGUGUUUUAACACCUAAUACCCUAAAGUCAACUGACUUGGGAGCUAUUAGCCCAAUGCUUGUUACAUGGGUUAAGGAGAAAAGCUUAAGAGAAUCAAACAUUGCACUAUCUAUGUAUCAGUAUCUACAACCCGAGUUACUAAGCUCGUAGGGGUGUCUCAACACCUAAUGCCCUAAGACCAACUGGUCUGGGAGUCAUUAGUUGAAAGCUCGUUACAUAGGUUAAAGAUGCAUUGUAUUUUAAGUUAUCUAUAUAUAUAUAUAUAUAUAUAUAUAUAUAUAUAUAUAUUAAAAAAAAGAGAAAAAAAAAAGAUAAUAAUCCCAACCCAAGGAAGUUAACCUUAGAAAAACAUUAGAACAAAAUUGUGUUUUCAUCCAAGCAAAGCCCCAUAACUAUGUGUUGAUAUAUUGAGCACAAAAGGAAGGUUUAUCAAUAUCUUGUUUAAGAAGUAUGGAGUAGAUAUAUAAAUUUAAUAAGAGUUUGUUUAUUUAGAUAGAUUAAUGGAAGUUGAAUGAUGAAUGCCUUGCUUUGUGGAACUUGCAAAUUGUUUUUCUAUUUUAACACUUUGAUUACUAGGGACUAGUAAUAAGCUAGUUGGGGGGUGUGAUUAGUACUUAAAAGUGCAUUUUUAUCAAGGUUUUAUAUCAUCAUUUUGCACUUGAAGUAUCAAUAACUCCUUAACUAAAACAUGUUUUAUAAUAACAAGUCUAAUAAUAUAAGAUACCUUGAAUUUAUGGUAAAUGUUCAUCUUAAAUGCAGGCCUAUCACAUAAAUAAAAAGAUUGAUUGAUGAGUUUAACUACUGAAAUUGAGAAGACAAAGAGAGAGCUAAGCUUAGAAAAGAGAUACUGAUUCAAUUCAAACUGGAAUACUGUUCAGUCAUUGGGUCAUAUCUAGAGCUGUAGAUCUUGGAUUUCAGUUUGGUUUAUAUGGCUAAAAAGCUAAGACAUAGGCCUAAAACAUUUAAGAAGAGUCCAAAACUCAAUUUUGCCGUUUGAAAGUCCAAAUCUUAGCAUCAAAAGAGAAGUCUGAAUCUGUCCUGUAGCCUACACAUUGUUCAGUGUUCAGCCAUAUCUCGAGUUCUAGAAGUCAAAAUACACCGAUUUAUUUUUUCUUGGAAAGCUAGGACAAUUUUCUAGAACUUUCAUGAAGACUAUCUGUUCAAAUUCUGAUGUUAGCAAUGACGUUUUGUUCAGACAAGAAGAUAAGAAUGUAAAUGUAAUUAGAAUAUUUUGCAAUAAAAUAAAUUAUAAUUAAAUCUUUGAAUAAAUUCAUUAAUCAACGUUAAUGUUACUGAAACAACAUUAAAUUAAUCACUGAACAAGUUGAUUAAUUCAAACAACACGCAUUCAAUCAAUAUAAUGGUCUUGAAGAUAAGUGAUUAAUGAACGUUAAACAAUUCAACAAGUUGAGAUUAGAAACAAGUUGAUUCAAACAGCACGCAUUCAAUCACCAUAUCAUGGUGUGUAUCUUGGACAAGCGGAAAGCACUUGUCCCCGUUUUGUCUUUUAAAAACCCUAAUGCUCCUACUUUCGGUGGAGUUUAGCUUCUUUUUUUUUUACUUAACCUUUCUUAUUAAUAUCACAUGCAAAGUUUUUAAAACAACAUUAUUGUACACAUAAGGUGAAAAUGACAGGGAAUUGACCUCUCCUCACUAUUAUUUUCCUGCUUUCGUAAAGUUUUUUAUAGCUCUAUAUUCUAUCUCGUGCUGAGAGUGUUUCCAAAAGCACUGAAACGUGUGGUGCUAAACGACAAGGCAGAAUAAGGUUAAAGGGAUCUAUUUUAAAAUUUUACUCUUAAGGUGUACAGUGGAAAUCGACUCUCCCUUGUUAAUUUCUAAAUUAACCAUCUGAAGAGGUUUUUUUCUUCUUGUAUAUUAUUGUUUUAAUAAAAACAAUAUAAAAGAAGAAAAGGAUAAAAGUAAAACCAGAGAAAGAUUAAGAAUACCAAGAGAGUGUGGGAUUGGUAAUGCAAUAUAAGAUUUUUUUAAAAAAAAAUUAUUUUUUUGUUAAAAAUAUAUUUAAAUAAUUUUUUUAAUAUUUUACAUCAUAUAUUAGAAUGAUAAAAAAAAAAACACCAUGUAAACUAUUAUCAUUAUAUUUGUUUAUCAUUAUCUUUAUAUUGUAUUAUGCAUGCUAUCUUAAUUAUGUCAUCAAAUUGCAUUUUUUUUAUGGGAAUUGCUGCUCUAACUCGGAAGUUAGAAUCCAUGUAAACUAUUUUGUUUUAAUACUUCUCCUCUUUUCAACAUAAAGUCGUUCUUUUAUAAAUAUAUUCAUUAGAUUGAUGAUAUGCUAUCUUUUCUUUUUAUUGGUUUUGAGAAAGAAAAAAAAAAGUAUUUCUAUCCUUUUAUGGAAAAGCACAGAGAUCUAAGAACUAUUGUGUAAAUAACUGUUAGGGUAAGUGUGAAUUUUAACACAUGGCAUGGAUAGCUAUUGAUGAGGGGAGAAAGGGAUUACAAGUCUGGUUUGGAUAUAAAUUAUACAAAAUCUGACCAUAGUUUCCAUUGCCAUCUCUGUUGAAUAUUCUUGGCACAAACAGCUCAUUUCAAACCAGUUGUCCCUGUUUUGUAUUUUAAAAACUCUAAUUAAAUAUUAAAUUAACACACAAAAAAAAAAAAAACUAAAUGAGAAGGGUUUUUUUUAUUAUACCCUUCCUCACAAACACAACCUUCAACUCUACUAUAGUUGAUGUGAUGGGUCAAUUAUUUCUAACUACGGCAUAACAUUAUACUUCAUGUUUUAAUAUUAUAUUAGUAAUAACAACUCCUUUUAAUUUAUUAGUUCAGAUAUAUAUUUACUUUGUUUUAUAAAAUAUAAAUAGUAUAUUUUCAUGUCUCAAUUAAAAAAAACAUUAAUUAUUGGACUUCAUAAUUUAUUUUGGUGUGUUUUUCAUAAAGUUAUUGUGGUCUUAAACAAACAUCUCGAUAUUUGUUUGAGCGUUAAUUUUUUAAUCAUAUCAUUAAAUAAAAAUAUUUUUUAAAACAAUUACUAAAUUUAGUGAAGUCUAUAACUCGAAUCACGAAUUUAACGGGUUAAAAUUAUUGUUGGAAAAGCUAAUAUUAAAAUUAUUAUUUUAGUAUUAUCAUCAAAUAAUUUUUUUAUAUUUUAAAAAAUUUAUUUAACUCGGCGGAGUAUAGUUAAAUGGAAUGGUAUAAUUUAGAUCUUGAGACACUAACGUCAGCUGAACUACUUCUAGUUUGGAUCUUGAGACACUAACGUUAGCUAAACUUAUUUCCAGUUUGAGAGUAUGGUUGUGGUUGCUUUUUAAAGUGUUUUUCAUGUUGAAAUGCAUCAAAAUGAUAUUUUUUUUAUUUUUAAAAAAUUAGUUUUAAGAUCGGUGCAUCAAAACGAUCCAAAACAUAAAAAAUAUAUUAAUUUUUAACCAAAAAACAAUUUAAAUUUUUUAAAAACACGAAUUGAUCCACGUUUCCAAACUCUCUGGAUUGAUAUGCUUUAAAUGAGCAAUUAAAAUAUCAAAGGAUUUCCGGGACACUCCCAAGACGUUUAAUGGUAUAUUUAAUGUUUGUCCCUAUUGAGAUUACGACAAGACCAAAUAGAAAAGUACUAGUUACAUGCCCCGCGCGAUGUUGCGGGUCAAUUAUUUUUUGCAUUUCAAAAAAAGUUAAGAUCUAAAAGUGUUAGAUUUUUUUGCAAAGUUAUACCCAAGAGUCUUAGGUUUGGUUGCAACGCCUGAUCCAAGAGUAAUAUUUAUAAAAGUGUUAGGUUUUUUUGCAAAGUUAUACCUAAGAGUCUUAGGUUUGGUUGCAACGUCUGACCCAAGAGUAAUAUUUAUAAUUUUAAUAAUAACAUUAAACUUGCAUGACCCAAAUUUAAGUGGGUUUGACUGCAAUACCAGACCCAAUAGCAUUGGACGUGGGUCUGGCUGCAAAGUCGUGUCAUAAAAGUGUGAUAAUUAAAUAGAUUAGUUAAAAAGAAAAAAAACAACAGGAAGAAAAAAACUAAUGAAGAAAAAGAAAAAAUAUAUGAAUUAAUUGGGUUAACCCUUCAAACCAGGUUAACCCGUCAUACCUUGAAUUCGCAUCGUGAAAGUUUGAUAAUUAAAAAGGAAAAAAAAAUUAAUGGGUUAACCAAGAAUUAACUCGGCUAACUCGUCAAACCAGGUUAACCCGUCAAACUCAGAAUCCGUGUCAUGAAAGUUUGAUAACUAAAUAGAAAAAAAAAAUUAACAUUAACAAUUUAAAUUAAACAAAAAAAUUAAUUAAAAAAAAAAGCAUUAGCCUUUUCACUGUGGACUGCAUUGUCCAGUCCACAGUCAAAGGCAUAAAAACAACAAAAAAAGAAAAAGAAAAACUAAAGGCAUCAGCCGAUAACUACUUAGAAAAAAAUUUAAUAUUAAUAAACUAAAUUAAUUAAAUAAAAUUAAUUAAAAAUAAAAAAGAAAAGAAAAAAACUCUAAAAACAAAAAAAAAACUAAAUAGAAAGAAAUUUAACAUUAACAACUAAACUAAACGAAAAAAAUAAUUAAAAAGAAAAAAAAAAGCAAAAAAAAAUAUUCCAGGUUAACUCGUCAAACCAGGUUAACCCGUUAAACCCAGGAUUUGUGUCAUGAAUGUCUGGUAACUAAAUAAAAAAAAAAAGUGAACAUUAACAAACUGAACUAAACGAAAAAAAUUAAUUAAAAAGAAAAAAAUAAAAAAGAAAUGUUGGUUAACUCGUCAAACCAUGUUACCCCUUAAACCCAGGAUCUGUGUCAUGAAAGUCUGAUAACUAAAUAAAAAAAAUUAUGAAAAUAAAAAAACAAAAAACAAUUGACGGGUCAACCCAGAAUUAACUGGGUUCGCCCGUGAAACCAGGUUAACCCGUGAAACUCGGGAUAUGUGUCAUGAAAGUGCAAAAAAAAAAAUUCUAGGUUAACUUAUCAAAUCAGGUUAACCCGUUAAAUUCAGAAAACGUGUCAUGAAAGUCUGAUAACUAAAUAAAAAAAAUUUAACAUUAAUAAACUAAAUUAAACAAAAAAUUUUGUUAGAAGAAAAAAAACAAAGAAAGAAGCUAAAAAAUAAUCCCAAAAGGCAUAAAAAAACAGCUAAAAAAACAAUUUAAAAAAAAAACCUAAAGCAUCAGUGUUUUAGUGUGGACUGCAUUGUGCUGUCCACGGUAAAACACUGAUUCGUUUUAGUAUAUGUUACAAUUUAUAAAAUAUUUUAGUUUUUAAGUUUGAUUUUAUUCCUUUUUAUUUUCGGUUGGGAUCAUAUUAAACCAAUCAAAUUUUGUUUUUCAAAUUUUUCAUAUUAAAAUUAUCUAAUAAACUCAAAAUAAAUCAAACUAUCAAAAGAUGAGCUUACUUUCUCUUUUUUUCUUGUCUCGCACUUGUCUCUGUUUUCUCUUUUAAAAACCUUUGUUAUUUAAUAUCACAUGCAAGGUUUUUAAAACGAACAUUAUUGUACACAUAAGGUGAAAAUGACAGGGAAUUGACCUCUCCUCACUAUUAUUUUCCUGCUUUCGUAAAGUUUUUUAUAGCUCUAUAUUCUAUCUCGUGCUGAGAGUGUUUCCAAAAGCACUGAAACGUGUGGUGCUAAACGACAAGGCAGAAUAAGGUUAAAGGGAUCUAUUUUAAAAUUUUACUCUUAAGGUGUACAGUGGAAAUCGACUCUCCCUUGUUAAUUUCUAAAUUAACCAUCUGAAGAGGUUUUUUUCUUCUUGUAUAUUAUUGUUUUAAUAAAAACAAUAUAAAAGAAGAAAAGGAUAAAAGUAAAACCAGAGAAAGAUUAAGAAUACCAAGAGAGUGUGGGAUUGGUAAUGCAAUAUAAGAUUUUUUAAAAAAAAAAUUAUUUUUUUGUUAAAAAUAUAUUUAAAUAAUUUUGCAAACUAACUUCAUCAAGUUUUAAAAAGAAAAGGCAAAGAAAAACCAGCGAAUUGACCAUAUCAAAUAAAGUCGCGUACGAGAGAACCUUUAUUAUUAAUAUCACAUGCAAAGUUUUUAAAACAACAUUAUUGUACUCUUAAGGUGAAAAUGACAGGGAAUUGACCUCUCCUCACUAUUAUUUUCCUGCUUUCGUAAAGUUUUUUUUAGCUCUAUAUUCUAUCUCGUGCUGGGAGUGUUUCCAAAAGCACUGAAAUGUGUGGUGCUAAAAGACAAGGCAGAAUAAGGUUAAAGGGACCUAUUUAAAAAUUUUACUCUUAAGGUGUACAGUGGAAAUCGACUCUCCCUUGUUAAUUUCUAAAAUUAACCAUCUGAAGAGGUUUUUUUCUUCUUGUAUAUUAUUGUUUUAAUAAAAAUAAUACAAAAGAAGAAACGGAUAAAAGUAAAACCAGAGAAAGAUUAAGAAUACCAAGAGAGUGUGGGAUUGGUAAUGUAAUAUAAGAUGUUUUUUAAAAUUAUUUUUUUGUUUAAGAAUAUAUUUAAAUAGUUUUUUUAAUAUUUUACAUCAUAUAUUAGAAUCAUAAAAAAAAAUCACUAUGUAAACUAUUAUCAUUAUAUUUGUUUAUCAUUAUUUUUAUAUUAUAUUAUGCGCGUGCUAUCUUAAUUAUGUCAUCAAAUUGCAUUUUUUUUUAUGAGAAUUGCUGCUCUGACUCGUAAGUUAGAAUCCAUGUAAACUAUUUUGUUUUAACACUUCUCCUCUUUUCAACAUAAAGUCCUUUUUAUAAAUAUAUUCAUUAGAUUUGCCAUCUCUGUUGAAUAUUCUUGGCACAAACAGCUCAUAGCUAAGGGAAGCUCGGAUUUCAAACCAGUUUCCAUCCCAUUUUAUAGACCGAAUUCUUACAAUAUCUUCUUCAUCGAUCGAUAAACCGAUUCUGGAGGACCACAAUAUGAUGGUGUAUCUUAGAGCACCACAUCAAAAGAUAAGAAAUUCCUCGAAGAUCACCAUAAUAUCAUGGUGUGUAUCUUAGACAAGCGAAAAGCACUUGUCCCCGUUUUGCCUUUUAAACCUUCAAAGAUUUGUGUCCAGGGGGGCAUCAAGUUUUAAAAAGAAAAGGCAAAGAAAAACUGGCCCGACCACCAUUUCAAAAGAUAAGCUUACUUUCUUUCUUUUUCCCAUCUCUCACUUGUCCUUGUUUUGUAUUUUAAAAACUCUAAUUAAAUAUUAAAUUAACCAAAAAAAACUAAAUGAGAAGGGUUUUUUUAAUUAUACCCUUCCUCACAAAACACAACCUUCAACUCUAGUACUAUAGUUGAUGUGGUGGGUCAAUUAUUUCUAACCAAGGCAUAACAUUAUCAAAAUAAAUUAAUAAACCGUGAGGUGGUGAGGUGAUUUUAUGAUGGCACCAUUCACUAUGAAUCCUCUUACAUUUUAUUAUGAACGGUAGUAGUGAUUUUUUUCUUUUAAUGCUCAAACAUUUUUUUUCUUCUUAAUUUUAUUAUUUUGUGGUCAAAUUGAUGGCCAAUUGUUUUUGAUUUGUUAUGAAAGGGUAAGAUUAAAAGAUAGGGGACCAAAGAGAAAAGAACAAAAAAAAUAGGUGGCAGUUUCAAAAUUAACAUAAAAAGUUCACUUUGUUUGAAUUAACAUAAAAUAGGUGGCAGCUAUAUCUGCUGACUAGUUAUUCAUGGUGAAGUGAUAAUCUCUUCUUUUGUUCUACUGAAAUUCUUGAUGUUUAGGCUGGGAAUAAAUUUAGCUCCUCUUGUUUACCUAGAAAACUGAGGGAAAGUAGCUGAAAUAAUUUGAAACCAUUUAAGAUUUUUGUCAGUUUAGUUUAUUCGUUCACUUUCCUGUAGUUUCUGAGAUAGUACCAAACACAUUGUUAUGUGUUGAAUAAAUAAUUAACCACCGAUUAAAGCAGAAGGAACAUUUGUGUUUGAAUCCUGAGAAAAUUGAGUCGGAAAAUAAAGGGAAAUUUUUGCAUUUUAUGAAGUUUUUUUUCUUAGUUAUGAUGAUUUAUUUUUUUGGAGGCCCCUAAAAGUGGAAUAAUGGUCCCAAAAUUUACAAUGUUUUCCUGCAAUCAAACAGUGCUUUGGAAGAUAAUUGUUAGAAGAUAAAAUAAUUUGUUUUUUUAUUAAUGUAAAUCUGCUUUUCUCUAUAUCACAAUACUUUUAACGAAGUUUUUUGUUUUUUUGUUUAAGCCUUUUUUUUUUUAAUAUUUCAAUCUCUAAUAUUCUUUUGUACUUUCUUUCUAUGGGAUUUAUCUUUCUUUUUUAAAUAAUAAGGAUUGCCUCAAAGUUUUUUUUUUCUGUCUUUGUUAAAUUUUGCUUCUUUAAAAGGGAUUUUUUUUAAUUAAAUUAAUUUUUUUGAUUUCAUUCUCUUGCAUUUAAUUUGAGGCAAUACCUGAAAGAAUUUUGUUUCUCUAAUUAAUUUUUUUAAAAAAAUUAUAUUCUUUGUUUUUUUAUUUUUUUCUAUAGAGUUAUCCUGAUAUUAUAUCUUGGGUCAUAGAUUCAAUAGGUUUACCAAGGUUGAUUUAAGUUUUUUUUUUAAUUUCUUUUUAAUAUUUUUUUAUCUCAAGUCAAUGACUAAAAUCUUAAAUUUCAAAAAAUUGCAUUGUCAAUAGUGUUUUUUUUUACUUGGUUUUUUUUAAUCUAUAUUUUUUUUUUUAAUUUCAAACUUCAACAUUUAGUUUAUUGAAGACUGGGCUUCAUAAUUUAUUAUUGCUUGCUUUAUAUAUUGUUAGCUCAAUCUCUUUACACUAUAAACUAAAAGAGGUGAUAGAUUUACUAUUCACCACCUCACAAGACACAAUUCAUUUCAAUAGUUUUUUUUUAAAAAAAUCUAUAUUUCUUUAUUCCUUGAUUUCAUACUUCAACAUUUAGUUUAUUAUAGACUAGGCUUAAUAAUUUAUCAUGGUUUGUCUUAGUCUCAUAACUCGUAUUACGGGUUUAAUUGGUUAACUCAGUUUUUUUGUCUUUUUUAAUUGCUAUUUUUUCAAUUUCACCAUUCAACAUUGGAUUGAUUAUGAAUUAGACUUCAUUAUUUAUUUUGGUUUACUUUUUAUGAGGUUAUCUUGGUUUUAUGACUUAGGUUACGUGUUUUGUGAGUUAAGCCGUGUAGACUUGGGUCGUUUUAUUGUAUAAUGUUUUUAGAUUGAUUUUUUUUUAUUUCAACCUUUAACAAUAAAUUUAUUGAAAAUUGAGUUUCAUAAUUUAUUUUGAUUAACUUUCUACAGAAUUAUCAUAAUUUCAUGACCUUGGUCGCGGGUUUGGCAGGUUAACUUAGGUUGACUCAAGCUAUUUUUUGUUUACUUUUUAUGAGGUUAUCUGAGUUUCAUUACCCAGAUCAUAGGUUUGACGAAUUAACCUGAGUUGAAUAUGAUCCUUUUUUUUAAUUUUAUCCUUCAACAUUGAGUUUGCUUAUCCCGGGUCACGAGUUAACUCAGCUUUGUUUUGUCCAUUUUUUAGUUGGUUUUUUUUUUUCUCAAUUUCAUCCUUCAAUAUUUGGUUGGUUUGAAAUUAGACUUCAUAUUUUAUCUUAUUUUAUUUCUUUCUAUGAGAUUAUUCUAGUCUCAUUACUUGGGUCACGGGUUUGCUAAGUUAACUUGGGUUGUCGCAGGUCUUUUUUUUUUUAUCUUUUUUUAAUUAAUAUUUUUUUUCAAUUUCAUCCUUCAAUAUUUGAUUAAUUAGGGAUUAAGUUUCAUAAUUUGUUUUGAUUGCUUUUUAUGGGGUUAUAUUAGUCAUAUAACCCGGGUUGCAGUUUUGACAAGUGAACCCUAGGUGACUCGAGUUCUUUGUUUUUUUUUCUCUUUUUUAAUUGUUUUUUUUUUCAAUUUCAUCUUUCAAUAUUGGUUUAAUUGGGAAUUGGGUUUCAUAUUUGGUUUUUUUUUCAAUUUUGUUUUUAUUAGAAAGCACACUUAACAAAUAAUAAUUUAGUCUUGAUAAAACUAAUGAAUCAUUCCAUAGUUUCAAUAACAAUAUGUUUAAUUCUUAUAUUUUUAGUUAUAUAUAGUUUAGUACUAUCAAUUUCAAGUUCUUUCCCAUGUAUUUUUUCUUCUUCCUUCUUGAAAAAUAGAAAAGGAAAAGAGAAGCAGGCAGUUGGGGAAAUUUCAUUAGGAAGGAAGGUAUUUUAUAUAUAUAGUAAAUUGAGGGUGGUUAACACUAGUUAAUGGGAUGUUUCAUUAUUUAUGAUACUACAAGGACUAGAUAAUUAAUUUUAAUAAAUUACAGCGCUAAUUAGUUAUAAUUAAAUCUUCAUUGACAAAUAGGAUUUUAUUAUUUGUUUUUUGAAGGAGAAUAUGUACAUGCAACAAUCUUUACUGUUCCUUCAUUUAGGAAUAUAGAAUUCAAAUAUGGUUUUAAGAGUAUAUAUUUAUAGGGUACAAAUCUGUUUGUAUAAGCAAUAUUUUCAUAAAUUUAUCAAUUCUGCAGCUGGAAAAAAGAAAUAGACUCAAUAUUCCACCUGAGAAAACCGAUAAAAUGAAAGAAAAGAGAAUUCUUUCUUUAUCCAUUAGACCACAAAAAUUUACAUAUAACACAAUUUUAGUUAGAGCACUACAACUCAACUGUUAUAUUAUCUUAAUUAACAAAAAAUUCCAUCAUAUAAUAAGCUAUAGACUUAGCUGGGUUUUAAAAAACUCCUCUUUUACGUUUCUAUGUUUUCAUGAACAUUGAAAAAGGAGCCAUGGUUGACUUUCUAUCUGUUUCUUUCUUUUCUUGGAGGAGAAAGAGAGGAUUGCGCUACUUGUUUCUUUUCAUUUUCUUGAAAACCAAAUAGAAAGUUCUUGGUUGAUUUCUAGCCAAUAGUCUUUUUUCUCUUAUUAACUCGGUUUCUUUGGGUGCUGAUCGACUAGUUAUUUUUGUGAAGUAAUAAUCUAUUCUUUUAUUCUACUUAAAUUCUUGAUGUUUUUGGCAGGGAAUAAAUUUAGCUACUCUUAUUUACCAAGAAAAUUGAGGGAAAGUAAAAAAAAUAAUUUAAAACCAUUUAAGAUUUUUGUCAGAUUAGUUUAGUCUUUCCUGAAGUUUUUAAGGUCAAGGGAGUAGCCAAUCAAAAAGGAAGGAUUGCAAUGAAAAAUUCGGUACAGCUCUUUCAUUUCGCACUUGAGAGACAAUCUAUUGGUUGUAAUGAGGAGAUAUGGUUGAACAAGUGGCUACGAUCUAUUGGCUCAUCGGACUACCUUAUCUCCAAGUCACAGAUCCUUUCUCUUAAUUGGUUUUUUUUUUAAUUUGAAACUGUAAUUUGUUUCAAAGCUACAAAUACCUGGAUUUUUUUCUUCCUUUUCUUUCUUAUUUUCUUUCUUUCUUUUCUUUCCAUGGAGAAAGAGGAUUGUGCUACUUUUAUUUUCUUCAUUUUCAAAGCUACAAAUCAUGUUUGAGAGAAAGAAACAAGGUUUGUAAUAAAAUUACGUAGACUUACAUUUAUUAUAUACUAAGGAAAAAAAAUAUAUUUUUGUCUAAUUUGCUUUUUCCUGUUGAACAAGGAGGCAGAUCAUAAUUUCCCAAACUAUAGAUUGAAAAAAAAAAAAAAAAACAGACGAAAAGUAUAGGAGAUUUUUUUUUAUUAUACCUAAAAGUUAUUAAGGAAAGAAUAAAAAUUCAACAAUAGUGUACCAAAGUAUAAAAUAAAAAGAAAUCCAAUAAUCAAUCUUAAAUUUGUUAAAAAAUGUUAUGUUUAGUUCACGUAUUUUUUUUUAUUCUACAGUUCCUUUAGUUUUUACAAUUUUAAUUUUAGUUCAAAAUUUUAUUUUUUUAACAUUUUAAAUCCUUGAGUUUAAAAAAUAAGAGAGAAAGUCGUUUGAAAACAAUGAAAAAAAAGGUGAAGUUUGUGAAUAAGAACUUUUUCAAAAUAAAACUCAUCGUUUUUUGUAUCAACGAGUUUUAUUAUACGAGAGAAGCUUGAUAGUGGUAGUUUAUUUCUAUAAACAAGCCUGAAAAAUAUAUUGAGUUUCAUUUAGAUUUUUUUAUUUGGUUUUUUUUUUAUUUUUUGAAUGAUUUUGGGAUUUUAUUUUUAAUAUAUAAAAUCCCAUUAUUUCCUUGCUUUCGUCAGGACCGCUGAAAUAAGGUAAAGUUUUUUUUAGCAAGAACAUGAUUUUAUGGCCUCAAUCAGAGAGGUAAUGUGUGGUGCUAAAAGACAAGGCAGAAUAAGGUGUAUAGUGGAAAUAGACUCUCCCUAGUCCCUAGUUAAUUUCUAUAUUUCCAUCAAACCUAUUUUAGGGUUUGAACUUGAACCAUCUGAAGAGGUUUUUUUUUCUUGUAUAUUAUUGCUUUAAUAAAGAUAACAAAAAAGAAAAGAAAAGGAUAAAAGUAAAACCAGAGAAAGAUUAAGAAUGCCAAAUGAGUGUGGGAUUGAUAUUGUAAUAUAAGAUGUUUUUUUAAAAAUAUUAAUUUAAAAUAAAUAAAUAAAUAAAUAAAAUUUAAUUUUUUAAAAAAAUACUUGUAAAAUAUCUAAGUAAUCAUUCAAAUUAUUUUAUUUUCUUAAAAGAAAAAAAAAGUCGCGUACGAGAGAACCUUUGUUAUUAAUAUCACGUGCAAACUUCUUAAAACAUUAUUGAAAUCAUUAUAUAUUGACCAUUAUAUUAUUGUCCUCGUGAAAAUGACAUCUUCUCACCAUUAUUAGAAGAACAGGAGAGUGUUUUGAAAAGCGGGGACAGAGUGAGAAACAAGAACAUGAUUUUAAGGCACGUGGUCAGUUAUUGAUAUAUUAAAAUCAUAAAAAAAAUAUUAAUUUAAUAUAUUUUCAAACAAAACUCAUUCAAAUUCAAUUAAAAAAACAUUAGAAAAAAAAAAUGUAAGGAGGAGAUAAGGUUGAACAAGUGACGAUAAUCUAUUGAAUUCUCGGAUUACCUUAUUUUCAUGUCACAGGUCCUUUCUCUUAAUUGUUUUCUAAAUUUGAAACUGUAAUUUGUAAUUGUAAUAUGCGAGGGUAAUCACAGCAACUCAAGAGAAAAACAACACCCUAUUAAAUCAAAUUAAAAAAAAAAAACAAUUUGAAACAUCGAAGGGUGAAAUAGAAAAAAUAAAAGGACUGAAAUGAAAUAAAACCUUGGUGGAUGCUAUCAAUAGCCUUGUUCUUUUAGCUUUCUGUAUGAUGUAAUGGGCAGGUCUUAUUACUUGAGUGUGUGAUGCAAGAGAUAGUCAUUGCAGAUUUUAGUUGCCUAAGUUUGAUCCUUUGUGGAGUUCCUUGUAAGUCUCUUUUUUUUUCUCUCCUUAUUCAUAAUUUUCGAGAAAAAAAAACAUUUACCGAUCAUAGCUUUAGAUUAAUGUGUUAUUGGAAGCAAAGAGGAGCUAGUAUCAUGCGUGCAGGUGUCAAAGUGAUCUUCAUCAGCCUUCCAUUCCUUUCUCUCUUUGCUAGGUGAGUACUUGUACAUAUUAUUCUUUUAUUUGUUUGUCAUUAUCUUUAUAUUAUGCUUUUUAUCUUAAUUAUGUCAUAAAUUUGCAUUUUUGUGGGAAUUGCUGCUUUAAACUCUUAAGUGUAAACUAUUUUGUUUCAAUGUAUUCUUUAGAUCGGUGGUAUGCUAUCUUUCACUAAUGAAAUUCUGUUUAUUGGUUUUGAGAAGGAAAAAAAAAAGUAUUUCUAUCUUUGUUUUAUGGAAAAAGCACAUAGAUCUAUGAAAUAGAUAUAUAUUAAAAAAAAGGAUAGAUUAGAUAUUCCCAUUACUCAUGGCAUAGAUAGAGAUAGUCAUUACAGAUUUUAGUUGCCUAAGAUUGAUCCUUUGUUGAGUUCGUUCCUUGCAAGUCUUUUUUUCUCCUCAUGCAGACUAUCUUAAUUAUGUCAUCAAAUUGCAUUUUUUUUAUGGGAAUUGCUGCUCUAACUCGCAAGUUAGAAUCCAUGUAUACUAUUUUGUUUUAAUACUUCUCCUCUUUUCAACAUAAAGUCCUUCUUUUAUAAAUAUAUUCAUUAGAUUGAUGAUAUGCUAUCUUUUCUUUUUAUUUGUUUUGAGAAAGAAAAAAAAAAGUAUUUCUAUCUUUUUUAUGGAAAAGCACAGAGAUCUAAGAACUAUUGUGUAAAUAAUUGUUAGGGUAAGUGUGAAUUUUAACACGUGGCAUGGAUAGCUAUUGAUGAGGGGACAAAGGGAUUACAAUGAUCUAUGAACUAUUGUGUAAAUAAUUGUUAUGUUAGGACAAGGAAUUAAAUGUUUAUCGUUCUGCUUAUACCUUGCCUUGUUGCUCUUGAAGCUGGCUUCCAUACAGAGCUAAAGGCCUUCUCCUUUUGUUCCUCUCGCUAUAUUUUAUUAUUGAGCAGUCAGUACCAGUGCUUUCCGCAUAUAUUUUCACAAAUUAAGGUAAUAAAAUUACUAUUCUUAUUCUCUCAAUGCCUAUUUUACUUGUAAUGACUCACUCUCACGUUCUGUAUCCUUAUUUCUUUGUUUUUCAGACCGGUGGAAAAUGGCUAUCGAAAGUGUUGGUGGAUCCGUUGUAUCCAAGAUAGCAGAGCUCUUGGUGGAACCAGCAAUAAGGCAGUUCCGUUACAUGUUCUGUUUCAACAAUUUUGUUCAAGAAUUCAAUGAACACAAGAAGAACCUGGCUUUGACACUAGAUCGUCUACAAAAUGAUGUCCGAGAUGCUGAAAGGAAUGCUGAAGAAAUUUACAAAUAUGUCAGUAAAUGGCUGGAAGAUGCAAACAACGAAAUUGAAGGUGUGAAUCCUUUGGAAAAUGAAAUAGAAAAAAAUGGCAAAUGCUUCACUUGGUGUCCAAAUUGGACGCGACAAUUCAAGUUAAGCAAGGCACUGGCAAAGAAAACGGAGACUUUGAGAAAACUUGAAGAAAAUGGCAGAAAGUUUCCAAAAGUGUCCUACAAACCACCUCUUCAAGGCAUAGAAUUUCUUCCAUCAGAGGAAGUCACGCCUUCAGAAUCGUCAAAAGCAGCUUUCGAACAGAUUAUGAAAGCUCUCAAAGAUGACAAUGUCAAUAUGAUCGGACUGUACGGCAUGGGAGGGGUGGGUAAAACCACUCUAGUGAAAGAAGUAGGAAGGAGAGCCAAAGAGUCGCAGCUGUUUGAUGAAGUUGUGAUGGCUACACUGUCCCAGAAUCCAAAGGUCACAGGCAUCCAGGAUCAAAUGGCAGAUAGUUUAGGUCUGAAAUUUGACGAGAACAGUGAAGGAGGGAGAGCAGGUCGGUUAUGGCAGAGACUGCAGGGAAAGAAGAUGCUUAUAGUCCUGGAUGAUGUUUGGAAAGAUAUUGACUUCCAAGAGAUAGGGAUCCCAUUUGGUGAUGAUCACAGGGGUUGUAAAAUUCUUCUAACAACACGUCUUCAAGACAUAUGUUCUUAUAUGGAGUGCCAGCCACAAGUGUUCUUAAAUAUCUUAACAGAAAAUGAAGCAUGGGCUUUAUUCAAAAUCCAUGCAGGUUUACGUGAUGAGGACUCUGACUUGAACAGAGUGGCAAAGGACGUUGCGAGAGAAUGCCAAGGCUUGCCUAUAGCACUUGUGGCAGUGGGAAAGGCUCUAAAAGAUAAAUCUGAACAUGAGUGGGAAGUAGCAUCUGAAGAGCUCAAAAAAUCUCAAUCUCGGCACGUGGAAAAUUUUGAUGACCGAAGAAAUGCAUAUGCAUGUCUUAAAUUGAGCUAUGAUUAUUUGAAGCACGAGAAAACCAAGUUAUGUUUCUUGCUAUGCUGUUUAUUUCCAGAAGAUUACAACAUUCCAAUCGAGGAGUUGACGAGAUGUGCAGUUGGCUACGGGUAUCAAGAUGUGAAGUCCAUUGAAGGUGCAAGGAAACGAGUUUAUAUGGAAAUCGAAAACCUCAAAGCUUGUUGUAUGCUGUUAGGAACUGAAACUGAAGAAUAUGUGAAAAUGCAUGACUUGGUUCGUGAUGUUGCUAUUCAGAUAGCAUCAUCAGAAAAAUACGGAUUCAUGGUAGAGGCUGGCUUUGGGUUGAAGGAGUGGCCAAUGAGGAAUAAAAGCUUUGAAGGUUGUAAAGUAAUCUCGUUAAUGGGCAAUAAACUAACAGAUCUUCCUGAAGGAUUGGUGUGUCCACAGCUCAAAGUUCUAUUAUUAGAACUGGAUCGUGGUUUGAAUGUUCCAGAGAGGUUUUUUGAAGGGAUGAAAGCAAUAGAAGUUUUGUCUCUAAAAGGAGGGUGUUUGUCAUUGCAAUCACUUCAAUUCUCAACGAACCUUCAGUCGUUGCUGUUGAGAUGGUGUGAAUGCAAGGACCUCAUUUGGUUGAGAAAGCUGCAAAGACUUGAGAUUCUUGGUUUCAUUUGGUGCGGCUCCGUUGAAGAAUUACCUAAUGAAAUUGGGGAGCUCAAGGAGUUAAGGUUGUUGGAUGUGACAGGUUGUGGAUUGCUAAGAAGGAUUCCUGUGAAUUUGAUUGGAAGGUUGAAGAAGUUAGAAGAGCUGUUGAUCGGGGCUACGAGCUUCAACAGAUGGGAUGUUGUUGGAUGUGACAGCGCAGAAGGAAUGAAUGCAAGCCUAACAGAACUAAGUUCGCUGUCUCAUUUAGCUGUAUUAUCAUUGAAGAUACCGAAGGUUGAAUGCAUUCCCAGAGAUUUUGUUUUUCCCAGGUUGCUCAAAUAUGAUAUAGUGUUAGGGGAUGGGUAUUCGGAAGGAGUAUACCCAACAAAAUUAUAUUUGGGUAAUAUCAGCACCGCAUCCUUAAAUGCAAAGACAUUUGAGCAAUUGUUUCCUACUGUGUCUCUAAUUGAUUUUAGAAACAUUGAGGGUUUAGAAAAUAUAGUAGAGUCGCAAAAGGACUUCUUUCAAAGAUUAGAACAUGUAGAAGUGACAGGAUGUGGGGAUAUUCGCACUCUGUUUCCAGCAAAAUGGCGGCAAGCUUUGAAAAAACUAAGGAGCGUGGAAAUUAAAAGAUGCGAUUCAUUGGAAGAAGUAUUUGAAUUGGAUGAGGAGAAAGAGCUGCUGUCAUCUUUAACAACGUUACGGUUGUCAGAUUUACCUGAGCUCAAAUGUAUAUGGAAGGGGCCCACCAGACAUGUCAGCCUCCACAGUCUUGUUCAUCUGAAGUUGUUGUGUCUUGACAAACUGACAUUUAUAUUCACACCGUCCCUUGCUCAAAGUCUUAUUCAUAUGGAAACACUUGAGAUAGGAUUUUGCCGUGGAUUGAAGCGUCUUAUCAGAGAGAAGGAUGACGAAGGGGAAAUAAUUCCAGAGUCUCUUGGCUUCCCAAAAUUAAAAAAACUCUAUAUAUUUGUUUGUGAUAAACUGGAAUAUGUUUUCCCUGUCUCCGUGUCUCCAAGUCUUCAGAACCUGGAAGAGAUGAAGAUUGUUUUUGCUGACAAUUUAAAGCAAGUAUUUUACAGUGGAGAAGGAGAUGACAUCAUCGUCAAGUCUAAAAUUAAAGAUGGCAUCAUCGACUUCCCUCAGCUAAGAAAAUUGUCUCUUUCAAAGUGCAGCUUUUUUGGUCCAAAGGAUUUUGCUGCCCAAUUGCCUUCUUUGCAAGAGUUAACCAUUUAUGGCCACGAAGAAGGGGGUAAUUUGUUGGCACAGCUUCGAGUACGUCCAUUCUAUUUCUCCAUUUUUUUUUCUUUUUCUAAUUGAAAUUGUCAACUUCAAUACAUUGUGAUAAUUUGUUCUAUCUUCCUCCAAAUUUCUAAAACUAAAGUAAUUGAUAAGUUCUUUAACCAUCCACUGAAUUUAAUUGAUGAUUUAAAUUGGCUUAGGAAGUUCUUUAAUUUUUUUGAGUUAAAGUAUAAUUUUUCGUGAUUGCUUUUAAUUUAACUAAUAUAAAGUAAUAGUUUGUAUUCAGAUUAUCAUAAAUAUGAAAAAAUAUGAUUUUAUAUUCCCAUGACCCGGUGCCUUGUCUAUCUAUAUUUUCUUAAAAAAUAUGAAAAUUUUUUUUACUAAUCUGUAAAAUUCAAAAUAUUUUCUUUUAUAUUUUUAUUUUUGGACAAUGUCAUAAUUUUUUUUUAUUAUAAAUCGAAUAUAAUUUUUUUUUUUUUAGUUAAUAAGUAUAAUUUUUUCAUGAUUGCUUUUAAUUUAACUAAUAUAAAAUAAUAGUUUAUAUUUAGAUUAUCAUAAAUAUGAAAAAAAAAAUAUCAUUUUAUAUUCCCAUGACCUGUUGCCCUGUCUAUUUAUAUCUUCUUGUUGAUAAUUGGUUGAUCUAUUUAACAAAAUUAUAUAAUAGUUCCAAAGUGCACAAAAAUUACUAGGAAUUAUAUCUAACAAAUUGGUACCUUUUGAUGCAGGGGUUUACAAGUUUGGAAACAUUAACUUUGUCCUACGUGCUUGUGCCUGACUUGAGGUGUAUAUGGAAGGACCUCAUGCCGAGCCAUUUGACUUCUUUGACGGUGUAUAGCUGUAAGAGACUGACACGUGUAUUCACACAUAGCAUGAUUGCUAGUCUUGUUCAACUGCAAGUUCUAGAGAUAUCAAAUUGUGAGGAAUUGGAGCAAAUCAUUGCUAAGGAUAAUGAUGAUGAAAAUGAUCAGAUAUUGUCAGGAAGUGAUCUCCAAUCUUCAUGCUUCCCUAAUCUGUGGCGACUUGAGAUCAGAGGAUGCAACAAGUUGAAGAGUCUCUUCCCAGUAGCCAUGGCUUCAGGUCUCAAAAAGCUCCGAAUACUUAGAGUAAGAAAAUCCUCUCAAUUAUUGGGAGUAUUUGGACAGGAUGAUCAUGCUUCACCUGCCAAUAUUGAGAAGGAGAUGGUGCUCCCUGAUCUGCAGGAGUUGUUGCUUGUACAAUUACCAAGUAUUUCCUCCUUUAGUCUCGGAUGUUCUAAUUUCUUGUUCCCUCAUUUGAAGAAGUUGGAGGUGGAUGGAUGCCCGAAGCUGACCACAAAAUCUGCUACUACAUCAAAUGACUCAAUGAGUGCUCAAUCAAAGGUACUCCUGAUUUGACUUGAUUUCUUGCCUCUCGUUUAGUUUUAAAAGUGCACAAUAAUUACUAGGAAUUACAUCUAACAAAUCGGUACCCUUGUUUUCUUUUGAUGCAGGCGUUUAUGAAUUUGAAAGAAAUAUCUAUUGGAAACUUGGAAGGAGUACAAGAUUUAAUGCAAGUUGGACGUUUGGUAACUAAUAGAAGAGGUGGGCAUGAACUUUCACUCGUGAGUUUGGAAACAUUAUGCUUGAACUUAUUGCCAGACUUGAGGUGUAUAUGGAAGGGUCUCGUUCCGAGCAAUUUGACUACUUUGAAGGUGAAAGAGUGCAAGAGACUGACACAUGUAUUCACAGACAGCAUGAUUGCUAGUCUAAUUCAACUUCAAGUUCUAGAGAUAUCAAAUUGUGAGGAAUUGGAGCAAAUCAUUGCUAAGGAUAAUGAUGAUGAAAAUGAUCAGAUAUUGUCAGGAAGUGAUCUCCAAUCUUCAUGCUUCCCUAAUCUGUGGCGACUUGAGAUCAGAGGAUGCAACAAGUUGAAGAGUCUCUUCCCAGUAGCCAUGGCUUCAGGUCUCAAAAAGCUCCGAAUACUUAGAGUAAGAAAAUCCUCUCAAUUAUUGGGAGUAUUUGGACAGGAUGAUCAUGCUUCACCUGCCAAUAUUGAGAAGGAGAUGGUGCUCCCUGAUCUGCAGGAGUUGUUGCUUGUACAAUUACCAAGUAUUUCCUCCUUUAGUCUCGGAUGUUCUAAUUUCUUGUUCCCUCAUUUGAAGAAGUUGGAGGUGGAUGGAUGCCCGAAGCUGACCACAAAAUCUGCUACUACAUCAAAUGACUCAAUGAGUGCUCAAUCAAAGGUACUCCUGAUUUGACUUGAUUUCUUGCCUCUCGUUUAGUUUUAAAAGUGCACAAUAAUUACUAGGAAUUACAUCUAACAAAUCGGUACCCUUGUUUUCUUUUGAUGCAGGCGUUUAUGAAUUUGAAAGAAAUAUCUAUUGGAAACUUGGAAGGAGUACAAGAUUUAAUGCAAGUUGGACGUUUGGUAACUAAUAGAAGAGGUGGGCAUGAACUUUCACUCGUGAGUUUGGAAACAUUAUGCUUGAACUUAUUGCCAGACUUGAGGUGUAUAUGGAAGGGUCUCGUUCCGAGCAAUUUGACUACUUUGAAGGUGAAAGACUGCAAGAGACUGACACAUGUAUUCACAGACAGCAUGAUUGCUAGUCUAAUUCAACUUCAAGUUCUAGAGAUAUCAAAUUGUGAGGAUUGGNNNNNNNNNNNNNNNNNNNNNNNNNNNNNNNNNNNNNNNNNNNNNNNNNNNNNNNNNNNNNNNNNNNNNNNNNNNNNNNNNNNNNNNNNNNNNNNNNNNNNNNNNNNNNNNNNNNNNNNNNNNNNNNNNNNNNNNNNNNNNNNNNNNNNNNNNNNNNNNNNNNNNNNNNNNNNNNNNNNNNNNNNNNNNNNNNNNNNNNNNNNNNNNNNNNNNNNNNNNNNNNNNNNNNNNNNNNNNNNNNNNNNNNNNNNNNNNNNNNNNNNNNNNNNNNNNNNNNNNNNNNNNNNNNNNNNNNNNNNNNNNNNNNNNNNNNNNNNNNNNNNNNNNNNNNNNNNNNNNNNNNNNNNNNNNNNNNNNNNNNNNNNNNNNNNNNNNNNNNNNNNNNNNNNNNNNNNNNNNNNNNNNNNNNNNNNNNNNNNNNNNNNNNNNNNNNNNNNNNNNNNNNNNNNNNNNNNNNNNNNNNNNNNNNNNNNNNNNNNNNNNNNNNNNNNNNNNNNNNNNNNNNNNNNNNNNNNNNNNNNNNNNNNNNNNNNNNNNNNNNNNNNNNNNNNNNNNNNNNNNNNNNNNNNNNNNNNNNNNNNNNNNNNNNNNNNNNNNNNNNNNNNNNNNNNNNNNNNNNNNNNNNNNNNNNNNNNNNNNNNNNNNNNNNNNNNNNNNNNNNNNNNNNNNNNNNNNNNNNNNNNNNNNNNNNNNNNNNNNNNNNNNNNNNNNNNNNNNNNNNNNNNNNNNNNNNNNNNNNNNNNNNNNNNNNNNNNNNNNNNNNNNNNNNNNNNNNNNNNNNNNNNNNNNNNNNNNNNNNNNNNNNNNNNNNNNNNNNNNNNNNNNNNNNNNNNNNNNNNNNNNNNNNNNNNNNNNNNNNNNNNNNNNNNNNNNNNNNNNNNNNNNNNNNNNNNNNNNNNNNNNNNNNNNNNNNNNNNNNNNNNNNNNNNNNNNNNNNNNNNNNNNNNNNNNNNNNNNNNNNNNNNNNNNNNNNNNNNNNNNNNNNNNNNNNNNNNNNNNNNNNNNNNNNNNNNNNNNNNNNNNNNNNNNNNNNNNNNNNNNNNNNNNNNNNNNNNNNNNNNNNNNNNNNNNNNNNNNNNNNNNNNNNNNNNNNNNNNNNNNNNNNNNNNNGUGUCGUUGGGCAUUAUCAGAUUCAUGAGUGGCUCAAUCAGAGGUGCUGUAUAUUUGACAUGAUUUCUUGCCUCUCUUUCAGUGUUUUUAUUUCUUGUUUCCCUCACUAAUAAGACUUACAAGUUAGAAUGUGUAUGCCAUGCUUGAAUUGGUUUUGCAGGUAUCUCAAGUAGCUGAGGGUUCCAGCACUGGUUGCUCCGUGCCAACCAGCACUGCUAGAAGUUGGACCCGAAGAAAUGGGUGGAAAGAGGAAAAAGAGGAAGAGGAUGGAGUCAGAUGAUUAGUUUGGCAUUGGAAUUUGAAAAACAUGGUAGUAAUUCAUUCUUGCAGGUAAAAUGGCUGCAACUAUUUAUCUUCUAUCCUUGUUUAAAUGGUUGGAUUAAAUCAACAAAUACGAGAUGCCUGGAUGAUCUUUGUUCUUGAUGUUUGCAUUAGGUUGGUUGGUUACCUAUGUGAUGAUCAACUCGACAUUGGUGGGAAGUAAUUCCAGCUGUUUCAUUAGCUACAACAAUUUGUCUUAUUUCAUGUGUUUGUUGUGUGAACUUCCAGAAAUAAGGGUAAUGUUAUGUGUUUAGUAAUUUAUUGUACGAACCUUCAAAAACGAAAGGCAUAAUGUUUACUCAUUUGUGUGCUUAUUGUUUAAUGUGUGGAUUCUUAUUCUCCUCAUUUUGAUGUUCUAUUUCUAUUACGGAUUCUUUAUGUGGUAAGAUUAUAUAAAAUAAUAAAUCAAAAAGCAUCAAUGAAAAAUAAAUCACCUCAUGGUGAUUAACCUCCUAAGGGACAAAGUUAGCACAAUGGUGAACUACAUGGAAGAUUAUUCAAGGGCUUCAUCCUUGUGGUGAACUACAUGAUAAAUCGGCUAUAAAUUACAAAAUCAAAAUAACCUCAGCCAACAUUGAUUACUCCAAAUUAAUUUUAAAAUUCGAUUUAUUUGACUUAAUAAAAAAUAUUAAUCUGAAUUGCUUCCUAUAAAAAAUAUGUGAGCAGAGUAUUUCAUGAAACCUAAUAAAAAUAAGAUUCUUCUUCAAUUUUUUAUUUAUCAUCAUUUGUAAAUCUUGAUAGAAAAAAUGAGGAAUGUAUUUCUCAUGCCUCCAAACCUCAUCACUCCUAUAUUUGUUUAUUAUAUUCUAAAAUACUAAAUAAGCACAACCUAAUUUUUAAAUCUGAAUUUCUUAAAAGCAUUUAAUUAUCACAACAUAGGAAUAAAAGUUUUUAAAAAAACACUGAACAGGCCUACCCAACACAUAAGCAAAUUUGUGCUCCAAAUGACAAAAUAAAAGCGCAUUCCAAACUAUCAAGUCAAGUACUGAACCUUUUUAAAAUUGCUUUUUUUUUCAAAUAUUUCUUUUUGUCUAAUUAUAUUUAUUUUUUAUUUUUUUAUUAACAUGAGUGUCCAGACCAGCUUGCAUGCAUUUCGACUAAUCCCAUAAAUUUUAAAAUUAACGAUCAUGUAAGUCUCUAGUGAUUCUAAAAUUUUUAAAAUUUAAAUUAAUAAUUUUUAAAAAAUAAAUUCAAAAUCUGAUAAUUUUAUCCCAUUAUUACAUUCAAUGAUUGGUUGAUUGGAUUAUUAAAUUCAUUGAUCGGAUGAUUGGAUGUUCGAAUUUCAUUUACUUUUGGCAUUACACAAAAACAUCCCUUUCAAGUUACAAAACGACGUGCAGCUCAAUCAAUGCCUUCAUUGCCUACAGCCUUCAAAAAAUCAACUCCUUGGUUAGUUUCGUCCUUGGCUCGCUUGGAGCGACAGCCACAUUAAAUGAUAGCCACCGAAAUGUUUGACAUGUGGCACUUGAGUUUAAGAAACCAUUAAUGCCUGGUCUUGUUUUAGAUUGACACGUGUACGCCAGGGCCGUUGCCAUAGUUAAUUGUCCAAGGUUGAGUUAAGAUUUCCUCGCCGUAAUUGCUUGAUGUUGACGUGGCUCAUUAAAUGAAGACAUUGUCGUCAGCAUUGGACCGCCUCUUUUAUGCGAGUCAGCUUGGUUAUAGCAAAAAAAUAUAAAUAUGCUUAGUUAAGAUAAUUUUAUAAUGAAUUUUUAUUAUUUAAAAACAAGAAAGGUAACGGAGCAUGUUCUCUCUGUUUUAAUUAACAAAUGUUAUCUAAAAAAUUAAGAUGUGAAUUUAUUAAUAUUCUCGUACCUUUUAAGAACUAUAUGAAUUUAUAUUUAUUUUCUUAAAUUAAAGUUUAUGAAAAAAAAUUGAGUUAUGGAUAUCUAAAUUAUUAUGGUAUACCUUCCCUGCAGACUGUAAGGAAACUCCAAUUCAUCAACAAUAUUAUUCGACUACAGCCAAAAAACAAGAACACUCAGUCUUCUAAACUAAAAAAUAAAAGAUUUAUGUUUCGUGACUACUGAAAAAUAUGUAUUUAAUCGAAAUGAUUACCAGAAGCAUAAAUUCUGUACAAAAACUGAAUUGCCACUGCUGUUGGGUAUCAAUAUAUACUAUAUAGAAAAAAAUAGAUAUGUAAAAAAGAAGAAAAAUACUCUACUUAUUAAAAGUGAUAAAUUAUUUUUGUCUUUUUGAAAAAAAAACAUUUUCUUCCUAAUUUAUUGAUAAAAUUAUAAUGAGGUUGUUUUUUAUAAUGUUUUUUUAUAUAAUUAUAUCAAAAUAAUACAUAUUUUUUAUUUUUUAAAAUUUAUUUUUGGUAUCAUUAUAUUAAAAAAAUAAAAAAUAAAAUAAUAAUUUUCACCUACUAACUAGACGGUGUUUUUUUUUUUAUUAAUAUUGCUAAUCAGGUCAGCUUGCUAGUACUUUAAUUAAUCUCACGAAUUCUAAAGUUAAUAACUAUAUAAGCCUCUAAUGAUCCUGAUGUUUAUAAAACUUGAAUUAAUAACUUUUAAAAAACUAACUUAAAAUCUGAAUAGUUGAAUUAUACCCAUCAAGAUUCCAGUCUCUAAGUUAAACUAAGAAGCUAGCUUGGCCAACACUUGAAAAUGUUAAAUAAAUAAGGAUAAAAUAGACUUUUCAGUAUAUUAUAUCAGUAAUUUACUGGCUGGUCGUGGUGACUCACAAGGUCUUUGGUGAUGAGAGAGAUGAAUAAAGAAGAAGCAGAGGUCUCAUUGGGGACCCAGUGGGGGAAUUAAGUUUCACUCUCAUGAUAUGCGCGUGCGUCGAACGCACAAUUCUUUGUCUUAUUUUAAAAGAUCUAUACGCGUGAAACACACGAGUAGGUAGAUGGUUGAAGAUUAUUACGAAAGUAGACACAUCUCUGUCAUAAAAGAUUGUAGUCAUAGUACAAAUAUUUCGGGAAUUUCAUCAUUGCCGGCAUUAAUGAUCUCAUUUACUCAUAAGUUCCAGACUUGAUGAGAGUUCUGACCGGUCAAUGAUUAUUCGUCGUGUUAAUCUUUUAAAUUGAUAUCGGAAUAAUUUUUUUAAUUUUAUAUUUAUGGAAAAAGAGUAAAAAAAUUUUAAAUUGAAUUUUUUUAUAGUUUUAUAAAAAAAUAAACUGAAAUAUAACUUAUUAAUAUUUUUAAAAAUUUAUUAAAAAAAACCAUAACUGAAAAAUAAAAAAAAUAAAAAAUGAUAAAAUUUAAAAAAUAUUAUAAUUUUAUAAAUUAUUUAAAAUAAAAUAAAUAACUAUUAAAGGAAUAAAAAUCAAAUAUAGUAGAUAAAAAAUUUAAUUAAAAAAAUAAUAAGAUAAAAAUAAAUAACAAUAAAAAAAUAAGAAUCCAAGUUGAUAUAAAAAUUAAACCAAAUCAAAAUUUAAAGGAUAAAAUUUAAAAAUAAAAAAAAUUUAAAAGAUUAAAUAUUAGAUUUAAUAUAAUCUACAAAUAACAUGAUUUCUUUUUAAUUUCUUAAAAUUUUUAAAAGUAUAAUAUGUAAAAAUUAAAAGAAAAAUACUAUUCUAAAAACAAAUCAAAUUUUUUGUGUGAAAAGUAUUUUUUAUCAAUUUUUUAAUAAUAAAUAAGCAUGAAAAAAUUUAAAAUAUAUAUUGUUUUUAAUUACUAACCUAUCCCAGAUAGGUUUUAAAAAAAUCACAUGAAAGUUAACUCUACGAAACAAAAUCUGUUUGAUUUUAAUUAUUUUAAUUAACCUAAGUUAAUUUAUCAGAUCCAUGUACUGAAUUCACUCAAUCGAGUUUAAUAACAUUUAUUGAAAUUUGUUUCUUCUAAGUUAGGGAAUCAAUCAACCUAAGCACACAAUUCUGCAAGGAGAGAGGCCCAUUUCCUCAAGAGUAAUGAAAGUUGGAAAUAUAAUAAAGGCUCAAAGUGAAAAAGUCCCACUUGAACUGAACCUAGUCGUAUGCUUUGGAUUCCUUGAAAACCCAUAUGAUUUAGGUGUCAAGAUAAAUGAAAAUUUCUUGCUUUUUUUUCUUCUCUCUCUCUCUUAUGAAUAUGGAUUCCUCGAAACCCCAUAUUUAUGUUAUUAUUGGAAAUUCGAACUCUACGAAAAAAAAACUAUAAGAUAUGAUCGGUUUGGACGAGGAUGACUUGAUUUGAAAAAGAAUUAAUUAUGAUAAGUGAAAGAUGUCUUAAGAGUACUCUAAUCCAUACUUUUUUUUUAUUGGGGCCCCUUGUGUUUUUUUAUUUAUAAUUGAUUGAGAGUCCCUCUACUCUUUAUUUUGUUUUGUAAUAGUCCUUCCAUCAUAAAUAAAGACCCAUAUUUUUUGCUCAAGGAGUGACUUGUCUAUGAAUUUUAAAAUUAUAGCAUAGUUAUUAAACAUGAUUUAAUGCGUUGAACUUUUAAAUUAAAAUUUAUUCAUAGUCAUUAAUUUAAACAUGAUUUAAAAUUAUAGCAUAGUCACUGCCUAGAAGAUGCAUAUUUAACAAUUAUCAACUGAUAGAGGAAGCCUAUAUCCAAACCAAUCGCACAUCCUUUCGUCCUCCAAUUUCCUUCUAUUUUUUUUUAUGUACACAAUUAACAUAUCCUCAAUUACCCUUUUGAUUUUUAUAUUUUUUGUUGUGAACAAAAUUAAACAGUCAGAAGAAAAUCCAGACCCCUUUUUUUUAAUGAAUUAAUUAUGUGAAUAAAAUUUAUAAAAGAGGUUGAGGAGGGCAUGAACAGCACUAGCUAGAAGUCAAUGUAUCAAUGUUGAUACUCCUCAAAAAGUCAAUGCUGGUGGAGUUGGCAGCAAAAAUAAAUAAUAAUAAUAAUAAUAAUAACAACAAAAUAAUUGAGGAGCUACAAGCUAGAGAGCCAAACGAAAUUGCCAAAGACGAGUAGCUAGUAUGCGGUGUCGUGAUGAUCGUUUAUUCUGGUAUGUAUUUGAAAAAUAGGUAAGAUAAAAAAAUUUUAUUUUUUAUCAGUGAAAAGAAAGAAUGAUAAUUGUCACUUAAUAUUUUGAUUACUAGAAAUCUUAACUGGUCUUAGAGAUCGGGCAUGGAAACUGGUUGCAUAAAGACAAUGUAUUAGCACCCCAAAUACGUCAUACUAAGGUAAGAUGCAUUAUUUAAUUGUCUGAUAUAAACUAAGAUAUUGUCGUGUUUUCUAAUGAUUGGUCCGUUUAAGGUUUAAAAAAAGUCAUUCUCGGUAAGACGAUUCUUAUCUUAUCGAGUAAAAUCUAACCAUUCUAAUAUCAACAAAAAGAAAAACUAACUCUUAUUUAAUAUUAGAAAUACGUCUUACGUAUAAGUUUGUAAUCUCAAAUAUUAAAAGAAAACACAAUAAUUUUUUUGUAUUUUUGAAAUAUUGGCUUAAUUCUCAUGACUUUAAUAAACUGGCUAUUAAAACUCAAAAUGCAUGCUAAUACAUAUUUUUUGAAUUUUUAAAAUUCUCAGUUUUCUCCAAAAUGUUGCAAAAAAAUAUAUAUAUAUCUUGUUUUCAUGCAUACGACUAAAAAAGAUAAGAAAUUUCAUAUUGUAUUUUCAUACUAAAAAAAAUAUCAAAUUUGUAUUUUUACAAUAUAAAAAUACAAACUAAUAUUAAUCAAAAUUGGUAGAAAAAUAUACGAGAAAACCACAAAUUAUUUUAGAAAAGAUUUUGAAAUUUUUCAGAAUUGCAUAAAGGUAAUGUAUUAGCACCCCAAAUACGUCAUAUCUAAGGUCAGAUGCAUUCUUUAAUUGUCUGAUAUAAUUAACUAAGGGAUUGUCGUGUUUUACAAUGGUUGGUCUGUCUAAGGUUUAAAAAAAGUCAUUCUCAGUAAGGCGAUUCUUAUCUUAUCGGAUAAAAUCUAACUGUUCUAAUAUCGACAAAAAGAAAAACUAACUUUUAUUUAAUAUUAGAAAUACAUCUUACGUAUAAGUUUGUAACCUCAUAUAUUAAAAGAAAAAAAAAUAUUUUUUUCGUAUUUUUAAAAUAUUGACCUAGUUCUCAUGGUUUUAAUAAACUGGCUAUUAAAGCUCAAAAUGCAUGCUAAUACAUAUUUUUUGAAUUUUUUGAAAUUCUCAGUUGUCUCCAAAAUGUUGCAAAAAAAUAUAUAUGGAAAAAAUAUAUAUAUCUUGUUUUCAUGCAUACGACUAAAAAAUAUAAGAAAUUUCAUAUCGUAUUUUCAUACUAAAACAAAUACCAAAUUUGUAUUUUUACAAUAUAAAAAUACAAGUUAAUAUUAAUCAAAAUUGGUAGAAAAAUAUACGAGAAAACCACAAAUUAUUUUGAAAUUUUUCAGAAUUGCAUAAAGGCAAUGUAUUAGCACCUCAAAUACGUCAUAUCUAAGAUAAGAUGCAUUGUUUAAUUGUCUGAUAUAAACUAAGGCAUUGUCGUGUUUUUUAAUGGUUGGUCCGUCUAAGGUUUUAAAAAAAUCAUUCUGGGUAAGACGAUUCUUAUCUUAUCGGGUAAAAUCUAAACGUUCUAAUAUCUACAAAAAGAAAAAUUAACACUUAUUUAAUAUUGAAAAUACAUCUUACGUAUAAGUUUGUAAUCUCAUAUAUUAAAAGAAAACAAAAUAAUUUUUUUUUAUAUUUUUCAAAUAUUGACCUAGUUCUCAAGACUUUAAUAAACUGGUUAUUAAAACUCAAAAUGCAUGCUAAUAUAUAUUUUUUGAAUUUUUGAAAUUCUUAGUUUUCUCCAAAAUGUUGCAAAAAAAUAUAUAUGGAAAAACAACAAAAAAAAUCUUGUUUUCAUGCAUACGACUAAAAAAUAUAAGAAAUUUCAUAUCGUAUUUUCAUACCAAAACAAAUAUCUAAUUUGUAUUUUUACAAUAUAAAAAUACAAACUAAUAUUAAUCAAAAUUGAUAAAAAAAAAUAUACGAGAAAACCACAAAUUGUUUUAGAAAAGAUUUUGAAAUUUUUCAGAAUUUUGUCUCCUCUUUUUAAUAUAUAAUAUUAUAUUAUAUAUUAUUAUAAAUAUAUAAUAAAAAACAUUGGGAUGGGCUGGCCCAAAUAUAUGGGUUGAGCCCAUCCUUGUUAGGUUAAAAUUGGCCUAGGUUGGCCCAAAGGAGUUGGGCCAACAUCGGCCCAAGAAGUAGGCAGGAGAGCCGAAGAGUUGCACCUUUUUGAUGAAGUUUUGAUAGCUACGGUGUCCCAGAAUCCAAAUGUCACAGGCAUCCAGGAUCAAAUGGCAGAUAGUUUAGAUCUGAAAUUUGACAAGAAGAGUAAAGAAGGGAGAGCAAAUGAACUAUGGCAGAGACUGCAGGGAAAGAAGAUGCUUAUAGUCCUGGAUGAUGUUUGGAAAGAUAUUGACUUCCAAGAGAUAGGGAUCCCAUUUGGUGAUGAUCACAGGUGUUGUAAAAUUCUUCUAACAACACGUCUUGAAGACAGGUGUUCUUAUAUGAAGUGCAAGGAAAAAGUGUUUUUAGGUCUCUUUUCUGAAGAGGAAGCAUGGGCUUUAUUCAGAAUCAAUGCAGAUUUACGUGACGAGGACUCUACCUUGAACACGGUGGCAAAGAAGGUUGCGAGAGAAUGUAAAGGAUUGCAUACAGCACUUGUGACAGUGGGAAGGGCUCUAAGAGAUAAAUCUGUUGUUGAGUGGGAAGUAGCGUCUGAAGAGCUCAAAAACUCUCAAUUUCGGCAUUUGGAACAAAUUGACGGACAAAAAAAAUGCAUAUGCAUGUCUUAAGUUGAGCUAUGAUUCUUUGAUGUCCAAUGAAACCAAGUCAUGUUUCUUGCUAUGCUGUUUAUUUCCAGAAGAUUACAACAUUCCAAUUGAGGACUUGACGAGAUACGCAGUUGGCUAUGGGUUACAUAAAGAUGCGGAGUCCAUUGAAGAUGCAAGGAAACGAGUUUAUUUGGCAAUCAAAAACCUCAAAGCUUCUUGUAUGCUGUUAGGAAAUGAAAGUGAAGAAUAUGUGAAAAUGCAUGCUUGGUUCGUGAUGUUGCUAUUCAGAUAGCAUCUACAGAACAUGGAGUCAUGGUAAAGGCUGGCUUUGGGUUGAAGGAGUGGCCAUUAAGGGAUAAAUAAACUAGCAGAACUUCCUGAAGUAUUGGUGUGUCCACAGCUCAAAGUUACUUUUUAUUUUUUUUAUUGGGGCCUCUUAUGUUUUUUCAUAAUUGAUUGAGUCCCUCUACUCUUUAUGUUGUUUUGUAAUAGUCCUUCCAUCAUAAAUAAAGAAAAAAAUGUUAACUAGCUAGCUCCAUUAGAAGAUGCAUAUUUAACAAUUAUCAACUGAUAGAGGAAGCCUAUAUCCAAACCAAUCGCACAACCUUUCGUCUUCCAAUUUUUAACUUAGAAUCGGAUUGAGCAGGUGUUAUAUUAACAUUUCAAACCAAAUCAAGUUUAAUUUCCAUUAUAUAUCGUAAUAGUAUUCUUGAUUCAAUUUAUACAUAACAAGACUAACAAGGUUUAAGAAUAGUUGUAAUCCCUCUAUAAUACAGAAGUAAUUGAUUCUCUUUAUAUAUGUAUAUAUAGUAGUUAGCAAAUCCUAUAUAAUAGGAAACAAAUAAAACCUAACAAAAUAUGUAUCUUACAAGAUAUAAUAACAAACGACAUGUUCUUUAAUUCUAUUACCUUCGUAUAAAAAUUUUCGAACAUUCAGACAAUUAUCAGGGUUUCACCUAUCCUACAUUGGCCUAAGACAUAUAAAAGGAAAAACCUAUUUUUCAUACACAGAAUUAUAAUUUUUCAUACAAAAGGAAAAACCUAUCCUACAUUGGCCUAAGACAUAUAAAAGGAAAAACCUAUUUUUCAUACACAGAAUUAUAAUUUUCAUAUUGGAAGAAGGCUAAAUAUUAGCCGAUUCUUUAGCAACAGUUAUUUGAUACGUAAAGGAUUAAUUAUGCCAAUGCUUUUAGGAGAAAGAUAUGCAGCCCUUAUAAGAUAAAGAUUGUCUGUUAGAUUCAACUUCUACUCAUGCCUCUGCUGCGUUGUAUAUAUAUAUAUGAUACAUUACAUAAUAAAGAUUACAUUGCAUUCCAAAGCAGCAGCUCUGUUCUCAAUAUUGUUGAUUCUCUGUUCUUUCUUUUCUUCAUGGUAUCAGAGCUGGUUUCGAUUGACUUGCGUUUUACUUAAAGUUUUCUAUGAAAGACUCUUCUAAAUAUGUUGGUGCUGAUGACAUCAACAGAUCUUCUAAUACAUCAGAAGGAGAACAAAAUAAUCCAAACCAACAUCUAGGUUCAGUUUUGUUGAAUGAACUCAACUAUCUUUCUUGGUCAAGAGCUGUGACGAUUGCUCUUGGGGGAAGGUCCAAACUUGGCUAUGUUAAUGGCCAUAUCAAGGCCCCUAACCCUUCCUCGUAGAACUAUGAAGCAUGGCAAUACAAGGAUCAACUUGUCAUGUCUUGGUUACUCAAUUCUAUAGAGAACAAUAUUGCUGAAAUAUUUAGUUAUUCAGAAUCUUCAAUGGACCUCUGGGAGGCUGUGAAGGAAAUGUAUGGAAAUCAAAACAAUGCAGCUCGCAUUUUUCAAAUCAAAAGAGAUCUUGCUAAUUUGUAGCAAGAUGGCAAGACUUAUGUGCAACUACUUGGAAUUCUGAAAGGUAUGUGGAGUGAACUUGCUUUAUAUCGAACUCACACUGUUGAUGUUGCAGCAUUGAAAAAACAAGAUGAGGAAGAUAAGAUAUUCCAAUUACUAUCCAGUCUUGGUAUAUAUUAUGAAGACCUUCGAAGUCAAGUUCUGAUGAACUCUGAUCUUCCAUCCCUUGCGAAUGUAUGUGCUGCAAUACAGCGAGAAGAAGCUCGCAGAAAAAUCAUGAAUCUAGAGCCAAGAAUCACCUUUCCAGAAACCCGUGUAUACACUGUUACCAGACAGAUGAAAAGUAAUAAAUCUUACAAAGGAAAGCGACCAAAUUUGAAGUGCACUCAUUGUCAUAAUCUUGGACACACAAUCGGGUGGUGUUGGAUCCUUCAUCCGGAAUUAAAGCCUAACUUUGGAAAGGAAAAGGGACUUCAAAAGGGUUAUGGAUAUAAAGCUCACAUUGCUGCUCGCUCUACUGAUAAUUCUUCUCCAAGUAAUGUAGUAAACUUUUCUACCAACCCAUCUACUCUUAAUGAUUUUGCCAAUUAUCUUAAGGAAAAGGGUGAUGCCAGCUUGACAGCCUCAAGCAAUUCUGAUUCUACGGCUAUUCUUGGUAAGUUUGCUGGUUUCAUGGCAAACUCUGAUCAUCUAUCACAAGAGAAUUUGGAAGGUAUUUUGACUGCUUUUAAAACUGUUUUAGUUCCUAGUACUGUGCAUAAUUUUUGGGUCAAUGAUUCGGGUGCUUCUGAUCACAUAACAAAUAAAAGGACUAGCUUACAUCAUUUCGAAAAAAUCACUACUCCAACUCAUAUUUCUGUUGCAAAUGGAAAACAUGUCCCUGUCGAAGGUAAAGGGAAAAUUAAAUUGCUCUGAAAAUAUUGAGUCUUUGGUUUUAUAUGUUCCAUCUUUUCCAUUCCAAUUGAUUUCCGUUGGCAAGGUCACCAAAACACUAAAUUGUCGUGUUAUAUUUGACUCUCACCGAGUUCUUUUUCAAGAUCGCGCCACCGAGAGGAUGAUUGGUGAAAGUUUCUUUUUUCAAGGGCUUUAUUAUUUUUCAAAUAAUUCUAAGCAUCCUCAAAUUUCUGCUCUUUCUUCCCUUAGUCAGGAUCAAGUUUUAUGGCAUCAACGUUUAGCCCAUCCUUCCAAGAAUGUUCUUACAAAAUUAAUGCCCAGUCUAGAUGCCAGAAAGAUCACUUGUGAUACAUGUCAUCUAUCAAAAUCCACCAGACUGCCCUUUUCACCCUCUAUGUCUAGAGCUAAUGAGAUGUUUGAACUUAUACACUCUGAUGUUUGGGGACCAACUAUUGAAUCCUUUGAUGGCUACAAGUAUUUUGUUACUUUUGUUGAUGAUUUUUCUCUUGUAACGUGGAUAUAUCUUUUAAAAUUCAAAAGUGAGGUUGUUGAUGUUUUUAAGGAUUUUCAUACGCUAGUCAUUACUUUUUAAAAUUCAAAAGUGAGCUAAUGAGAUGUUUUAAAGACCUUCUUCUAGCACAAGGGUUGUUAGUCCUAUUAUGGCUAAUCCUAAGGGUGAUUCCCUAAAUGAGCAAUCUGAAUUGGAGACUCAUGUUAUUCCUUUGCCACAUACUUGCAAAAAUCCAGUUCGUAAUCGUGCUCCUCCAAUUAAAAUGCAAGAUUUUGUCACCUUUGCAGCAAGACAUCCUAUUUCAAAUUCCCUUACAUACCAACAACUCUCACCUGAUCAUACAUCAUUUCUUUCUGCUAUAUCUAAUGUUCGAGAGCCACGAAAUUUUUAGGAAGGUAAUACUCAAGAUGAAUGGAAACGUGCCAUGGAUGAUGAACUCCUAGCUCUUGCUCAGAAUCAAACCUGGAGUAUUGUCAAACUUCCCAAAGGAAAACAUGUUGUUGGCGGCCGGUGGGUGUAUAAAACAAAGUUUAAUUCCAAUGGCACCAUUGACAGACACAAGGCACGUCUUAUAGCUCAGGGAUUUACUCAAACCUUUGGAGUGGAUUACAAGGAAACCUUUGCUCCUGUUGCAAAGAUGAACACUGUUCGUGUUUUAUUAUCAGUUGCCAUAAACAAAGGAUGGUUAAUGUGUCAGAUGGACGUAAAAAAUGCCUUCUUGCAUGGGAACCUUGAGGAAGAAGUCUACAUGAAAUUGCCUCCUGGUCAUCCUUAAGCUUCAGAUCCUACCUUAGUGUGCCGACUUCACAAAUCACUUCAUGGUUUGAAUCAGUCUUCACGUGCUUGGCAUGCUCAAUUAAGUUCUGUUCUUGAAGAGCUUGCUUUCAAAAGAAGUAAUGCAGAUUCAUCUUUAUUUGUUCAUCUUGGACCUAAAGAAACAUUGGUGGUUCUUAUGUACGUUGAUGAUCUUAAUUAUUUCAGGAAAUAAUAGUGAGGCUAUAUCACGUCUCAAAGCCACCUUACAACAUCAUUUUCCAAUUACAGAUCUUGGCAGAUUGAAGUAUUUUCUUGGAAUAGAAAUGGAAGCUUCUCAUAAAGGGUUAUUUCUUAAUCAACGCAAGUAUGUUCUUGAUUUACUCAAAGAUGCUGAGAUGAUGGAUGCCAAGCCUGCCCCUACUCCAUUGGACAAUAAAUUGCAGCUUCCCAAAAAUAGUGAGCCCCUUCAGUCUAUCAAUCACUACCAGCAUCUUGUAGGUAAGCUUAUUUACCUUACCAUUACGCGACCUGAUAUAGCCUAUGUAGUUAGUCUUGUUAGCCAAUUGAUGCAUGCACCUACUAUUUUCCAUCUGAGUAUUGUCAAGGGCAUCCUACGCUAUCUAAAGGGUUCUAUUGGACAUGGAAUUGUGAUUAGUACUUAAAAGUGUAUUUUUAUCAAGGUUUUAUAUCAUCAUUUUGCACUUGAAGUAUCAAUAACUCCUUAACUAGAGCAUGUUUUAUAAUAACAAGUCUGAUAAUAUAAGAUACCUUUAAUUUAUGGUAAAUGCUCAUUUUAAAUCCAGGCAUAUCUCACAAUUCAAAGGAUUGAUUGUUGUGAUUAACUAUUGGAAGUGAAAGGACAAAGAAAAGGCUAAGCUUAGAAAGGAGAUGCCGAUUCAAUUCAAAUUUGAACACUAUUCAGUCAUUGAGUCAUAUCUAGAGCUAUAGAUCUUGGAUUUCAGUUUGGUUUAUAUGUCUGGAAAGAUAAGAAAUAGGCCUACAACUUUCAUGAAUAGGAAAAGACCCAAAUCUGCCAUUUUCAAAUUCAAAGUUUGGCCACAAAAAAGAAAUCAGAAUCUGUCCUGCAAUCCAGCCCAAACACUGCUCAGAAUUUUACCCAUAGCUAGAGUUCUAGAAGGCCAAAUGAAGUGAAAUUCGGUGGGUAUAAGGACAAGACAAUUUCAAACAACUUUCAUGAGGAAGACAUGCUCAAAUGCUGAUGGUAAAAAUGACAUUUCAUCCAGACAAGAGCUUGAGGGCUAUCUACCACGUCCACCAGCAGCACUACUCAGUAUUGUAGACAUAUCUCGAGCUGUAGUGAUCCAAAUGCUUUGAUAUUUGAUGGGUGGAAGGAUAAGAUGAUUUCCAACAACUUUCAUAGCACUUUGCCAAAUUCUGAUUGCAUCAAUGUCAUUUCAUCCAGCCAAAAUACUUGAGUGCUGCUAUCCACCAAGUCCACUAAAUCAAUAGUUGGCCACUACAUCAAUAAUCAAUUACCAAAUGAAUAGUUCUGAAUUUUAGCCUAUAAAAGGAGGCAUUUGCCAUUCAUUUAGGAAUCUUGGUUUUCAGAUCAAGAUCAUGUUCUUGCUCUCUUUGUAUUUUGUAGUGUUCAAGUUUUAUUCCAUGUUAUAUUUUCCUUAAUCUCUUGUUUAUGCUUUUCAUUUCCUUUACUAUACUUAUAUAAUUAUGUUCUUAUUUUGUUUAUUUAUGUUCUUCUUCUUCAUAAUGUCUAGCUAAGUUAAUUAUGUCAAUGUGAAAAGGUUUCACUAAUGGUGUUAGGAUAAGUAUAAUAUAAACUCAAUAUGGACUUUAAUGCUUAUGUCCUAAACAAUUUGCAAUUAACAUGUCUUAUCAUUUUUAUCUUAUUAAUUAUUAAUACAUUGCUUGUUAAAUGGUUAAUCUAGAUUUGUGUUGUAUAACACCUGAUACAUCAAAUGCUUGAUCCUUCAUAGUCUUCGGCCGACAUCGUUGUUAUGAGAGGAACUUGAUUUGUUAUCAACAUAAGUUAGCAUCAUAAAUAUCUGAUAAAAUUUAUAAGUAUGGUAUUACGUAAAUAAGAUGAUUAAUAUGAUCAUGUUGAUAAUUUAUAAAGAGUUUAUACUUUACUUAUCUCUAAUACUAUUAGUGGAUCCUCUAACCUUAACAUUUGUUUUUAUCAUUAUUUAAACCUCACAUUAAUCUUACAUCUCAAAGUCCUCUUUAACUCAUCAUCACCAUCAUCACCAUCAUUGUUCUUAUUAUUAUUAUUAUUAUUAUUAUUAUUAUUAUUAUUAUUAUUUAUAAUUUAUAUAAUUAAACUCCAUGUGGUUCGACCCCGGUCUUGCCGGGUUAUUUAUUACGUUGACACUCCUACACUUAGGAUAAGACAUCAACUCUUUGAUUGUGUCAAGUUUUUGGCGUCGUUGCCGGGGAGGUAAAUUCUUGUAUAAAUUAUAAUAUUUAUAUUUAACUUUUCACUUUUCUUGUAUCUAACUUUUGUUUCUUUUGCUUUGUUUCUUUUUCUUUUGUUUCCUUCUUCCUUUUAUUCUCUUCCUACACGUACAUGAGAGUUUGGUCACGUACAUUAAGUGGUAGACUUUGUAGGGUAUCCUCAUCAUUUUUAGAAAAAUAUGGCCGAAGAAGAUAACCAGUCGCUUCAUAAUGAGAAUAAUGAGAAUAACCGAGUUAGAACACUUAGAGACCACAUGAAUCCUACAAGAACAAGUGCACCCUCAUGUAUAGUUUUCCCUCCUGAUGCAUCUCACUUUAAUUUUAAGCUAGGCAUUAUUCAACUUUUACCUUCUUUUCAUGGCUUAGAUCUAGAAAAUCCAUACUUGCAUUUGAGAGAAUUUGAAGAAGUCUGUAACACCUAUAAUGACUUAAAUUGUAGCAUGAACACCAUCAGAUUAAAGCUUUUUCCUUUUUCAUUAAAAGAUAAAGCUAAAACAUGACUACAAAAUCUUAGGUCAGGAUCUAUUCAUGCUUGGGAUGAAAUGAAAAAAUAAUUUUUAAAGAAGUUUUUUCCAUCUCACAGAACAAACUCUUUCAAAAGACAAAUCACCACUUUCACUCAAAAACCAGGAGAAACAUUUUACCAAUGUUGGGAUAGGUAUCGAGACUUGCUUAAUACUUGUCCUCAUCAUGGUUUUGAAACAUGGAGAUUGGUUUCACAUUUUUAUGAAGGGUUAACACCUAAAGAUAGACAAAUGGUGGAAUUGAUGUGCAAUGAAACUUUUGAAAAUAAAGACCCUGAUGAAGCAAUGAAGUACCUAGACUUGUUAGCUAAAAAUGCUCAAAAUUGGGACACUACAGGUAUUUAUGAGGCACCAGGUAAAACUCAACCUCAUACAUCUAGUGGAGGUAUGUACAACCUUAGAGAAGAUCAUGACCUCCAAACUAAAUUUGCAUUUUUAGCUAGAAAAGUUGAGGCACUAGAAUUAAAAAAGAGUGGUCAAUUAAAAUCUGUUUAAGACAUUGUGUGUCAAAUCUGUGAAACCAAUGAACACUCAACCAAUGACUGUCCAAUUUUUCCUUCUUUCAAAGAAUGCCUCCAUGAACAAGCUCAUGCUUUAAAUAGUUUUCAAAGGCCCAAUCAUAACCCAUACUCGCAAACAUACAACCCUGGUUGGAGAAAUCACCUAAAUUUCAGUUGGAAGAGUGGUAACAAUAAUGCACAAACUUCACAGCCACCGUUUCAAGCACACCAUAAUUUCAAAAAUUCUCAUGGAUAUACACCUCUUUAUGCUCUACCUCCUAGAAGAAAUCUUGAGGAAACAUUACAUGCAUUCAUUGAAAAGCAGGAGACAAUCAACACUCAUAAUGCUUAAACCAUGGUAGAUCUAAAAGAUGCUCUUGCAAAAUUCACAUAUACUCUCAAUUUUCAAGAGAAAGGUAAGUUUCCAUCUCAACCACAACAAAAUCCCAAGGGGCAAUACAAUGCAAAUGCAAGUAGUUCCGGAAGCCAACACAUGGAUCAAGUCAAAUCAGUCAUCACUCUUCGCAGUGGUAAGGUUAUUGAAAAACCCACUCUUGAACCUUGUGAGAAAGAUGAUGAGUUAAGCAUUUUCAAGAGCAGGCAGUAAAGUAUGAUAAGUGAACUUCAACUAUUUAUCCUGUUAUUUUUAUGUAGUGGUCAUCCAUUUUCAAAAGUUAUUUGUUGAUAACAUGACAACAGUUGUCGCGGGUGGGCGGCGUCGCGACGAGUAUUCCACUUUUUUUAAAAAUAGGAAGUGUAUAUGGUAUCUAUCUUUAUUUAUUUGGCCAAUAUGAGGGAUAAGAAAAUCCAAUCUUUUAUUGGUGGGAAAUGGAAUGGGAGUCGCCACCUAGUAUUUUGGUCACUAGGAACCCUAACUGGUCUCAGAGAUUGGGUACGGAGACUGGUUGCGUAGAGGGAAGGUAUUAGCACCCCAAAUACGCCCUACCUAAGGUAAGCUGUAUGGUUUAUUUGUCUGAUAAAAUUCAAGGUUUCGUUGUGUUUCCUAAUUGUUGGUCCGUCUAUGGUUCAAGAAAAGUCCUCCUCAAUAAGGAGGUCCUUAUCUUAUCGGGUAAAGCCUAACCGUUCUAAUGUCUAAAAAAAUCAUAUUUUUAAUAUCAAGAAUACGUUUUACAUAUAAAUUCGUAAUCCCAAAUACUAACAGAGGACAAAAAUAUUUUUUAGAAUUUUUGAAAUAUUGGCCUAGUUCUCAUGGCUUGAAUAAACUGGUUAUUAAAGCCAAAAUGCAUGUUAAUACAUAUAUUGUUUUGAAAUUUUCUUUGUUAUAUGAAAAAGAUGAUGUUAUAAUAUUUAUAUAUAUAUAUUGGAGAGACUAGACCGUAUUUUAAAACAAAAUAUUUUUUAAAUAUGUAUUUUUGUACGUUUUGACGCAAAUCGGGUAUUUUAAUACUGGGUUUGUAUCCUUACGGUAUAAAAAUACAACCAAAUAUUAAUCCACUUUAAUAAAACAAAUGCAGAAAAAUCAACAAUAUUUUCAAAGAUAUUUUUAGAAAAUUUUUGAAAGCAAAAGACAUUUUUUAUUUUGAAAAUCUUUGAUGUUUUGAUGAAAAUCGGGUAUUUUAAUACCGGAUUUGUAUCUUUACAGUAUAAAAAUACCAACCGAUAUUAAUCAAAAUAUAGUAAUAAAAUUACAACAAAAUCACAUAUAUUUUUUAUAAUUUUUUGCAAAAUUUUUAUAAUUUGUUUUCAUAUAUAUAUAUAUAUAUAAAUAAUACAAAAUAUAAUAUAUAUAUAAUAUUAAAUGGGCUGGGCUGGUCCGGCCCAACCGACUGGGCCGGACUCAGCCCAAAAAGUGUUGGGCCGAUCUCGGCCCACAAACUGGUAUUCUCCUCUGGGCCAGACCCGGCCCAGAAGGCAGGACUGGGCCAGGAUCAGCCUGGCCCAUCAACUAGACUAGCUGGGCCAGAACAAGUCUGGCCCAGCACAAGAAAUCAACGGGGGGAAUUAUUCCCCCCCAUCCUCCUGCAUGCAGAACUAAUGUUCUGCAUGCAGAAGGAAACGCCGGUCACGGAAAUAAUAUGAGGGGGAAGGAACGUUUACCUGGCGCGGAGGAGGCGGUGGCGCUGGUGCUACUGCUGCUGCCGGAGGCGGUGCUGUGGCGGAGGCCGGUGGCGGUGUCAAGCGGCGCUGCGGUUCCAACGACAGCUCCAAGCGGUGCUACUGUCUCCCACGGUGCAGCGACAUUCUUCCCGGCUGUUCUUGCGUUUUCUCACGUUCCCUCGCGGUUUCUGGCUUUCCUUCCUCUCGGUCUUGGGUUUUUGGUGGUUAUCUCCCUCUUUUUCUCUGUUUUUUUUUCUUUUUUUUCUCCUCUCGGUUUCUCUCUUCUUUUCAGUCCUCCCUCCUCUGUUUUUUUCGUUUUCUCCUUCUUCCCCCUCCGUUCUCCCUCCUCAGCGUUCUUGGGGUUCUAUUUAUAGAGCCCAGGGCGUGGCUUUGCUGUGGAGCAUGGGGAGCAACCGGCCGGUCGGCUAUUGGGCACGACUGCCAAGGUCCGCCCCCCCCUCUCGGCUUUCUGGUAGGUGCGCGGUGGGUGGUCGGCCAUUGUGUCCGGUCGGUGGGCUCCAGGCGAGAGAGUGGCCGGCAAAAAUUCAAAAAAAAGCUUCCCUUUUUCCUUCUUCCCCGCUGCAUGAUCGGGGGAAGAAGAUGAACAGUGUCGUUCAAAACGACACCGUUCUGCUCUUUCCCUUUUUUUUUUUUUUUUGAAUGCAUGAAACGACGUCGUUUUGGAGAAAAUGCGCCGUUUCAUUUAAAUGUGGCGCCAAAACGCGCCAAAUUUCAACUCAGCCCUCAAUCCUCUUUUUUUCUUUAAUUGCAUCCCUGCCAAUUUCGGUCUUCGCCCCUCUUGUUGGCCGCGUUUUUCACUUUAGUCCUUGGCCUCUGAUUUAUGCAAUUGAGCCCUUAAUUGAUCAAAAAACUUCUAAUUUCUUCAAUUAGGCCCCUGAAUCAAUUAAUUCCAGCCCCUCCAUUUACGCGCCUCUUCCAAUUUGGUCCCUGGUUUCGAAUUUUCUUAAUUAAGUCCCCAAUUGGCCCUUAAACUUCAAUAUUUAUGCAAUUAGGCCCCUGAUUUGACCUAAUAAAUUCCUAAAAAAUAUAUUUUGGCCCCAGAACUUAAAUUUCUUCUAAUUAAAACCCAAAUUGACUUAAAAAUCAAUUUUUCUUACAAUCAAAUCUCCUAUAAAUUCAUUUAAAAAUCCAAUUAAGUCCAUAAACAUCCAAAUUUAGGCUUUUCUCCUCAAAUUUCAAAUUUUCCUUCUCAACAGGGCUCUCCUCCUUCAAGAAUAUACUGUCAAAAAACCAAUCUUUGUAUUUUUAACCUCAUUGACCAAUUUUCCAACCACUUUCUGAGCGCUUCUGCCUCUUGUUAUUUUUCUAACCUCCUUUGGCUAUAUAUUUUUAUAUAUAUUUUGUGGGGACCCAAAAAUGGGUUACAACAGAUGCCCCCUCUUUAUAAUGCUUACGGAGCAGAGGUUUUGCACAGUAAGUUUUAUAAAGAUAACCCAAAAUGGAACUCCCGAAACUGAUCUGGUUGAAGCUUGAUUGAUCUGAAACUUGUCUUUUAUAGUAAUCCUCCUCAACUGGGAAUCCCAUCUGGCGAUUCCCUUUUAACCAACAUGAAAAACGAGGUCCCAUCUGACGACCUCCAAAUAACGAAACAUGAGAUCCCUUCUAGCGAUCUCCUUUAACCAACUUGGAAUCCCAUCUGGCGAUUCCUUUUAUUCAAUGAAAAACGAGGUCCCAUCUGGCGACCUCCAAAUAAUGAAACACGAGAUCCCUUCUGGCGAUCUCCUUUAAUCAACUUGGAAUCCCAUCUGGCGAUUCCUUUUUUUUCAACAGGUAAUACGAGGUCCCAUCUGGCGACCUCCAAAUAGCGAAACACGAGAUCCGUUCUGGCGAUCUCCUUUAGUCAACUUGGAAUCCCAUCUGGCGAUUCCUUUUAUUCAAUGAAAAACGAGGUCCCAUCUGGCGACCUCCAAAUAGCGAAACAUGAGAUCCCUUCUGGCGAUCUCCUUUAGUCAACUUGGAAUCCCAUCUGGCGAUUCCUUUUAUUCAAUGAAAAACGAGGUCCCAUCUGGCGACCUCCAAAUAGUGAAGUAUGAGAUCCCUUCUGGCGAUCUCCAUCAACUUGGAAUCCCAUCUGGCGAUUCCUUUUAUUCAAAGCGAUAUGCGAGGUCCCUUCUGGCGACCUUCUUUGACCAAUAUCGAAAUACAAGAUCCCCUCUGGCGAUCUAAGACAACUUGGAAUCCCAUCUGGCGAUUUCCUUUUAUUCGAAGCUGAAAUAAUGAGAUCCCUUCUAGCGAUCUCCUUUAAUCAAAAACCAAAAAAUCUUUCUUGUAAAUCGGUUAACCUGGAGUCCCCUCUGGCAAUUCCCUUUUACUGAUUGCUCGAUGUCGUUCUUCCUGAUGGCAAGGUUCGAAAAUUAUUAUCUUCUCUUCUCGUUGUUCUAGAAUCAACUCAAUGAUUCUUUCUUCGUCUCCAAUUUUGUUGGAAUGUAUUAAGGUCUCCUCCUGUAACGAUCCAAAAAACAUAUAUGCAAUGAUUUAUGAUUAGAUGCCAUGCAUGCAUUCGUACCUGGUUUUGAAACAUAGGCCCCAUCAUCUUCUUCGAGUUCAUGAGAUUCCCUCUUAACAUGAGCUUGCUUUUGAAGUCGUAUGCUGGAUUCAUCUCUCGUGUUGCCUCCUAUCAUAUUCUUGGAGAAGAAAUCUCUGACUUUCUUCAAAUAGUCCUUUUUCCAAAAUGUAUGACUUGUCAUUGCCUCUUUGUCAUGCUUUUGUCAAAUGUUUUAGCUUGGUUUUUAAAUCUAUAGGCUUUCGUACAUGAAAAUAUCUCUUAUUGCCCCCAGUGUAGGGGUGUGAUUCUAGUCUAGGCUUUUAUAGAGAGAAGAAAUUCGUUCAGCCGAUGCUAAACUUUUUAAAUGAGAUAACACAAGACAUGCACUGUUGGGAUUAAUGCAAAAAUGACUGUUGUGAGAUCAAUGCAAAAGAGAAAGAAGUCAAUGGCCAAACUUUGCUUUAUUGAUUUAGGAGCCUACAUCAAGCAUAAUAUCUUUUUACAGAGUCAGAAUUCACAGGUCGAGCUAGGUCUUCUCCAUCCAUUCUAGCCAACUUCAGCGCUCCUCCUGAGAAUGCCUUCUUUACUACGUAAGGACCUUCGUAAUUCGGUGCCCAUUUGCUUUGAUCGUCUCCAGGUAGUGACAAUAUUUUCUUCAAUACUAGAUCCCCUUCUUGAAACAACCGCGGUCUAACCUUCUUAUCAUAUGCCUUGGCCAUUCGUUUCUGGUAAAGUUGGUGAUGACAUAUUGCGGCCAUCCUCUUUUCACUGAUCAGGUUCAGUUGCUCAUAUCUCACUUUGGCCCACUCGGCCUCUUCUAAUUCGGAGUCCAUCAAUACUCUUAACGACGAGAUUUCUACUUCCAAAGGCAUCACUGCUUCCAUACCGUACACUAGAGAAUAUGGGGUAGUUCCUGUCGAGGUCCUGACUGUAGUGCGGUAUGCGUGAAGAGCAAACGGCAACAUCUCAUGCCAAUCUUUAUACGUGACUACCAUUUUUUGAAUAAUCGUUUUGAUGUUCUUGUUGGCGGCUUCUACUGCGCCAUUCAUUUUCGGCCGGUAUGGCGAGGAGUUCGAAUGCUUAAUCUUCCACUUGGUACACAACUCCACUAUCAUUUUACCAUUGAAAUUCUGUGCAUUAUCGGUCACUAUCUUUUCCGGAGGACCAUAUCGACAAAUCAGAUCCUUUUCUAUAAACCUCUUCACUACCUUCUGUGUUACAUGGGCAUACGAAUUAGCUUCCACCCAUUUGGUGAAGUAGUCAAUAGCCACGAGGAUGAAUCUAUGCCCAUUGCUAGCUUUUGGGUUAACCGGACCGAUUACAUCAAUUCCCCACAUUGCAAAUGGCCAAUGAGAUAUUAGAUUAAACAGAGGAGCUGGUGGCAUAUUGACCUUGUCACUAUAAACUUGACAUUUAUGACAUUUCCUGACAUAGUCGAUACAGUCUUUCUCUAGUGUCAUCCAAAAAUAACCAGCCCUUUGGAUUUUCCUUGCUAUCAUAUGCCCGCUAGCAUGGGUUGAGCAAAUCCCCUCAUGGACCUCCCGUAAUGCCUUUCUAGCAUCUGCCUCAUUCAAACACCUUAGCAAGGUUCCAUCAAAUGAUCUUUUGUACAAAAUCUCUCCAUCUAAAUAGAAGUCUGUAGCCAACCUUCUCAAGGUUUUCUUAUCCGUUUUGGAGGCUCCCACCGGAUAUUCCUGAUUUUGCACAAGGUUCUUGAUAUCAUAAUACCAAGGCUGUCCGUCUAUCUCUCCUUCAACUAAGCAACAGUGAGCUGGGUCAUUUCUAAUGUCAAUGUGUACCGGUUGUACUUUGCACUUGAGAUCAAUGGUAGUCAUAACAGCUAGUGUGGCCAAAGCAUCUGCAAAAUGGUUCCUCUCUCUUCCCAGAUGGGUGAAUCUAAUUUCUUCAAAUUCCUUUGCUAGCGUGGACAGGUAUUCCUGGUACGGCCUCAACUUUUCCUCUUUGGUCUGCCAUUCCCCCUUAACCUGACAGAUAAUCAACAUUGAAUCUCCGUACACAUCUAACUUCUUUAUCUUCAGCUCUAAUGCCGCUUCUAGACCAAGGAUACAAGCUUCAUACUCAGCUGUAUUGUUGGUGCACUCGAAAUGUAGUUUAACCGAGACUGGAUACUGUUUCUUAUCGGGAGAGAUUAUUACCGCACCGGCCCCGUUACCAUAUACAUUCACUGCACCGUCAAAAAACAUCGUCCACCAAUCUGUCUUCUCUUCUUCUUUCUCUAUUGACAAUAGAUCUUCAUCAGGGAAGUCAAAAUCCAAAGGUUCGUAAUCUUCAACAGCAUGAUCGGCCAGAUGGUCCGCGAUUGCACUUCCUUUUACGGCUUUCCUUGUCAUGUAUACUAUGUCAUAUUCUGCUAAUAGAACUUGCCACCUUGCAAUUCGACUUGAGAGAAAGGGCUUGUUACAAAUGUACCUUAGAGGAUCCACUUUUGAAAUCAACCAAGUGGUAUAGUAUAACAUAUAAUGUCGCAACCUCUUUGCCGCCCAUACCAACGCACAACAAAGCCUUUCUAUCUCCGUGUAUCUAGACUCACAUUCAGUGAAUUUCUUACUUAAGUAAUAAAUAGCUCUUUCCUUCCUUCCGGUUUCAUCAUGCUGACCCAAUACACAUCCCAUGGCUGCUUCAGUUACUGUUAGAUAUAGUACUAGAGGUUUUCCUGAUACCGGAGGAACCAGUAAAGGUGGAUUUUGUAAAUAAUGCUUGAUUUUAUUGAAUGCCUCCUCACACUCCUCAUUCCAGGUUCCAGGAUUCUUUUUCCUUAGUAGUCGGAAUAUAGGUUCACACGUCGUUGUUAACUGAGCUAUGAACCGAGCAAUGUAGUUUAACCUUCCCAAGAAUCCUCUUACUUCUUUCUCCGUCUUAGGGGAUGACAUAGCUUGGAUGGCCCUUACUUUAUCUGGAUCCACCUCUAUACCUCUAUCACUUACUACAAAUCCUAACAGCUUGCCCGAUUUAACUCCGAAUGAACAUUUUGCAGGAUUAAGCCUUAGUUCAUACUUCCUCAACCGCUCAAACAACUUCCUCAAAACUUCAACAUGAUCCUCUCCCCUUUUAGACUUGGCAAUCAUGUCGUCUACAUACACCUCAAUUUCCUUGUGCAUCAUGUCGUGGAACAAAGUCACCAUUGCUCUUUGAUAGGUUGCUCCUGCAUUCUUCAAUCCAAAUGGUAUGACCUUGUAGCAGAACGUCCCCUAAGGUGUGACAAAGGUUGUUUUCGCCUUAUCCUCCGGAGCCAUUUUUAUCUGGUUGUAUCCUGAAAAACCAUCCAUAAAGGAAUAAGUGGAACUCCGGGCAGCGUUAUCCACUAAAACAUCUAUGUGUGGUAGGGGAAAAUCAUCCUUAGGGCUAGCUCUAUUCAAAUUCCGAAAAUCCACACAAACUCUAAUCUUCCCCUCCUUCUUAGGCACCACAACAACGUUAGAUACCCAUUGUGGAUAUCUAACUACUUCUAGGAAGCCAGUAUCCCAUUGCUUCUCAAGUUCUGCCUUGACCUUGAUCCAGACAUCCGGGUGGGCCCUCCUCAGCUUCUGCUUGACUGGCUUACAACCUUCUUCCAACGGUAUCUUGUGUACUACAAUAUUUGUAUCCAAACCAGGCAUAUCUUCAUAGGACCAAGCAAAGACAUCUGAAUAUUCUUGUAAUAGGGUGAUCAUUUUUAUCCUUUGUUCAGAAGUAAUUAAGGUACCUAUUUUCAACUCUUUCUUGAGUUGAUCACUACCCACAUUGAUGGUUUCGAGUUCUUCGGCGAUAGGCUUCCAAGUCUGUUCCUGUUGUUCUACUAGCCUGGUGAAUUCACUAAUAUUGCUUUCAUCCCAUUCUUCUUCCAUAGCUAUCACAUGCUCGUUCAAGUUUGGCCAUUUAUUCUUGAUGCUAAAUAUAUGUGAUGUUGUAGGAGAUCCGCUUUCAGGAUUCCUGAAAGCGGGAAGUGUUUGGUGUAAAUGCAUAAAAAAAAGAAGGCAAUUUGUGGAAAGUGCAUGAUCUCACAAUUUAUUUAAAGAAAAAGUGGGCUCCAUGACAAACAUAAAAUCUAGCUGACAUCAUGAGCCUUGAUUGUCAACUAGAGGAAAUAAAAGCAAACAUAAGCAAUGACGAAAGCAUGCUAAGGCAAAUAAAGUUGGUUUACAUUUUGAAAACCACUGGAGCUUCUUGGGUCACCCAGUUCUGAAACUUCUCGUCCUGAGCCAACUUGCGCACAAAGGUCUUGGCGGAGACUUCUUCUAUGGUGUAGACCGUCAGUUGUGGGAGUGCUUCAUCUCCCUUUCUUGCUACUGUCUUCCUGUCAUCUCCUUCCAUCUUGUUCUCCCCCAAGGUAUUUACGCUCAUGUUUGACAGCUCUUGAUCAAGGCUUUCGGCCUCUUUAUCAUGUUGCAUUAUGUAUGCAGUUUUGGGGAAUGACACGCUAAGGGGAGGGAUUUCUAGCUUUUCUUCAUCAGGCUCUCUUCCUUUAAUUCUAGCCAUCCUUCUUGCCCUUCUCCGACCAGCAGCCCACCGAUAAUCCUCUUGGUUAGGUUGGUACCCUAACCCAAAUCUUUGAGCAGCACUUUUCAUCCUUGCCAGAUUAACCCCUUCUGGUAUCCCGAUAAUAAGGUUAUACUGAAAUGGGAUCCCGCGGUUCAAGAAGCAUAGACUUGUCAUCCUUGCUGCUUCUGAGAUCCUUGGCCUUCUUAGCACUGUAUUCUCUGGCACCCAGUCGGUGUUCACAAUCUCAAAGGCAUGGAUAUUGUUAUCCUUGCAAUCAUUCGCUUCGAUAAAAGGCACAACCACAUUCUUUAUCAUGGAUACUGUCUCCUCAGCCUUGACAGUUACCAACAUCCCAUUCAUGAUAUACUUCAGGCAUUGAUGCAAUGACGAAGCUACUGCCCCCACUGCAUGAAUCCAAGGUCUUCCUAACAACAGACUAUAGGAAGGGUGGAUAUCCAUAACCUGAAGUGUUACUAAGAACAUUUGUGGUCCCACAUAUAGCUCCACUUCUAAAGUCCCAAUUAUUGGCCUAGGCGAGCCAUCAUACGCUCUAGCCAUCAUAGUACUGGGCUUUAUAUGGGAUUCAUCGAUCGGCAUUUCUUCCAGCAUGUGCUUUGGCAACACAUUAAGGGCCGAGCCGUUAUCAAUGAGUACUUUUCCUAUGAGGCAGUCCUUGCACCUAACCGUAAUGUAUAAGGGCUUGUUAUGUCCGGUACCUUCAGCAUAUCAGCCGUGAAGUACAGGUAAUUAGUUGCAUGGAUCCUUCCUACUAGAUGCUCCAUGGUUUUAUGUUCAAUGUCUUGGGGUACAUAUGCCUCAUUCAAUACCUUCUGCAAGGCGUUUCGAUGCAGCUCAGAGCUGAGUAUCAGGGACAUAAGGGAGAUCCUAGCUGGAGUCUUCUUUAGUUGAUCUACUAUGCAAUAUUCACUAUGCUUGAUCAACUUCAGGAAUUCAUUCGACUCUUCUUCUGUUACUGGCUUAUUAACUUCUAGUGCUUUGUCAAGAUCUACCACUUCUUUACCCUUUUCCUUCCUCAACUCCUCAGAAGUAAAGCAACGACCACUCCUGGUCAAACCACUUAUCUCAGUCUGGAACAAAGGAAGAGGAGCUUGAACGUUGGAGGCAUAACCAUAAUUAUAAGGCAUGGCAUUGUGAUUCCCUUUUGUGUAGGACGGUUUAACCAAGAUUAGCCUUGGGGGACCAUUAGCUGUUUGUUGGACCCUGCAUACUCCUGUCAUCUCCAUCUGACCUUCCAUCAUACUCACCUCACCCCUGUUCUCCAUGGGUUCAAUUCUCAAUUGCCCCAUUUUUAACAUUUUUGCAAUCUUUUCGUAAAACUCGAUGCAAUCCUCAAUAUGGUGUCCAUCUCUUCCAUGGAACUUACAAUAACUACCUCCCUCCGAAUGGCCUUCCAUAUUUGCCUCUAGAAAUCCUGAUCGUACUAACAAGUAGUACAUCUUUUCCAUAGACACCUUCAACACCUUGCAUUGAUUUCCAACUUCUAUCAUGCCUAUUCCACUACUACUUGAGGCAUGUUUAGGCAACGGGUUUGAAUUAACAUUGGGCUUGUCUUCAAAGGAUACCCAUCCUAUCUUAAUAAGCUCCAGCAAUCUUUUCUUGAAAGCGUAACAGGUUUCAAUCCCAUGCCCAGGAUUACCCGCAUAGUACUCACAAGUUAACUCGGGCUUGUACCAAAUUGGGAAUGGUGGUUGUAAUGGUAGUGUAGGGAUAGAAGAUAUGUGCCCAAUGCUCAAUAGUUUGGCGUACAUGUCCUUCAAAGGCAUGGGUAAUGGUGGCAGUUGUUCUGAAGUGUAUCUUGUAUGGGGUCUUUGGUAGUGAUUUUGGUAGUUUGACUGGUUAUUUGUUCGAUUAGGGGAAAAGUUUAUGCGUGAGAAUUGAGAGGUAGAUACUUGAGGAUUGUGAAAAUCUACUCUUUUGCCCUUGUACCCACCUUCCAGAUUGUUAACAUCACCUUCUCUCUUUCUUCCAAUAAAACCCUUCUUUUCCACUGGCAUCGCUAUUCGCCCAGCUUUAAUCCCUUGUUCUAUUCUUUCAGCUAUGCGUACCGCAUCAUAGAAAUGUUGAGAGGAACUACCCAUUAGGUGCUCAUAAUAAGGUGCCUUGAAGGUAUUAGCGAACAAGCUCACCAUCUCUGUUUCUAUCAAAGGGGGUUGGACAUGCAUUGCCUCAUCCCUCCAUCUUUGCGCAUAAGCCCUUACUGACUCCUGGCUCCUUUUCUCCAUUGCCAUUAGACUUGUUCGAUCAGGAGCGAUUUCCAUGUUAAACUUGUACUGCUUGAGGAAAGCCUCCACCAAGUCUCUCCAGCUUCUGAUCUUGACACUAUCUAACCUCAUGUACCAACUCAAAGCGGACCCUGAGAGGCUAUCCUGAAAGAAAUAGAUUAGCAGCUUAUCAUCGCGGAUUACUUCUGCCAUUUUAUUGCAGUAGGAACGAAGGUGAGUGUUUGGGCAUUCCAAACCAGUGUACUUAAUGAACUCUGGUAUCCUGAAAUCUUUUGGUACCACGAUGUUUGGUACCAGACAUACUUCAGCUGCUCGCAUAGGGUCAAACCAGUCAUUACCCUCAACUGCCCUUAAUCUUUCUUCCAAGGCAAACAACUUGUCCUGGUCCAUCAGAUUGGGAAACCUAUUAUCCGGGGUUCCUUCCGUUGUUAAGUCAACAGUGACUGGCGUAUGAGUUGGUAGGAUAGGAGUAAUAGGCACAAACUGCUGUCCAUUGGCCGAGUUUGCCCCCUGGCUUUGAGAUGCUUGAGGGAUGUGAGCUGCUGGCGCUCCUUCAAGUUGUUGUGUUGAUGUUCCCUCCCCAUUCUUAGCUCUUAGAAGCUGCCCAAGUAAGUCGGUUAGCCGAGAAACUUCAUUCUUUAUGGACUCCAACUCGGUCUGAUAAUGUGACUCUAAGUGAGCUCUCUCUUCGUUCUCCAUUCUCGCUCUGGACCGGGUGUUGUGGAUUUUGGAUGUGGGACCUAUGUUUCACGAUCUGGCAUGCAUAUGAUGAAUUAAAAACAAAAUGUGAUGAAAAUAUGAUGCUCAUGCAAUGUAUAUUUUAGAGCCGACUCAUGACUUUCGUAAUCCUUUAGGCAAGAUUUCUGAGUUGACCCGAUUACUGUAAAGGAGGGUUUGCCAAGUUCUUUAUCAUAGUAGCUUACCAAAACAUAUUUAGAAAGAAAGAUAGGUCAUGCCUUCUUAUAAAUAGAAGAAGCUCAUACAUUGAUAACAGAACAAGGCGUUAUACAUUGCUACCCUUUAAAAGGCAUUUCCUCUAUUAGCUAAAUCCCCAAUAAAACAGGUGAUGGCCGCCAUAUAUUCUCGAUACUUUGAAGCAUCAUUUCCCACUUGAGUAGCUUGUCGUUGCAACCUUUCCGCAUAGCGGGCUGCUUGCUCGACCUGCUUCGUUAUAUGCCUUAUCUUAUCAUGGAACACAGUGUUAUCUGCAAUUAUCACUUCGUUGCUGGCUCCUAGGGCUUCAUUACUUCUUUCCAACACUCGAACCAUAUCAUCCGACCGGGCCAACUUAUCCCUUACCCUCUGCAGUUCCUCCUUUUCGAUAUCCAGCUCGGCUAUUUUGGAGUUAAUUUGGACUGUAAAGCUGUCCAUGUAGCCUUGACAUUCUUGAUGCUCUUGCUUAGCCUUACUGAGAUCCUCCUCCAUCUCGAAGUAAUGGCUUCUCAACUCCCUCAACUCUUCUACUUGUAUCUCGAUCUCAGAUUGUAAAGUCAUCAUUCUUCCUUUCGAAGACUCAGCUCUUUUCUGGUAAUCUCUCAUAUCAGACUCGGCGGCCUUUCUUGCACUCCUCUCUUCCUCAAGCUGCACCAUAUAUUGAGCUCUAAUCCUUCUUUCCUCUUCUAUGUCGAGCUGGGCCAGCCGAUUCUUCUCCUUUUCAACUUCUAUUUUCUUUGAAAGAAUGCUCUUUCCCUUCUUCAAGGAAUCCAUCACCUUUUUGUCAACAUUCAUCUUGCCUUUUGUUGAUCUUUUAACCUUUGCCAACUCUUUUUCUGCGAGCCCAUUCUUCUUAACCAGCUCAUCAUAUUCGGUCAUUCGUUUCUUUAGCUCAGCCUGGACCCCUUUUGCUAUUUCUUCCGCUACCUCGACCCUUUUCUGCCAUUCCUUUAAAGAUGUCAAUUGUUUAUCUUGUUUUUCCAACUGCUGGUUCAAGUAAACCCUCAUCGUGUUUUCUUCCUCUAAUUGAUUUUCCAACAGUCGCAGCUGCCCUUUGCUCUUGCUGAGAUCAAUUCUACAUUGUUCUAGCUGCUUUCUCAGCUCUUCCUCAAUAUCAGUCCUUUUCCUUUUUGGUUGUUCUAUUGCGGAUUCUGGAUGUUUUGGUAUGGAGAAACCCCUUUCUUCAAAAAGCUCUUCAUUCCUCCAAACUACAUAAUUCUGGCUGAAUGAUGUUUCAAAUGUGCUCCCUUCUUCCCUUUUUACCAUCAGGGGUCUUUCCCAAUCCUGUCGGAUAAGCUCCAUCUCUUCGAGGAAGGGUUGGUGCUUGAAUAAACCGAUGAAAUCAGCUAAACCCAGAGUUCUUGGCGCGUACUGCAUUCCACCCAACUGUCUUGUUACUAGGGCGGGCGCGUAACUGAUGUACCCGGUUAUACCAAUCAAAGGAACCCAUAUCUUAUUUCCACAACUCAUUGUGCAGAUGGCAUUGUUCAUCCAUGGUGCUUUCCAUUUGAAGUUGCUCCUUGGCAAUGCUGCAUACUUAUCUAUCCAUGCUUUCUCAUCCCAAUUCUUCCAAGUCUCAUCCAUGGUAACCUUUAAUGGUCGUAGGUCAAACCACCAAAAGUUGUUAAAAAUGUCCCUUGGUGUUUCGAUAUGACUGAUAAUCCAUAAAUACAACAUAGGGGUGCAACAUCUCAUGGCUCCUUUUCCAUGCAUUCUGCAGUGAUUGAGUGAUAACAUGGUUUCUCCCAAAAUAGCUGAUGAAGGAUUGAUCUGGUCACGCUCGUAUUCGAUGAAGACACUUGCUGCUUCCAAACUGAUGACUCCGAUUUCUGAAGGGAACAAUACUAGCCCAAAAAUGGCGAAGGCCACCAACCUGUAUCGUUCCUCUCCUAACUUGCCUUCCUCAGCAUUUUUCUUCAUUCGAGCUUCUAUGACCUUCCAUUUGAAACCCCCCUCGGCGACUCUACAUUGACUGAUCUUUCCCAAGCCUAAUAAACUGACUACCUCCGAAGCUGUGUCUUCAAAUCUUCGCCUUAGAUAGAUCCUGUGACUGUUGUUUGGAAAAUCUAGAAUCCUUUCAUAUUCCUCCAAAGUCGGUGUCAUAUCAAUGUUCCCAAAGGUAAAACUCCGAUAACUAGGAUCCCAAAAAUUCAGUAGGGCUUUGAUUGUUGCUGCUUGUACGGGUAACCUCAUUAGUUGUGCAAUUCUCCCGUAUCGCCUUUCAAAAAUAGUCUCAUCAAUAUAUUCCAUAAUAGACACUAACUUCCCCAAGUCAUUUACCAUGUGAUUUAUCUUGGUAAUGCCAGGCAACCUACUAGCAUCGAUUCUUGGGCAUUUUCCUUCAGCUACUUGAGUCAACUCAGAUUCUUGUCCAAACUCUUGGAAAGAUAGGUACUUAGUCAUGAUUUCAGCUCAAAAACCUGGAUUGAUGAUUUUAACAUUAUUAAUCAUGAUGAAGAUGAACGUAAGAUAGAUAUCCUAAGGACAAGUUCUAUUUAUUAGGUGAGAAUGGGUAGGUUUUCUAUUUGGUCUUUAAAAUGGUCUCAUAUCUGCCCAGUGACGUUCUUCGUAAAGACAGUAUGGGGGCGUUGCAAGGAACAGUUAAGGUAAGUAUACCCACCAUUACCAAGCAGGCACUCAGAUAUGAGUUGGGUGUUUCACGCAUCUGAACCCUGACCAAUAGUCAUAGGGCAGAUCGCUAAUCCCACUCCUAGCUUAAAGCUUGUGUGUGCUUCUCAAAAUCAAAGUAUGUGAUGCAUGUGACAGUUCUAUAAGAUGCAUGAGACAAUUCUAUACAAAUGCAUGAACAAUAUGCGUAAAAAAAUUUAAAGCAUAUAAGCAGAUAACAAAAGGAAAAAAAAACACACGAAAACAAAAACAAUUCAGACAAAAACAAAGCUUAGUCCACAAGGUCCCCAGUGGAGUCGCCAUUCUGUCGCGGGUGCGCGGCGAGUAUUCCACUUUUUAAAAAAAUAGGAAGUGUAUAUGGUAUCUAUCUUUAUUUAUUUGGCCAAUAUGAGGGAUAAGAAAAUCCAGUCUUUUAUUGGUGGGAAAUGGAAUGGGAGUCGCCACCUAGUAUUUUGGUCACUAGGAACCCUAACUGGUCUCAGAGAUUGGGUACGGGGACUGGUUGCGUAGAGGGAAGGUAUUAGCACCCCAAAUACGCCCUACCUAAGGUAAGCUGCAUGGUUUAUUUGUCUGAUAAAAUUCAAGGUUUCGUUGUGUUUCCUAAUUGUUGGUCCGUCUAUGGUUCAAGAAAAAUCCUCCUCAAUAAGGAGGUCCUUAUCUUAUCGGGUAAAGCCUAACCGUUCUAAUGUCUAAAAAAAUCAUAUUUUUAAUAUCAAGAAUACGUUUUACAUAUAAAUUCGUAAUCCCAAAUACUAACAGAGGACAAAAAUAUUUUUUAGAAUUUUUGAAAUAUUGGCCUAGUUCUCAUGGCUUGAAUAAACUGGUUAUUAAAGCCAAAAUGCAUGUUAAUACAUAUAUUGUUUUGAAAUUUUCUUUGUUAUAUGAAAAAGAUGAUGUUAUAAUAUUUAUAUAUAUAUAUUGGAGAGACUAGGCCGUAUUUUGAAACAAAAUAUUUUUUAAAUAUGUAUUUUUGUACGUUUUGACGCAAAUCGGGUAUUUUAAUACUGGGUUUGUAUCCUUACGGUAUAAAAAUACAACCAAAUAUUAAUCCACUUUAAUAAAACAAAUGCAGAAAAAUCAACAAUAUUUUCAAAGAUAUUUUUGAAAGCAAAAGACAUUUUUUAUUUUGAAAAUCUUUGAUGUUUUGAUGAAAAUCGGGUAUUUUAAUACCGGAUUUGUAUCUUUACAGUAUAAAAAUACCAACCGAUAUUAAUCAAAAUAUAGUAAUAAAAUUACAACAAAAUCACAUAUAUUUUUUAUAAUUUUUUGCAAAAUUUUUAUAAUUUUUUUUCAUAUAUAUAUAUAUAUAUAUAUAUAAAUAAUACAAAAUAUAAUAUAUAUAAUAUUAAAUGGGCUGGGCUGGUCCGGCCCAACCGACUGGGCCGAACUCAGCCCAAAAAGUGUUGGGCCGACUUCGGCCCAAGAAUGGAUUGGGCCGAUCUCGGCCCACAAACUGGUAUUCUCCUCUGGGCCAGACCCGGCCCAGAAGGCAGGACUGGGCCAGGAUCAGCCUGGCCCAUUAACUAGACUAGCUGGGCCAGAACAAGUCUGGCCCAGCACAAGAAAUCAACGGGGGGAAUUAUUCCCCCCCAUCCUCCUGCAUGCAGAACUAAUGUUCUGCAUGCAGAAGGAAACGCCGGUCACGGAAAUAAUAUGAGGGGGAAGGAACGUUUACCUGGCGCGGAGGAGGCGGUGGCGCUGGUGCUACUGCUGCUGCCGGAGGCGGUGCUGUGGCGGAGGCCGGUGGCGGUGUCAAGCGGCGCUGCGGUUCCAACGACAGCUCCAAGCGGUGCUACUGUCUCCCACGGUGCAGCGACAUUCUUCCCGGCUGUUCUUGCGUUUUCUCACGUUCCCUCGCGGUUUCUGGCUUUCCUUCCUCUCGGUCUUGGGUUUUUGGUGGUUAUCUCCCUCUUUUUCUCUGUUUUUUUUUUCGUUUUUUUCUCCUCUCGGUUUCUCUCUUCUUUUCAGUCCUCCCUCCUCUGUUUUUUUCGUUUUCUCCUUCUUCCCCCUCCGUUCUCCCUCCUCAGCGUUCUUGGGGUUCUAUUUAUAGAGCCUAGGGCGUGGCUUUGCUGUGGAGCAUGGGGAGCAACCGGCCGGUCGGCUAUUGGGCACGACUGCCAAGGUCCGCCCCCCCUCUCGGCUUUCUGGUAGGUGCGCGGUGGGUGGUCGGCCAUUGUGUCCGGUCGGUGGGCUCCAGGCGAGAGAGUGGCCGGCAAAAAUUCAAAAAAAAGCUUCCCUUUUUCCUUCUUCCCCGCUGCGUGAUCGGGGGAAGAAGAUGAACAGUGUCGUUCAAAACGACACCGUUCUGCUCUUUCCCUUUUUUUUUUUUUUUGAAUGCAUGAAACGGCGUCGUUUUGGAGAAAACGCGCCGUUUCAUUUAAAUGUGGCGCCAAAACGCGCCAAAUUUCAACUCAGCCCUCAAUCCUCUUUUUUUCUUUAAUUGCAUCCCUGCCAAUUUCGGUCUUCGCCCCUCUUGUUGGCCGCGUUUUUCACUUUAGUCCUUGGCCUCUGAUUUAUGCAAUUGAGCCCUUAAUUGAUCAAAAAACUUCUAAUUUCUUCAAUUAGGCCCCUGAAUCAAUUAAUUCCAGCCCCUCCAUUUACGCGCCUCUUCCAAUUUGGUCCCUGGUUUCGAAUUUUCUUAAUUAAGUCCCCAAUUGGCCCUUAAACUUCAAUAUUUAUGCAAUUAGGCCCCUGAUUUGACCUAAUAAAUUCCUAAAAAAUAUAUUUUGGCCCCAGAACUUAAAUUUCUUCUAAUUAAAACCCAAAUUGACUUAAAAAUCAAUUUUUCUUACAAUCAAAUCUCCUAUAAAUUCAUUUAAAAAUCCAAUUAAGUCCAUAAACAUCCAAAUUUAGGCUUUUCUCCUCAAAUUUCAAAUUUUCCUUCUCAACAGGGCUCUCUUCCUUCAAGAAUAUACUGUCAAAAAACCAAUCUUUGUAUUUUUAACCUCAUUGACCAAUUUUCCAACCACUUUCGGAGCGCUUCUGCCUCCUGUUAUUUUUCUAACCUCCUUUGGCUAUAUAUUUUUAUAUAUAUUUUGUGGAGACCCAAAAAUGGGUUACAACAACAGUUUCCACAGUUGGGAAGAAAGUGUGUUUGACCUACUUUUGGGUAUACAUUUAAUAAAUUUGGAAGUGCCGCCUUCAUAAAGCAUAAAAUUUAGCCCACGGUUGUCCUCUUAAUAUCUGCUGCUAGAAUACUAUUUGUGCUUAAAAUGUUGGAAGUAAAAUAAACAGGAGCAGAAUAUGAGUAUCUAUUGGAGCUUAAUGCUGCAGAACCUAUAAAAAUUCUACGUGUCACUUCCUCAAUUAAAAUAAUGCUGCAGAAUUCACUCGCAUGGUUGUAUAGAAUGCUCCAUUCAAAGGACAGCUUGCUAUUGGGUUUUCUUGGUGUACUAAUAUACAACUUGUUGGGAACAACUGAUAAUAACAUGAUAGCAAAGGCUUAUUAGAUAUCUUUUGUUUUUUUAGCUGCUUUUGUUUUUUAGUUGUUCUUAAAGAGGGUGUUUUCCUAUUUUAGAUGAAUGAUUUUGAAACCUACAAAAACUUUGAAUCAGGUAAUGUUUCUUAAAAACUUACACCUUUUAUUUUAUGAUUUAUUAAUUAACACAUUUUUAUUCUAACAUGUUUAAUUUUUUAUUUUAUAGAAUUUGGUGGAAAGUUGCAUCUAGCAACAGAUGAUAAUUAGUUCACAAAUUGUGAUGCAUUUAUUGAAAACAUAUGGUAAAAAUACAAUUUUUUUAUUUUUAUAUCUUCUAAUUUAAUUUAUCAUGUUAUAAUUCUAGAUUAUAAAUUUCAAGAAUCAAAGUGCAAUGUUCUUGAAGAGUUUUUUUUAUUAAGAUGAUGUGCACAUGAGGAUUUUUUUUUGUUUGGAGUGUUUUAUGAUAAUGUUAUUUGUUGUUUUUUCUUUAAGCCCUUUGAAGGCAAUGGUUUGUAAUUUGGAUUUUAAGUUAUUGGUGUGUGAUUGUGAGUAUGUGUUAUUUAAACUUUUUGGAAGCAGAAAAAUAUUAAGAAGGUAAAAAAUAUAUUGAACACAAGAUUGACAUUAAUAAUUUCAUAUAAAUGAAUACUCAGUGGCUAAAAAACAUAAUAAACAUAAGAUUGACAAUACCAAUUUAAUACAAAUGAAUAUUUAGGGGUAAAAAAAUUAAAUGUACUUUGGAAUCUUCAAAGAAAAUGAGACAAUAUCAACAUUAAUUGCAAACCCAUUAGAAAUCCAUUAAAAGCUCGUUACAAAUCCCAUUAUAAAGCCAAAAAAGCCCAAAAAAAUGCAUAUAGGUUUUUUCGGUUUUUUGCAUAAAAAACCAAACUGAAACCGGACCGAAACAGGUUAGUUUGGGCUGGUUUCGGUUCGGUUUCGGGUCUUUUUUUUGGGUUUGGUUGUUUGUUUUGGGUAAAAACCAAAUCGAACCGAAAAUGAUCACCUGUAAGUUUAAUACCCUCACUUGAACAUAUACUUAUUGGAGGCAUGAGAAAUUCAUUCCUUAUUUUUUUUAUAUCACGAUUUACAUGUUAUGAUAAAACAACAUUGAAGAUUUUUUUUUUAUCAGGUUUCAUGAAAUAAUUUUUCAUAGGGAGAAAUUCAUAUUAAUAUCUUUAAGAUAUAAGUCAAAUAAAUUUAAUUUUAAAAUUAAUUUGGGGUAAUCAAUAUUGGUUGAGGUUAUUUUGAUUUUGUAAUUUGCAGCCAAAAUCUGCUAAUGUAAUUGUGACGAUUUAAUUAGCCCACAUUUAUUAUGUAGGUGUGUGGCCUUUGUGUUUUUCAACUUUUAUCCUAUUUUAUGUUGUAACAAUCAAAUUCUUUUAAAAAAAGAAAUCAAAUGAAAAAAAUUAGUUAUUUAGGUUACGUUUAGGUAAUAUUUGAUUAUAGAAAAAUAUAAAAUAAAUCAAUAUUUAUAACAGUUUUACAGUAAAUUUACAUACUUCAAAAAAAUAAUAAAUACAAGGAGACACGUCUUUUUUAUUUCUACCGUCUCUCUUCUUCUUUUUUUUCUUUUUUCUUUUGGUGAUAGUAACCAAACACAAAUUUAGUAAUGAAUCUUAAUACUCUCUCCCCCUCCACACGUAGCAUGAAGGCUGGAACCAUUACGUAUUAGGUGGAGGAGAAAUAUAUUCCUCGUUUUUUCCAUGAAGACUCAUGAAUCUUAAUGAAAUUAUGAAGAAGAAUUUAUUUGAUCAAGCUUCACACACACAUUUUAUAACAAGAAUCUCAUUAGAUAUAAGUGUCCAUUUUACACAACUAUUAUUAAAAUGGUACUUAUCAUCAAGCCAUGGGGCAUAUGAGUUGUAUUAUUUCGUUGAUUUAUAGUUUCUAAGAUAUGUCUCCACAAGAUAAAGCCCUUAAAUAAUUCUCUAUGGAGUUCACCAUGGGGAGAAGUUGCUUGAGUUCAUAAGUCUUAUAGUGGGCCUCUUGUCUUGGGUUCCUAUUUUGGUUCCAUCGUGGGGUGACUGAUGAUGUUGAAUUUAGUCCAAAUAGAAAAAUAUUUUUUUUUCAUUGAUCCUUUUGAUUUUUUAUUUUAUAUUUGGCAUAAUUUUUAAUUCUUGUUGAUCAUUAUAAUAGAAUAAUAUGUUAAUAUUGACAUGUUAACAAUUCUCCAAAAAGUUAUAUAUGUGUGUGUUAUGGUAAAUGAAAAAUUUUGUCUGCUAAAAAAAUCAGUUUUAAAAUAGAGCUAUGUUUUAUUUUAAAUACAAAUUUGUGUCUAUUAAAUAACACAGAUACCCUUUUUUCUGGAAGUUCACACAACAAAUACAGAAGAUAGAUAAGUCAAUAUUGUUCUUUUGAGAGUUCUAUAAAAUUACAUUUGCAGCACCAUAGCUCAAAGACAUGAAUCUCUGUGAAACCAAUUAUGUCGAGGUGAACAUGUAAUAGGUAACCAACCUUGCCUGAUGCAAACAUGAAGAACAAAGACCAUCCAGGAAUACCGCAUAUGUUGAUUUAAUUCAACCAUUUAAAGUUAAAGGAGAAGGAGAAAACAUAAAUAACCACCUCAAUCAUAAUGACCACAUUUAAAUUAUUACCUGAAAGAAUUAAUUAUUAGCCCUCCAUCAUCUCCCUUUUCCUCUUCCUCUUUCUCUUCCCACCCAUUAUUUCGGGUCCACAUUCUACAAGUGUUGGUUGGCAAGGAGCAACCAGUGCUUGAAUCCUCAGCUACUUGAGAUACCUGCAAAACCAAUUCAAGCAUGGCAUACGCAUUCUAACUUGUAAGUCUUAUUAUUGAGAAGAAACAAAAACACUAUGAAAUCAAGUCCAGUAAGCAGCACCUCUGAUUGAGCACUCAUUGAACCAUUUGAUGUAGUAGCAAAUUUUGUCGUCAACUUUGGGCAUUGACGCACCUCCAACAUCCACAAAUGAGGGAAUAAGAAAUCAUAACAUCCAUGACUGAAGCAUACAAUACUUGGUAAUUUUUCUAGAAACAGCCAUUGCAGAUUAUGGAGCACCAUCUCCUUCUCAACAUCGACUGGUGAGGCAUGACUCUUUAACUUGUUGUCUUCUAUGAUUUCAUUUGAACAUGAAUUGGGGAAGCAUAAAGAUUGGUGACAUCUUCCUAACAAUAUCUUAUUCUUUUCAUCAUCAAUAUCCUUAGCGAUGAUUUGCUCCAAUUCCUCACAGUUUGAUAUCUUUAGAUAAUUCAGUUGAACAAGAGUAGCAAUCAUACUGUCUGUAAAUAUAUGUGUCAGUCUCUUACACUCAUUCACAACCAAAGUGGUCAAAUUGCUCGGCACGAGACCCUUCCAUAUACACCUCAUGUCAGGCAAUAAGUUCAAGUGUAAUUUUUCCAAACUCAAGAGUGAAAGUUCAUGCCCACCUCUUAUAUUAGUUACCAAACUCCCAACCUGCAUUAAAUCCUGUACUCCUUCGCAGUUUCUAAUAUAUAUUUCUUUUGAAUUUAUAAAUACCUGCAUCAAAAGAAAACAAGGGUACCAAUUUGUUAGAAGUAAUUCUUAGUAAUUAUUGUGAACCUUUGGAACUAAAUGUUGAAGUUUGGUACCUAAGCUAGAACAGGAUUACUUAACAGUAAUCUACUGCAUGAUUAUCUAGUUGUUAGCUGAGAUUACUAUCUAGAUUAGGAUAUGUUUUUGAAUUCUUUUGUUGAGUUUAUCUAGGAUUAAACUAACUUGUAAACAUCUCCUUAAACAAAGGAGAAGUUGGCUGGUACGUUUCUAGAGUUUAUUUUUCUUUGUAAUUCUGUUUUCUUUUCCUAUAAAUAAAAGGGCAUGGGAUGGCAGUAACCAAUAACUCAAUUCUGCUCUUUGUUCUUUAUACUUAAAUACUAAGUUCUGUGUUCUUUCUUUUGUUCUUUCUAUCGUGGACUUAGUUCUUUGUUCUUUUCUCUUUUAUCAGCAAACAUAAGGUUGUUCUUUAUAUUUCUACAAUUGGUAUCAGAGCAUCCUUAGGAUCUUUGAAGGGCUUUCUUGUGAGUGAGAAAGACGAGAGUACAAAGAGGAUAAAUCAAAUUUUUUACUUUGAGGGUUGGUGAGUGAAAAACACGAGAGAAUAAAGUGAGUUUUUUUUAAUGGAUUCUGCAAGUUUUUCACCAAAAACACCAUUGUUUACGGGACAAAAUUUUGGUGUGUGGGCUGUAAAAAUGGAAACCUAUCUCAAAGCUCUUGAUUUAUGGGAGAUAGUGGAAAGUGAUAGGCAACCUACUCCUUUAGGUAACAAUCCCACAAUUGCACAGAUGAAGUUCUUUAAUGAAGAAAAGGCAAAGAGAUUCAAAGCUCUUUCUUGUCUUCAUAAUGCUGUAAGUGAAGACAUCUUCACAAGGAUCAUGGCAUGCAAAUCUGCCAAGGAAACAUGGGAUAAAUUAAAAGCAGAGUUCCAUGGUGAUGAGAAGUCAAGAAGGAUGCAGAUUCUGAAUCUGAGAAGACAAUUCGAAGGUCUGAAGAUGAAAGAAAAUGAGAGCAUCAAAGAUUUCUCUUCUCAAAUUUUGAAACUUGUGAAUCAAGUAAGACUUUUGGGAGAAGAUUUUCCAGACUCUAGAAUUGUAGAGAAAGUCCUGGUGAGUCUGCCAGAAAAGUUUGAACAUAAAAUCUGUUCUUUAGAAGAUUCAAAAGAUUUUUCUGAAAUGAGCUUGCAAGAACUAGUAAAUGCAUUGCAAGCUGUGGAGCAAAGGCAAGCAUAUAGACAAGAAGGAUCAAGUGAAGGAGCUCUUGUAGCAGUUUACAAAGAUAAGAGUCGGGCUAAGAACAUCUUCAGAAAUAAUCAAGAUGGAAAAAGAGAAAAAGGGAGAAGCUGGAAAUCUGCUAACUGGCAACAGAACAUCAAUAACAGCUUCAUGAGGGGGAAAGAGAAGAAAGAGCAUUUUCCUGCUUGCAAAUACUGUCAGAAAACUAAUCAUCUUGAAGCCUGGUGUUGGCUCAAGAAUGCUCAAUGCCGAAACUGCAAGCAAUUUGGGCACAUCCAAAGAUUUUGCAAAAAUAAAACAGAAACUGAACAACAAGCUCAAGUAGCCGAUUGUUCAGAAGUCAAAGAAGAUCUUUUAUUCAUGGUCACAAUUCAGGACAUGUGUAAUUCAGCAGAGCCAAAGGACUCAUCAUGGCUCAUUGAUAGCGGCUGCACUAACCAUAUGACAGCAGACUUAAACUUAUUCAGAGACUUGGAUAAAAGCUACCUAUCUAAAAUCAGAAUUGGCAAUGGAGACUUUGUGAAGGUUGAAGGAAAAGGAGCAAUUGCAGUAGAAACACUGUCAGGUACAAAAAUUCUUAAAAAUGUUCUUUAUAUGCCUAAGAUCAACCAAAAUCUAGUUAGUGUGGGUCAAUUGAUUGAAUCUGGCUAUUCAAUAGUCUUUAAUGAUGGAGUGUGUGACAUUAAAGAUAAAAAUGGAGUACUUUUACUUUCUGCAAAAAUGAUGAACCGAAGUUUUAAUGUUAACUGGAAGGAAGUUUGUUUGAGUGCCAAUACCUAUGAGAACAAUGAAUCUGUUCUUUGGCACAAAAGGUUGGGACACUUCAAUUAUGCAACUCUAAAAAGAAUGGCUGACUAGCAGAUGACUCACGGGUUACCAGAUAUUCAAGAACAACAAAUUAUGUGUGAAGCUUGUCAGCUGGGAAAACAAACCAGAACUGUUUUUCCUGACAAUGCAUAUAGGGCAGUGUCUAAACUCCAGCUUGUACACACAGAUGUGUGUGGACCUAUGCACAAUGAAUCAUUAAAUGGUUCAAAAUACUUUCUUCUAUUUAUUGAUGAUUUUAGUAGGUACUGCUGGGUUUACUUUCUAAAAUCCAAAGCUGAUGUGUUUGCUGAGUUUGUUAAGUUCAAGGCAGCAGUUGAACUAGAAACAUGAAACAAAUUGAAGAUAUUGAGAUCUGACAAUGGAGGAGAGUAUACCUCUCGACAAUUUGAAGAAUACCUUGCUAAAGAAGUGAUUAAACACCAGCUGACUGUUCCCUACACACCACAGCAGAAUGGUGUCAGUGAAAGAAGAAACCGAACAUUGAUGGAGAUGGCAAGAUGCUUGCUAUAUGAGAAGAAGCUGCCAUUGAAUUUCUGGGCAGAAGCAGUAAACACAACAUCAUAUCUUAUAAACCGAAUGGCUUCAAGAGUUUUAGCAGAUAAAACUCCUUAUGAACUCUGGUAUGGUUUUAAACCUAGUAUUGAUCAUUUAAAGGUGUUUGGUAGUAUUUGUUAUGUUUUGAAACCUGAAGUUAGAAGAAGAAAACUUGAUCAAAAGGCUGAUAUAGGGAUCUUUAUAGGCUAUAGUACAACAUCUAAGGCUUAUAAAGUUUAUGAUGGCUAUAGAAAUGUCAAAGUUGUAGAAAAUGCUACUUGGGAUUGGAAAAAUUCAUCAGGUGAAGGAUCAAAACAGAUACAACAAGAUGAUUUGGAUGUUGCAAACAUGAUUGAUCAACAAACAGAUGUUGCUGGGAAUAUUGAGCAACAAACUGAGUGGGAUGCUGCAGAGAAUAUUGAUGAUCAACCAGUAAAGGGGACAAGAUCUCUAUCAGAUAUCUAUAGCAGGUGCAAUGUAGCUGAGGCAGAACCUGUAGAUGUUGAAGAAGCUAUGAAUUCUCAAGUUUGGAUAGCAGCAAUGAAGGAGGAGCUUGCAAUGAUAGACAAAAAUCAAACAUUGAUGCUAGUUGACAGACCAACUCAUAAGAAGGUAAUUGGAGUGAAAUGGAUUUUCAAAACAAAAUUAAAUGCAGAUGGUAAGAUCAACAAGCAUAAAGCCAGACUUGUAGUGAAAGGAUAUUCACAAGAGGCAGGGAUCGACUUCACAGAAACUUUUGCUCCAGUUUCCAGACAUGAAACAAUGAAGCUCCUACUUGCUCUAGCAGCACAAAACGGUUGGUAUAUACUUCAAUUGGAUGUUAAAUCUGCAUUUUUGAAUGGUGUGCUAAAUGAAGAGAUUUAUGUUGAGCAACCUGCUGGUUUUGAAAAAUCAAAUUCAACAAACAAAGUUUAUUUACUGAAGAAGGCAUUGUAUGGAUUGAAACAAGCUCCUAGAGCUUGGUAUAGCAGGUUGGAUAAUCAUCUUUUAAGCUUGGGAUUUAACAGGAGCAUGAAUGAGGUAACUUUAUAUGUGAAGCAUGCUGAAGGACAUAAACUCAUUGUAUCAGUUUAUGUUGAUGAUUUGCUAAUCACAGGGGACAAGGAGCAGCUUGUAGAGGAAUUCAAAACCAAUAUGAAAGACGUGUUUGAGAUGAAAGAACUUGGUUUGUUGACAUAUUUUUUAGGAAUGGAAGUAACUCAGUCUGAUCAAGGUUACUUUCUUUGUCAAAAACGUUUUUCCUUGAAAAUACUGGACAAUUUUGCAAUGAGCAAAUGCAAGCCAGUAAGCACACCUAUGAUACAGGGGCUGAAGCUAAUGAAAGAAGAUGGAUCUCCAAAAGCUGAUGGGAAAGUUUACAGGAGUCUAAUUGGGAGUUUGCUAUAUUUAACAGCCACACGUCCUGACAUUCAAUUUGCUGUGAAUUAUCUUUCCAGGUUCAUGCAAGAGCCAAGUCAAAACCACUUUGUGGUAGCUAAGAGAGUAUUAAGAUAUUUGAGAGGGACUGCAGGUUUUGGCAUACAUUUUGUGAAGUUCAGCUCAAUCAAUCUUGUUGGAUUUUCAGACAGUGACUGGGGAGGAAGUGAUGAAGGAAUGAUGAGUACUUCAGGUUACUGUUUUGCUGUGGGAAAGAGUGUGUUUUGCUGGAAUUCAAAGAAACAAUCGGUGGUGGCACAUUCUACAGCAGAGGCUGAAUAUAUAGCUGCUUAUGUAGCAGCAAAACAACUUAUAUGACUGAGGAAAAUGCUAAGUGACUUAGAUUGCAAUCAACAAAAUCCCACAACAUUGUUUUGUGACAACACAUCAGCUAUAGCUAUUUCUAAAAAUUCUGUUUUUCAUGAUAGAACCAAGCACAUGAAGAUCAAAUUUCAUGCAAUCAGGCAGUUUCAGCAAGAAGGAGAAUUGGAACUAUGCUACUGCACUUCUGAAGAUCAACUAGCAUAUUUUUUCACCAAACCGUUGGCUAAAACCAGGUUUGAAGAUCUGAGGGCAAGAAUUGGAAUGACUAGCUUUGGAACCAAGGAGGAGUGUUGAAGUUUGGUACCUAAGCUAGAACAGGAUUACUUAGCAGUAAUCUACUGCAUGAUUAUCUAGUUGUUAGCUGAGAUUACUAUCUAGAUUAGGAUAUGUUUUUGAAUUCUUUUGUUGAGUUUAUCUAGGAUUAAACUAACUUAUAAACAUCUCCUUAAACAAAAGAGAAGUUGGCUGGUACGUUUCUAGAGUUUGUUUUUCUUUGUAAUUCUGUUUUCUUUUCCUAUAAAUAAAAGGGCAUGGGAUGGAAGUAACCAAUAACUCAAUUCUGCUCUUUGUUCUUUAUACUUAAAUACUAAGUUCUGUGUUCUUUCUUUUGUUCUUUCUAUCGUGGACUUAGUUCUUUGUUCUUUUCUCUUUUAUCAGCAAACAUAAGGUUGUUCUUUAUAUUUCUACACUAAAAGAGAGGCAAGAAAUCAAGUCAAAUCAGCAGCACCUCUGAUUCAGCACCCAUUGAACCAUUUGAUGUAGUAGCAUGUUUUGUGAUCAGCUUUGGGCAUUGACGCAUCUCCAACUUCUCCAAACGAGGGAAUAAGAAAUCAUAACAUCCAGGAAUGAAGCAUGCAAUACUUGGUAAUUGUUGAAGCGACAACUCCUGCAGAUUAGGGAGCACCAUCUCCUUCUCAACAUUGACAGGCGAAGCAUGAUCAUCCUGCCCAAAUACUCCCAAUAAUUGAGAGGAUUCUCUUAUUUCAAGUAUUUGGAGCUUUGGGAGACCUGAAGCCAUGGCUAUUGGGAAGAGACUCUUCAACUUGUUGCAUCUUUUGAUUUUAAGUUGACACAAAUUAGGGAAGCAUAAAGAUUGGAGAUCACUUCUUGACAAUAUCCGGUCCUUUUCAUCAUCAUUAUCCUUUGCAAUGAUUUGCUCCAAUUCCUCACACUUUGAUAUCUUUAGAACUUUCAGUUGAACUAGACUAGCAGUCAUGUUGUCUGUGAAUGCAUAUGUCAGUCUCCUACACUCUUUUACCUUCAAAGUAGUCAAAUUGCUCGGCACGAGACCCUCCCAUAUACACCUCAUGUCAGGCAAUAAGCUCAAGUGUAAUGUUUCCAAACUCACGAGUGAAAGUUCAUGCCCACCUCUUCUAUUAGUUACCAAACGUCCAACUUGCAUUAAAUCUUGUACUCUUUCCAUGUUUCCAAUAUAUAAUUCUCUCAAAUUCAUAAACCCCUGCAUCAAAAGAAAACAAGGGUACCAAUAUGUUAGAUUUAAUUCCUAGUAAUUAUUAUUGUGCACUUUUGAAACUAAACAAGAGGCAAGAAAUCAAGUCAAAUCAGCAGCACCUCUGAUUGAGCACUCAUUGAACCAUUUGUUGUAGUAGUAAAUUUUGUAGUCAGCUUUGGACAUUCAUACACCUUCAACGUCUCCAGACGAGGGAAUAAGAAAUCAUGACAUCCAAGACUAAAGCAGGCAAUACUUGGUAAUUGUAUAAGCAACAGCUCCUGCAGAUCAGGGAGCACCAUCUCCUUCUCAACAUUGACAGGUGAAACAUGAUCAUCCUGUCCAAAUACUCCCAAUAAUUGAGAGGAUUCUCUUACUUCAAGUAGUUGGAGCUUUUUGAGACCUAAAGCCAUGGCUAUUGGGAAGAGACUCUUCAACUUGUUGCAUUCUUUGAUUUCAAUUCGACACAAGUUGGGGAAGCAUGAAGAUUGAAGAUCACUUCCUGCCAAUAUCUGAUCCUUUUCAUCAUCAUUAUCCUUAGCAAUGAUUUGCUCCAAUUCAUCACAAGUUGAUAUCUCUAGAACUUCUAGUUGAACUAGACUAGCAAUCACGUUGUCUAUGAAUACAUAUGUCAGUCUCUUACACUUAUACACCACCAAAGAAGUCAAAUGGCUCAGCACCAGACCCUUCCAUAUACACCUCAUGUUAGGCAAAGGCAUGUAGACCAACUCUAAUGUUUCCAAACUUGUUAACCCCUGCAUCAAAAGAAAAUAAGAGUACCAAUUUGUUAGAUAUAAUGCCUAGUAAUUUUUGUGCACUUUGGAACUGUUAAUUUUGGUAAAUAGAAGAACCAAUUGUCCCCAAUACUUUAGCCAAAUACUUAUCAGCAAAAAGACAUAAAUAGAUAGGGCACUAGAAAUAGACAACUGAAACAGACAACUUAAUAUUCUAAUGUGGAGCUUUAUCGUCCUGUCCAGAUACUUCCAUUAAUUGGCGGAAAAGCCUCAAUUUCACUCAAAUUGGGAAAGCAUAAUGAUUGAAAUUAAAGGUCUCAUUUCAUUACAAUAAUUAUUUUCUAACUUUUUAAGCCCUGCAUCAAGAGACAGAGAAUGAUAUACUGAGACGACUACUUUUAAAUUCAAUGAAUAGCUAAAGUAUUUAAUAGCAUUUAUCAAUUACUUUAGUUUUAGAAAUUUGGUGGAAGAAAGAAGAAAUUAUCACAAUGUGUUGAAGUUGACAAUUUAAAUUAGAAAAGGAAAAAAAUUAGUGUAGAAAUAUAAAGGACGUACUUGGAGCUGUGCCAACAAAUUAUCCAAUUCUUCGUGGCCAUAGAUUCUUAGAUUUUGCAAAGAAGGCAAUUGGGCAGCAAAAUUCUUUGGAGCAAAGAAGCUGCAAUUUGAUAUGGAAAAAAGAGACAAUUUUCUUAGCUGAGGGAAGUUGAUGAUGUCAUCUGUGGUGAGUGCAUCUCCUUUUCCCCUGUAAAAUAUUUGCUUUAAAUUGCCAGCAUCUCUAAUCAUUAUCUCUUCCAGGUUCCCAAGACUUGGAGACACACAGUCAGGGAAGACAUGUUCCAAUUUACCACAUUCAGAUAUGAAGAUAGUUUUUAAUUUUGGGAAGCGAAGAGGCUCUGAAAUUAUUUCCCUUUCAUCAUCUUCUUCUCUGAUAAUAUGCUUCAAUUCACCGCAACUGAGUAUCAGUAAUUUUUCUAGAUGAAAAAGACUCUGAGCGAGGGACGGUGUGAAAAUAAAUGUCAGUUUGUGAAGAGAUUGCAACUCCAGAUGAAUAAGACUUUUAAGGCUGACAUGUCUGGUGGGCCCCUUCCAUAUACAUUUGAGCUCAGGUAACCAUUGCAGAUGUAACCUUGUUAAAGAUGACAGCAGCGGCAGCUCCUUCUCCUCGUUAAUUCCUUCAUCAGCCACACCCAAUUCAAAUACCUCUUCCAAUGAUUGGCAGUCUUCAUUUUGCUGGAAACAGAGUGCGAAUAUCCCCACAUCCAUUCACUUCAACAUGUUCUAAUCUUUUUAACAACUGCUCAAAUGUCUUUGCAUUUAAGGAUGUGGCGCUUGUCUUAUCCAAAUAUAAUACUGUCGAGGUUGGGUAUAUUGUUACUGGUACUUGUAACCCAUCCCCUAAUAGUAUAUCAUAUUUGAGCAAGCUGGGAAAAACAAAAUCUCUGGGAAUGCGUUCAACCUUCGGUAUCUUCAAUGAUAAUACAGCUAAAUGAGACAGCGAAUUUAGUUCUGUUAGACUUGCAUUCAUUCCUCCUGCGCUUGUCCCAACAACAUCCCAUGCCGUGAAGCUGUGAUGCCCGAUCAGCAGUUCUUCUAACAUCUUCAACCUUCCAAUCAAAUUCACAGGAAUCCUUGCUAGGUAUAUACAACCUGUCAAAUCCAACAACCUUAAGUCUUUGAGCUCCCCAAUUUCAUCAGGUAAUUCUUUAAUGGAGUCGCACCACAUGAAAACAAGAAUCUUAAGUCUUUGCAGCUUUCUCAACCGAAUGAGGUCCUUGCAUUCACACCCGAUCAACAGCAACGCUUGAAGGUUCGUUGAGAGUUCAAGUGAUUGCAAUGACAAACACCCUCCCUUUAGAGACAAAACUUCAAUUGCUUUCAUCCCUUCAAAAAACCUCUUUGGAACAUUCAAACCAUCAUCCAGUCCUAAUAAUAGAAUUUUGAGCCGUGGACACACCAACCCCUCAGGAAGUUCUGUUAGUUUAUUGCCCAUUAACGAAAUUGUUGUACAGGCUUCAAAGCUUUUAUUGCUCAUUGGCCACUCCUUCAACCCACUGCCAGCCUCUACCAUGAAUCCAUAUUCUUCUGAUGAUGCUAUCUGAAUAGCAACAUCACGAAACAAGUCAUGUAUUUUCACAUGUUCUGCAGUUUCAGUGCCCAACAACAUACAACAAGCUUUGAGGUAUUCGAUUUCCAUAUAAACUCGUUUCCUUGCACCUUCAAUGGACUUCACAUCUUGAUUUAACCCGUAGCCAACUGCAUAUCUCGUCAACUCCUCGAUUGGAAUGUCAUAAUCUUCUGGAAAUAAACAGCAUAUGCAUUUCUUCGGUCAUCAAAUUUUUCCAUGUGCCGAGAUUGAGAUUUUUUGAGUUCUUCAGAUGCUACUUCCCACUCAUUUUUAGAUUUAUCUAUUAGAGCCUUUCCCACUGCCACAAGUGCUAUAGGCAAGCCUUGGCAUUCUCUCGCAACCUCCUUUGCCACUCUGUUCAAGUCAGAGUCCUCAUCACGUAAACCUGCAUUGAUUUUGAAUAAAGUCCAUGCUUCAUUUUCAGAUAGGACUCUUAAAAACACUUUUUCCUGGCAAUCCAUAGAAGAACAUAUGUUUUCAAGACGUGUUGUUAGAAGAAUUUUACAACCCCUGUGAGCAUCACCAAAUGGGAUCCCUAUCUCUUUUAAGUUAAUAACUUUCCAAACAUCAUCCAGGACUAUAAGCAUCUUCUUCUCUGUCUUCAGUCUCUGCCAUAAUCGAUCUGCUCUCCCUUCUUUGGUCUUUUCGUCAAAAUGUAGACCUAAGCGAUCUGCCAUUCGAUCCUGAAUGUCUAUGACAUUUGGAUUCUGGGACAGUGUAGCCAUCAAAACUUCAUCCAACAGCUGCAACUCUUUGGCUCUCCUACCUACUUCUUUCCUAGGGUGGUUUUACCCACCCCUCCCAUGCCGUAUAGUCCGAUCAUAUUGGCAGUGUUAUCUUUGAGAGCUUUCAUAAUUUGUUCGAAAGCUUCUUUUGAGGAUUUCGAGGGUGUGAAUCCCUCUGAUGGAAGAAAUUCUAUGUCUUGAAGAGGUGCUUUGUGGGACACUUUUGGAAACUUUCUGCUAUUCCCUUCAAGUUUUCUCAAAGUCUCCGUCUUCUUUGCCAGUGCCUUGCUUAACUUGAAUUGUCGCAUCCAAUUUGGACACCAAGUAAAGCAUUUGCCAUUUUUUCCCUUUUCAUUUUCCAAACGAUUCACACCUUCAAUUUCGUUUUUUGCAUCUUCCAGCCAUUUGUUGACAUCAAUCUCAAUUUCUUCAGCAUUCCUUUUAGCAACGUCGACAGCAUCUUGCAGACGAUAAAGUGCCAAAGCCAGGCUCAUCAUUUGUUCAUUGACUUCUUGAACAAAAUUGUUGAAACAGAACAUGUAACGGAACUGCCUUAUUGCUGGUUCCACCAAGAGUUCUGCUAUCUUAGAUACAAUGGAUCCACCAGCACUUUCGAUAGCCAUUUUCCCUUAAUUUGUGAAAAUAUAUGCGGAAAGCUCUGGUACUGACUGCUCAAUAAUAAAAUAUAGAGGAACAAAAGGAAAAAGGCCUUUAGCUCUGUAUGGAAGCCAGCUUCAAAAGCAACAAGACAAGGUAAAAGUAGAACGAUAAACAAUUAAUCCCUUGUCCUAACACAACAAUUAUUUACACAAUAGUUCAUAGAUCAUUGUAAUCCCUUUGUCCCCUCAUCAAUAUAUCUAUCCACGCCAUGUGUUAAAAUUCACACUUACCCUAACAAUUAUUUACACACUAGUUCAUAGAUCUCUGUGCCUUUCCAUAAAAAAAGAUAGAAAUACAUUUUUUUUUCUCAAAACCAAUAAAAAUAUUUAUAAAAGAAUUUCAUUAGUGAAAGAUAGCAUAUCAUCAAUCUAAUGAAAAUAUUUAUAAAAGAACGACUUUACGUUAAAAAGAGGAGAAGUAUUAAAACAAAAUAGUUUACAUGGAUUCUAACUUGCGAGUUAGAGCAGCAAUUCCCAUAAACAAAUGCAAUUUGAUGACAUAAUUAAGAUACUAGGCAUAAUAUUAUAUAAAGAUAAUGAUAAACAAAUAGAAUAAUAAUUCUUACAAGUACUCACCUAGCAAAGAGAGAAAUGAAUGGAAGGUUGAUGAUGAUCACUUUGACACGAUACUACCUCCUCAUCGCUUCCAAUAAUUAAUCUAUAAGCUAUGAUCGGUCAAUGUUUUUUUCUUUUGUUUUUUUUUUUGUAAAAUUAUGAAUAAGGAGAUAAAAAAAGACUUGCAAGGAAGUAUAAUUAAUGGAACGAACUCAACAAAAUCUGUAAUGACUAUCUCUGCAACACCCACUCAAGAAAGUAAAAAGAAAAAGGAAGGAAAGAAACAAAGAUUGAAGGUCAACCACGGUUCUUUUUUCAAUGUUCAAGAAAACAAAGAAACGUAAAACAGGAGUUUUUUAAAACCCAGCUAAGUAUAUGGCUUAUUAUAUUAUGAAAUUUUUUGUUAAUUAAGAUUAUAUAACAGUUGAGUUGUAGAGCUGUAACUAAAAUUUUGUGUUAUAUGUAAAUUUUUGCAGAAUUGAAAAAUUUAUGAAAAUAUUGCUUAUACAAACAGAUUUGUACCCUAUAAAUAUAUACUCUUAAACCCAUAUUUGAAUUCUAUAUUCCUAAAUGAAGGAACAAUAAAGAUUAUUGCAUGUACAUAUUCUCCUUCAAAAAACAAAUAAUAAAGUCCUAUAUGUCAAUGAAGAUUUAAUUAUAACUUAGCGCUGUUAUUAAAAUUAAUUAUUUAAUCCUUGUAGUACUAUCAUAUAUAAUUAAACAUCUCAUUAACUAGUGUUAACCACCCUCAAUUUACUAUAUAUAUAAAAUACCUUCCUUCCUUAUGAAAUUUCCCCAACUGCCUGCUUCUCUUUUCCUUUUUUCUAUUUUUCAAGAAGGAAGAAAAAAAAAAUACUUGGAAAGGAACUUGAAAUUGACAGUACUAAACUAUAUAUAACUAAAAAUAUAAGAAUCAAACAUAUAGUUAUUGAAAUUAUGGAAUUGAUUAAUUAGUUUUUAUCAAGACUAAAUUAUUAUUUGUUAAGUGUGCUUUCUAAUAAAAAAAUUAAAUCGAGUAAGGGUUAACUCGAUAUGACCCGGUCAACUUAACAGGUCUAAAAAUAAAUUAGACAACCAUUUAAAAUAUAGUUUGACUAAAUAAAUUCAAGAGAAGAUGUUUUUUUAAAAAAAUAUUGAGACAAAAAUAUAUUGGAUCGACUUAGGUUAACUCGGGUUAACUUGCCAAAUCCACAACUCAGAUCAUGAGACCGGGAUAACCUCAUAAAAAGUAAAUCAAAACCAAAUAUGAAACUCAAUCCCUAAUUAAAUCAAUGUUGAAGGAUGAAAUUAAAAAAAAAACAAUUAAAAAAGAGACAAAAAAACUGGGUCAUGUGACUGAAAUAACUCCAUAGAAUGCAAUUGAAACAAAUUAUGAAACUUAAUCCCCAAUUAAUCAAAUGUUGAAGGAUGAAAUUGAAAAAAAUAUUAAUUAAAAAAUGACAAAAAAAGACCGGAGGCAACCCAAGUUAAUCUGGCAAACUUGUAACCCAAGUAAUGAGAUUGGAAUAACCUCAUAAAAAGAAAUAAAAUAAGAUAAAUAUGACAUCUGAUUCCAAACCAAUCAAAUAUUGAAAGAUGAAAUUGAAAAAAAUAUCAAUUAAAAAAUGAUAAAAAAAAAAGAAUCGAGGCAACCCAAGUUGAUAUGGCAAACUCGUAACCCAAGUUAUGAGAUUGGAAUAACUUCAUAGAAAGAAAUAAAAUAAGAUAAAAUAUGACAUCUGAUUCCAAACCAACCAAAUAUUGAAAGAUAAAAUUGAGAAAAAAAAAAGCCAACUAAAAAAUGGACAAAAAAAAGCUGAGUUAACCCGCGACUCAGGAUAAGCAAAUCCAACGUUGAAGAAUAAAAUUAACAAAGAUAAGAGAGAGAGAGAGAGAGAGAGAGAGAGACUAGAUUCAACUCAGGUUAACUCGCUAAACUUGUGACCUGGGUAAUGAGAUUCGGAUAACUAUAUAGAAAGUAAACAAAAAAAAAUAACGUGAGUCAACUUAGGUUAAACUGUCAAACUCGCGACCAAGGUCAUGAAUUGUGAUAAUCCUAUAGAAAGUAAAUUAAAAUAAAUUAUGAAGCUCAAUUUUUAAUAAACUUAUUGUGAAAGGUUGAAAUUAAAAAAAAAUCAAUCGAAAAACAUUAUACAAUAAGAAGACUUGAGCCUACAUGGCUUAACUCGCAAAACACUUGACCUGAGUCAUAAAACCAAGAUAACCUCAUAGAAAACAAACCAAAAUAAAUCAUGAAGCCUAAUUUAUAAUCAACUCAAUGUUGAAUGAUGAAAUUGAAAAAAAUACCAAUUAAAAAAGACAAAAAAAAAAUCUAACCCAUCAAACUCGUAAUACGAUUUAUGAAACUGAGCUAAUCAUGUAUAAAGCAAACCACGAUAAAUUAUUCAGCUCAAUCUUCAAUAAACUAAAUGUUGAAGUAUGAAAUUAGAAAAAAAAAACAAAAAAAAACACUAUUAAAAUGAAUAGUGUUUUGUGAGGUGGUAAAUAGUAAUUAAAUUCACCUCCUCUUUUGGUUUAUAGUGUAAAGAGACUGGGCUAACCAUAUAUAAAGUAAACCAUAAUAAAUUAUGAAACUCAAUCUCUAAUAAACUAAAAGUUGAAGUAUGAAAUUAGAGAAAAAAAUAUAGAUUUAGAAAAAGAGAAAACCAAGUAAAAAAACACACUAUUGACGAUACAAUUUCUUUUAAAAUUUAAGAUUUUGGUCAUUGACUUGAGAUAAAAAAAUAUUAAAAAGAAAUGAAAAAAAAAGACCUGGGUCAAACUUGGUAAACCUGUUGAAUCCAUGAUCUGAGACAUAAUAUCAUGAUAACUCUAUAGAAAAAAAUAAAAAUAAAUAAAGAAUACCAAUUUAAAAAUAAUAAUAAUAAAAAAUUCUUUUAAUUUUAAAAAAAUUCCUUUUAAAGAAGCGAAAUUUAACAAAGACCGGAAAAAGAACUCUGAGGCAGCCCUUGUUAUUUUAAAAAGAAAGAUAGAUACUAUAGAAAGAGAGUAAAAAAGAAUGUUAAAGGUUGAAAUAUGAAAAAAAAAAGUGCUAAAAAAAAGAAACAAAAACCAAAGAAGCCCGAGUGAACCUUGUAAACUCGGGAUAAACUCUUAAAUCCGCAAUCCAUUAAUUUCUUGACCUGGGCUCAAUGCAGGAGCUCAACACCUAAAAAAUUAAAUAUUCAAGGAUGAAAUCAAUCAAUUUAAUUCAAUUUAAAAAUAAAAUUUCUUCAUAAAAACUAAAUUUAACAAAAACAAACCAAGGCAACCUGUGUUAUUUUCAAAAAGACUAAAAAAAUACCAUAUAAAGUGAAUUAAAAAAUAAUAAAAUGCUGGAGGAUGGAAAAAAGGAAAAAAAACAGGGGUCAAUAUUUUAAACCCGCAAACCAUUAAAUUCUAGACCCGGACUCAACUAAAAAGCUAAAGACCCAGCUAAUUAAAUUUUAGAGGAUGAAAUAAUAAAAAAAUCAAUCUAAAAAAAAUCUUGCAAGGUAAAAAAAAAUACAAUAAUAAAAAAGGAUUAGAUUUGACAAGAAAAAAACUAAAGAAUAAUGAAAUUUUAAAAAUAAAAACAAUUAUAAAAACCAUCUAAAAUUGAAAACAAUUUUUAAUUUGAUAAACUAUUUUAAAUAUAAAAAAAUCCAGCAAAGAGAACAAGGAUAAAAUUGAAAAAACCACAUAAGUUCAUAAAGUAUUCUAAAUUUAAAAAAUUGUAAUAAAGAUAAUAGGGAUGAAAUCAUAAAUACAACAAACUUUAGGGACUGAUUGAUUUUUUAAUUCCAACAUGAAAAUUGAGUAGGAGAGAGGGGAAAAGAAAAAAAAAAGGCUACACAUGCCACACUAGCUGCUAUAGUGCUACAUGCGCCGCUGAUUCAUGGAGGGUACAUCAAGAUCCUUUAGAAGACGCCUUGGAAUCAUGGUUUUGGCUAUCGGAUGGCGUCGCACACGCCGUUUGAAGAUGGCAAACAUUGUUCACCCAUUUUUUUUAAUUUCAUUUCCUUAUUUAUCAAAUUAUAUUAUUGUCUCCAAUGACACCCAAUAACUACCAAAUGACCACUUCUAAAUGACAAAACAAGCCUUAGUGUCAGACAAUUGUUUUAAAUUUUCAAGAGCAAUGAAGGAACUUGUUGAAAAAUCAUGUCAAGGACUAAAAAGACCCUAGACCCAAGUGAUUUUUUUUUUGUUUUCCAAGGAUAAUUAAUAAAUCAUAUUGUGCAAAGAAAAUGCAAAAAUACCAUCUAAUCCCUCUCUUUUAAGUAAUGACCAAUGUGUCCCAUGAAAAAGAUCAGCAUGCCCCUAGAUCCAAGGCAUGCUACUUUGCCCAUCAAAAGGUAAAAUCAACCUUUUACCAUGUGAAUCUACAGUAAAAGGCUGAUCUUUUUUAAUAUAGAGUAUAAUAUCAAGGAAAAACUCUUUUUUUUUUCUUUUUCUAAACAAGAGUAAUUGAAUUCUAGCUUAACAAAAACACCGAACUUAUUUACUCGAUUGAGAGCCUUUAUCGGAUAAGCCAUUAAGCUGCUAAGUACUUGUUAGGCUUUUACAAAGACAUAUUGAGUGCAUUGUUUUAAAACCUGACAUAGGUUGACUCAUGAUUUAGGUAAUUUGGGGUUUAAGUCGGGCUAAGUUUAAUUCAAUAAAAAUAGAAAAAAAAAUUAAUCUCGUGUUAACUCGAUUAAAAACUCGAGGUGACCCGAUCAUUCUAGAAAAACUCAAUCAAAACUUAUUUAUGAAUACACCUGUUUGAGUAUCAAUGACAUAAUCUAAAUCCUAAUCAAGUAUAGGUCCGAAUUCUUUGUACGUUGUCUAAAUUUGAAAAGGAGUUUCAAUUCAUUUAAUAACAUAUAUACAUGGUUCAACUGUUGGAUCGUUUGUGUUUAUUAAUAAGAAGCUUAUGCUGUAUAGGACAUUGCCAAUUUUAUGGGUAAGAAUAUGAAGCAUACUAUAAGCUAAAUUUAAGUUAUAUAGGGUAUUAAUUACUUUUAUAAUUUGAUGUAAGUUAUUUUUCAAUUGUUUACUUAAAAAAAAUUAUAAGUAUGUUUAGUUGGAAAUCAGAAGGUUAUUCCAAAUUUGAAUAAAAAAGUUAAUAUUUUUUAACUUUUAACCUAUCAGUUAUAACUCAUGUUACAUUUUUCAUUAAAACAAGUUAAUUUAAAUCAUUUUUACCAAACAUCUUUAUAACUUGAAGUUAUUUUUUUUCAUAAGUUAUUUAUGAAAAAUAAUUUUUGGAUUAUGACAUAAACCAAAAAAAAAAUCAUAAUUUAAAAAUCUUACCGAACAGACUUCUUAUUUCCAACACAGAACAAAAUGCUUAUGAAAAAAACCAAUAGCAUGAAGAGAGAUAGGGACUAGUAAUAAGCUGGUUGGGGGGUGUGAUUAGUACUUAAAAGUGUAUUUUUAUCAAGGUUUUAUAUCAUCACUUUGCACUUAAAGUAUCAAUAACUCCUUAACUAGAGCAUGUUUUAUAAUAACAAGUCUGAUAAUAUAAGAUACCUUUAAUUUAUGGUAAAUGCUCAUUUUAAACGCAGGCAUAUCUCACAAUUCAAAGGAUUGAUUGUUGUGAUUAACUAUUGAAAGUGAAAGGACAAAGAAAAGGCUAAGCUGAGAAAGGAGAUGCCGAUAGGCUAAGCUUAGAAAGGAGAUGUCGAUUCAAUUAAAAUUCGAACAUUGUUCAGUCAUUUGGUAAUAUCUAGAGCUAUAGAUCUUGGAUUUCAGUUUGGUUUAUAUGGCUGGAAAGAUAGAAAUAGGCCUACAACUUUCAUGAAUAGGGAAAGACCCAAAUUUUCCGUUUUCAAAUUCAAAGUUUGGCCACAAAAGAGAAGUCAGAAUCUGUCCUGCAAUCCAGCCUAGACAAUGCUCAGAAUUUUACCCAUAGCUGGAGUUCUAGAAGGCCAAAUAAAGUGAAAUUUGGUGGGUGGAAGGAAAAGACAAUUUCAAAUAACUUUCAUGAGGAAAACCUGCUCAAAGUCUAAUGGUAGAAAUGACAUUUCAUCCAGACAAGAGCUUGAGGGCUAUUCACCACGUCCACCAGCAGCACUACUCUGUAUUUUAGACAUAUCUUGAGCUGUAAUGUUCCAAAUGCUCUGAUAUUUGGUGGGUGGAAGGAUAAGAUGAUUUACAACAACUUUUAUGAAGAAUACCGUGCCAAAUUCUGAUUGCAUCAAUGCCAUUUCAUCCAACCAAAAUGCUUGAGUGCUGCUGUCCACCAAGUCCACUAAAUCAAUAGUUGGCCACUACAUCAAUAAUCAAUUACCAAAUGAAUAGUUCUGAAUUUUAGCCUAUAAAAGGAGAUAUUUGCCAUUCAUUUAAGCAUCUUGGUUUUCAGAUCAAGAUCAUGUUCUUGCUCUCUUUGUAUUUUGUAGUGUUCAAGUUUUAUUCCAUGUUAUAUUUUCCUUAAUCUCUUGUUUAUGCUUUUCAUUUCCUUUACUAUACUUAUAUAAUUAUGUUCUUAUUUUGUUUAUUUAUUUCUUCUUCAUAAUGUCUAGCUAAGUUAAUUAUGUCAAGGUGAAAAGGUUUCAGUAAUGGUGUUAGGAUAAGUAUAAUAUAAACUCAAUAUGGACUUUAAUGCUUAUAUCCUAAACAACUUGCUAUUAACAUGUCUUAUCAUUUGUAUCUUAUUAAUUAUUAAUACCUUGCUUGUUAAAUGGUUAAUCGAGAUUUGUGUUGUAUAACACCUGGUACAUCAAAUGCUUGAUCCUUCAUAGUCUUCGGCCAACAUCGUUGUUAUGAGAGGAACUUGAUUUGUUGUCAACAUAAGUUAGCAUCAUAAAUAUCUAAUAAAAUUUAUAAGUAUAGUGUUAUGUAAAUAAGAUGAUUAAUAUGAUCAUGUUGAUAAUUUAUAAAGAGUUUAUACUUUACUUAUCUUUAAUACUAUUACUGGAUCCUCUAACCUUGAUAUUUGUUUUUAUCAUUGUUUAAACCUCAUAUUAAUCUUACAUCUCAAAGUCAUCUUUAACUCAUCAUCACCACCAUCAUCAUCAUUGUUGUUCUUAUUAUUAUUAUUAUUAUAAAUUAUUUAUAAUUUAUAUAGUUAACCUCCCUGUGGUUCGACCCCGGUCUUGCCGGGUUAUUUAUUACUUUGAUACUCCUGCACUUGGGAUAAGACAUCAACUCUUUGAUUGUAUCAAAUUGUCAUGACCAAAAAUGGUCACACUCAGAUAACCGGAUACAGUGAUUCAGAUUGGGUUGGCAAUGCUAUUGAUCGCAAGUCAACCAUUGGCUAUUGUAUGUUUGUUGGUGGUAAUCUUGUCUCUUAGCGUAGCAAGAAACAACAUGCCAUUGCACGUUCUAGUGUCGAAGCUGAAUAUUGUGUCAUGGCAUCAGCUGCUUGUGAGUUAAUUUGGCUUAAAGGUCUCCUAUCUGAACUGGGUUUUAUAAGUAGCAUCCUUAUGACCUUGUUUUUUGACAACCAAGCUGCCAUGCAUAUUGCAGCCAAUCCUGUGUUUCACGAAAGAACAAAACAAAUUGAAGUUGAUUGUCAUUUUAUUCGUCAACAAGUUCAGUCUCAGAUUAUCCAAACUCAUUACGUCCGCAGUCAUGAUCAACUAGCUGAUGUGUUCACAAAAUCCCUGACCUCUGCUCAUUUUCACCUACUGUUGUCCAAGCUUGGAUCAAUUAAUCCCCUUGAUCCAGCUUGAGGGAGAGUAUUGGAAGAAGGUUAAAUAUUAGCCGAUUCUUUAGCAACAGUUGAUACGUAAAUGAUUAAUUAUAACAAUGCUUUUAGGAGAAAGAUAUGCAGUCCUUAUAAGAUAAAGAUUGUCUGUUAGAUUGUUAGUUUUCUUUAUAAUCAUAGACUUCUAUUCCACUUUUACUCACGCCUCUGCUGCGUUGUCUAUAUAUAUAUAUAUAUGAUACAUUACAUAAUAAAGAUUACACUGCAUUCCAAAGCAGCAGCUCUGUUCUCAAUAUUGUUGAUUCUCUAUUCUUUCUUUUCUUCAUUUCAAGAAUUCAAGUACACAGGACUUGACUAGUUCUCCUCUUUUAGGAAUCUUGAAACAUGAUUACAGAAUCAAAGUGAAGCAUUGAGGUCAAUUCUGGGCUUCUUUGUAACUAAUGGAGAUGGAACAGUGAAGUUGCAACUAGGGCACUUGGGAUUUGUCUUCAAUGUAAUCACAUAUAGCAAGCAACCAGGGCAAGCAGCAGCAAAUACUCCUGUUGAAGAGAAUGUAGUGCUAAUCUCAUCUUCUUUAAUGUCACUGGCUGGUGGGGUUGGUGGUGGUCUCUCUCUGCUCUUUGCAAAGCAGAAUUAACCUUAUCAAGAGUGCAAACACUUUCACAAUGACUUGAAGGUACAAGUUUUAAUUCCAAGCAGCUUUCUUCCAAGAACCUCAAUGGCGGAGACUUGGAAUCUUGAACCUCUGAUUCUUGGGUGGUUCUCUGUUUGUGAUGAUGCUUCGUGAUGUUAAGGGAUGGUAAUGACGAGCUUACAGAAUUGCAUCUCUGCGAGUAUACCUUCUCUGUAGACUGCAAGAACAUCCCAAUUCAUCAACAAUAUUAUUUGACUACAGCCAAAAACAAGAACACUCAGUUCUUCUACACUAAAAAAUAAAAGAUUUAUGUUUCGCGGCUACUGAAAAAUAUGUAUUUAAUCGAAAUGAUGACCAGAAGCCUAAAUUCUGUACAAAAACUGUUCAUCAAUAUGAGAGAAACUAUCAAGAUUGUUUCUUGGCUAUAAAAAAGAUUGGGGAUAAAACCAUAUAUACCUUUAAAUUAACAGGCACAUCCCAAGUUUUUGUGGAGCAGUUGCCAGCCGAUGCACAGUUCUAUAUCGACUUUGAUCUUCAAGUGCUUAUGAAACUUGACCAUGUUUCAUAACAAUCAUAGUUAUACCACGUGUAAUCUUUAAAAAUCAUUUACCAUGAGAGAAGACACAUUUUUUAAGUUUUUGCAUCAAUUUUUUUUAUGCGAUGAAUCCAUUCUAAAAUCAAAUGCAUAGAUAUUAAACAAUGGUUUGAUAAUUUAUCUACACAUAACUUAGUUUAAACUAAGUUUUAUUUUAAAUUGAUUUAUAAAUAAAUCUAAAUAAAUUUAAAUUGAUUUGGUUAAAUCUAAACAAUUUAAUUUAAUUAGACUUGAUUGGUUUAAAUUAUCUUUAAUUUUUUUAAAGAUUGUUUUUUAUGUCUAAAACUAUAUUAUUUUAUUAAAUACUAAAACAACACUAUUUUAAGUUUAAUUUCAUAACUAAAAUUUUCAUCAGCAAACUUUGAAAAGUAAUCGGUGGUUAUUAUUAUUUUUUAAAAUGCUUUUCACCUAAAAAUAUAAUAAAAUAAUAUAUUUUUUAUUUUAUAAAAUCUAAUUUUAACAUAAAAAGAUUAAAAACAUAAAUAAAUAAUUUAAAAAUAAAAAAAUAAAUUUCCACAAAUCUUUGGCUUAACAGCACUGCUAAUCAGGUGUAAAUUACCCUAAGAGUCUAUCUGGGAGUGUGAUUGCGGUUAUUUUUCAAAGUAUUUUUUACUUAGAAAUAUAUAAAAAUAAUAUUUUUUUUAUUUUAAAAAAAUAUUUUUAAUAUUAACACAUUAAAAUAUUUAAAAACAUAAAAAAAAAACCAAACAAAAAAAAUUAAAAAACUAAGCUCGGAAAUGCUAAAUGAAUAAGGAUAAAAUAGACUUCUUUACUAGGUGGUCGUGCCGUCGUGGUAGCUCACAAGGUCUUUGGAGACGAAAGAGAUGAAUGAAUAAGAAGCAGAGGUCUCUUUAAUGGCAGCCAUUCAAUGCAUUUUGUUCUCUUCUCUCACUACAUGCGCGUGCUUCUACGCAAUUCUUUCUCUUAUUUUAAAAGAUCUACACUCGUGAAACGCACGAGUAGCUAGCUGGUUGAGGGUUAUUACGAAAGUGGACACACCUCUGUCCUCCCAUUCAUUAAAGAUUAGAGUCGUAGUACAGGUUAUUCACAUGGAAUCAGGAAUUUCAUCAUUGCCGGCAUUAAUGAUCUCAUUUAUAAUUAUAGGGUUUCACCUAUAAUUAUUUUUCAUACACAGAAUCAUAAUUUUCGAGAAUUCAAGUACAUAGGACUUGACUAGUUCUCCUCUUUUAGGAAUCUUGAAACAUGAUUACAGAAUCAAAGUGAAGCAUUGAGGUCAAUUCUGUGCUUCUUUGUAACUAAUGGAGAUGGAACAGUACUGAAGUUGCAAGUAGGGCACUUGGGAUUUGUCUUCAAUGUAAUCACAUAUAGCAAGCAGCCAGGACAAGCAGCAGCAAAUACUCCUGUUGAAGAGAAUGUAGUGCUAAGCUCAUCUUCUUUAAUGUCACUGGCUGGUGGGGUUGGCGGUGGUGGUGGUGAUCUCUUCUUAGUCAUGGUCUCUUUCUCUGCUCUUUGCAAAGCAGACUUAACCUUAUCACUUUCAAUUUACAAAACGACGUGCAGCUCAAUCAAUGCCUUUAUUGCCUCCAGCCUUCAAAAAAUCAACUCAUUAGUUAGUUUCGCCCUUGGCUCGCGUACAAAUACAUCCACUUUAAAUGACAGCCACCGAGAUGUUUGACCUGUGGCACAUGAGCUUAGAAAAAGAAUUAUGUGUUGGAAUUUGAUAUUUUUUUUUUAGUUACAGUGGCUAUGGCUAAUAUGUAGCAUUAGGGUAUGUUUGAGUGUGUGGUUGUGAUUGUUUUUUAAAUAAUUUUUAUGCUGAAAUGUAUUAAAAUGAUUUUUUUUUAUUUUUAAAAAAUUAUUUUUAAAAUCAGCACGUCAAAAAUAUUUUUAAUUUUUUAGGAAUGCUGUUUGCACCGCGAACCGGUAAACCAAAGUAAUAGACUGUUACUUGUAAAAAGUUAUUUUUAGUAGAUAUGAGGAUUUUUAAAUGUUUAAGUAUCUACUUAGAGAGGUGAUAUUUUAGAAAAAUAAACUUUGAAAAUAUAUAUACUAAAAAUAUUAAAAAUAAAAAGAUUAUAAACCUUAAACUUUAAGUAUUCAUGGAGUAUUUAUAACUUAUAAAUUUUGUUUUUUUAUAAAGAGAAGUUAAAAAAUAAUUUUAUCUUUGUGAUAUAUUAAAUUAUAUUUCAUUUAAAAUAAUAUAUAUUAAAUUUAUAAAAUAUUGAAGAAUAUCCGUGAAGUCUUGAAAAAAAUUUGAAUGGAGUGUUGAGUUUAAUUGAGUUGCUUGAGCUUAUUAAAAAUAAAAAAUAAAUUAACACAUGCUACCUGAUCCAAAUAAAUUGUACCCAAGAUGCACACUCGAGCCCAUAAAAAUACUGGGAUGCAUGCCCAACAAGGUAAAUGGGUAAAGGCAACGCUUGGACCCAACCAAGAGCAGUUAGGCUUUUGGAAGUUUCAAAUUUUGGUUUAAAGCAAAUAGAAAGCAAUUAAAUUUCUAUUCAUUAGUCUUUUUCUUUCAUUGACUCGGUUUCUGGAGGUGCUGACUAGUUAUUUAUGGUGAAGUGAUUCUUUUCUUCUACUGAAAUUCUUGAUGUUUAGGCUGGGAAUAAAUUUAGCUCCUCUUGUCUACCUAGAAAAUUGAGGGAGGGAAAGUAGCUGAAACCAUUUAAGAUUUUUGUCAGUGUAGUUUAUUCGUUCACUUUCGUGUAGUUUCUGAGAUAGGCAGCGCUUGGACCCACCCCAAAGCAGUUAGGCAUUUGCGAGUUUUUUUUUAGCCAAUUAAAUUUUGGUCUAAAGCAAAUAGAAAGCUAUUGUUCUGUUGAUUGAUUUCUAUUCAUUAGUCUUUUUCUUUCAUUGACUCAGUUUCUCUAGGUGCUGACUAGUUAUUUAUGGUGAAGUGAUAAUCUCUUCUUUUCUUCUACUGAAAUUCUUGAUGUUUAGGCUGGGAUUAAAUUUAGCUCCUCUUGUCCACCUAGAAAAUUGAGGGAAAGUAGCUGAAAUAAUUUGAAAGCAUUUAAGAUUUUUGUCAGUUUAGUUUAUUCGUUUCACUUUCGUGUAGUUUCUGAGAUAGUACCAAAACAUUGUUAUGUGUUGAAUAAAUAAUUAACCACCAAUUAAAGCAGAAGUAACAUUUGUGUUUGAAUCCUGAGAAAAUUGAGUAGGAAAAUUUUGCAUUUUAUGAAGUUUUUUUGCUUAGUUGUGAUGAUUUAUUUUUUUGGAGGUCCCUAAAAGUGGAAUAAUGGUCCCUAACAGUGCCUUUUUGAAACUGCUCAAUUACUUGUUCUCUACUUGUCCGUUCAAUUGACUUCCUACAACCACAUGCCUGUAUUAGAGCUUUCUCUACUAGUGAAGAUAGCAUCAAAUGAUGAGCUUGUUAUUGUUGUUGAUUAGAGCUCUAUCUUCCAAAGUUCAAUCUUCGAAUCUUCUUCUAAAUUCUUUAAUUUUGCUCUCAUAUUGAAUUUAUAAAAAUGUUAUUAUUCACAGAAUUCAUAAAAAUAAUUACCUUUUUUAAAUUAUUGAGAAAGGAAUGCCUUUGGCUUUCUUCAUAAGUAAACCAAACAUGAAGCAAGGAAUGCCUUUUCUAUUCUUUGUAUAUAUAUAUAUAUGUGUGUGUGUGUGUGUGUGUGUGUGUGUGUGUGUGUGUGUGGGCAAAUCAUAUUCCUUGAGUGGGAUUAGAGGGACAAUCAUAUAGCUCGAGUUUCAUUCUUGGAAGUGGCAGAGAGUAUUCCUCAUUUAAUUAAUUAUUGUCUUCUUUUCAGGUCCUUUCGUUUUUUUUACCCCAAUCAUCAUAAUUAUAGGAACACUACAUCCAUUAAGGAUUAUAUUUGUGGUUGCAAUCUAUUGAUAGAGAGGCUGUGGGUGUCUAAGUGAUCGUGAACCUUUCAUUCGUUCCGGUCUCUGCUAUAUAAGGUGUGUGUAUUUUAACUAAUUCUUGUAUUAUUAAUUUGUUUUUGUCUUUAUAUUAUAUUGUUAUGCAUAUAUUAUGUGUUCAUACAUGUUUGCAAGUAUGAUCCAUGAAGAAAGAAAGUGAAAUACUUGUUCAAUUUAAUCCUUAUUCUCUCCUACUAGACUCAAUCAAUCUCUAUAUAUACAAGUUUAUAUGUAAGUCUAUAUAUCUCGUUGUAGGGUUGAAUAAUUGUAAAUACAGAUCAAACACCCAUUAUUAAAAAGAUUAUGGUGUUUUAAUUUAUUAGUCAAUUAGAAAACUAAUUAGUUUUAAAAUCUUCUUAAUAAUACAUAUAUAAAAUUAAAUUAAGACUUUAAUCUUGAUAGCUAACAUUUUGAACUUUUACCUUAAAUUUGAUAUGGAUGUAAAAUCUACAAAUUCACAAGACUAAAAUUUCUCUGUGUUUGGUGAAUUAAAGUAGGGUAAUGGUCUAAAUAAUAUUACUCUUGUAAAAGUUGGAUCUCCUUCAAUUUUCAACCUCAUCUUUCUAUUAUAGUGAAAGUAAAAAUGAAGAACAUUCUAAUUAACUAUAAUGUUUGGAUUUAAUAGUGCAUGGCUAGCUUUCACCACCAUAAUUUGAUCUUGACACCAUCAUUCCUUUUCUUUUUCAUUUUUUUUAUUAUAUCACUCAUUUUGUUUUAUAUUGGAAAGCCCCAAAAUCCACGUAGUAAGAGCAGACCUUCCCAUUACUUAAUAAUUGAGGAAAUUAGAUUCAUUUUAAUCAAAUCAUCUUCAAUAGAUAAAGCUAUUAUGUAAUUAUUUGCUAGGCUAAACGUAUUUGUAUAUUCAUAGUUCCUGUUAAAUUCUAAAUACUAUAAAUCUACAAGGAUUUCUAUGAUGUUAAGAGAAAUAUCCCCUUUUAGCCAACACUAGAUAAUUAAAUACUAUAUAUACUAGAUUGACUUGGAUUUACGAGAAUCAACUCAGGUUAACCUGCCAAGUUCCUGACCUGAGUUAUAAGACCUUAAUAACCCUAUAAAAGAUAACUAAGAAAAAAUAUUAAGCCUAAUUUUCAGUGAACAUAAUAUUGCAAAAUAAAAUUGAAAAAAAACUUAAUUAAAAAAAUGACACAAAAAACCACCCUAGUCAACCCAAGUUAACCAACCAAACUCGUAACCUAUAUCAUGAGGUUAGGAGAAUCUCAAAGAAAACAAAAUAAAAUAAAUUAUGAAGCCUAAUAAUCAACUCCAAAUUAAAAAAUAAAAUUGAAAAAAAAAUAUUCAAUUGAAAAAGGAUAAAAAAAAAACUAAGACAACUAGGCUAACCUGCAAUAGAAUCAUGAGACCGUGAUAAACCUAUAGAAAGUAAAUAAAAAAAUUAUAAAACUCAACUCUUAAUUAAUACAUUAUUGAAUGAAUAAAUUAAAUAAAAUCAAUUAAAAAAUAUCUCAGGUCAACUCGGAUUAACCUGUUAAAUUUGAGUUUUAAUAUCAAAAUAAAUCUAUAAAAAGAAAAAAAAAACAAUUAUGAAGUGAAAGCCUUGAUAGCUAACAUUUUGAACUUUCACCUUAAAUUGAAACGGAUGUAAAAGCUACAAAUUCACAACAGUAAAAUUUCAAUCUGUUUGGUGAAUUAAAAUAGGGUAAUGGUCUAAAUAAUAGUACUCUUGUAAGAGAUGGAUCUCCUUCAAUUUUUAUAACCUUAUCUUUCUAUUUUAAUGAAAAUAAAAGUGAAGAGGAUAAAAUUGGAAAAAAAAAGUUUAAACUUAAAAAAAACAACUUGAGAACUAAAGUGAAAAAGACUAAAGCAUUUCAUUAGUCAUUGCUACAAUGAAAUACCAAGUUCUCUUAAUAUAUGUUAAUUAUUCAAUUGUAUGGUUAGUCUAUAAAAAAUAAAAUUCUUAUAAAUUCCUUAGUUAAGCAAAAUAGAGUGUAGGAUUUUUUUAACAAUAUAUAAAAUAUUACACAAGAAUCUUGACCAUGAAAUAAAAAUUAAUCCAAACAUUUUAAUAAAUUAUUCUAAAACACAAUAAUUUAUAUAUCUCUAUCUAUCUACAAAUCCAAAUAGAUUAUUGUUUAUUAUGUCUAAAUCAAAUGACCUAUAUCUUUACAAUAAUUUUAUUUAUGGUUAGGGUCAUAGGAUUGUUUGGCUUUAACAGAGUAAUUUUUCAAAUACUUUUGGUUCCUUUUAAGUUGGUAAACUAAACAUCUUUUGUUAAAAAGAUAUCUUGGGCUUCAAAGUACAUUUUCUAAUUCUUAGAGCCUUUUGUGAAGUUAGCUAGUAUUUUGUGAAUUUAGCUAGUAUUGUAUUCAACUUAUCAAACUUUUCUUGGAAGGAUUUAUUUUCUUCUUCAAGUUGAUUAACCUUUUUAUUUUCAUCAAUGUCGCACGUGUGCAGCAUCGCGGCGAAAACAUUCACCCUCAAAAUAUCUAUCUAAAUGUGGCAAAUAUGUGUGGGGAGACAAGGAAUUCUUGUCUUUUACAUGUGAAAAGCAGGAAUGGAGAGUCGCCACCUAGUAUUUUGAUCACUAGGAACCCUAACUGGUCUUAAAGAUCGGGUACAGGGACUGGUUGCGCAAAGGGAGGUAUUAGCACCCCAAAUACGCCCUACCUAAGGUAAGCUACAUUGUUUUAUUGUCUGAUAAAAUCUAAGGUCUUGUCGUGUUUUUUAGUUGUUGGUCCGUCUAUGGUUCAAGAAAAGUCAUCUUCGGUAAAGAGAUCCUUAUCUUAUUAGGUAAAACCUAACCGUUCUAAUGUCAACAAAAGAAUUUAAUAUCUGGAAUAUGUCUUACGUAUAAGGUCGUAACCCUAGAUACUAAAAGAAAACAAAAUAAUGUUUUUUAUAAUUUUUAAAAUAUUGGCCUAGUUCUCGUUACUUUAAUAAACUAGUUAUUAAAGCCAAAAUGCAUGUUGAUAUAUAUUUUUGAAAUUUUCUUUGUUGUACGAAAAUACAAUUUUUUUUAAUUAUUAUUAUUGAGAGACUUGGCCGUAUGCAUCAAAACAAAAUAUUUUUUAUUUUUUUUAAUGUUUUGACGAAAACGAAGUAUUUUAAUACCGGAUUUGUAUCUUUAUAGUAUAAAAAUACAAACCAGUAUUGAUCAAAAUACAGUAAAAAAAUACACGGGGAAAUCACAAAUUUUCCAAAAAUAUAUUUUUAAAAUUUUUUCCUUUUAGGCCGGGCCGGACCCGGCUCACCCAUUUUGGGCUAGGCCGGCACUGCCUGGCCCAGUAAACAAAAACAAACAGUGGAGAACUCUCCACUGUUCACUUGCAACGUGAACAAUGGAGCAGCCCGGGCGAGGAAGAAGAAGAAGAAGAGAAGUGGAGGCUUACCUGGCGGUCGUCCGUUCUUGCGGGAGCUGGAGCUGCCGGUUCUAUGCUGUUGGACGACGGUUCUGUUCCUUCUCUGUUCUAUUUUUUCUGUGUUCCUUCUUCUCCCCGCUUCUGUCUCCUGUUUCUCUUUUUCUUCUUCUGUUUCUAAUAGUGGUGGUGUCGUUGUUGAUGGUGGCGCUGGUGGCUGCAGACGGUGGCUCUUCUCUGCGGUGGCGGGCAGUGUUUGCUGCUGUUCUUCCCGUCUGUGCAGAGGCGCAGGCUUCUUCUUCUUCUUCACGGGUGUUGCAGCAGGGGGAGGAAGAUGGUGAGAGGCUGAUGGUGGCGCUGCUCCAAACGGCGGAGAGAGAGAGAGAGACCGAAGAGAUUGAGGUUACUGUUAUUCUCUUCUCCUCUGUGUUCUUGUUUUUCUGUUCCUUUCCAUCUCCCUCAGAUCAAACUCUUUUCCUCGUCUCCUCUGUUUCUCGUUUUUUACUCCCUCCUAUGUCGUCUUCUUCGUUCUCUCCUGCCUCUGUUUUUUUUCUUUCCUCUGUCCUGUUCUCCCCCCCCCCCCUGUUCUCUCUUUCUCUUCCAAGUGCGGCAAUCUACCCUGUUGUCCUGGCUCUUUGAGAUGAAGGAAUGAAGACGAUGGUGAUGCCUGUUGUCAGUGGUCUUUUUCUGCGUGGUUCUUAUUUUUCUGCUUGUCUCUGUUCUCCUUUUGUGCCCACUGUUUCCUCUGGUUCUAUCCCCCUCGUCUUCUCUUUGCCUCUGUUCUUAAAGAAAAGAGAAUCACCCUGGUUCCUGGAACCUGCUGCUUGCAGUUGCAGACGAAGACGACAGUGUGGAAGGGGGCUGUUCCACCAACACUGCUUCCUCUCCUCCUGUUUUUUCCCCUGUCUCCCCCCUCUAGUUCGUUCUCCUCCCUGACUUUUUAUAGCCAAAACUACAUGCGUUUUUUUUCUUUUAUAAUAAAGACAUUCGCGAUAUUAUUGCAGUGGUAACGGUCGGCGGUGUGCAGAGAGAUUGUAGCUGUGAAACGUUCCCCAUAACUGAAGCAAUCUGCGGCAUGUUAUUGCUGAAACUGUUGCUGAGGAGAAGACGAUGAACAGUUCAUGAAACGUCUCUGUUUCUCCAAUUCAAAUGGCCAUUUUGAUUUGGUCCUUGUGGUUUCACAAUUUUGUAAUCAAACUCUUGGACAAAUUAUAAUUGGAUCCCUGAACUUUAAUUUCUUCCAAAUAAAGCCCAAAUUGACUUAAAAACAUUUUUUCUUGCAAUCAAACCCUCCAUAAAUUCAAUUAAACCUUCAAUAAAAUUUAAUUGAGUCCAUAAAUAUUUGAUUUUGAACUUUUGUUUUCAAAAAUUGAAUUUUUCUUAUCAACAGGGCUGAUAUACUAUUAAAUUUCAAUUUUUGUAUUUUUAAACCUCCUCAACCAAUUUUUGGUCAUUUUAUGGGCAUUCCAGCAUCAUUUUCUCGCUUCUAUUAUUUUUUGGAUUUCUUCUGAAUAUUUUUUGAUAUAUUGUUUUUGUAUUUUUUUUAUUUUUUGUGUGGGAACCCAAAAAUAGAUAACAACAAUCAAUAACAAUGCAAUCUUUAUUUUCUAGAGUUUCUUUUUCCAGCAAACAAGUAUGCAUAAUUCUAUUUCAAUAAACUAUAUUUUAAACCUAAUUUUUUAAAUUCAUCAUAUAAAGAUUCAAGAGCAUCAUGCAACUCAUCAGAGGUAGAGUCAGAUUCAUCAUCCAAAUACUGUACCUCAUUUUCACUUUUGAUAGAAAACUUCUUAAUCACCUUGUAAUUAAGGCAAUGUCCUCUUCAAUGCUUUCUUGAUCAUCAUCAUCAUCCUCAAUGUGGUGAACGGUUUCAAAUGCCAAAGAGUAUUCAUUUUUAUUCCCUCACCAAUACCAUGAGUUUUUACUUAACUCUCAUAGGUUUACAAGUAUGGUUUUGUUUACAACAAACUCUUUCAUAGAGUGAAUGAUAUAAAUAAAGUUCUAGUAUCUCCAUAACUCACUAAAUAGCACUUAUAGGAUUUAAAAGUGUUUAAGUAUAGUUCGAAUGAAAAUGUAUACUCUUUGUUCUAGAAUAUAAAGGUUUAAAUCCACUAGUUAGAGUAUAAUCAAUAAUUUAUAAUUUUAUUGUUAUUUUGAUCUUAGAGUAUGUUGUUUAUCAUAUAUGUCCGGAAUCCCUUACUAAUUUUACAAUUAGACAAGCUAUAUAAUUGUUUCUAAGAAAAACUAGUCAUUGGAACCCCAUUAAUAACUAAAACGAUCGAUUGGUUCAAAUUGAUCAAGCCAAUCAAUCAACCGGUUCCUACAAAAUUCCCAAGUUUUCAUCACUGAUAAACAAGUGAGCGCCUGAUUCAUGCAGAAUUCUCAAAUGUUUUCAUCAUUAAUGAACAAAUGGUGGUUCGUUUCAUGUAGAAUUACAUAUUUAAUAGUUUUAAACUAGGUGAAUUCCUAGAGCCAUCCAUCUUAGAUCAUCUUUUAUAUCAAUCCUAAAUGUAUGUAAAGUAGUGUGUGUGAGUUUAUUUUAAUUAUACCAUCAAGUAAGAUGUAAAGAUUUAUAAAUUAAACACUAAAAUGAAUACUUGAACUUUUUGAUUAAUUUUUUAUGAAAUCCUUCAUGUUUAUUAAUGUGAUCUUAAUAUGAAACAUGUUUAAAACUUAUUCUCAACUAGACAUAUUAUUAGUCUAUGUUCUUUUUUUUUUUUGUUAUCAUCAAAAUAUAAAAAAAUAUGAAUGUGUGACUCUAAAGGUCAAUAAAAUCAUCACCAUUUAGAGUAAAAAUAUAUCUAGACUAGGAUUUGCUAUCAUUAAUAUCUAAUUUAAAUCUAGCAUUUGAAUAUCCAUAAACUUCUAGUUUAUCUCCUUUAUAGAUCAUAAAGAAAUUCUUAGUUCUUUUUAACUACUUCUUAGAUUCAAAACCUUUAGGUAGUGUAAUAUACAUAUCUUUAUGAAUUUUCCUAUAUAGAAAAGCAUUUUUUAUAUCUAUUUGCUAAAAUUCAUAAUAUUAGCAUGUAGCUAUAGCAAGAAGGUUUUUACAUAACUACUAAUAAAAAGGUUUCAUCAAAGUCAAUUCUUUUUCUUUGCUUGUAACCACUGUCAACUAUUCUGGUUUUGUACAUCUAUACAUUGCCAUUAAUAUUAAUUUGUUUCUUAAAGAUCCAUUUACAUUCAGUGAGUUUUACCCUUUUAGGUUGAUAGUCAAGUUAUAUUUAAUCCAUUUAGAAUUUUACAUCCUUGAUUCAUUUUAUGGAAUUAAUAUUAGAUAUUGCUUUCAUGUAAUUGGUAGGCAUAUUAAAUGUAAGUAACUCAUCAUUUUUAGCUUCUAUAAAAAAUCCAUAUCUCAUUAGUGUAUGACAUCUUCUAUUAGAUCUAUGAAGUUAUUGUGUUUCUUGAGCUUUAAGUUGAGUAUCUAAUGUUAUAUAUUCUAGCUCAUGUUCUAAUUAGAUGUCAGUUUAUGGUUCUUGAAUUUCUCCAAAUUUUAUUUUUCUUUCACUACUUCUUUCAAGAAUAAAUUCUUUUUAAAAAUAUAGCAUGUUUGGAGACAAAUAACUUUUGCUCAAUGGAAUGGUAGAAAUAUUAUCCAAUAGUUUUUUUAAGAUAUCCUAUAAACUUAAAUUUAUUUGAUUUAGCUCAUAACUUUCAUAUAUGAUAUGCUUUACAUAAAUAUCACAUCCCCAAAUCUUCAAGUAUAAUAAGUUAAGUCUCCUAUCUUUUCAUAUCUUAUAUGAAGUCUUAUUACUAAAUUUUGUUGGAACUUUAUUUUAAAACUAAGCAACAAUUUUUUAGGCCAUAUCCCUAUAGCUCAUAAUGGAUCGUACCAUACCCAAUAGGGUACGAUUUGUCCUUUUGGAAACUCUAUAAUAUUAUGGUAAAUGUCAUAAUUAUUGAAUCUUUGGAUGAGAUUUGAAACUCAUCUUACACAUGAAUUUUAUAAUUAAUACUAUUUAAAAACAAAUAAAACAUUUUUUUUUCUUCUAAAUUCACCUAUAAUGAUGAUACCUAUCUUAAUCAUAUAGUUUCUAUUAUACCAAAUAUAUAUUCACUUAUUACUUUUGAUUAAAGCAACAUAUUGUUAGGAUUGAAAAAUAACAGUUGCAAUAUCAACCAACUAUUUCAACUACUAUCUCCUUCUCACCACCACCACUAACAUCUUUUCUUUAUCCACCACAACCAUCUCACCACCACCUCUUCUUGUAUCAUCACCACCACCACCACUACUUUUAUCAUUUCACAACCACUACCACUUCACCACAAUCUCUUUCACCACCAUUGUCAUCUCACCACCACCUCUUUCACCAUCAUUGUCAUCUCACCACCUCCAUCACCACCAUUAUUAAAAAUUAUUUUACAUGUAAAAUAUUUAACGGUAAAGUAUUUUUCAAGCCAAACAUUGAAUUUAAAAGUAAACCAUUUUUUAUUUGUAAAAUAUUUUAUGCAAAACAAACAUACUCUUAACAUAUAAUUUUAUCUCUUCUAGAAAAUUCAAUAAAAAAAUUCAUUUUUUCAUGUUUACCUAAGGUUAGCCUUCACAAUUAUAAUUCCGUUAUCUAUCUCUUUAUUGGGAUAUUUUCAGUUAGAAAUAAUUUCCAUUCUAUAAUUCUCUUUUAGGAUAUCUCAUUUAGGAUGUUAAUUUUUAUAGUGUUUUAUAUUUUUUUAAAAACUUUCUUCGUACUGAACCGUUAUUGCUUUAAAUUCCCUCAUGUAUACAUAACAUGAUUAAUGAGCUGUACCAAAUUUUUAUUUUGAUCUUCUAAGAACAUUCCAAAAGUGUCAUUUGAAAAUGAAUUUAAUCAAACUUCUAUACAUUUUAUCCUUGUUGAAUAUGUCAUCUUUUUCUUCAUCUUUUAAACAUUUUUUAUUUUAUUUUGAAAUCAUCCUCACCAUGUUAUUUCAUACAUUUUCUAUUUUUCUUAUAUAAUCUUUUUAAUUUGAAGUUGUCUUUAAUUUUUUGAUUCUCUACUUAGUAACAAUAUAAUCUUCAUCGUCUUCAAUUAUGUAAAAAAAAUUAAAAAUUGUUAUAGAAAUCUGCCUUUCUUAUAUAGCUAGGAAAGUUAAAUUUUAUUCAAAUAAAUGAAUUUUAAUGCAAUUGUAUAUAAGAAAAUACACUCUUAGAAAUGUAUAAAGAUAUCAAAGGAAGAAAAAAUCUUAAAGAACUAAGAAGGGAAAGAUAUUAAUAAUCUAUAUCUUUUUUUUUAUUAACGUGGGUGUCCGGGUUAGCUUGCGCGCACCUCAACUAAUCUUACAGACCCUGAAGUUAACAACAAUAUAAGUCUCCAAUGACCCUGAGGUUUGUGAGACUCAAACUGGUGACUUUUAGAAAGUAAACCUAAAAUUUGACUAGUUGAGCUACACUUCUAUAGAGUGUAUUUUCUAUAUUCUAUAGAGUUUAAUGUAUAGAGUUUUUUGAUUAACAAUACAACCAUAUCAAUAUUCUAUAUUUUAUUAACAACACUGUGACAAUUUAAAAUUAAUAACAAAUUAAUUUAAAGAUAUUAUAGUCUUCAACAAAAGAUAACACCCUAACUUUUGUAGAUGGCAUAGAUAGAUAUAGAUAAGGGGACAAGGAAUUAAUUGUUCAUUGGUAUACUUAUACCUUGCCUUGUUGCUUUUGAAGCUUGAUUCCAUACAGAGCUAAAGGCCUUCUCGUUUUGUUCCUCGCUGAGCAAUCAACACCAGUGCUUUUCGCGCAUAUUUUCACAAAUUCAGGUAAUAAAAUUCCUAUUCUCAUUCUCUCAAUGCCUAUUUUACUUGUAGUGAACUCCUCUCACAGUCAGCAUCCUUAUUUCUCUGAUUUUCAGACUGGUGGAAAAUGGCUAUCGAAAGUGUUGGUGGAUCCAUUUUAUCUAAGAUAGCAGAACUCUUGGUGGAACCAACAAUAAGGCAGUUCCGUUACAUGUUCUGUUUCAACAAUUUUGUUCAAGAAUUCAAUGAACAGAAGAAGAACCUGGCUUUGACUCUUGAUCGUUUGCAAAACGCUGUCGAAGUUGCUGAAAGAAAUGCUGAAGAAAUUGAGAAGGAUGUCAACAAAUGGUUGGAAGAUGCAAAAAACGAAAUUGAAGGUGUUAAUCGUUUGGAAAAUGAAAAGGGAAAAAAUAGCAAAUGCUUUAAUUGGUGUCCAAAUUGGAUACCACAAUUCAAGUUAAGCAAGGCCCUGGCAAAAAAGAUAGAGACUUUGAAAAAACUUGAAGAAAAUAGCAGAAAGUUUCCAAAAGUGUCCCACAAAGCACCUCUUCAAGACACAGAGUUUCUUCCAUCAAAGGGAUUCACACCCUCAGAAUCGUCAAAAGAAGCUUUUGAACAAAUUAUGAAAGCUCUCAAAGAUGACAAUGUCAAUAUGAUCGGACUGUACGGCAUGGGAGGGGUGGGUAAAACCACCCUGGUGAAAGAAGUAGGCAGGAAAGCCAAAGAGUUGCAGCUUUUUAAUGAAGUUUUGAUGGCUACGGUGUCCCAGAAUCCACAUGUCACAGACAUGCAGGAUCAAAUGGCAGAUAGUUUAGGUCUGCAUUUUGACGAGAAAAGUAAAGAAGGGAGAGCAGGUCGGUUAUGGCAGAGACUGCAGGGAAAGAAGAUGCUUAUAAUCCUAGAUGAUGUUUGGAAAGAUAUUGACUUGAAAGAGAUAGGGAUCCCAUUUGGUGACGCUCACAGGAGUUGUAAAAUUGUUAUAACAACACGUCUUGAAAACAUAUGUUCUUAUAUGGAGUGCCAGCAAAAAGUGUUUUUAAGAGUCUUAUCUGAAGAGGAAGCAUGGGCUUUAUUCAAAAUCAAUGCAGGUUUACGUGAUGAGGACUCUGACUUGAACAGAGUGGCAAAGGAGGUUGCGAGAGAAUGCCAAGGCUUGCCUUUAGCACUUGUGGCAGUGGGAAAGGCUCUAAAAGAUAAAUCUGAACAUGAGUGGGAAGUAGCAUCUGAAGAGCUCAAAAAAUCUCAAUCUCGGCACGUGGAAACAUUUGAUGACCGAAGAAAUGCAUAUGCAUGUCUUAAAUUGAGCUAUGAUUAUUUGAAGCACGAGGAAACCAAGCUAUGUUUCUUGCUAUGCUGUUUAUUUUCAGAAGAUUACAACAUUCCAAUCGAGGAGUUGACGAGAUAUGCAGUUGGCUACGGGUUAUAUCAAGAUGUGAAGUUCAUUGAAGGUGCAAGGAAACGAGUUUAUAUGGAAAUCGAAAACCUCAAAGCUUGUUGUAUGCUGUUAGGAACUGAAACUGAAGAAUAUGUGCAAAUGCAUGACUUGGUUCGUGAUGUUGCUAUUCAGAUAGCAUCAUCAGAAAAAUACAGAUUCAUGGUAAAGGCUGGCUUUGGGUUGAAGGAGUGGCCAAUGAGCAAUAGAAGAUUUGAAGGUUGUACAGUAAUUUCGUUAAUGGGCAAUAAACUAGCAGAACUUCCUCAAGGAUUGGUUUGUCCACAGCUCAAAGUUCUAUUAUUAGAACUGGAUGAUGGUCUGAAUGUUCCAGAGAGGUUUUUUGAAGGAAUGAAAGAAAUUGAAGUUUUGUCUCUGAAGGGAGGGUGCUUGUCAUUGCAAUCACUUGAAUUCUCAACAAACCUUCAAUCAUUGCUGUUAGUCAAAUGUAUAUGCAAGGACCUCGUUUCAUUGAGAAAGCUGCAAAGACUUAAGAUUCUUGUUUUCAUGUGGUGCGACUCCAUUAAAGAAUUACCUGAGGAAAUGGGGGAGCUCAAGGAGUUAAGAUUGUUGGAUGUGACAGGUUGUAUGUACGUUGCAAGCAUUCCUGUGAAUUUGAUUGGAAGGUUGAAGAUGUUAGAAGAACUAUUGAUCUGGGAUGGCAGCUUCACGGGAUGGGACAGCACAGGAGGAAUGAAUGCAAGAGUAACAGAACUAAAUUCGCUGUCUCAUUUGGCCGUAUUAUCAUUGACGAUACCGAAGGUUGAAUGCAUUCCCAGAGAUUUUGUUUUUCCCAGGUUGCUCAAAUAUGAUAUAGUGUUAGGGAAUGGGUAUUCAAUAACAGCAUACCCAAUCUCGAAAAGAUUAUAUUUGGGUGAUAUCAGCGCCACAUCCUUAAAUGCAAAGACAUUUGAGCAGUUGUUUCCUACUGUGUCUCAAAUUGGUUUUAGCAACGUUGAGGGUUUAGAAAAUAUAGUAUUGUCCUCUGAUCAGAUGACCACCCAUGGCCAUGGGUCGCAAAAGGACUUCUUACAAAGAUUAGAACAUGUAGAAGUGGCUGCAUGUGGGGAUAUUCGCACUCUGUUUCCAGCAAAAUGGCGGCAAGCUUUGAAAAAUCUAAGGAGUGUGGAAAUUAAUCACUGCAAUUCAUUGGAAGAGAUAUUUGAAUUGGGUGAGGCUGAUGAAGGAAGCAGUGAGGAAAAGGAGCUGCCGCUGCUAUCAUCUUUAACGGAGUUACAGCUGUCCUGGUUACCUGAGCUCAAAUGGAUAUGGAAGGGGCCCAGUAGACAUGUCAGCCUCCAAAGUCUUAAUCAUCUGGAGUUGUGGUAUCUUAGCAAACUAACAUUUAUCUUCACGCCGUCCCUGGCUCAAAGUCUUAUUCAUCUAGAAACACUACGGAUAGAAUAUUGCCGUGGAUUGAAGCAUCUUAUCAGAGAAAAGGAUGACGAAAGGGAAAUCAUUCCAGAGUCUCUUCGCUUCCCAAAGUUAAAAACUCUCUCUAUAAGUGACUGUGAUAAACUGGAACAUGUCUUCCCUGUCUCCGUGUCUCCAAGUCUUCUGAACCUGGAACAGAUAAAGAUUACUUUUGCUGACAAUUUAAAGCAAAUAUUUUACAGUGGAGAAGGAGAUGCACUCACCAGAGAUGGCAUCAUCAACUUCCCUCGGCUAAGAGAAUUGUCUCUUUCAUGUUGCAGCUUUUUUGGUCCAAAGAAUUUUACUGCCCAAUUGCCUUCUUUGCAAGAGUUAACCAUUAAAGGCCACCAAGAAUUGAGUAAUUUGUUGACACAGCUCCAUGUACGUCCUUUAUAUUUCUCCACUUAUUUUUUCCUUUUUAAUUUAAAUUGUCAAAUGCAAUACAUUGAUCAAAUUUCUUAUUUCUUCCUCCAGAUAAAGUAUUUUUAUUUUAUAUAUAAGAAGUUUUACUAAUAUGUAAAAUUAAAAUUAUUUUCUUUUAUAUAUGUUUUUUUGUUAAUGUCAUAAUUUGUUUUAUUGUAAAUAGAAUAUAAAAUGAUUUAUUUUUUUUAUUUAAUAAGUAUAAUUUUUUCAUGAUUGCUUUUAAUUUAACUAAUAUGAAAUAAUAAUUUAUAUUUAGAUUAUUAUAAAUAUGAAAAAUUACGAUUUCAUAUUCCCAUGCCCUAUUGCUCUGUCUAUUUAUAUCUUUUUGUUGAUAAGUAUUUAGGUAUUCGGGAUAAUUGGUUCAUCACCAAAAUUAUAUAAUAGUUACAGAGUGUACAAAAAUUAAUAGGAAUUAUAUCUAAAAAAUCGGUACCCUUGUUUUCUUUUGAUGCAGGGGCUUACAAAUUUGAGAGGAAUAUAUAUUACAGACUGCAAAGGAGCACAAGAUUUAAUGCAGGUUGGAAGUUUUUUAACUAAUAGAAGAACUGGGCAUGAACUUUCACUCUUGAGUUUGGAAACAUUACACGUAGACUCCUUCCCUGACAUGAAGUGUAUAUGGAAGGGUCUCUUGCUGAGUCAUUUGACUACUUUGAUGGUGAGGAAAUGUCAAAGACUAGCACAUGUAUUUACAAGCAGCAUGAUUGCUAGUCUAGUUCAACUGAAAGUUCUAGACAUAUCAACCUGUGAGGAAUUGGAGCAAAUAAUUGCUAAGGAUAAUGAUGACGAAAAGCUUCAGAUAUUGUCAAGAAGUGAUCUCCAAUCUUUAUGCUUCCCUAAUUUGUGUCGGCUUGAAAUCGAAAGAUGCAACAAGUUGAAGAGUCUCUUCCCAGUAGCCAUGGCUUCAGGUCUCCCAAAGCUCCAAAUACUAAAAGUAAGCCAAUGCUCUCAGCUAUUGGGAGUAUUUGGGCAGGACGAUCAUGCUUCACCUUUCAAUGUUGAGAAGGAGAUGGUGCUCCCUGAUAUGCUGGAGCUGUUGCUAGAAAAUUUACCAGGUAUAGUUUGCUUCAGUCCUGGAUGUUAUGAUUUCUUAUUCCCUCGUCUGAAGACGUUGAAGGUGUAUGAAUGCCCGAAGCUGACCACAAAAUUUUCUACUACAACAAAUGGUUCAAUGAGUGCUCAAUCAGAGGUGCUGCUUAUUGGACUUGAUUUCUUGCCUCUCUUUUAGUGUUUGUGUUUCUUUUUUCACUCAAUAACAAGACUCGGAAGUUAGAAUGUGUAUGCCAUGCUUGAAUUUGGUUUUGUAGGUAUCUCAAGUAGUUGAGGAUUCAAGCACCGGUUGCUACGUGCUAACCAGCACUUGUAGAAUGUGGACCCGGAAUAAUGGGUGGUGGGAAGAGGAAAAAGAGGAAGAGGAAUGGGAAGAGGAAGAGGAAGAGGAAUGGGAGGAGGAGGAGGAAGAGGAGGAGGAAGAGGAAGAGGAAGAGGAAUGGGAGGAGGAGGAGGAGGAGGAGGAGGAAGGGGAAGAGGAAGAGGAAAAGGAUGAGGAUGGAGGUGGUCAUGAGGAUUACGUCAAAUGAUAAGUUUGGCAUUGGAAUUUGAAAAACAUGCUAAUAAUUAAUUCUUGCAGGUAAUAUGACUGCAAUUAUUUAUCAUCUUCUAUCCUUUUCCUUCAACUUUAAAUGGUUGAAUUAAAUCAACAUAUGCGAUAUGUCUGAAUGGUCUUUGUUCUUCAUGUUUGCAUCAGGCAAGGUUGGUUACCUGUUACAUGUUCACCUCAACAUUAGGUGAUUUCUCGGAGAUUUAUGUCUUUGAGCUGUGGUGCUGUGAAUGUUUUUUAAUUUGUGGAAUUGAUUUCAACUGUUUCAUUGGCAAUGGCAUACAAUUUGGCUUUGUAUUGUAAUUUUAUAGAACUCCCAAAAGAACAAUAUUGACUUAUCUAUCUAUGUGUUUGCUGUGUGAACUUCCAGAAAUAACGGAAUCUCCAGAAAUAAGGGCGUAUGCUUGCUUGCCCAUUUGUGUUUCUUUUCAAGUGUUUGAACCUUCAAAAACAAGGACAUAAUGUUUACUUGUGUGUGUUUAUUGUUUAACUAGUUAGAUGACCCGCGCGAUGCUGCGGGUCAAUUUUUUUUUGCAUAAAAAAUAUCAAAAAAGCUAAGAUUUUAAAAGUGUUAGGUCUUUCUGCAAGACUAUACCUAAGAGUUUUGGGUUUGGCUGCAACGUCUGACCCAAGAGUAAUAUUUAUAAUAUUAAUAAUAAUAUUAAACUUGCAUGACCCAAGUUUAAAUGGGUUUGGCUGUAAUACCAGACCCAAUAACCUUGGAUGUGGAUCUGGCUGCAAGGUUGUAUCAUAAAAGUAUGAUAAUUAAAUAGAUUAAGUAAAAAGAAAAAAAUAUAGAAAAAAAAAACCAACAUGAAGAAAAUAACUAAUGAAGAAAAAGAAAAAAAUCCGAAUUAACUGGGUCAACUCUUCAAACCAGGUUAACCCGUCAAGCAUUGGAUUUGUGUCGUGAAAGUUUGAUAACUAAAUAGAAAAAAAACAAUUGACGGGUUACCCCAGAAUUAACUGGGCUAACCCGUCAAACCCAGGAUCCAUGUUAUAAAAGUCUGAUAAUUAAAUAGAAAAAAAUUAAUAUUAAGAAAGUAAAUUAAAACAAAUAAUUAAAAAAGAAAAAAAAGAAAAAAGCCAGAAAAAAACUAAAAGCAUCAGCUUUUUCACUGUGGACUGCACUGUGCAGUCCACAAUAAAAUGCUUAAAAAGGAAAAGAAAAAGGGAAAAAAAACAAAGGCAUACCCACGGGUUAAUUUUUUUUCUUGCAUAAAAAAUAUAAAAAAGGCUAAGAUCUAAGAGUGUUAGGUCUUUCUGCAAAGAUAUACCCAAAAACCUUGGGUCUAAAUGCAACGCUUGACCCAAGAGUAAUAUUUAUAAUAUUAAUAAUAAUAUUAAACUUACAUAACUCAAGUUUAAGUGAGUCUGACUGCAACACCAGAUCCAAGAGCCUUGGAUGUGGGUCUGGCUGCAAGAUCGUGUCAUAAAAGUAUGAUAAUUAAAUAGAUUAAUUAAAAAGAAAAAAACAAAGAAAAAAAUCCAACAUGAAGAAAAAAAUUAAUAAAGACAAAGAAAAAACAUCUGAAUUAACUGGGUUAACCCUUCAAACCAGGUUAACCCAUCAAACUUGGAAUUCAUGUCAUGAAAGUUUGAUAACUAAAUAGAAAAAAAAAAGUUGAUGGGUUAACCAAGAAUUAACUCAAUUAACCCGUGAAACCAGGUUAACCAGUCAAACCCGGGAUAUGUGUCAUGAAAGUCUGAUAAUUAAAUAGAAAGAAAUUUAACAUUAACAGACUAAAUUAAACAAAAAAAAUUAAUUAAAAAGAAAAAAAAACUUCGGGUUACCUUGUCAAACCAGGUUAACCCGUUAAACCCGGGAUCCAUGUCAUAAAAGUCUGAUAAUUAAAUAAAAAAAUUUAACAUUAACAAAAGAAAAAAAACAAAUAAAAAUGGACGGGUUAACCCAGAAUUAACUGGGUUAACCCGCAAAACCAGGUUAACUCGUCAGACCUGGGAUAUGUGUCAUGAAAGUCUGAUAACUAAAUAGAAAGAAAUUUAACAUUAACAAACUAAAGUAAACAAAAAAAAUUAAUUAAAAAGAAAAAAAAACAAAAAAAAAAACUCCGGGUUAACUCGUCAAAGCAGAUUAACCUGUUAAACCUGGGAUCCUUGUCAUGAAAGUCUGAUAGCUAAAUAAAAAAAAUUUAAUAUUAACAAAAUAAAAAAACAAAAAAAAAUGGACGGGUUAAUCCAGAAUUAACUGGGUUAACCCGUGAAACCAAGUUAACCCGUGAAACCUGAGAUAUGUGUCAUGAAAGUCUGAUAACUAAAUAGAAAGAAAUUUAACAUUAACAAACUAAAGUAAACGAAAAAAAUUAAUUAAAAAAAAAAUCCGGGUUAACUCGUGAAAUCAAGUUAACCUGUUAAACCCGGGAUCAAUGUCAUAAAAGUUUGAUAACUAAAUUAAAAAAAAUAUUAACAUUAACAAACUAAAUUAAACAAAACAAAAUUUAUUAAAAGAAAAAAAACAAAGAAAGAAAGAAAAAAGCUAAAGGCAUCAAAAAUGAAAAAAUGAAAAAAAAUAGCUUAAACUAAAUUAAACAAAACAAAAUUUAUUAAAAGAAAAAAAACAAAGAAAGAAAGAAAAAAAGCUAAAGGCAUAAAAAAAAUGAAAAAAUGAAGAAAAAUAGCUUAAAAAAUGAAAAAAAAAAGAAAAAAAAAAGAAACAGGUCAGCCUUUCACUGUGGAUUGCUAGAGUGAAAGGCUGAGCAGGAAAAAAAAUCUGGGUUAACUCGUGAAACCAAGUUAACCUAUUAAACCCGGGAUCAAUGUCAUAAAAGUUUGAUAACUAAAUUAAAAAAAUAUUAACAUUAACAAACUAAAUUAAACAAAACAAAAUUUAUUAAAAGAAAAAAAAACAAAGAAAGAAAAAAAAAGCUAAAGGCAUCAAAAAAUAAAAAAUAAAAAAAAUAAAAAAAUAGCUUAAACUAAAUUAAAUAAAAGAAAAUUUAUUAAAAGAAAAAAAAUAAAGAAAGAAAAAAAGAAGAAGCUAAAAGCAUAAAAAAAAAUAAAAGAAAAAUGAAGAAAAAUAGCUUAAAAAAUGAAAAUAAAAAAAAAGAAAGAGCUAAGCCUCCUUUCACUGUGGAUUGCUACAAUGAAAGGCUUAACAGUUUUAGUAUAUUUCUAAUGUUCUGUUUUUUAUUUGUGCUGAGUAAACCUUAACCAACUAGAUUAAGCCCACAAUGCAUCCAGUAAAUUUAGACUGUUGUAAUAAAUCCAACAUCAUCAGCCAGACCCAUAAUUAAACCAAAAUAGGAAUCCAAAGCAAGAGCCCAAUAACAGAACAGAACGUAUCAACUUAACCAAGCUAGCAUAUAUAUAUAUAUAUAUAUAUAUAUAUAAAACCUUAGGCAACUUCAGCAUAGCAAAGAGAAAGUGAGGAACAAGUGACUCAUGCGAUUCACCUCCUAAGGGACAAAGCUAGCACAAUGGUGAAAUUUCAUGAUGUAAAAAAAAGAUAUAAAAAUAAUUCAUAAUAUAUUUUAUUUGGUAUGAUAAAAAUAUUUUUUUCUUUCUAGAAAUUAAAAAACAAAAAAACAACACUAGUUAUAGCAAAAGCUAUUGUUAUGCCAAGCCAACUAUUAAUGUUAUCACAGUGGAAUCAACCAUCAAUACUAUCAAUAUGUACUAGUAAAAUCAAGAAAAUUUAAGUGUAUUUUGUGAUUAACAUACAUUGAUUGAUUAUGUGUCAACACAUUUAAAUUUUAAUCAUUCAUAUUUUAUCACAUAUUAGAAAACUAAUACAUAAAUUGGGGUUUUUUUUUACUACAUAUGCAGAUAAAAAGAAGAAAAAAAAAUAAACAUUGAUACCAAAUUGAAAAGGAGAAAGUAGGAGAAAAACUUUUCAACUAGAAACUUUGAAUUGUAAUUUCUUAGCAUAAACUUAUCAUUAAAUAAUUUUUACUUAAAUCAAUUGAAAGCUUUGUCAUAAUCCAAUUCUAUGUUAUUUCCCAAAACUUAUCUUUUUCAAAACAAAAAUAAAAAAAUAAAAGAAAAUAAUGUUGUCAUUUUGCAGAAAAUUCAAGACCUAAUUGUACCCCAUUAUGCAAAAACAAAUACAAAUUCAAGGUCAAAUUAAAUUAUUAUUGAAUGAAUUUACAUAAAAAUUAAGUCCAAAGACAUAAUUUAAUUUUUAUUAGGCCAAUUUGAUUUAAUCAUGAGCCAAAUUGAAUUUUAAUUAUGUUUGAAAAAUAAUUUGGGUCCAAUUGAAGGAUUUAAUCAAGUGCAAGGACUUAAUUAUACUUUAAAUGGUUCAAAAUAAUUUUAUUAUGGGCUUAAUUAGAAAAAAAUUAAGUUUGAGAACCCAUUUGGACUUAAAUGAAAAGAUUUGAAUUUUAAGAGACCAAAUUUAAUUUUUAUCAAAUUAUUUGAUUGAAAUUAGGAGCAAAAUUACAAUAAAAAUAAAAUUUUGGGGUCAAUUAGGAGUUAAAUUGAUAAUUUUCACAAUCAAUGACCAUUUUAUAAAAAACAUCAAACUAUGGGAACCUAAUUGGCAAAAAUCGGGGUUGAAAUUGAAGAGAAAUUAAAAUUUUCAAAGUAAUUAGGGGUGAAAUUGACCUAAAUGAACUAUACCAAAACGACGCUGUUUUGGUUACUAUUCAUCUUCAUCUUCAAUUUUCUCUAAAGUAACAACUCAGGGAGGUUAGUUUGUAGGUGCAUUUAAUGCCUCUAACCGUCAUCAAAUUUGGCAACUUUUAAAUCAAAAUGAUCACCUGACAACCCCUUAUCCCUAGGCAUGACAUGUUCAGUUCUCCUGACACUAAUGCAUCCCCGGUGUCGGCCUAAAUUGAACAACUCAGGCAACCACGAAUUGUCAAAUUUGACAGUUCAUGGUGUCUACUUUGAACCAAUGAUUGAGAUUCUUCCCAACCGAAUCAAGAGCUGAAAUUCUUGUCCAGUGUAUACAAGAUUACCCUCUUUCAUCUUCUAUAAAUAAGGGUGGGGGGGGGGGAGGGGUAUGAAAAUCACAAAAAAAAAUAGCUUAUUCCCUAGUUUCCACCACAUUUUUCUCUCUCCUCUUUCUCUCUUCGUCGUGGCCUUCAACCACCACCAUUUUCACCGCCGACUUGACCACCAUCCUCUCCACCAUACUUCUCCCUCUCCACCGAUUGUUUCUCCGUUUUCCUUCACAACGGCAGUAGCCCAUCAACAUCGUCAUCUUCAUUUUCUUCCUUCUUCAGCAUUGGUAGUAACAACAUCAAUAUCAACCUCCACCGUUGCAACAACCAACAAAAACACCAUUCUCUCCAUCAGCAUGACCGCAGAACCUCACCACCUCAGGUGGUCCUUCAUCCUUGCCUUGCAUCAACCUUCCAUGAGAUUUCUAUUGCGAUCGCUGCAUGCAUAAUUCGUUCUACAUGCAACACCAAUAAUUAACCAAAAAUUAAGGUCGACCUCAACCCAGUUUAUAUGGGUCGAGUAUUGCUCCCCCCUUCUGUUUUUAUAUCGAGUCGCUGCCUAGGUCAUAUGGAUCCAAUCUCGGCCCUAUCUUCCUUCAAGGCGGAGUCAUGGCCCAAUUCAUAUGAGUCUAGUCUCGACCCUAGCUUCCUUCUGAACCGAGUCGUAGCCCAAGUCAUAUAGGUCUUGUCUCGGCCUCAUCUUCCUUUAGGGCCGAGCCGCGACCCAAUUCAUAUGGGUUUUCUCUCGGGCCAAACUUCCUUUUGGGCCGAGUCGCGACCCAUUUCAUAUGGGUUUGGUCUUGGGCCCAACUUCCUUUUGGGCCCAGUCAAAGUCCAGGUUAUAUGGGUCCAGUUUUAACCCCAGCUUCAUUCAGGUUCGAGUCGUGGCCUAGGUCACAUGGAUCCGGUCUCGACCCCAACUUCCUUUAGAGCCGAGUCACAGCCCACUUUAUAUGGCUCUCUUCCCCUUGAUCACUUCAGAGCCGAGUCGCGGCCCAGAUCAUAUAGGUCCCAUCUCAGCCCCUAGCUUCCUUAAGGACCGAGUCACAGCCCAGCUCCUUCCUAAGCCAGUUUCAUCCUAAAUUUCUUUAGGUCGAUAUAAACCUAGCCCAGUUAUUUGGGUCGUCCAGCCCACAUGUUUUUAUAAUAUUUAAUUAAUAUAUAUAAUAUAUAAUAUUAUUGUAAACCCACGUAAAAAAAAACAUAGGAUCGAAGUAAUGAGGUCUCGAUGAGUAAUGGAGAUUCGAUAUGAAAUAAAUGAAUAAAUAGUAAGAAUGAUAAUAAAUGUGUCAUGUGAGAGAGAGAAUAAUCUCCAUAAACAUAUUUAAAGGUAUCAUUGAAGUCGAAAUGAGAGUUAUGAUUUUUAGUUUAAAACUCGUAACGUUGGCGAAACCAGUGACAAGUUUCAUUGGAUAAAAGAAUAAGAAAAACGAGAAGAUAUUAAACCUUGAUAAAAAAAAAACUUAUUUUGACAAAUUAGUGAUAAAUGUGGUAAUAUUGAAUUUAUUGAGCAUAAAUUAAGGGGAAAUGCCAUGAGAAUCUAUGUAAAUAAAGUAAUGCAUGAAAUUCAGAUUUUAGUGUAAAAGACAUUGAUUGUCUAGUUUUAAGGUAUCGAUAAUAUAUCUCAAUCCGACCGUUGGAUUGGACUGAAAUUUUAUAAGAAAUCUCCAGACUUAUUGUUUUAUCUUAGGUUACAAUUGCAUGUCAAUCGGAGUUCGGAAAGGCUUUACGAGAGUACUCAAAAUCAGGUAAAUUGAAGAAGAUGACACAGGGGGCAUUAAUAAGGGUAUUUUGGUAAUUUUAUAUGAAACAUCAUUCCCCUCUCCUCCUUUAAACACAGCUCAUGUCCUCUUCAAAAGGAGAAAACAUGAGGGAGACUAUUUUUCUCCUAUUUUCUUCAUCUUCUCUCCAUUUCUUCAAGUUAAAUAAAAAAGGAGCGUUAUUGGGAGGAUUAUAUCCAAGAAAACAAAUUAAAUGACUAUACUUAGAGAGUUAUAAAGCUUGGAAGAAACAAAGAGUAAGAGCUGGAACUUGAAAGAGGAGGACAUGAGUUUUGUAGAUUUUUGCAAGAAUUCAUUGAAAUAAGUUAUGGUAGCAAAGGUAAGCAACAUACCCUUUUUUAGAUUGAUUUUUUUUAUUAUUAUGUCAUCCUCCAACAUUUAAUUAGCCAGGUCUUUAGCUUCUUAGUUGAGUCCGGGUCUAAAAUUUAACGGUUUGUUGGUUUAAGAGAUUGACCCCAAUUUCUUUGUUUUUUUUUUCUUCUUUUUCCAUCCCCCAACAUUUUGUUAUAUUUUAAUUCACUUUAUAUGGUAUUUUUUAGUUUUUUUGAAAAUAAUGCACGUUGCCUUAGUUUUUUUUUUUUUUUUGUCUUUGUUGAAUUUAGUUUUUAUGAAAGAAUUUUAUUUUUAAAUUGAAUUAAAUUGAUUGAUUUAAUCUUCCAACAUUUAUAUUUUUAGGUGUUGAGCUCCUGCAUUAAGCCUGAGUCAAGAAUUAAUUGGAUUGCGUGUUUGAGAGUUUAACCCGAGUUUAUAAGGUUCACUCCGACUUCUUUGGUGUUUUGUUUCUUUUUUAAGCUCUUUUCUUUUUUCAUAUUUCAACCUCUAACAUUCUUUUUUACUCUCUUUCUAUAUAAUUUAUCUUUCUUUUUAAAAUAACAAGGGUUGCCUCAAAGUUUUCUAUUUUCGAUCUUCGUUAAAUUUUGCUUCUUUAAAAGGAAUUUUCUUAAUUAAAUUUAAUUUUUUUUAUUUCAUCCUCUUGCAAUUAAUUUGAGGCAAUACAUGAGAGAAUUUUGCUUUUUUAAUUAAGGUUUUUAAAAAUUGGUAUUUGUUUUUCUACUUUUUUUCUAUAGAGUUAUCUUGAUAUUAUGUCUCAAGUCAUGGAUUCAAUAUAUUUACCAAGUUUGACUCAGGUUUUUUUUUCAUUUUUUUUAAUCUCGAGUCAAUGAUCAAAAUCUUAAAUUUUUUUAAAAAUUGCAUCAUCAAUAGUGUUUUUUUUACUUGUUUUUUUUUCCUAAAUCUAUAUUUCUUUCUCUACUUUCAUACUUCAAUAUUUAGUUUAUUGGAGACCGGAUUUAAUAAUUUAUUGUGGUUUACUUUAUAUAUGGUUAGCUCAGUCUCUUUACACUAUAAACUAAAAGAGGUGGUGAAUUUACUAUUUACCGCCUCACAAAACACUAUUUAUUCCAAUAAUGUUUUUUGUUUUCUAAAUCUAUAUUCCUUUCUCUAAUUUCAUAUUUUUACAUUUAGUUUAUUGGAGACCGGGCUUAAUAAUUUAUCAUAGUUUGCUUUAUAUAUGGUUAGCUAAGUCUAAUAACUCGUAUUACGGGUUUGACGAGUUAGCUCAAUUUUUUUUUAUCUUUUUAUAAUUGGUAUUUUUUUAAUUUUAUCAUCCAACAUUGGGUUGAUUAUGAAUUAAGCUUUUGAUUUAUAUUGGUUUGCUUUUUAUGAGGUUAUCCUAGUUUUAUGACUCAGGUCACGUGUUUUGCAAGUUAAGUCGUGUAGACUCGGGUCUUUUAUUGUCUAAUAUUUUUAGAUUGAUUUUUUUUUUCAAUUUCAACCUUUAAGAAUAAGUUUAUUGAAAUUUGAAAUUUGAGAUUUAUAAUUUGUUUUGAUUUACUUUUUAUAAUGUUAUCACAAUCUCAUGACCUUGAUUGCGGGUUUGGCAAGUUAAUCUAGGUUGAGACUCAUGCUAUUUUUUUUUGUUUACUUUCUAUGAAAAAUCAAAAUAGUUUAGUAAUAAAAUUAAUAUAAAAAAUAAAUUGGGUGCAAAAUUGAUAACACCCAUAUAGUUUAAUGGUAUAUUUUUUAAAAAAGCUAUUAUUUUGAAAGUUUGAUUAAAAGUCAAGUCAUGUUUUUACCAAUCAUUAAGAUUGUAUUUUGAUUCGUAAAAUCAAUCAAUUUAAUUAAAAUUAACUUUUACAUGAUUUAAUUAAAAACUUGAGUUAGAUAAAAAAACUAAAUUACAAAAUUACAAAAUUAACUUAUUAAAUCAAUAAUAUAAUUAAAAGAUUGUUCAUACUUUUAAUAUUUUUUUACAUUUAAAAAAUUUAUCCAAUGAAUAACGGUUCAAUAAACUAGUAGAAGUUAGAUCACGAGACACUAACGUCAGCUGAACUACUUCAUGAUUGAUAAGCUUUAAAUGAGCAAUUAAAAUAUCAAAGGAUUUCUGGGACACUCCCAGGAUGUUUAAUUAUUGAUAAGCUUUAAUUAAUUAUUACACAUCUUUGUAUUUUUGAACCUCCUCAACCAAAUUCUAAUCAUUUUCCGGGCACUCCGGUAUCCAUUUCUUACUGCUAUUAUUUUUUUUGGAUAUCUUCCGACUAUAUUUUUUUUUCUUCCUUUCUUUGUGCGGGACCUAAAAAUAGGUUACAACAUCCCGUAUACAUCAAAACAAGACAUUGUUUUUAUAUAUCUUCUUGCAACAUUUCAACGAAAACCAGGUAUUUUAAUACCGGAUUUGUAACUUUACGAUAUAAAAAUACAAACCAAUAUUAAGAAAAAUUGACAAAAAAAUACGCGAGAAAAAUCACAAAUUUUGAAAAGAUUUUUUUUAAAAUUUUUUUCAAAAAUUUGUUUUGGACUGGGCCACACUUAGCCCAACCAUUUUGGUCUGGGCCAGCGCUUUCUAGCCCAUUAAACAGUGGAGGAUCUCUCCACUGUUCACUUUGUCGAUCAAUAGAGACGGGGUAAUGAAACUGAAGAAGAAGAAGAGCAGGAAGCUGACCUAUGGUGGCUCAUGGUGACGUUCGCUAGUGGUGGCGUUGCGAUUGCGAACUGGGGAGCAGCUCGGCCAAUGGUUCUUCUUCCUUUCUCUGUGUUUUUUGUAUUUCUUCUUCUCCCUGCUUAUAUUCUCCCACUUCUCUGUUUCAUUUCUGACGUGUUGUUGAUGAUGGCUCGAGCUGGCGAUGUUGCGGACUACAGACGGUGACGUUGCGGUGGUUCUUUUGGUGAAUAAGGCUCUUUCUUCAUCCGUCCUCCUUUCCAAAAAUCCCCUUCUGUUUAAUCUUUUUUGUCUGGUAUUUAUAAGUAGAAGGAGAGGGAGCCACCCUGCCCUGUCCUGUCUUGGGGACAGGGUAGAGUGGUUGGGGCAACCUUUAUGCAAUCACCCCAGAGCAGCCCACAGGGCAUGGCUCCCCUGCCCCUUCCAUGAUGGUGGUAGGCCAUGCAGCGUGGGCUAUGUCAGUUUUCUUGCAAUUAGGGAGGGAGAGAAAGAGAGAGAAAAGCAUGAAAAGAAGAUUUUAAAAAACAGCUUGUCCUUCCCCUACUGCACGUCCAAGGGAAGAAGAAUAGUGUCAUUCAAAACGACAUCGUUCUAUGAUUCUGUCUCUUUUUUUUUUUGUGAAAAAAGAAAUGAAUUUGGGGAAUAAAAAAAAAUGAAUUAUAAUAGUUGCCCCCUCUUUACAAUGCUUACAAAGCAAAGACUUUAUGUAGUAAGUUUUGUAAAAAUAAAUUAAACUGAACUUUUAAAACUGAUUUUCUCAAAGCUUGGUUGAUCUAAAGCUCUAUCUUUGCAGCAAAUCUCUUCAACCAUGAACUAACAAUCAAAACUGUGUAUAACUUGGUCAUUCUGAGAUCUCGAUCUGACGAUCCUCUAAAUUCUGUCUUUGAUUGGGUUAACCUGAAAUCUCAUCUGACGAUUCUCUAUAACCAGAACCUAGAAAAAAUGUUCUUCCUGAUGGCAGGGUUUGAACUUUCUCUUCUCUUUUUUUUUUUUGAGAAUUUCCUAAUGGUAGGGUUCUUCUCACUUUUCUUCCAAUGUUAAGAUGAUGUUGGUAGCUCGGUCAACCUGAGAUCCCAUCUGGUGAUCUCCUUUAACCAGAACCAAAAUUCUGAGUGCAGCUCGGUCAACUUGAAAUCUCAUCUGACGACUCCCUUUAACUAAAGCUAAAUUUCAUGUAUGGUUGGAUUAACCUGAGAUCCUAUCUGGCGACCUCCUUUAACCAGAACCAAAAUUCUGUGUGUAGCUUGAUUAACUUGAAAUCUCAUCUGGUGACACAGGCCCAACACUCUUCCAGGCUGAUGUGGGCCUAACACCUUUGGGCCACCCGCCCCCUGUCUUGGGCCGAUGUUUUGGGCCGACCUUGAUCCAAUUUCUUCUAGGCCAAUUUCAACCUAACAAGGAUGGGCUCAACCCAUAAUUUGGGCCAGCCCAUCCCAAUGUUUUUUUUUAUUAUAUAUUUAUAAUAAUAUAUAAUAUAAUAUUAUAUAUUAAAAAGAGGAGACAAAAUUCUGAAAAAUUUCAAAAUCUUUUCAAAAACAAUUUAUGGCUUUCUCGUGUAUUUUUCUACCAAUUUUGAUUAAUAUUAGUUUGUAUUUUUAUAUUGUAAAAAUACAAAUUCGGUAUUUGUUUUGGUAUGAAAAUAUGAUAUGAAAUUUCUUAUAUUUUUUAGUCGUAUGCAUGAAAAGAAGAUAUUUUUUUUUUGUUUUUCCAUAUAUUUUUUUUUGCAACAUUUUGGAGAAAACUAAGAAUUUCAAAAUUCAAAAAAUAUGUAUUAGCAUGCAUUUUGAGCUUUAAUAGCCAGUUUAUUAAAGCCAUGAGAACUAGGCCAAUAUUUUAAAAAUACAAAAAAAAUUAUUUCCUUUCCUUUUAAUAUCUAAGAUUACAAACUUAUACGUAAGAUGUAUUUCUAAUAUUAAAUAAGAGUUAGUUUUCCUUUUUAUCGAUAUUAAAACGGUUAGAUUUUACCAGAUAAGAUAGGCAUCGCCUUACCGAGAAUUACUUUUUUAAAACCUUAGACGUACCAAUCAUUAGAAAACACGACAAUACCUUAGUUUAUAUCAGACAAUUAAACAAUGCAUCUUACCUUAGAUAUGACGUAUUUAGGGUGCUAAUGCAUUGCCUUUAUGCAACCAGUUCCCAUACCCGAUCUCUAAGACCAAUUAGGGUUUCUAUUAACCAAAAUAUUAAGUGACGACUAUCAUUCUUUCUUUCCACUGAUAAAAAAACAAAAAUUUCUUAUCUUACCUAUUUUUCAAAUACAUACCAGAGUAAACGACCACCGCGACACCGCAUACUAGCUACUCUUCUUCUGUAAUUUCGUUUGGCUUUUUAGCUAGUAGCUCCUCAAUUAUUUUGUUAUUAUUAUUAUUAUUAUUAUUAUUAUUAUUAUUAUUAUUUAUUUUUGCUGGCAACUUCACCAACAUUGACUUUUUGAGGAGCAUUAACAUUGAUACACUGACUUCUAGCUAGGGGUGUGCAAAAAAACCGGAAAAUCGAAUAAACCGAUAAAACCGAACCGAGAAAAAAAAACCGAUUAAACCGAUUAGAAUAGUUAGAAAAAAUCCCGGUUCGGUUCGGUUUUUGGUUUUGUAAUGCAAGAACCGGUUAACCCGGACCGAACCGAAUCGGUUCAAAAAAAGACUAUAAAUAGAAAAAUUUAUCCCUCCACCCCCCAGUAACCCUAGCCAUCAGCAGCCCCUCUCGCCUCUUUCUCUCCCUCUCCCUCUUUCUCUCCCUCUCCCUUCCUCUAGACUUAGAAGCAGCCCCCUCUCGCGCUCUUGAUCCUAGGAUGAAUCCGGGUGUAGAGGAUCUUGCUAGGCUUGGGUGCGAGAGGAUGUUGAUCUUUGUAGCUAAGGAAGACUAUUUAACUGUUGCAGCUAAGAAUUAUUAUGAGAAGUUGACAAGGAGUAGAUGGAAGGGAACUGUUGAACUUGUCGAGAAUGAAAAGGAAGACCAUUGCUUCCAUUUGCUUCUGGGUAUUCUUUAAAAUGCAGGAAAGAUAAGAUUUAUCUGUAUAAGAAGAUUUGGGGUUUUGAUUUUAAAAAAUCGGGUUUGGAUUUUUGGCAUUUGGGUAUUUGAAAAAUAUAGGAAAAACCAUGUUUAUUUUGCAAGAAAUUUAGGGUUUUGAUUUAUAGCAGAGUUUUGGAUUUAGAAUGUUGAUUUUAUUUUUAUUUUUUAAUUGAAAUCAGUUUUAUUCUUUCAACGAUUUUAAAAAAUAAGAACUAUAACUUAUAAGUAAAAAAAGUUAAAAGAUGAUAAAAUUAAAAUAAAAUUUUAAUUUUAUAAAUUAUUUUAAAUAAAAUAAGUAACAAUAAAAAAAUAAAAAUUAAAUUUAAAUAGAUAAAAAAAAUUUAAUUAAAAAACAAUAAAAAAAACAAAUAACAAUUAAUAGAAUAAGAACUAAAGUGAUAUAACAAAUAAAAAUUAAUAGAAUAAGAACUAAAGUGAUAUAAAAAUAAAAUUGAAUCAAAUUGUAAAGGAUAAAAUUGAAAUAAUAAUAAAACAAAUUCAUAAUAAAAUAUAUAGUAAUAAAAAAUUUAAUAACUAGAUUACAAGUGAAAAAUUUUAAAGAUGAUAAAAUUAAAACAAAAUUCUAAUUUUAUAAAUUAUCUCAAAUAAAAUAAAUAACAAUAAAAAAAUAAGAAUCAAAUUUAAAUAGAUAAAAAAAAUUAAUUAAAAAACAAAUAACAAUUAAUAGAAUAAGAACUAAAGUGAUAUAAAAAUAAAAUUGAAUCAAAUUGUAAAGGAUAAAAUUGAAAUAAUAAUAAUAAUAAUAAUAAUAAUUCAUAAUAAAAUAUAUAGUAAUAAAAAAUUUAAUAACUAGAUUUGAUAUAAUUAACAAAUAACAUUAUAUUUUUGAAUUGUUUCAACUUUUAAAAAGUGUAAUACAAAAUAAAAAAAAAUACCUUUUUGGAAAACAACCAAAUUUUUCCACAAAGUAAAAACUGUUUUUCUUUUAUCAAUUUUUUAAUAAUAAAUAAAUAUUAAAAAAUAUAAAAAUUAUUUUUCAUGAACCACAAAAAUAGUCAAAAUCAAAUCUUUAUAUGAGUUUUACAGAUGAGUUAACCAGAUAAGUUACUCCCGGUUUGACUAUAUCAAUGUUUUGAAAGCAAACUCAGGUUUUUGUUUUUUUUUUAAUGUAACAUUCUACAUGUGAAUGAUUUAGUUGUAAAAACUUAAAACUUUUAUAAAGAUUAAAGAAUAAUAAAAAAAAAAAACACAAGCGAUGAGUAGUUUUUGGAGAACAGGAAGGAAGAGGCGAGUCAUUCCACCUCUUAAUUAUAGUCCUUGCAAAUCAACUCAAUGCCCACUCCACUCAUUAUUAAAAUCCAUUUGAUUUUAAUCUACCUAAGUUAAUUUACCUGAAUCAUGAUUCACAUCUUGCACUGAGUUGACUCAGUCAAAAGCGUGCAAUUCUGCAAGUCUUCGACUCAGGAGGGAGGCCCAUUGCCUUAAGAGUAAUGAAAGUUGGAAAUAUAAUAAAGGCCCAAAGUGAAGAUAUAUCGUCAAGUCCAUUAAAAAUGAUUUAGACAUCACGCCAAUGGCCUUCAACCUUGUCCACUGUCCAUUAAAAAUGAGGAAAAUGGAUCAAUCGAUCGAUAUUCUCGUAUGGAUUGGACAAGUUAAUUUUCAACAAGUUCAUAUAUUUUAAACCAUGCCAUGUUAAAUUACUGACCCUAAAAUUAUUACUGACCCUAAAAUUGUAAGAGUAAACUUUAAACUAAGUAAAAAAGAUAGGUAGAAAUCUCUCUCUCUCUCCCCCUCUCUCGUGCACACGCACACAGAGGAGGAGAUAAGGUCAGAAUUAGAACAUACACACACAGAGGAGGGGAUAAGGUCAGAAUUAGAAAAUUUAAGUCCUUUUCCUUCCUUCACCCAAAGGAAAGGUUGCUGGCCUUGGUUUUUGUGUUGUUGAAAUGUUAUAAUCUAUAGCCUCAUCCUAAGAGAUAGAUGUUUAUUACACUAUUGACUUAGUAUUCUCAUAUUUAUAAUUUGUUAUGAGUGUUUCUUUCAGAAAUGGCUUUGAACAGCCAUAUUGACCUUUUCUUAUAUUAAAAAAAAAAAACUAAGUUAGUUGGUGGUAGGUAAGUUUCAUUAAUGUCCAAUGUUAGAAGAACAUAAACCUACUACCCGUGCAGUGAGUCCAAUUGAUAUGCACUUGUAAUUAAGAAUAUACUUAGAGUAUACACGGGACCAACCUACAUCGGAUAUUUAAUAAUACUGAAGAUAGGUAUUUUACUAUUGAAACAAUGAUAUUCCGACGAAAAUAAAGCUAAAAAAAUAGCGUAACCGGUUUAUAAUUAUCCAUUAGAAUUUGAUUAAAAUGUCGAAAAAAAAUUUUCAAUUUUUUUUUUAGAGUCCAGAUGUAGACUUUAAUAUCUGUUGAGUGUAAAAUUAUACGAUAAAGUACAUUCUCGAGUGUUAAAGAUACAAGGCAAAAAAUAAAUGCGAUGCUAAUUUUUUUAUUUUAGAAUGGUUAGGAUUUAACCCGAUAAAAUAGAGACUCUCUCAUGAAGAGAGAUCUACUUUGAACCUUAAACGUAACCAACGAAUAGAAACCUGACCUAGAAACAAUAAAAAAAUAAUGCAGCUUACCUUAAGUAGGGUGCACUGGGGAUGAUGUGUCUUUCCCUGGCACAACCAAUGUCUUUUCCUGGCACAACCAGUCUCUUACCCAGACUCUCGCAGACUAUAGAUUCCUAGUAACCAUAAUACUAGGUGGCAACUCCUAAACAUUAAACAUAAUUUUAUGAUUAAAUCCAAAAAUCUUUCCAAAACAACACCUUACAUAGGAGGCAUGACAAAAGCCUCUGUCGUUGUCAAAUGACGUUGCGGUGCGACCCCGCGACACCUAUAAACAUGCUUGAAAAGUAUAUUGAGUUCCAUUUAGAUUUUCUUAUUUGGUUGAUUUUUAUUUUUUUUGAAUGAUUUUGGAAUUUUUUUUUUGGUAUAUGAAGGUAUUGGCAUAAGCUGAUCCAAUAUAUUGUUGUUUUAAUAUCUUAAAAAAAAGUUUCUUCUUGAAGUUUUUUUAAAAGUCAAACCAUGUUUUCAUUGGUUUUCUAAGUUGUUUUUAAACAAGCUUAGUCGAUUGGGUUAUAUUGGGACAACUCCUAAAUAAUUUGAUUUGAAGCUCAAGUUAGACAAAAAGUCCGGUUAAGAUAUUUCAAGAUUAACCCGUUAGAUCGAGUUUAAUAACACUAUUAAUAAAUUUUCCAUUACCUAAACAUUAUUUUUUUUACAUUAAUUUUUUUUAUCCAACCAGCAACAUAACAUUGCUAUUUAUCUAAUUGUAUUUCUUUUCAUUGAAGGACAACACUUUUCUAUGGAAAAAGUUACUAGAAAAUUCAUAUUCAAAGGCAAAACUAGAAUUUUCUGUGUUGCAAAUAAACAAACUUUAUUUGCAGGUCUUUGAGAUCUCAAAAGUCCACACUUUACAUUUAUCAUUGUUGAAAGAGCUAGUAUUAAAAUUAUUAUUUCAAUGUUAUCAUCAAUUUUGUUUUAUCAAUUUUAUCAUUAAACUUUCAGAAGUUUUAUCAUUAAAUUUUAUCAAAUUCUUGUUUUUUUUCUCCUUAUUCAUAAUUUUCCAAAAAAAAAAAAACAAAAACAUUGACCGAUCAUAGCUUAUAGAUUAAUUAUUGGAAGCGAUGAGGAGCUAGUAUCGUGUCAAAGUGAUCAUCAUCAACCUUCCAUUCAUUUCUCUCUUUGCUAGGUGAGUACUUGUAAAAAUUAUUAUUCUAUUUGUUUAUCAUUAUCUUUAUAUAAUAUUAUGCCUAGUAUCUUAAUUAUGUCAUCAAAUUGCAUUUUUUUAAUGGGUCAGGUACACAAGCCCAUGCGCCUGGCAUCUUAUGCUUUCUUUUUUCCUCUUACAUUUUAAACUUUAAUCAUUCUAAAAGAUUGGUUAAAAAACAAUUUGAUUUUUUUUUUAUCGGAUACCAUUGAAAUUUCAAAUUUUUUUUUUUUUAAGAUUGUAACCUUUUUUCAUAUUAUUUUAGCAAGUGCUAUUUCUUUACACCCCAUCAUGGUGUUUUGUGCUUUUUUUACAUAUAAAAAGUUUAUUUAAUUGAUAAAAUAUUUUUGUUUGUUGUUUGAUUAAAUACCAUUUGAUUUUUUAUUUUUUAUAACAUUUAAAGGCACUUUUUUUUUUACAAACCUCCACUGUGGUUUUCUUUACUUGAACUUUAUUACGUAGCUUUCCUUUGCAUGUUAGCUUUUAUUAUCUUAAAGUUCGAAAAAAAAUCCAAAAAAUAAAGUUAUUGAACCCAUCUGUACCCAUCGCUCAGUUUACGGGUUGACAACUUAACUCGAGAUAAUCCAAGUCAAUACAAAGUAUUGUCAUCUUAGUGUAUAAAAAGAAAACUUAAAAAGACAUUCACUUGAUUUUUUUCCCUUAAUACCAAACUAGAUUUUAACUAGUUCACAUCCUGUAGGCUCCUGCCCAAUUUAAUUUGAAAUCCAAUCCAUGUAAGGGCUUGGUUUGGGAGGUCUCUUAACUUCUCAACUUGAUGUUUUAUUAGUGUUAACAACUCUUUUAAAUGUUUAAUUAUAUCUUUAAUACUCCAUAUCUUAAAUAGAUGUGAUACAUUUUUGACUUAUUGUCAAUAACCUAAUUUUUACCUCGUUUAAAAAACACAUAAAUUGUGCAUCAGACAAUUUUGUAGACAAAACUGGACAUAUUUAAAAAAAAACAGUUGUUGAAAACAUUCAAAAAAUCACAAAAUAAAAAUUAUGAUUUGGGAUGAAAUCAAACAAAUAAUAAAAUUUUAGAAGCAAAAAGUGGUCUAAAACAAGUACAAGCAAGCCAACUAUAGUUUUGAGGAACAAUUAGGAGUUUGUUUGAAAAGAAAAUUGAAGAAAAAAGUUGAAUUUGACCAAAUUUGCUUAAGAGAGAGGUUGGAGAGAGAAAUCAUGUUUUAGAUAAAGAAAUGAGGUUUGUAAGAAAGUUAUGUAGACUUACAUUUAUUAUAUAUCAAGAAAAAAAUAUUUUUUUGUUUAAUUUGAUUUUUCCUGUUGAUCACGAAGGCAAACAAUAAUUUAUAAAAUCUUAGAUUGAAAACAAAAAAUAGACUAAAAGUACAGGAGUGCUUUUAUAAUUAUCCUUAAAAUUUAUUAAGGAAAGAAAGAAAAAAUUCAACAAUAGAGUACCAAAGUAUAAAAUAUAGAGAAAUCCAAUGAUCAAUCUUAAAUUUGUUAGAAAAAGUCAUGUUUAGCUCACUUACUUUCCUUUUUUUACUCUACAAUUUCUUUAGUUUUUACAAAUUUAAUUUUAGUUCAAAAAUUCAUUUUCAUAACAUUUUCAGUCAUUGAGUUUAAUAAAUAAAAGAGAAAGUCGUUUGAAAAUAGUGAAAGAGUAAUAAAGUUGGUGAAUAAGCACUUUUUAGAGACAAAACUCAUCAUUCUUGAUACCAACAAGUUUUAUUAUAGGAGAAAAAAUUUGAUGGUGGUGGUUUCUUCCUAUAAACACGCCUGAAAAGUAGAUUGAGUUCCUUUUAAUUUUUUAAUUUGGUUGAUUUUUAUUAUUUGAAUAAUUUUGGGAUUUUGUUUUUGGUACAUAGAGGUUUUUAUGGUAUUUUUAUAUGCAAAUGGAUUUAAAAAUAGGUUCUUAGGUUUGACUUAUUGACUUUUUUUUAUCCAUUUCCAUUACAUGUUUCUAUUAAAUUAGCUCUAUUUUUUAAAUAGUAAUUAAUUUUUUUUAUAUGUUUUUAGUUGCAUGAUAUUUCAAAGAAAUUAGUUUAAUUUGUCCUAAACAAGAUUAAAAUACAAAGAACAAUCAAUGUAUCGAUAUUUUAUUUCUACUAUAAAGACUAUCUUCAUGUUUUAAUAUUAAAUUAGUGACAACAACUCCUUUUAGAUUAAUUUUAUGUGUUAUUGGAAGCGAUGAGGAGCUAGCAUCAUUCGUGCAAGUGUCAAAGUGAUCAUCAUCAACCUUCCAUUCCUUUCUCUCUUUGCUAGGUGAGUACUUGUACAGAUUAUUCUUAUUUGUUCAUAAUUAUUUCAUAAAAUUGAAUUUUUGUGGGAAUUGAUGCUUUAAACUCAUAAGUCUAAACUAUUUUGUUUCAAUGUAUUCGUUAGAUCGGUGGUAUGCUAUCUUUCACUAAUGAAAUUCUUUUUGUUGGUUUUGAGAAGAAAAAAAAAAGUAUUUCUAUCUUUGUUUUAUGGAAAAAGCACAUAGAUCUAUGAACUAGAUAUAAAAAAAGAAAGGAUAGAUAUUCCCAUUACUUAAUAAUCGUGGCAUCUUAAUUAUGUCAAAUUAGAUAAAGCUGCUCUAACUCGCGGCAUAGAUGGAUAAAAAUAAUUAAAUAAGUGUAUGAUGCAGAGAUAGUCAUUACAGAUUUUAGUUGGCUAAGAUUGAUCCUUUGUUGAGUUCGUUCCAUUAAUUAUACUUCCUUGCAAGUCUUUUUUUCUCUUUAUUCAUAAUUUUUUUUUAAAAAAAAACAUUGACCGAUCAUAGCUUUAGAUUGAUUAAAUGUGUUAUUGGAAGCGAUGAGGAGCUAGUAUCAUUCGUGCAGGUGUCAAAGUGAUCAUCAUCAACCUUCCAUACAGAGACUGGUGGAAAAUGGCUAUCGAAUGUGUUGGUGGAUCCGUUGUAUCUAAGAUAGCAGAGCUCUUGGUGGAACCAGCAAUAAGGCAGUUCCGUUACAUGUUCUGCUUCAACAAUUUUGUUCGCGAAUUCAUUGAACGAAAGCAGAGCCUUGCUUUAGCGCUAGAUCGUCUACAAAAUGAGGUCAUAGUUGCUGAAAGGAAGGCUGAAGAAAUUGAGAAAGAUGUCAGUAAAUGGCUGGAAGAUGCAAACAACGAAAUUGAAGGUGUGAAUCCUUUGGAAAAUGAAAUAGGAAGAAAUGGAAAAUGCUUUACUUGGUGUCCAAAUUGGAUGCGACAAUUCAAGUUAAGCAAGGCACUGGCAAAGAAGACGGAGACUUUGAGAAAACUUGAAGAAAAUAGCAGAAAAUUUCCGAAAGUGUCCCACAAAACACCUCUUCAAGACAUAGAAUUUCUUCCAUCAGAGGGACUCACACCCUCGGAAUCAUCAAAAGAAGCUUUCGAACAGAUAAUGAAAGCUCUCAAAGAUGACACUGUCAAUAUGAUCGGACUGUACGGCAUGGGAGGGGUGGGUAAAACCACCCUGGUCAAAGAAGUAGGUAGGGGAGCCAAAGAGUUGCAGCUUGUUGAUGAAGUUUUGAUAGCCACGGUGUCCCAGAAUCCAAAUGUCACAGACAUGCAGGAUCAAAUGGCAGAUAGUUUAGGUCUGCAUUUUGACGGAAAGAGUGAAAAGGGGAGAGCAGGUCGGUUAUGGCAGAGACUUCAGGGAAAGAAGAUGCUUAUAAUCCUCGAUGAUGCUUGGAAAGAUAUUGACUUGAAAAAGAUAGGGAUCCCAUUUGGUGAUGCUCACAGGAGUUGUAAAAUUCUUAUAACAACACGCCUUGAAAACAUAUGUUCUUCUAUGAAGUGCCAGCAAAAAGUGUUUUUAAGAGUCUUAUCUGAAAAUGAAGCAUGGGCUUUAUUCAAAAUAAAUGCAGGUUUACGUGAUGAGGACUCUGACUUGAACAGAGUGGCAAAGAAGGUUGCGAGAGAAUGUAAAGGAUUGCCUAUAGCACUUGUGACAGUGGGAAGGGCUCUAAGAGAUAAAUCUGCAGUUGAGUGGGAAGUAGCAUUUGAUCAGCUAAAAAAGUCUCAAUUUCCGGACAUGGAACAAAUUGAUGAACAAAAAAAUGCAUAUGCAUGUCUUAAGUUGAGCUAUGAUUAUUUGAAGCACGAGAAAACCAAGUUAUGUUUCUUGCUAUGCUGUUUAUUUCCAGAAGAUUACAACAUUCCAAUUGAGGACUUGACAAGAUACGCAGUUGGCUAUGGGUUACAUCAAGAUGUGGAGUCCAUUGAAGAUGCAAGGAAACGAGUAUAUGUGGCAAUCAAAAACCUCAAAGCUUGUUGUAUGCUGUUAGGAAAUGAAACUGAAGAAUAUGUCAAAAUGCAUGACUUGGUUCGUGAUGUUGCUAUUCAGAUAGCAUCAUCAGAAAAAUACGGAUUCAUGGUAAAGGCUGGCUUUGGGUUGAAGGAGUGGCCAAUGAGGAAUAAAAGCUUUGAAGGUUGUACGGUAGUUUCGUUAAUGGGCAAUAAACUAGCAGAACUUCCUGAAGGAUUGGUGUGUCCACAGCUCAAAGUUCUAUUAUUAGAACUGGAUCGUGGUUUGAAUGUUCCAGAGAGGUUUUUUGAAGGGAUGAAAGAAAUUGAAGUUUUGUCUCUAAAGGGAGGGUGUUUUUCAUUGCAAUCACUUCAAUUCUCAACGAACCUUCAAUCGUUGCUGUUGAUGGAGUGUAAAUGCAAGGACCUCAUUUGGUUGAGAAAGCUGCAAAGACUUGAGAUUCUUGGUUUUAUAGGGCGCGACUCCAUUGAAGAAUUACCUGGUGAAAUGGGGGAGCUCAAGGAGUUGAGGUUGUUGGACGUGACAGGAUGUAGAAAUCUAGGAAGGAUUCCUGUGAAUUUGAUUGGAAGUUUGAAGAAGUUAGAAGAGCUGUUGAUCGGGCGAAAAAGCUUUAAGGAAUGGGAUGUCGUUGGGACAAGCAGGGGAGGAAUGAAUGCAAGCCUCACAGAACUAAAUUCGCUGUCUCAUUUAACUGUAUUAUCAUUGAAGAUACCGAAGGUUGAAACCAUUCCCAGAGAUUUUGUUUUUCCCAGGUUGCUCAAAUAUGAUAUAGUGUUAGGGAUUGAGUUACUCUAUAAAAAAUACCCAACUGCAAAGACAAGAUUAUAUUUGGGUGAAAUCAGCGCCACAUCCUUAAAUGCAAAGACAUUCGAGCAGUUGUUUCCUACUGUGUCUCAAAUUGUUUUCAUGAGAGUGAAGGGUUUAAGAAAUAUAGUAUUGUUCUCUGAUCAGAUGACCACCCAUGGCCAUGGGUCGCAAAAGGACCUCUUACGAAGAUUAGAACAUGUCAAAGUGGAAAAAUGUGGGGAUAUUCGCACUCUGUUUCCAGCAAAAUGGCGGCAAGCUUUGAAAAAUCUAACAAGUGUGGAUAUUAGUAACUGCAAAUCAUUGGAAGAGGUAUUUGAAUUGGGUGAGGCUGAUGAAGGAACUAAUUGGGGGAGGCUGCGGCUGCUGUCAUCUUUAACAACGUUACAGCUGCACCGGUUACCUGAGCUCAAAUGGAUAUGGAAGGGGCCCACUAGACAUGUCAGCCUCCAAAGUCUUAUUCAUCUGGAGUUGUCGUUUCUUGACAAACUGACAUUUAUCUUCACACCGUUACUUGCUCAAAGUCUUAUUCAUCUGGAAACACUACAGAUAAAACAUUGCGAUGAAUUGAAGCGUCUUAUCAGAGAGAAGGAUGACGAAGGGGAAAUAAUUCCGAAGUCUCUUUGCUUCCCAAGAUUAAAAAUUCUUCGUUUAAUUUAUUGUAUUAAACUUGAAUAUGUCUUCCCUGUCUCCGUGUCUCUAAGUCUUCAGAACCUGGAAGAGAUGAAGAUUCGUGAAGCUGCCAAUUUAAAGCAAGUAUUUUACAGUGGAGAAGGAGAUGACAUCAUCGUCAAGUCUAAAAUUAAAGAUGGCAUCAUCGACUUCCCUCAGCUAAGAAAAUUGUAUCUUUCAAAGUGCAGCUUUUUUGGUCCAAAGGAUUUUGCUGCCCAAUUGCCUUCUUUGCAAUGUCUAAGCAUCUCUGGCCACAACGAAUGGGGUAAUUUGUUGGCACAGCUUCAAGUACGUCCUUUAUAUUUCUCCAUUUUUUUUCUUUUCUAAUUUAAAUUGUCAACUUCAAUAAAUUGUGAUAAUUUGUUCUAUCUUCCUCCAAAUUUCGAAAACUAAAGUAAUUAUUAAGUUCUUUAACCAUCCACUACUGAAUUUAGUUGAUGAUUUAAAUUGGCUUAGGAAGUUAGACAUCAAUUACUGUAAUGUAAUUUCUUAUUUCUAAACCUAAAGUAAAUGGAUAAAUGCUAGCAAAUCCUUUAGCCAUCCACUGAAUUUUAAAGGAGUGAAAUUGAGGCUUUUCCGCCAAUUAAAGGAAAAUAUUUGGACCCGAUGAUAAAGCUUCGUCUGAGAAUAUUGAGUUUUUUUGUUUCAGUGCUGCAACUUAUGAACUGUUCAAAAAAUUAAUAAAGUUAGAGUCAAAAAAUGUAAAAAUUGAAACUUUCUUUUUAAAUACAAUAUUCCAAAUUUGUGUUGAAUUCAAAAAACAUAUUUUUUAAAUAUUUUUCAUGUUUUUGUUUCUACAAUUGUUUUCACUUUUUUAUGAAAAAAAUAAUUUAAAUGAUCAAUAAUCAAGCAUUUUUAUUAAAAAAAUUUACUAAUAUGUAAAAUUCAAAUUAUUUUCUUUUAUAUUUUUAUUUUUUGAUAAUGUGAUAUUUUUUUAUAAAUCGAAUAUAAAAAAUUAACUUUUAUGAGUUAAGAAGUGUAUUUUUUCAUGAUUGCUUUUAAUUUAACUAAUAUAAAAUAAUAGUUUAUAUUCAGUUUAUCAUAAAUACGAAAAAAUUUGAUUUUAUAUUCCCAUUGUUUUUUUUUAAGCAGGGAUUUAUGAAUUUGAAAGAAAUAUCUAUUGAAAAAUUGGAAGGAGUACAAGAUUUAAUGCAAGUUGGACGUUUGGUAACUAAUAGAAGAAGGGGGCAUGAACUUUCGCUCGUGAGUUUGGAAACAUUACACUUGAACUUAUUGCCUGACAUAAGGUGUAUAUGGAAGGGUCUCGUGCCGAGCAAUUUGACUACUUUGAAGGUGAAAAAGUGUGACAGACUAACACAUGUAUUCACAAACAGCAUGAUUGCUAGUCUAAUUCAACUGAAAUUUCUAGAUAUAUCAAAUUGUGAGGAAUUGGAGCAAAUUAUUUCUAAGGAUAAUGAUGAUGAAAAGGAUCAGAUAUUGUCAGGAAGUGAUCUCCAAUCUUCAUGCUUCCCUAAUCUGUGGCGACUUGAGAUCAGAGGAUGCAACAAGUUGAAGAGUCUCUUCCCAGUAGCCAUGGCUUCAGGUCUCAAAAAGCUUCGAAUACUUAGAGUAAGAGAAUCCCCUCAAUUAUUGGGAGUAUUUGGGCAAGGUGAUCAUGCUUCAGCUGUCAAUGUUGAGAAGGAGAUGGUGCUCCCUGAUCUGCAGGAGAUGUUGCUUGUACAAUUACCAAGUAUUUCCUGCUUCAGUCAUGGAUGUUAUGAUUUCAUAUUCCCUUGUUUGUUGAUGUGGGAGGUGCGUCAAUGUCCAAAGCUGACCACAAAAUUUGCUACUACAUCAAAUGGUUCAAUGAGUGCUCAAUCAGAGGUGCUGCAUAUUUGACAUGAUUUCUUGCCUCUCUUUUAGUGUUUUUAUUUCUUGUUUCCCUCAACAAUAAGACUAACAAGUUAGAAUGUGUAUGCCAUUCUUGAAUUGGCUUUGCAGGUAUCUCAAGUAGCUGAGGGUUCAAGCACUGGUUGCUCCGUGCCAACCAGCACUUGUAGAAACUGGACUCGAAAUAAAGGGUGGGAAGAGAAAGAGGAAGAGGAUGGAGUUGGUCAUGAUGAUUGAGUUAGAUGAUUAGUUUGGCAUUGGAAUUUGAAAAACAUGCUAAUAAUUAUUUCUUGCAGGUAAAAUGGAUGCAAUUAUUUAUUUUCUAUCCUUUUUUAAAUGGCUAAAUUAAAUCAACAUAUUACCUCGAUAUGCAUCAGGUUCGCUGGUUACCUAUUACAUGAACACCCAAUUAGGUGAUUUCACGAAGAUUCAUGUAUUUGAGUUGUGUUCAGCUGUUUCAUUAGCUAUGGGAUACAAUUUGGCUUCACAUUGUAAGAGUCUUAUUUACCAUAGAACUCCCAAAACAAGGUUUUUAACUUAUCUAUCUAUGUAUGAACCUCAAGAAAUAAGGGUUUCUGCUUGUUUGCCCAUUUGUGUUUCUUUUUCAAGUGUCUGAACCUUAAAAAACAAGGGCAUAAUGUUUGCUCAUUUGUGUGCUUAUUGUUUAAUAUGUGGAUUCUCAUUCUCC
rnacentral:lncRNA from 1 species